rnacentral:lncRNA from 1 species
AUUUUAAAAUUCCCGUACCCCAAAAUUUCCAAAAACUCACAAAGUUCUAGAUUCAAUUUUUAAAAUUCACAUACCCUAAAUUUCCAAAAACUCUCAAAGUUCCGGAUUUAUUUUUCUAAAAAUUCUUGUACCCAAAAUUUCCAAAAUCUCUAAAUCCCGGAUUCAUUUUUUAAAAUUUUCGUAGCCAAAAUCUCUCAAAAUUCCGGAUUCAAAAUUUAAAAUUCCUGUACCUUAAAUUUCCAAAAACUUUCAAAAUUCCGAAUUCAAUUUUUAAAAUUCUCAUACCCUAAAUUUCCAAAAACUGUCAAAAUUGUGGAUUAAAAUUUUAAAAUUCCGCACUCAAAAUUUCCAAAAUCUCCAAAUUUCGGAUUUAUUUUUUAAAAUUUUUGUACCCAAAAAUUCCAAAAUCUCUCAAAAUUCCGGGUUCAAAUUUUAAAAUUCCCAUACCCCAAAAUUUCCAAAACUCACAAAGUUCCGGAUUCAAUUUUUAAAAUUCCCAUACCCUAAAUUUCCAAAAACUCUCAAAGUUCCGGAUUCAUUUUUCUAAAAAUUCCUAUACCCAAAAUUUCCAAAAUCUCCAUACCCUUCCAAAUUCAUUUUUAAAAAUCCCGUACCCUAAAUUUUCAAAAACUCUCAAAAUUCCGGAUUCAAUUUUUAAAAUUCCCAUACCCUAAUUUUCAAAAAACUGUCAAAAUUCUUGAAUUAAAAUUUUAAAAUUCCGUACUCAAAAUUUCCAAAAUCUCAAAAUUCCGGAUUCAUUUUUAAAAAUUUUCAUACCCAAAAAGUCCAAAAUCUCUCAAAAUUCCGGGUUCAAUUUUUAAAAUUCCCAUACCCUAAAUUUCCAAAAAUUCUCAAAGUUCCGGAUUCAUUUUUCUAAAAAUUCCUAUACACAAAAUUUCCAAAAACUCUCAAAAUUUUGGAUUGAAUUUUUAAGUGUCAUUUCCAAAAAUUUCCAAAGUUUUGAAAAUUCCUAAUUUAAUUUUUUUAGUUUCAAUUUCCAAAAUUUUCCAAAGUUUUGAAAAUUCCAGAUUUUAUUUUUUAGUGUUAAUUUCCAAAAAUUUCCAAAAGUUUCGAAAAUUCCAGAUUUAAUUUUUUAGUGUCGUUUUCCAAAAAUUUUCAAAAGUUUCGAAAAGUUGGGAUUUAAUUUUUUAGUGUCAUUUUCCAAAAAUUUCAAAAGAUUUGAAAAGUUUGGAUUUAGUUUUUUUAGUGUCAUUUUCCAAAAAUUCCCAAAAGUUUCAAAAAGUCUGGAAUUAUUUUUUUAGUGUCAAUUUCCAAAAGUUUCAAAAAUUCUGGAUUUAAUUUUUUAGUGUCAUUUCCAAAAAUUUCUAAAGUUUCGAAAGGUCUAGAUUUAUUUUUUUAGCAUCCAUUUCCAAAAAUUUCCAAAAUUCUCAAAGUUCGAAAUUAUUUUUUUAGUGUAAUUUUCCAAAACUUCCCAAAAGUUCGAAAAAUUCGGAAUUAUUUUUUUAGUGUUAAUUUCCAAAAUUUUCGAAAAGUUCGGAUUUAAUUUUUUAGUGUCAUUUCCAAAAAAUUUUAAAGUUUCGAAAAGUCCAGAUUUAUUUUGUUAGCGUCCAUUUCCAAAAAUUUCCAAAAUUCUCAAAGUCUGAAUUUAGUUUUUAGCAUCCAUUUCCAAAAAUUUCCAAAGUUGCGAAAAGUCCGGAUUCAAUUUUUUAGUGUCAUUUCCAAAAAUUUCCAAAGUUUCCAAAAAUUUGGUUAUUAGGGGAUGAAGUUCAAAUGGGAACGAUGUUAGUCUUCAGUUGAAAAUCAGUGGAAUGGGAGUAACUAAAUUUUUGCCACGUAGUCCAUAGUCAUGGCUGCGCUUGGUGGCCAUUGGGUAGAGCCUAGAGAUUACAUAUAUAUGGUUUGGUCAUGGUUGGAAAUUUUAGUAAAUUUGGAAUUUGCAUAUAUUGUGUGCUUGUGCUUAUUGAUUAACCCUUUCUUGCAGCACAUAGCUAGGGACCUCAGGUACACAACUUUGUUCUGGUUAUUAAUUUCCUGUGCGUGCUAAAUAUCAGCUAAGAUUACAUGAGUCCUGUCAUCUAUGUAACCUAGGGGAAUUGAGUGAUCUUCGACCCAUAUGCUCUAAUGUACCCAAUUCAAUAGUAGAGAUCGGAUUUCGGGCCUAGAGGGGUGCUACCUCGUAUAAGGUACCUUCUUGAUAGGUAACCUGAUCCCCGGACCCAGAAAUCUAGUUUCGUAGGCCUCUUUUUCCUAACUAGAGUUAUUGAGGGGUUUUUGUUCUUACUUAAUUUUCCCCAUUUCAAAAUUAAAAAUAAAAAGUAAGUGGCGACUCCAAACAAAAAUCGUCCCUCAUCGGGAUGGAUUUUCCAAAACUUAAAAACCACACUUUUUCUCCACACACCCUUUAUUAUUUUAAUUCGCGAGUUGCGUUGGUCGGUGGAUCGGGGGAGGGUCCACAUCCUUGUCAUAUGAGAAAUUGAUGAGUUUCACUUUGAGCUAUGAAUUUGUUUUUAAUAUCUUUAUUCUUUUUUCUUAAGGUUGUACAAUUUUCUUGCUCACUUUUUGAUGAAUUUUUUUUGUCAUAUCUUGAUCAUUGGUUGUUUUGAUCAACUGUUUUUUCAAGAAAAAUUGAGUAUUAUGCAACGUGAUCAAACUGUGAAUGAUCAACUUUUGAUCGACUGUAUUUUUCUAACCUUGGCUGAGAACCGUAUUAUGUGAUCGAAAUGUGAUCAAUUGGCGAUCAACUAUGUUUUGUCUAACCUUAGGUUGAAAACUAUAUUAUGUGAUCGAACUUGGAUUGAUCCAUCUUUGAUCAACGAUGCUUUUGUUAGCUUAACUAACAAUUUUAUUAUGUGAUUGAAUUGUGAUCGAUCAAACUUAUUCUCUAGUGCUUUAAUUAAAAAAUAAAAUAAAAUCAAAAGAAAUAGAAUAAAAUACAUGUUUAAAUAGCAAGGAAAAAAAGGGUUUCUCCAUCUCAAAUCAAAAUCCCCAAUUUUUUUCCAACCCUAACUCCUUCUAACCCCUUUUUCUCUUAAAACCCUUUUUGCUCGUCACUUUCUCUUCACCAUAGCAUUCAAAGUUUUCCAUUGCUCUUCUCCAUGGGUGGCUUCUAACUUCGAAAUCCCUUUCAUCUCUCUCCAACAAAGCAUGUUUUAUUGUGGAUUGUGGUUCCAACGGCUAGUUGUUCUCCAUUGCUAGGUAGGUUUGGUUUUCCUUUCAAUCUAAGGUUUGAUUAUGGAAGAUUUCUCAAAUUCUUAUUCUUAUGGUUCCUAAGUUGAGUACUAGGAAGAGACUGUGAGUUACAAUCCAACAUUUUGAGAUACUCUUGCUAAAGUGGAUAGUGCAUGUCUUUGGUGUUAAGGUUUGAUUUUCUAUAUUUUGAUUCACCUAAGUCAUUGUAUCUAUUCAUAGAUUUGUUUUGGUUUAGGUGUUCGUGGUGCUCCUUUGGCAUAUUGGUAUUGAUCCUUCAAUGUUUGCAAAAUUUUUUGUUGGAGCUUGAAUGUGAUAUUUUUGCUUGCAAUGUGAUGCUUAAUUUUAGGUCUUUCAUAUUUCUAAAAGGUUGCUUUCAUAGAGCUCCUAUUCGAAUUUUUUUGUCUAAUCCCAUGGAUAGGUUGAGGGGGAGGAAGCUCAUAUUGAAUUUUUUCUUGAUCUAUUUUACAUGAAUAUUCAAUUUUUGUUAGAACAUCAUUGGUCUGUAUGAAUAUCCUCUCAUUUUUAUUGUUUCAUUAAUGUGUUUAUUGAGGAUCCUAUUUUUAGGUUUUUUGAACAUAUUUAUUUUUUCCCUUUGUCUCAUUCUAGGAGAAAAAGGGGGAGAAUUUUUGGAUGUGCAUAUUGUAUAUCUUGAGAAGAUAUUUUACAUAUUGGUUUCUAUAUUCUUUAUGCGCAGGUACUACUAACUAUUUUUGUAUGUCAAUCUUUGAUGACAAGUUGUAUAGUGUCUAGUUUUUAAGGAUGAGCGAGUGUGUACCUUAUAUGAGAGUGGGGUGGGGUAUACUCUUACUCAUCGGUGUUUUAAAGGGUUUUGUCCCAAAAUUGCCAAAGGGAGAGAUUGUAAGUGUAUUUUGUGUAUUGGCAAUUUUGGGUCAAAAUUCCCAUUGUGUCUUGUAGCUCAUAUUUUUCAAAUUCUCUCUUGGAUACUUGCCUUUUCCAAAUUAUUCGUAUUUGAAGAUGGCUAAAGGAAUUGGUAAGUGCAUUUGAGGUGAUGGAUGAUGGCAAAAAGUGAUCAAUCGUAUUUUAAAUUUUUAUCCUUUUAUUGAAAAAUGAUAUUGAAGCAUAAAAGUGUAAAACAUUGUGUUUAAAACAUUUGGAUCGAUUUCUAAUCGAUUGAACUAAAGAACAACAAUUUAUCUUAAACUUAGAUUUUUCAGUCUUGUUCGAUCGAUCAAAUUUCAAUCAUAUCUGUGAAUUUUCAUGAUUUUCUAAACAAAUCUCAACCAUUGGAUGAGUUUCAAAACCCUAAUACUUAAGCCCUCUUUCUAGAUGUGGAGAGAUGACUGUGAGAGUAAAAACCCUAGGGUUUUGAGCUUCAAGUUUCUUUUACUAUAUUGGGGAGUGUUUGCCUUGUGAGAAAAUUUAUGGAUUUGAAUUGAAAAUCAAAUUUAAAGUGAAAAAUCUUUAGUUCCAAAUGGGUUGAUUCAUUGUGUUUUUUGCUAAGUUAUUUUGGUAGUUUAGUUGUUUUUUGCUUAAUUUAAAAAUUUUUAAAGUUUUUAUUCUACUCUCCAUGGUUAUUAAGGAAAAAUUUUCAAACUAAAAUUGGAGAAAUUGAAUUUUUGUCCUUUUACUUGACUUAGAGUUUGUAUUAUGCUUACUAAAGUUGAUGAAUUGUUGAAACUUCUAUUGAAGUCAACCUUAGUUCUUCCACUUUAAGCUAUUCACACACUAUGCACAAUAGGUUCCGAUUAUAAGAUGAAAAAUUAUUUCCCUCUUGACUUAGGAAAAUUUUAGACUUCGUACCUUUGACCUCAUUUAAUAGUGUUGGGACACCUUGUAAAAGGCCAAUGAGUCUUUGAAGAAAAGAAAAAAAGAAAGAAAAAUGUUUGCUUGCCUUGAAACCCGAGCAAGGUCUGAGGGGUAUAUGGUGAAAAUCUUUAAAACCUGGUGCCCUAAGCCUUCAUUGGUUGGGAGUCACCAAUGGACCCCCGUUACAUGGACAAUUUAGAAAAGAAUACCUUUAAGCCUUGUACUCCUACAAUGAAAAAAAUUGUGAAAAAAUAGGUACGUUCUUAGCCUAUUGGAGGUUGAUCAGUUUGCUAAGCUUUGAAAAAAAUCUAGGUUGGGGGGAGAGAUUAGUUCAACAUACUAUAUUCGGAAACUAAUAAAUAACACUUAGAUUUUUGUGGAAGAGUAAGGUUUGGUCCUUUGGAAGUGGAAAUGAUUUUAAAGCUUCAAUUUGCAUAAGGCCUUCUCUUUAAGAAUUGUGAUUAGAAAAAUUAUUUGAUAACUCUUGUUGAAGUUUGAGUUUUAUUUCUUUAAUGUUCCAUGUGAGAGUUAGAUCAUCAUGCCACUUGAAAAUUGUUUUUUUUAUCAGCAUGAUGUUGUAAAUUAUAGUACUUUUUAUUUUUAUUUUUCUCUCCUUCAUUGCUAAGGGACUAGCAAUAUUCGGCUGGGGGGAGUGAUUACUACUCAAAAAGUGCUAUUUUAUAGCUUGGAAUUAACUCUUUUAAACACUUUUGAGUAGUAGUUAUUACCUUUUAACCCAAUUAACAUGUUAAGGACCCUUGCAAUCAUUUCUAAUCAAUUUGUGUUAAGUUUUGGUGUUUUGAUAUCUUUUUGAUCACUAAAGCAAUAUGAGAUUGAGGAGAGUUAUUUGGAAUCCUUGGCAAAGCAAUGGAAAGCACAAAAACAUGAAGAACCAAAGCUUUGAAGUCCUUUGCCAUAAGGAAAUCCGGAAUGCAAGGAGAGGAAGCAAAGAGAAAUCUGCCAUGAAGCAUUCUUGAUGACAGUCAUGUCAGCCACUUUUGGAGCACUUCCUAGAGUCCAAUUUAUGCAUGCUAUAUGUCAUUUUGAAGCUCAAGAAGUCAAAAAUCCAAUGAUUCAAACGGUAUGCAAUUUAGAGUUGAAAUGAAGGAGUUACAGCCAUUGCAAGCAGAUCACUCCAAGCUGAAGAAAGAAUUUUGCACAGCGUUGCGAAAUCACCCUUUUGCUGCGAAAUGAUUUCGCAGCCAUUUUGUACAGUGUUGUGGAUUUUCCCUUGAAGUUUCUCAGCACGUUGGAAGCCGAACACCGCAAACUGAAAGACCACUUCGCAUCGGUGCGAAAUCAGCCGUUUGCUGCGAAGUGAUUUCGCAGCCCUUUUUGUGCAUCUGCGAAAUCUCGCAGACCUUGUUUUCACCUGCGAAAUGGUCCUUAGUGCUUCCCGAUAUUUGCGACCGACACUUUUGGAUAUUUUGCUUCAGAUUUUUGAUGUCUAAAUCCCCAUUUUCUCCUUGUAACCCACCAAUUAUAGGAUUCCUUAGUUAUUAAGUUUGGAAAAUGGGUGAAUAACCUCAGAUAUUUUGUUUUGUAAUUUUCUUUAUAUAUAGCUCUCGGGAGCUUGUUCUCAUCAUGAUGUAAUCCAACGGGAUAUAGAUAUAUAAAUAUAUAGAAUAUACAGAGCCUUGCUCUGUUUUUUCCUUCUCUUUCAUUUUCAUUUUCUUGCUAACCAAACUCUGAGGAUUUUUCCUCAGAGGAUGAGAGGCUAAGCUUUUUGUCUCUUGGAGUGAAGAAAGCCGGGUAAGUUUCCACAUGCAUAAUUUGGAAGUUUUGUUGUUUUAGUUUUUAAUGAAGAGAAAGUGUGACCCGUUAAUGGUUUUUAUCUUUUUAGUUAACUUAAAACACCUUGAAGUCACUUAGGCCAACACUUGGUAAGGCAAGUGAUCUCCGUCCAUGGAGAUUCACUAGUUUAUCUCUUGCGAGCCUUUGGGAGGUGGUUUGAAGGUAGGAUUUUCUAGAAUAGCCAACACUUGGUAAGCUUUUGGACUCCAAGGAGACAUCUAUUAGUUAUCUCUUGCAAGCUUUUGACGGGUAAUCCAAGGUUAAAGAUCACCUUGAAUGGCAAGUGCUAGGUGAGAGGCAUGAGCCAUUGCAAGGUGCAUCAGUGAGAGGGAUUUAGUGUUUGAACCCAUUAAUGGGAAGCAUCUGUACAACACCGGUUGGAGAAGGAACUAUAUGUUAAUUCUCUAAUGCGAGGAAAAGAAACAAGUGACCGGAACUCUCCUUUUUGUAUGAGGAAUCUGAGCCUAGUGAUCUGAAACUCUAAGAAACAUUUUUCUUUGUAAGUAAAAUCAGUUACUAUUUUUGGUUAGUUUAAAACCAAACCUUUUUUAAUCAAACAUCUUUAUGUUUUCUUUUAAAGCUAACNNNNNNNNNNNNNNNNNNNNNNNNNNNNNNNNNNNNNNNNNNNNNNNNNNNNNNNNNNNNNNNNNNNNNNNNNNNNNNNNNNNNNNNNCCACUUCGCAUCGUGCGAAAUCAGCCGUUGCUGCGAAGUGAUUUCGCAGCCCUUUUUGUGCAUCUGCGAAAUCUCGCAGACCUUGUUUUCACCUGCGAAAUGGUCCUUAGUGCUUCCCGAUAUUUGCGACCGACACUUUUGGAUAUUUUGCUUCAGAUUUUUGAUGUCUAAAUCCCCAUUUUCUCCUUGUAACCCACCAAUUAUAGGAUUCCUUAGUUAUUAAGUUUGGAAAAUGGGUGAAUAACCUCAGAUAUUUUGUUUUGUAAUUUUCUUUAUAUAUAGCUCUCGGGAGCUUGUUCUCAUCAUGAUGUAAUCCAACGGGAUAUAGAUAUAUAAAUAUAUAGAAUAUACAGAGCCUUGCUCUGUUUUUUCCUUCUCUUUCAUUUUCAUUUUCUUGCUAACCAAACUCUGAGGAUUUUUCCUCAGAGGAUGAGAGGCUAAGCUUUUUGUCUCUUGGAGUGAAGAAAGCCGGGUAAGUUUCCACAUGCAUAAUUUGGAAGUUUUGUUGUUUUAGUUUUUAAUGAAGAGAAAGUGUGACCCGUUAAUGGUUUUUAUCUUUUUAGUUAACUUAAAACACCUUGAAGUCACUUAGGCCAACACUUGGUAAGGCAAGUGAUCUCCGUCCAUGGAGAUUCACUAGUUUAUCUCUUGCGAGCCUUUGGGAGGUGGUUUGAAGGUAGGAUUUUCUAGAAUAGCCAACACUUGGUAAGCUUUUGGACUCCACGGAGACAUCCAUUAGUUAUCUCUUGUGAGCAUUUGACGGGUAAUCCAAGGUUAAAGAUCACCUUGAAUGGCAAGUGCUAGGUGAGAGGUAUGAGCCAUUGCAAGGUGCAUCAGUGAGAGGGAUUUAGUGUUUGAACCCAUUAAUGGGAAGCAUCUGUACAACACCGGUUCGGGAAAUAACUAUAUGUUAAAUCCCCAAUGCGAGGAAAAGAAACAAGUGACCGAAACUCUCCUUUUUGUAUGAGGAAUCUGAGCCUAGUGAUCUGAAACUCAAAGAAACACUUUUCUUUGUAAGUAAAAUCAGUUACUAUUUUUGGUUAGUUUAAAACCGAACCUUUUUCAUUCAAACAUCUUUAUGUUUUCUUUUAAAGCUAACCUUGAAAUGAAAAGGCACCAAUUCAGCUUUGAAUUAAUAUCAUUUGCAAAGUGAAAACCCAUCCCAGUGAACGAUCCUAAAGCCACUAUGCUAUAGUAGCUUUGUCUUUGCUACCCUAGUUCAUGGUGUAAUAGGUUAUAAAUUUUGUUGAUUACUCCCUCAAUCAAGGAGCACCAGUUGGACACGAAUCAGCUGAGACACCAAUUGGGCACGAAUCAGCUGAGACACCAAUUGGGCACGAAUCAGCUUUCAUGCAUAUUGCUCUCAUAUCCAACUUAUUGGGGUGAAACCCAAAAUUCUUCUUAUGUGGACUCAAGAAGAAGCAAAGAUCANAGGUUGGAGUGGAUUCCAAGUGUUUUCCUAAAGAAGAAUGGUGAUAGCUGAAGCUUGAAGNNNNNNNNNNNNNNNNNNNNNNNNNNNNNNNNNNNNNNNNNNNNNNNNNNNNNNNNNNNNNNNNNNNNNNNNNNNNNNNNNNNNNNNNNNNNNNNNNNNNAAAGCUACUAUAGUAUAGUGGCUCUAGGAUCGUUCAUUGGGAUAGGUUUUCACUUUGCAAAUGAUAUUAACUCAAAACUGAAUUGGUGCCUUUUCAUUUCAAGGUUAGCUUUAAAAGAAAACAUAAAGAUGGUUGAAUGAAAAAGGUUCGGUUUUAAACUAACCAAAAAUAGUAACUGAUUUUACUUACAAAGAAAAGUGUUUCUUGGAGUUUCAGAUCACUAGGCUCAGAUUCCUCAUACAAAAAGGAGAGUUCCGGUCACUUGUUUCUUUUCCUCGCAUUGGGGAUUUAACAUAUAGUUAUUUCCCGAACCGGUGUUGUACAGAUGCUUCCCAUUAAUGGGUUCAAACACUAAAUCCCUCUCACUGAUGCACCUUGCAAUGGCUCAUACCUCUCACUUAGCACUUGCCAUUCAAGGUGAUCUUUAACCUUGGAUUACCCGUCAAAAGCUCACAAGAGAUAACUAAUGGAUGUCUCCGUGGAGUCCAAAAGCUUACCAAGUGUUGGCUAUUCUAGAAAAUCCUGCCUUUANNNNNNNNNNNNNNNNNNNNNNNNNNNNNNNNNNNNNNNNNNNNNNNNNNNNNNNNNNNNNNNNNNNNNNNNNNNNNNNNNNNNNNNNNNNNNNNNNNNNAAGUGAUCUCCGUCCAUGGAGAUUCACUAGUUUACCCUUUGCGAGCCUUUGGGAGGUGGUUUGAAGGUAGGAUUUUCUAGAAUAGCCAACACUUGGUAAGCUUUUGGACUCCAAGGAGACAUCUAUUAGUUAUCUCUUGCAAGCUUUUGACGGGUAAUCCAAGGUUAAAGAUCACCUUGAAUGGCAAGUGCUAGGUGAGAGGCAUGAGCCAUUGCAAGGUGCAUCAGUGAGAGGGAUUUAGUGUUUGAACCCAUUAAUGGGAAGCAUCUGUACAACACCGGUUGGAGAAGGAACUAUAUGUUAAUUCUCUAAUGCGAGGAAAAGAAACAAGUGACCGGAACUCUCCUUUUUGUAUGAGGAAUCUGAGCCUAGUGAUCUGAAACUCUAAGAAACAUUUUUCUUUGUAAGUAAAAUCAGUUACUAUUUUUGGUUAGUUUAAAACCAAACCUUUUUUAUUCAAACAUCUUUAUGUUUUCUUUUAAAGCUAACCUUGAAAUGAAAAGGCAUCAAUUCAACUUUGAAUUAAUAUCAUUUGCAAAGUGAAAACCCAUCCCAGUGAACGAUCCUAUAGCCACUAUGCUAUAGUAGCUUUGUCUUUGCUACCCUAGUUCAUGGUGUAAUAGGUUAUAAAUUUUGUUGAUUACUCCCUCAAUCAAGGAGCACCAGUUGGACACGAAUCAGCUGAGACACCAAUUGGGCACGAAUCAGCUGAGACACCAAUUGGGCACGAAUCAGCUUUCAUGCAUAUUGCUCUCAUAUCCAACUUAUUGGGGUGAAACCCAAAAUUCUUCUUAUGUGGACUCAAGAAGAAGCAAAGAUCAAAGGUUGGAGUGGAUUCCAAGUGUUUUCCUAAAGAAGAAUGGUGAUAGCUGAAGCUUGAAGGCUUCUAGGAAAGUGGUCCGGGAGAGGAUGAAAAACUUGGGCUAGGUAAAACAUUGAACUCAUUUAUUUUUUUUUAUUCAUAGUGGAUUAUUUAAUUUCUUCAGGCUUGCGGUUUUUAUUUUUAUUUUUAUCUCUUUAGAGGUUUUUCCCGUUAAACAAAUUGGGUGUCAUUGUCUCACCUUUCUAUCUUGUCUUUUGAUUCGCAUUUCAUGAGCUUGUGAUAUUUUUCAUUGCGUUAUGGUGAUUGAAUUAAUUGGAGUAUGAGCUAAAAUGUAUCUAUUGAAUCUUUGAAAGAACAAGAUAUAUAUAUAUAUAUGAGAAAACAAAGGCUAUGCUUAGUUAAGAAAAACACCCAAAAAUGAGGGGGGGGAGGGUGAAUUGGGUUUUUAAAAUCUUUUUUAUCACAACAAAUUUAAACAAAAUAUAAGCAAAGUAAAGAGAUAGAGUUUAGAGAAUUCAAACUCAGGUUUAUAGUGGUUCGGCACUUCCUUGCCUACGUCCACUCUCCUCAACCUUCUAACCAAGUGAGGGUUCCACUAACUUGAAGCUUCAACCAAGCUUCCAAUCUUCUUACACUUGGAUUCCGGCUCCAAUGGGCUCUUACACAACUUCUUUAAGAUUCAACCCUCUUGAAGGUUUUAACACUCAGAUUGUUACAAGAUAUAAUCACUCAACCUAGCUUAAAGAUGGCUCAAAUAUAAGACAAAGCUAGGACGACAAACAAGAGUGCACUAAAGGAUAUGCAAGUGGUGAUUUAAUGCACAAUGAAAGAAAUGAGAGCUUUUUGAUCAAGAACAGGUAGGUAGGCUUUGAAUGAAAGUGUUCUCUUAUUAAUAAAUGAAGUGGAGCUCUUAAUUAAUAAGUUUCUAAGCUCGGGAGUCAAAAAAAGCAAAAGACAACCUCGUCCGGUCGAGCUAGGGGUCGACCGGUUCACUAGCCGUUGGAGCAUUUAAUACAUGACAAGUUACCGUUGCCUUAACCAGACCUCGACCGGUACUCGACCGGACCUCGACCGGUACUUGACCGGACCUCAACUGGUAAGAGAAACACCUCGAUUGGGAAAAGAAGGCUACUGGGAGAGAGAGAAGAUUUUUGACCUCCUUCAACUGGUCCUCGAUCGGAUGACCACAACCGGUUGACCGGUUGAGCCUUUUUGGCCCCGAAAAACCUAUUUUUUGAUUCCUUUAUUUUCUAACACUUAGGCAAGGUCUUUAGGAAAAUUAUUAAGCCAAUUUUGAAACAUUUUGCCUAAGAUAAAUUAGUUAAAAACUCGGGUUUUAAUGACAUUGACGUUUUAAAUAAUAAACCGAGUUUUCUAAGAUGCAUGAAACGUAUGAAAAUCCUAAGUGCACUCAUGCAUUCAUCUUACAUUGGUUUCCUAUGAUCACAAGUCUUCCAAGCGUCUCGAUCUUGUAUCUAUUUGGUCAUUUGAUGAAUUUUCGAGUUUAUACUUGAGAUUCUUAAACAUUAAACCAAUUAGUCACUUAACCAUGGUUUGUUAUCACCAAAACCCAAUUAGGAGAACCCUUGGGCUAACAAUCUCCCCCUUUUUGAUGAUGACAAACCUUGGUUAUCUAGGAGAGAAAAAAAUCUCCCCCUCAAACCAAUCAUGGAUCAAUCAAACGAUUUUUAAUAGGAAGCAAUGUAAAAACACAAAAAUGAACAAUGGAUCAUAAAAAUAUCAUAUCAUAUAUUUAUAUGGAAGCCUCACAUGUACAAUAAGAUAGAUAUGAUAACAAUGACAUGCAUGAGGGUCUCCUAGAUCCUAUAAAUUUCUCCCCCUUUGGCAACAUAAAAAAGAAACGAAGGGGGAUGUCUAGAUAGUCUCAAGGUUGAGGGGGUGGAGGAGGAAACACAGAGUGGAGAUAUGCCAUCAUUUCCUCAUGCUGACUUUCCUGACGGCUCUCAAUACGAUCAAUGCGCUGCUGGAGAUGGUCGAAGGUAGCCUGCUGCUGAUCCAUACGCUCCUUUAUGCGCUCAAAUCGCUACUGGAAGUGAUCAAACCGAGAAGUGACUCCAGUUUGAUACUGAUCUAGGUGCUUCUCCAUAGAGUAGAAGCGAGAGUCAUGGACUAAGGCGAGCUUCUCCAUACGAGUCCCAAGAGAGCUGAUUUGAGCGGAGACAUCCAUCCAAGGCGCAUGAUUAGAAACGUGAGGUGCCUGAGAUGGUAGCUCGGUAAAUGAUGGUUGAGAUGAAGAACCUGCUGUGAAAGACGGCUCAGUCAUCAUAGGCUCUGAGAAGGUAGCCUCAACAUGAAUGCCCUCUGACUGAGGUGGAAGCGGAAUGUCAUGCUUGGUCCCUCUCUGCUCAAAGUCCCUCUAAGGGUCCAACCCAUCCUCCAUCUCUCUGAUCUCGGCCUCCUCUUCUACUUUGGGAUGUAUCUGAUCAUGUCCCUGGGCCUGUCGCUCGGCUUUCCUAACCUAGGAGCCAUCAGGUGCCUUCUUGAACUUCAUGCGUCCCAAAGACUGCUCAUCAUAGUGUCAUAGCUGGUGGGGGCCUCGAAAUCAUCUCUCUACUCAAGUCGACCCGGUAUCCUUGAAAACUCGGGUAAGGAAGCGGCCGUAUGGGAAUACUCGGGUAGUGCUCUCAACGUAGGAGAUCAUAUGCAUCAUCAUCAGAUAUCCCACGUGAAUCCGUCUCCCGGUGAGGAUCGAGUCCACAAUAAAAGCCUCGAGGUAGGAGACCUCGUCUCGAUGUCCUCCACGUGGUAAGAGAAUAGAGUAGAUCAUGUGGUGAAGGACUCGGCUGGUCACGAUCAGGCUGUGAGCCGAUGGUUUGCCCAUCCCCUAGGGAUCGACGAGUCCGCAUAAUCUCUGAACAGCCUCUCUAGGCUCUAAUCCCAGCACAGUGGGCCACGCCUUGGCCUCAUACACUCGGAGUCCAAUCGAAGGGAUGUCGAGAAUGCGGUAGAUGCUCUCGGGACUCAAUCGGAUCUCAACUCCUCUCACAGUAGAUAAUACGGGUCCUCCAAGCCCGUAGGUUGCCUGGGAAUAAAAAGCCCGCACCAGAGUCGGGAAGAUCUGCUUAGAAAUCGUCACUACGGGCAGUCAUCCCAUCCGUCCGAAUAGCCCCUCAAACUCGAAGUGCUGAAGUUGGGAGAAAUUGACACUUCUCCCUAGGACGAGUUUCCUCUGGGCAAAUUUUUGCUUGUAGCGCUGAUAGUCUUCAUUCGAACUGAAGAGUGCCGUGUCAAACCUCACCUUUUGGUGAGCCUCCGUUUGCUCGGGCUGAGAUGGCUUAGCAGGACGCUUUCCCUGAGCCUUGGAGGUGCUCGUCUCUCUCCUUGGUGCCAUCCAAUGAAACGAAAAAGGAGAAAAAGGAGUCCAAAGAGAGAAGGAAAUGAGACAAGAAGGAGCAAUCACAAACCUGAAGCCCUAGGCGCAUAGAGAAGAAACUAAAACAACCCUGAGGCGCGCAAUGCAAAGAGAAGACGCUCCCACAAGCUAAAACCCUGGGUUUCAAAUCCAAGCCCUAGCUCAAAUCUGUCCCAAAAGCAAGUCCAAGCCUUCAAUCAGUCCAAAAUCCAACCCAAAAUGGCCUCUGGAAGCAGGUAGGUGAAGGGGCGACAAGCUAUGGAAGAGAAAAUGUGAGAAAUGAAGCGUGGAAUGGGGUGUUUUAAAUUCCCAGCCCGACGAACCGCCUGGUCAGCUGUCAACGGUCAUGGUCAACGGUCAAUUUUUUUAAAAAAUUUGUUGCAUUUUCUUGUCUCAUGAUCUUCCCCCUACCUUUUUCAGUUGAAAUCCCCAAUUUUUUAUGUCCAAUGCCGUGGGAAUUUUGAUUUUUGGUCAAAAUUUGACCUCUUUCCUAUGAUUAUUUCUAUAUGAUGCAAAUGAUAUGAAAUUCACGCAAUCAUAGGGUAUAAUCAAGAGUAAUAUCAACAAGAAUUCAUCAAGCAAUCAUUUGAUCAUAAAGAAAUCACCCAUAAUUGUCUUCUAAUAUCAACAAAUUGCUUUACCCUUAGGGGUUUUGUAAAAAUAUCAGCAAGUUGAUCUUUUGUGCUUACAAAUUCAAGUGUAAUGUCACCCUUUUGUGCAUGGUCUCUAAGAAAAUGAUGUCUUAUCUCUAUAUGCUUAGUCCUAGAGUAUUGUACCAGAUUUUUUGAAAUGUUUAUGGCACUAGUGUUAUCACAUUUUAUAGGAACAUGCUCAAAAAUCAAAUUGAAAUCACUAAGUGUUUGUUUCAUCCAAAGGAUUUGUACACAACAUAAACCGGUUGCUAUGUAUUCGGCUUCCGUCGUAGACAAAGCUACCGAAUUUUGCUUCUUAUUAUGCCAUGAAACAAGUGAGUGUCCUAGGAAAUGACAAGUGCCACUAGUGCUUUUCCUCUCAACUUUAUAACCGGUAAAGUUGGCAUCCGAGUAUCCAAUUAAUUUAAAGUUAUCACCCUUAGGAUACCAUAGGCCUAUGUCCAUAGUCCCUUUUAAAUAUCUAAGAAUUUGUUUUACAACACUUAAAUGAGAUUCCUUAGGACAAGAUUGAAAUCUAGCACACAAGCAUACACUAUACAUGAUGUCGGGUCUACUAGCGGUCAAAUAUAGCAAAGAACCUAUCAUGCCUCUAUAUAUAGUUGAGUUGAUGAGCUUACAUUUCUCAUCCAUGUCAAGCUUGAUGGAUGAACUCAUUGGAGUCUUCAUUGUUUUAGCUUCUUCCAUAUUGAACCUUUUGAGGAGAUCUCUUAUAUACUUUUGAUUGAUGAAGGUUCCUUCCUUUAGUUGCUUGAUUUGAAGUCCAAGGAAGAAUUUAAGUUCUCCCAUCAUGCUCAUUUCGAACUCACUAUGCAUGCAUUUAGAGAAUUCUUCACAAAGAGAGACAUUAGUAGCUCCAAAAAUGAUAUCAUCAACGUAUAUUUGUACUAAGAGCAUGUCAUUAUCUUUGGUUUUUAUGAAAAGAGUUGCGUCAAUUUUUCCCAUUUUAAAACCCUUUUUCAAAAGAAAUUUACUCAAUCUUUCAUACCAUGCUCUAGGUGCUUGUUUCAAACCAUAAAGUGCCUUUUUAAGUCUAAAAACAUGAUUAGGAAAGUUAAAACUUUGAAAACCGGGUGGUUGUUCAACAUAUACCUCUUCAUUUAUAAAGCCAUUUAAGAAAGCACUUUUCACAUCCAUUUGAUAUAAAACAAAGUCUUUAAAACAUGCAAAGGCAAGUAGCAUCCUAAUGGCUUCCAAUCUAGCUACGGGAGCAAAGGUUUCUUCAUAAUCUAUCCCUUCUUCUUGAUUAAAACCUUGGGCUACCAAUCUUGCUUUAUUCCUUAUAAUUAUGCCAUUUUCAUCCAUUUUGUUUCUAAAGAUCCAUCUAGUUCCAAUAACACUUUACUUUUGAGGUCUUGGUACUAAUUCCCAUACUUCACUUCUUUCAAAUUGGUUUAACUCUUCUUGCAUGGCAAUCAUCCAAUUUUCAUCAACUAGAGCAUCUUUUAUAUUUUUAGGUUCAAUUUGAGAGAUAAAAGCAAGAUUAUUGCAAAUAUUUGUAAGGGAUGAUCUAGUUCUUACCCCACUAGAUGGAUUACCUAUAAUUUGAUCUUGUGGGUGGUUGAUGACAAACUUCCAAUCUUUAGGGAGGUCUUGGCUUGAUUCACCUUGCACUUGUUGAGAAGGAGGUAGUGCCAAAGGUGAUUCCUCUUUCUUAGGAUCCUCUACAACUUCUUGUUGCCUUCUAUCUUCAAUUUGUAAUUUUCCCAUGGAGGUCUCCAAGCCAAUGUUGCCUUGACCAAUGAUCCUUCCUUUUUGAAUUGUCUCCAAAGGUAACGUAUCCUUCCUUUCUUUUUGUAAGGAAAGCGAACUUGGAUUCAUCCCUGGUCAUGUGCCUUAAGCAUCCAAUAUCCAAGAACCACUUAUCCUUCUUUGAUCCCUACAAAAUAAAAUUUAAGUUGAUUUAGGUACCCAUAUCUUUUUGGGUCCUUGAGGGUUAGUGACAUUGGAUUUCUCAACCCAAACCUUUUUAGCUUUAGCAUUACCAUUUCUUAAGGGACAUGUACUACUAAUGUGCCCUUCUCUUCCACAAAAGUUGCAAGUGGUGGAAGGACUUGCACUUGCGGAUUCUUUUACAAAGUAGUUUUUAAAAUACUUUUGAUUUUUUUAUGAUUUGAAUCUUAGCCCUUGUUUGUCAAAGACACAUUUUUGGCUAGCUAAGAUCAUUUCAAAAGAUUUUUGUCCACAAGAGAAAAUUGAAAGAGAGGAGGUUAACCAUUCAUUUUUCUUUUUCAAAAUCUCAUUUUCACUCCUCAAAAUCUCAUUUUCCUUUUCAAGAUGAGUUUUAGAUAUUUCAACAAUUGAAAAUUUUUCUUUCACUUCUUCAAGUUCUUAAAUUUUCUUUUUAAGAGAAUUAUUUUUUAAACUAAGUUUUUCAAAAUCCUCAUAUAAUUCUUCAAAAACAUCAUGCAUAUCUUCAUCACUCAAGUUAGAGUUUACCUCAUCUAGAUCAUCUAUUGCCAUGAAGCACAUGUUUGCCACUUCCUUCUCAUUUUCUUCUUCGGAGGAUUCUUCACUUUCACUCCAAGUGGCCAUCAUUGUCUUCUUCAUUUUUCUCUUGGCUUCACUCUUGUAGAGAGGACAAUCAUAUUUGAUGUGUCCCAGUUUUUUGCACUUGAAGCAUGUCAAAUCUCUUUUCUCUUCCCAUUUCUCCUUGUCACCAUGGGAUAAAGAUUCCUUUUUAGAAGAAUCCCUUCUAGAGGUGAAUUUCCUUCCUCUAAACCUUUCACCUCUCAUGUAUUUGUUGAGUUUUCUUGUGAUGAGGGCUAGAUCAUCAUCUUCAUCACUUGGCUUUUCUUCUUCAACAUCUUCUUCUUCCUUGGUUGUAGCUUUGAGGGCUAUGCUCUUCUUUUUUUUGUCUUUACCCUCUUGUAGCUUCUUUGUCAAAUUGAUCUCAUAUGUCAUUAAUGACCCUAUGAGCUCUUCCAUAGGUAGCUUAGUCAAGUCUUUUACUUCUUGAAUUACGGUGACCUUGGUGUGCCACUUUAAUGGGAAAGACCUCAAUAUCUUCAUCACCUUCUCAGAUUCCUUGUAGGUCUUUCCCAAAGCUUCAAGACCAUUGACAAUGUCGGUGAACCUAGUAAUCAUCUCAACAAUAGUCUCAGUUUCUUUCAUUGAAAACAAUUCAUAGUUAUGAACAAGUAAAUUGAUUUUUGACUCUUUCACUUGAUUAGUUCCUUCAUGAGUUAUUUCUAGCAACCUCCAAAUUUUUUUAGCCGAUUUGCAUUGACAUAUUCUAUUAUAUUCAUUUAUAUCCAUAGCACAUUGCAAAGUAAAAACGACUUUAGCAUUUAAUUGAAAGUUUAUUCUAUCAAGCUCAUUCCAUUCUUGCUUGGGUUUUGGAACCAAAGCUCUAUCCACUAGUUUAGUGGGAAAAGUUGGGCCAUCUUCAAUGACAUCCCAUACAUCUAAAUCAGUAGAUUGCAAAUACCAAGUCAUUCUAGUUUUCCAAUAGGGAUAGUCUGUUCCUGUAAAGAAUGAAGCUCUAUGUUUUGAAAAAUUUUCUGCUUGGGAUGAGCUUGAUGGAAUAGCCAUUUCCUCUUAGACGAUUAAGUCUUAAAAGAAGAGGUCUAGCUCUGAUACCAAUUGAGAAAACAAAGGCUAUGUUUAGUUAAGAAAAACACCCAAAAGAAGGAGAGGGGGAGGGGGGGUGAAUUGGGUUUUUAAAAUCUUUUUUAUCACAACAAAUUUAAACAAAAUAUAAGCAAAGUAAAGAGAUAGAGUUUAGAGAAUUCAAACUCGGGUUUAUAGUGGUUCGACACUUCCUUGCCUACGUCCACUCUCCUCAACCUCCUAACCGAGUGAGGGUUCCACUAACUUGAAGCUUCAACCAAGCUUCCAAUCUUCUUACACUUGGAUUCCGGCUCCAAUGGCCUCUUACACAACUUCUUCAAGAUUCAACCCUCUUAAAGUUUUAACACUCAGAUUGUUACAAGAUAUAAUCACUCAACCUAGCUUAAAGAUGGCUGAAAUACAAGACAAAGCUAGGAUGACAAACAAGAGUGCACUAAAGGAUAUGCAAGUGGUGAUUUAAUGCACAAUGAAAUAAAUGAGAGCUUUUUGAUCAAGAACAGGUAGGUAGGCUUUGAAUGCAAGUGUUCUCUUAUUAAUAAAUGAAGUGGAGCUCUCAAUUUAUAGGUUUCUAAGCUCGGGAGUCAAAAAAAGCAAAAGGCAACCUCGUCCGGUCGAGCUAGGGGUCGACCGGUUCACUAGCCGUUGGAGCAUUUAAUGCAUGACAGGUUACUGUUGCCUCAACCGGACCUCGACCAGUACUCGACCGAACCUCAACCGGUAAGAGAAACACCUUGACCGGGAAAAGAAGGCUACUGGGAGAGAGAGAAGAUUUUUGACCUCCCUCCACCAAUCCUCGACUGGACGACCACAAUCGGUUGACCGGUUCCUCAACCAGUUGACCGGUUGGCCAUAGCUUCGACCGGUUGAGCCUUUUUGGCCUCGAAAAACCUAUUUUUUGAUUCCUUUCUUUUCUAACAUUUAGGCAAGGUCUUUAGGAAAAUUAUUAAGCCAAUUUUGAAACAUUUUGCCUAAGGUAAAUUAGUUAAAAACUCGGGUUUUAAUGACAUCGACGUUUUAAAUAAUAAACCGAGUUUUCUAAGAUGCAUGAAACGUAUGAAAAUCCUAAGUGCACUCAUGCAUUCAUCUUACAUUGGUUUCCUAUGAUCACAAGUCUUCCAAGCGUUUUGAUCUUGUAUCUGUUUGGUCCUUUGAUGAAUUUUCAAGUUUAUACCUAAGAUUCUUAAACAUUAAACCAAUUAGUCACUUAACCAUGGUUUAUUAUCAUCAAAACCCGAUUAGGAGAACCCUUGAGCUAACAAUUAUGAGCUAAAAUGUAUCUAUUGAAUCUUUGAAAGAACAAGAUAUAUAUAUGUGUUAGUUGUUGUUGAUUGAUGACAAAGGGCAUGUGAAAAAGUAUUUUUAUAUUGAUGCAAUGUUUUAUAUAUUAGGUUUGGGGAGUGGUCUCAUUUGUAUGUGACUUGCAUUGAAUAACCUAUUUAGGAAAGUGUUGGUGCAUCCAUUGUUGCUUGCAAUUCACUUGUUUAUUCAUAAGGUUGAAAAGGAAAAUCAUUGUAUAAGGGAAGAACAAGGGAAUUGUAAGUAUUUGUGAGAUAGCAUCUCUAAUUGUUUUAAAAAACACCUAUCCACCGCCUCCAUCCCUCUAGGUGUUAUCCAUAAGUGAGAUUCAUCUUUAGAAAUCACAAACAUGGCAAUACUCAUUCAAUAAAAAUGCUAAUUUUUUUUACAAAGAUUAUUUUAUUUCGAUUAAAUGUGCUAAUUACAUGGCAUAAAUUUAGUUGAUGAGCAUACUUGGCCACAUGCUUCUUGACUGAAAUGAACUAGUCAUGACAUUAACUUUCAAUAUCCUCAGUGCUCGUUAGCACAUUUACAAGGAGAGAAGUAAAGCACUACAAACCACAAUUUUUCUUAGAGGUUUUCAAAUAAUAUUAUGAAAUUUGAAACUCAAAAUCUUCUUACUAUUUACACAACUACAUAAAACAUAUAAAAUUUCAAAAAUUCAAACAUAAAGCUACUAAAUAUGUAUAAAUGAAGAUAUGUGAUAUCAAAUUUAUAUUACCAAACAUAUAUACUUAAAAAGAUUGAUGUUAGACCUUGCAUGAAGAACAUGAAGAUAUUUAGUGUCAUUGCUUCCCACAAAUAAGAGCCACCAUAAAGUUUUACUUUAGGGAUUUUAUAAGUUUAUUUAUUUAUUUCAUUAUUCUUUUUCUUCUUUCUCUUUUUGUAAUCUAAUCAGAAUAUUUCAUAAAUACAUUUUCCCAUUCCUAAAAUGCCUAAAGAAAUAGUAAAAUCUUUUAUUAAGGUUUAUAAAAGAGCCAACUUCAUCAAGUUGAUAUAAUGUUUUAUAAAAUGACUUGAACUUCAAAAGCUAAUAUCCAUGUCCACUCUUUGUUUUGAAAUAAGUGGUUGGGAUAUCUCUAAUUGUUGAUUUGAGUUAAAACAUUAUAUCAAAGUGUGGGAAGGAAUGAAUACUAAUGCCUUAAAAUGUUGGAAAAUUAAUUAAACUUCCUAUUCACAACUUUGUUGACUUACUAAUUCAACAACCACUUUUUCUUUCUUAUUUGUCAUUAUUAAAUUUGAUUUUGGAUCAAGAUGUCUUAAUCAAUUUAUAUAAGCUGAAUUAAAAGCCAUCUUAUAUAGAAACGUUAAAUGUUUAUAAUUUAUAAAAUUGGAGAUUUUUUAGAAUUUCAAUUAACUGAAUGAUAAUGAUAUGGAAGUAUAUAGUUGGAUACAAUUGCUAGGAAGUCAUAUAAAACUAAUAAUAUGUAUGAAUUGCUUAUAAGAAGUCAAAAACUUCUUUAAUUUGUUCAAAGUUUAAUAAGAAUUUAUGUAUCUAUUCCAAUAAUUUAUUAAAAGAACUCACAAAAAGAAAAAGUUUAAUAUAAAAGUCAUAAAUAAAAAUAGUACUUAUCUUAAAAACCCUAUAUAGAAUGAGAUUUAAUUGAAUUUAAGCACUAAAAAACACAACAUUUAAAGGUUAAAUUAAAUAUAAUUUUUGUUAGUGUUUAAGACAACUAUCAAACAUAGUUCCAUACUUUUUCAUAUUGAUUUUUAUCUAUAUUAAGAAAAAGUGAAAAGAUGUAUGCCUUUCCUCAAAUGGCAUGUUGAAAACAUUUUUCAUUUUUUAUUUAAGAUUCAAUAUCAAAAUAAUCUUUACUUCUAAUAAAAAUAAUUUGAAAAUAGAUGUCAGAAUGGAAGAUUCAAGCCCAUUACUGUUGAAUGCCAAAUGUACAAGUUAAAAGUUAAAUUUGAAGGCAGGUAAAUACCUCCAUUCCUUAGUUCUCUUAGCAAAAUGCAGUACCUCAAUCUCUCGCAUGCCAAUUUGGCUGAAACUGUUCCCACUCAACUCAGAAAAUCUUUCCAACUUGCUUUCCCUUGAUCUCAGCCUCAAUGUUUUUGUUCAAUCCGGAGACCUUGCGUGGCUUUCACAUAUUUUGUCUUUAAGAUUCCUUGACUUGAGUUUGGUUGAUCUUGGUGCAGCCAUCCAAUGGUCACAAGCAAUCAAUAAACUCCAUUCUCUCGUUCACUUAAACUUAAAUGGUUGUGUCCUCCUACCCUUCACCACUGGGUCUCUUUUCCAUGCUAAUUUCUCUGCCCCUUUUGUUUUCCUUGAUCUUUCCAACAAUUAUCUGAUCAAUUCUUCAAUAUACCUAUAGCUGUUCAAAUUCAGUACCACCCUUGUUCAUCUUGAUCUCUCUAGCAAUGAUCUAAAUGGUUCGAUUCUGGAUGGUUUUGGGAACAUGAUUUCUCUUGCAUAUCUGGACCUUAGAUAUUGUGCAUUUGAAGGUGAGAUUCUGUUCGCAUUUGGGGACAUGAGAGCCCUUGAAUAUCUUGAUAUCUCUGGACAUGGGCUUCAUGGUGAGAUUCCAAACAAAUUUGGGAACAUGACUUUUCUUACAUAUAUUGCUCUCUUUUCCAAUCAACUUCAAGAAGGGAUUCUGGAUGCAAUUGGAGACCUGGCUUCUCUUACAUAUCUUGAACUCUUUGUCAAUCAACUUAAAGCUCUUCCCAAGACAUUCGGUAGAAGCCUUGUUCAAUGUUGAUAUCUCUUUCAAUCAACUUAGGGGUUCAAUUCCAAACACAUUUGGUAACAUGGUUUCUCUUGAAGAACUCUUUCUAUCUCACAAUGAACUUGAAGGUGAGAUUCCAAAAUCCUUUGGUAGAAGGCUUGUUAUUCUUGAUCUCUCAUCGAAUCGACUAUAUGGCUCAAUUCCAGAUACAGUUGGGAGCAUGGUUUCUUUUGAAAGCCUUUCUCUCUUUGAAUCAACUCCAAAGUAAGAUUCUAAAAUCCUUGAGUAAUUUAUGUAAUUUUCAAGCAUUAGAGUUGGAUAGCAACAAUCUCAUCAUUGGAAAACUUCCAAAAGAUUUGUUAGCUUGCGCAAAUGGUACAUUAUGACCUUUUUCUUCAUUUGAUUACCGAUUUAGUGGAUCAGUUCCUUAUCUCACUGGAUCUUUGUCCUUGGAAAGGUUAUAUCUUGAUUAUAAUCAACUAAAUGGAACUUUACCUAAAAGUAUUGGGUAGUUAGCUGAGCUUGUUUGGUUUGAUAUUGGUUCAAAAUUAUUGCAAGGUACCAUCUCUGAAGCUCAUCUCUUUAAUCUAUCCAACUUGGCCCAUUUAGGCUUAUCUUCCAACUCUCUCACUUUCAACAUGCGCUUGGAGUGGGUUCCUCCAUUUCAUCUGGUUUCUCUACUAUUAGCCUCCUGCAAAUUGGGACCUCCUUUUCCUAGAUGGCUUCAAACUCAAAAGCAUUUGACAGAGUUUGAUCUCUUCAAUUCUGACAUUUCAGAUAUCCUCCUAGACUGGUUUUGGAAUUUAACUUUCGAAUGUCAAUAGCUUAAAUUUUCCAACAAUCAUAUCAGAGGGGUCUUACCUAAUUUAUCAUCACAAUUUGGUUCUUUUCUAGACAUAGAUGUAAGCUCAAACUACUUUGAGGUUUCAAUACCGCAACUUCCUUCUAGUGUGACAAGGUUGGAUCUUUGCAAUGACAAGUUAUCAGGGUCCAUUUCUUUAUUGUGUACAGUUGCUAAUUCAUACCUUGUCUAUCUUGAUGUCUCAAACAACUUAUUAACAAGGGCCCUGCCCAAUUAUUGUCCACAGUGGGAAAGUUUGGUAGUCCUUAAUUUGGUAAAUAAUCAAUUUUUUGGGAGGAUUCCAAAUUCUUUAGGUCCUUUGCAAUUGAUUCAAGCAUUGCAUUUGCAUAACAAUAAUUUAAUCAGAGAAUUGCCCUUAUCUUUGAAGAAUUGCAUAAGUUUGAGGUUUAUUAAUUGGAGAAAAAAUAUGUUAUAUGAGAAAAUCCCCCCAUGGAUAGGAGGAAGCCUCCCAAAUUUAACUAUUAUAAAUCUACAAACUAAUAGAUUCAGUGGAAGUAUAUGUUCAUAGUUAUGUCAAUUGAAAAAAAUUCAAAUAUUGAACCUCUCAAGUUAUAAUAUAUCAGGUAUCAUACCAAGAUGUCUUAGUUAUUUCAUUGCCAUGACUAAAAAAAAAAAAAGAGUUUGAUUGUUGCUCAUAAUUAUUCAUUUGGGUCAUAUGCUCAUAAAGGUCCAACGAAGUACUUUAAGAAUGAGUCAUACGUUGAUGAGGCAUUGUUUAAUUGGAAAGAAAGUGAAUUUGAAUACAAGAAUAUUCUUGGACUUAUAAAGAGCAUUGAUAUUUCAAGCAACAAUCUAUUUGGGGAGAUUCCAAAAGAGAUUACUGAUCUUCUUGAAUUAGUUUCAUUAAACGUAUCAAGAAACAAUUUGACUACAUUGAUCCCUGCAAUGAUUGGUCAAUUGAAAUCCUUAGAGGUCCUUGAUUUGUUUCAAAAUCAACUUUUUGGUGAAAUUCCAACUAGCCCUUCGAAAAUAAGCAAUCUUAGUGUCUUAGAUCUCUCUAACAAUAAUUAUUUGGUAAAAUUCCACAAGGUACUCAACUUCAAAGCUUCAAUACUUCCUCUUAUAAGGGAAAUCCUACACUUUGUGGAUUACCUUUUCUGAAAAAGUGUCUAGAAGGUAAAAUAGAGUAAGAUUGUCACAUCAUAGCAUUGAAGACAAAUUUCAACAAGAUGGAAAUGAUAUGUGGUUUUAUAUUAGCAUUGCUCUUGAAUUCAUUGUUAGAUUUUGAAGUGUGGAACUUUACUACUCAACAACUCAUUGAGAUAUGCCUAUUUCUGCUUCUUGAAUAAAAUAAAAGAUUGGUUUCAUGUGACUAUAGCAAUAAAUAUUGCUAGAGUAAAGAGUCUUUGAAGCUAAAUGGUAUAACUUUCACUCAAUCUCUUACCCUUUCUCUUAUUUGUACUUGUUUCAAAGGCCAAUGGUUGUGAAAGAAAAGUAGGCCUUUACUACUAUUUUUGGGAUAAAUAAUUUUAAGGUUUAUAAACCAAGAAUAUUAUUGCUAAAGCAAAUGUUCUUUCCAUGCAACUGAGUAAAAAGAUUUUUUCAAACUAAUGGACAUUAUUUUUUACUUGGUUUUGUAGGAUCUCAAUUUCAUUUUCUUCUCAUAUUAGCAUGUUGUGGCUUAUUAUCUCAUGUGGAUAGAUGAAUGCAUGGUUGAAUGCAAAUAGCUUUAUCAUUUCAAAUUCUCAUCCUAUAAUUGAUUUUGGGAUGUAAUAGGUUUCUCACUUUAUUUUGAUGAUUUCUUGUAUGAUUAAGAUGCUUACUUUAUUUGAUCUUUUAUUUAGAAAUUUUGGGACACUACUCUUAUAUAAUGCUGCUAUUUUAUAUUUUGAUGCUUUGAGACUAAUCAAAAUAUUGUUGUGGAAAUAAAUUAAGCCAUAUUAGUGUCAAACCUUUUAAUAAAAAUUAUUACUUCUUUCUCUCCAAAAAGAAAAAAUAAUUUCAAUUGUCAAAAUUUGAACAAAAUAUAAGAUAAUGGUAGAGUCAUAAUUUUAACACUAAAAAAAAAAGUAUUUAUGAUCUACUUUUCUGUCUUCUUUUCGUUCACUCUCUUAGCACUCUUACAAAUGUAAAGAUCUUUCUAUUUUAAUCUUCAAAGCUUUCUCACAUGACACUAUCUUGUUUGCGAAAGUAAAAAUGGAUUUGUGAAAUUGAUAGUGAUAUAUCAUUUUUUUUUGUAGUGGAGUGUAGUUAACUUUUUAUAUUGGGAUGUUAGGUCAACUUCAAAAUUAAAUUUUGAGGAUGUCAAUAUUUUUCUAUGGAUCUUAAUGGUCUCUAUUUGAGCUCAUACCCUUUAGUGGCAUGUUGUUUUGAGAUAUAUUUGGGUUUUUAUUAAUAUGUAUGCAUAACGGUGUUUUGGUAAAAAAUAUAGGAUUACAUAAGAGCUUAUAAAUGGUUCUAAUUAAUUAAUUCAAGUCCAAGAGGGUAAUUAAUUAAUUAGGACUUAGGGGGCUUGUAGACCCUCAAUUUUGUCCCUCGACACUGGCAUUUAUCCUUCUGGUGUCACAUUCACCCAUCGUUCGCAUAUGGCACCACUAGGGCCCCUUUUGGGCUUGGUCGGUGUCCGAGCCUCAUGUGGGUUUGUGUGUGGUCCAUUGUGUUGCAUAUGUGGUUCAUUUCGGAGGGUCACCAUGGCCAUGUUCCUAGUCGUUCAUAUCACGCUAUAGGAAGGAAGUGGGGUCAUCCCGAUGUUUUAGCUUAGUUGGGGUUUAUAGGGGCAUGUUGAGGUUCGGAGCACUCGGGCUUGUUUUGAUCGUAUCUCCCUCAUCCAAACUCGGAAUCAAGAACCGUUUCUUUUUAUGGAUUCCUUAUUCUUCCAGGAACAUUCUGUAAAAUUUUCAAAAUUUUUUUGCAACCGAUCAGCUGGUUGGCAGCCGGUUCAGCCGGUUCAGCCGGUUCAUCGAGUCAGCCGGUGUAGAACACUGAUUUUUGGUAAUUGUUUUGAUCAUAUCUCCCUUUUCCAAACUUGGAAUCAUGCACCAUUUUUUUAAUGGAUUCCUUACUCUACUAGGAACAUUCUAUCAAAUUUUCAGAAUUUUUUUCCAUCGGUUCGACCAGUUGGCAUCCGGUUUGGCCGGUUCAGCCGGUUCAUUGAGUCAGCUGAGGUAAAACACUAAUUCUAGUAAUUUUGAGGCCCAAAUCCUACAUGGCUCAGGCCCAUAAGCUCCAGAUCGGUUUUGGGCAAUGUUGUGGGUCCAUUUUAAGCCUUGGUUUGGGUUCCUUGCAGCCCACCACAAAUCCAUAUGGAUUCUUGGUGGUGAAGCAAGCUUAAAAAACUGAAGGGAGUGAGCUGGCCUUAUAAGUCUAAGAGAAGUAAUGAGGGGUGUGGUUCCCAUUCUGAUAAAGGGAAUUUCGGUGCUGAAGGAGAAGGAACCCAGGAGGCUCAAAUGCUAAGAGGGGUAUGAGUAUAAAAGGUGAGAGGAUAGGAGAGCAAAAGACCUUUUGACAUUUUGGAGAGGGGAAAUUUUGCUGGUGAGAAAAACAAAAGGUCAGUAACAUCUUUUGAGUUGAGAGUGUGGGGGAAAGCUUCAGCACUGUGGUUUUUUUGAAGAGGAGAGUGACAGCCUCUCAGUUUUGGAAGUCAUCAUCAGCAUGCACGGAUCAUAUUUGGUGGAGAUUCUGAGGUAAGCACGCUGAAUUUUCUUUACUUACAGUUUAUCUUCCUCGUCUUCAUAUGCUUUUUCUCCUUCCUCAUCAUCUUUUCUUCCCUUUGAUAUGAAGAUUGUAUUGCUUGGGUGUGGAUAAUAAAGGCCACACAUGAUUGUUGUUGUUUGCUUCCUUGAUCACUUAGGAACUUUCUGACCGAAUUAGGGAUUUUCUACCAACCGGCUGAACCAGUUUGAAACGGUUCAACCGGUUCAGCACCAUAGCUGGCAGCCUCUAUUAGCCAUGAGGAACACUUGCCUUUCUUUGUCUGGUUCUCACUCAUCUGGGCUCAGAAGUGAGAACCGUUUCUUUUGUUUGCUUCCUUAAUCACUUAGGAACUUUCUGAUCGAAUUUGGGAUUUUUUAUCAACCGGCUGGACCGGUUGGGAACUGGUUCAACCGGUUCAGCACCAUAGCUGGCAGCCUCUGUCAGCCAUGAGGAACACUUGCCUUUCUUUGUCUGGUUCUCACUCAUCCAGGCUUGGAAUCGAGAACCGUUUAUUUUGUUUUCUUCCUUAAUUACUUAGGAACUUUCUGACCAAAAUUGGGAUUUUUUACCAACCGGCUGAACCAGUUUGGAACCGGUUCAACCGGUUCAGCACCAUAGCUGGCAGCCUCUGUCAGCCAUGAGGAACACUUACCUUUCUUUGUCUGGUUCUCACUCAUCCAGGCUUGGAAUCGAGAACCGUUUAUUUUGUUUUCUUCCUUAAUUACUUAGGAACUUUCUGACCAAAAUUGGGAUUUUUUACCAACCGGCUGAACCAGUUUGGAACCGGUUCAACCGGUUCAGCACCAUAGCUGGCAGCCUCUGUCAGCCAUGAGGAACACUUACCUUUCUUUGUCUGGUUCUCACUCAUCCGGGAUCGGAAUUGAGAACCGUUGCUUUUGUUUGCUUUCUCAAUCAUUAGGAACUUUCUGACCAAAUUUAGGAUUUUUUAUCAAUCGGCUGAACAGGUUGGGAACCAGUUCAACCGAUUCAGCACCAUAGCUGGCUGCCUCUGUCAGCCAUGAGGAACACCUGCCUUUCUUUGUCUGGUUCUCACUCAUCCGGGCUCGGGAUUGAGUGUCGUUUCUUUUGCUUGAAUCCUCACUCAUUUAGGAGUUUUCUAGAAAAAUUUGGGAAUUCUUCUCAAUAGGUUGUACCAGUUGAGAACUAGUUCAACCUGUUCUGCUGGAGGACUUUAGGUAGCCCUCGAUUUUGGCAUUUUUCGAGCCCUUAUCCAUGGGGGCUCAAACCCAUUUGCUAUAGGGCACUUAUGAGCCAUCUUGAAGGUUUAAGUCAGUGUUUGAUUUCAGUUAGUAUGGGCAAUUUUGAAGUUAUGGGUGGUGUGGUCUAGAUGAGUCUAGUUCGAUUUGUAUGACAUUUGGGGAGUCCCUUACCUCAUUUCAACCAGCUAUCUUCCUUUUUGGCACAAUCUUUGAUGCUUGAUUUUGAAUACAUGUUGCGUGACUGACUCACCCUUUACUGCAGCGGUUGGCUAGGGACCGCAGGUACGCAUCGUUGGCUUUGGUUGUUGAAUUCAUAUGCAUGCAUGGUGCUUAAUCUUGAAUGUUUGUUAUGUGUUUAUCUGUGUUUGGCUGACCUUUUAUGCAGUGCUUGGCUAGGGACCAUAGGUACACACCCAUUGCUUUGUUUGGUUGAAUUCAUAUGCAUGCCAAAUAUCAAUUAGGAUUGUGUGAUUCAUGACAUCUAUUUAGCCUAGGAUUUCAUUUGACCUUUGACCCAUAUGCUCCCACAUACCCAAUUCAUUAGUAGAGACCAAGUUUCGGGCCUAGAGGGGUGCUACCUCGCAUGAGGUACCUUCCCAACGGGUAACCUAAUCCCCGGACCCAGAAUCUAGUUUUCGUAGACCGCUUUUUCCAUACUGAGGUCAUUAAGGGUUUUUGUUCUUACUUAAUUUUCCCCAUUUAAAAAAAAAAAAUAUAAAGUAAGUGGCGACUCCAAACAACACCGUUCCUCACCGGGGGCGGGUUUUUCAAAACUGGAAAACACCAACUUUUUUUCAUUUCUUUCUUUUCUUUUAAAAGCGAGUCGCGUCGGUCCGGUGGAUCGGGUGAGGGUCCACAGGGCUAGAUUAAGUAAUUCAAGUUCAAGUUGGACUCAAGUCAUUUAAGCCCACAAGGAAGUCUAUAUAAACCUUUUUAGGGUUUAUAGUUAGAUACUUGAUUUGAUUAAUGUCCUUUAGAAAUAAAACCUUAACCUCCAUCCACUCUAAAGAGUAGUUCACCCUUCCAUUGCCAAGAUCUAAGAGAGAGUCAUUAGACAGAAGAUCUCUAAGUUUUCGAGGUUAUCUAUAGCAAUUAGAAAAAUGAUUUAGGAACAUCCAAAUCCAAAGGUAUGAGUUUCUAACACCCUAGAAGUUUUAAUGACUAAUAUUUUCUAUUGCACCUAGGAUAUUAGAUGCAUGCACCCCUUUUUGUGGUCCAAGGCUUGGAUUGGUAUUUAGAUCCAAUAAUCUACAAUAUCUAAUUUUUCUUUUACAAUUGUUCCAUCACUUGAAUUAGAAGUUCAAUUUUUUUUUAGUCCUUUAUGGUUUGGACAAUUUCUCAUGUAGUACUCUUUUUUGUUUCAAUUAAAACACUUGUUGUUUCCUUUGGACUUUGAUUUAGAUUAGGAAUGAUUUUUUCUACAAUUAUUUUUCUUUCCUGAUCUCCCUCUAGUCACCAAAACUUCACUUGAACUUUCUUCUUUACUCAUAGACACCUUUUUUUUCAACUCCUUUUGAAUUCAAGGUUGCUUUAACAUCCCUUAUGGAGAGAGUAUCUCUAUCAUACAUCAUGGUAUCAAUUAAAUGCUCAUAAGAAUUUUGUAAGGAACACAUCAAAAUUAUAAUUUGGUCUUCAUUAUCAGUUCUAACAUUAAUAUUUCUUAAAUUCAUAAUAGUUUUAUUAAACUUAUCAAGAUAGUCUUUAAUAGUCAUACUUACUUUCAUUUGAAGAGGUACAACUGCUUCUUCAUAUAUGAGUGAUUUGAUAGUAACAAGAGUGAAAUUGUUUCUUCGAUCAAACUUCUCAAUAUCAAAGUUUGCCAUCAUUUUAGAACCAAUAACUUGAACUUUGAUAACGAUUUAUUAUGAAAAAACCAUAAGAAAGACUAAUAAUAGUGAACAAAAAAUAAGAGAACAAACAUAGAAAACACAUGAAAUACAUAAUAAUUUAUAUGGUUCAGCCUAAAGCCUAUAUUCAUGAACGAAGAUAAAGAAGAAUUUGCACUAUUGUUGAAGGAGAUUACAACUCUAGAGUUGUCAAAUCCCAAAGUCCCAAUACUAAGAUUUCAUAUAAGAAACUAAUUCUAUAAUUGUCAAAGAUACUUAUUUCAAUAUUUCCUUUUUCACAAUAGGAAAAUAUAUCAUAUGGGGAAAGUAUCAAUAACUAGUCAAUUGACUCAAAUAGAAUUUGAGAGACUUCUCAACACAAGGGACAAAUUCAUGACCAUUCUAAAAAAUCUAGACUUUGAUAUUAUGUCAAGCUAUAUAUUUAAUGUAAAACUAAGCUUAAAAUUUUUUACACUAGUGACCUAAAUAUUAUAUCAUUCUCUUUCUUUAUUUUAUUCUUUUUUAUUUUUAUCUUUAUUUUAAGGCAUUUUCCAUAUCCCAACUACUGCCAACCCGUAAAUUCAUUUUGAUUUAUUUUAUUUUUUCUUGCUUUGAUUUUAAUAGUAAUGGUUGUUUUUGAAAUUUGGAUUGUUGAAUUAAUAUAAAAUUCGAGCUUUGUUAAUUAGUAUGAAAUUUGAGUUAAUUUGUUGUUGGUAAAUUAAUAUGAAAUUUAGGAUAAUUUAUUGUUGGUGAAUUAAUUUGGAAUUUGCUCAUUUAGGUUAGAAUAAUUGAUAAUUUAUAUGAUUGUGCUCAUUUGAAUUAUUUAAUUUGGAUAUGAUAUAAUAUUGUGGUAUAUUUUGGAUGUGGGUUUACAUAUUAAAUUGGGUUGAUUUUGGUUGUGGAUUUAGGUUUGUAUAUAAAUUAGGCUUGAAUUAUGAGAUAUUAAGUUUAGGUCUAAUGGAAUUUAUUUUAAUUUAUCAUGUUUUGAGUUUGAUUAAUUGAGUUUAUAUUUUAGUUAUUAAUUUGUAAAUUUUGGAUCAGGGUUUAUAACAUGUAAGAUAUUUUUGUUGGGUUAUAUUUAGUAAUUUGGGCCCAUUUUUAAUUGGUGAAAUUUGAAGUUUGAAUUUGGGUUUGAAUAAUUAUUUGGGACUCUACACAUUUCUGGAUAUUUAUAUUUGAGCUAUUUUUGUUUUUAUAUGGACUCAUUUUGCAAUCUUGUUGGCUGAGUACGAAUUUAUGACACGUGGAGCACGAAAUUUCAUGAAAGAAAGUGAGAAUCAAAAAGCUGUAGGAAGACAUUAAGCUUGUUGUAAACUUAUUUGGGUACACGUAUUAUUUCCCACUACUAUUUGGUUUUAUUUUUAUUGAUUUCUAUAAAUAUUUGUUCGUAUAUAUUUACUUGUUGUGUACAGAAUUGAAUAUCGAAUAAAUUAGAAAUUUUGUUUAAAUAAGAGGAAUAAUUCAAUAAAUAUGUUUAAUAAAAUAAUAAUUUUAAAAUAUUCUUCUUAAUAAAAGAAAUUUUUUUAUUAAUAAAAAUUCAUGAAAAUGCUUUUAGAAAAAGAGAAAAAGAUUGUUUUUAAUAGAAUUUGAAAAUUUGUUUUUAAUAACAAUUGUCCAAAGAUUUAUUUGUUUAAUAAAAAUUGUCUAAAAAUUGUUUUGUAAAUAAAAUUGUCUCAAAAAUUAAUUCUUUUAUACAAUUGUCCAAAAAAUGUUUUUUUUAAUAAAUUCUUUUUCCUUAAUUAAAAUGGGAUUAACAAAAUUUUUUUUUUCCUUUUAAUUAAAAAUUCUUUUGCAAAUAAAGUUGUUAUUUUUAUUUAUUUUUUUAAUAAUUUAUAUAAGUCACUUUUCUUAAAUGAAAACAAAUUGAAAUAUUUUUGUAAAUAAAAUUAUCAAAAUUCAUUCAUUUUUUUUUUUUUGUAAAAGCAAAUAAAAAUUUUUAUGCCCAAAUUGAAAUUUUGUAAUAAUUUCUUUUGAUACAAUAAGGGUAAAUAACUUUUUUUUGAAAAUUGAAUACAAAUGAAAUUGAGAAAAUAAAUUGACUCUUUUUUGUAAAUAAAAAAAUUAUUGAAAUCAGUAAUUCAAAAUCAUUUUUAAUAAAAUCCUUUGAAAUUUCUUGAAAACUAAUUUUUUUAAUCUCUUUGUUUAUUUAGUUCAAUAAAUCAUUUUGCAUAAUUCUCUUAUUAUUUAUUUUGUAUAUUCUUGUAAUUAGAUUUUAUCAGUAUUUUUGUUUAUAUUGAUUUUCACUAUGACUUGUACAUAUUCAUUUGCAUGAUUAUUUUUCUUGGUAUGCAUAAUUAAUUAAUUAAUUGUUACAAUUCCCUUAAUUUGUUUAGUAGAGGUUGUACGUAUACAAACUUAGAGGGGUGUUACGGCUCACCACCGUACCUUCCUAAUAGGUAACCUGACCCCCAAACCUGACUUUGGUUUUCCACAGACCUAUUUUUCCUUCAGAGUCACACUUAGAGUUUUCAUUUCUUAUUUUAUUUUUCCCUUUAAAAAUAAAACAAAAAUAAGUGGUGACUCCAAGUCUUUUUUUAAAAAAUAAAAUUUUCACCAAAUGAAUAAAAAGCGAGUUUCACCAUCAAAUGGGAAUGCAUCGAGCAAAAUGCGGGGUCCACACUAGUAUUAACAUUAUGGAUAUUCUACAUAAGAAAGAAAUAGAGAAGCAAAAUAGAAGAAUUAAAAACAAAAUAAAGGAGAAAUAACAAAUGGGUUAAGAUUUUAUGACCUUUUAUAUAUGUUUUUACAAAUUUAUUCUCAUCUUUUCUCUUCUAUGUGGUAGGGCUAAACCUGAAUAAUUAAGCUUGAUAUAUGUUAUUAGCUUAGUUCUUGAUAGUUUAAAAUUUUAGAUCAAUUUAUAGCUUAAUACAUUAUAUUAAAACGUUGUUUUGGGGUCUUUAAGAUGAGCUUAAAAGCAUAUAAUAUUUUUUGAAUAAUAUGCAUUAUAAUUAAUUAAUCUUGUUUACUAUUUUUCACAAUAAACCAAAUAUGAAAAUUUGGAUUUUUCUUUUUUCUUUCCUAACACUUAUUCUUUCCAUUACCUGAACAAUAUUCCUAGACUUUAUUUAAAUAACAGAAAGCACUAAGAAAAAGAAAAAUGUGAAAAAAGAAAUCUAAAUUUUUUUUUGUUUGAUUUAUCACAUAGUGUAUUAAGGAAAAUCAUAUGCAAUAGUAGUUAAUUGAAGAUUCAUAUUUUUAAAGUUGUCAUUCUUUGAAAAUUUUAAGAAGAAAAAAAGAAAAAUAAAUUUAAGGUUAUAAGAAAAAUGUACUAAUUAGUUUAAAUCAAAGUUUUAUUUUUCCUUUAGUUUGUUUUUUUUUUUUUUCAAAUUUUUCACAUUACAUUCUUUCUCACUAAAUUUCCCCAAAACUCUUCAAGAUCUAAAGGACAACACUAAGUGGCAAGGAAAAUCAAGUAAGAAAAAGAAGAAAUAUACAAAUAGUACUUUGAUGUGGAACAAUUUGGAAAAAGAAAAAAAAAAGGAUUCAAUUAAUUAAUGGCAAGUCAAAGGGUUUUAUUAAUUUAAUCAGAAGUCACAAGCUAUCCAUAGUAUCCACCAAAAAAACCUUAAUCAUUGAUAUACCAAUAGAAUAGUUGUACUUCGAAUAUUUGGAAUGCAAAACUUAAAUUAUUUAAGCAAUUGCAUACAAUGGCCAUGAGAAAGAAAUUGCAUACCUCGACUCUAUGAUAGAAUAAAAAUAUUUAAUAGAGAAGACCUCAUUCCUAGAAGCCAUCCAUGUCAUUCUAUCCUUCUAUUCCCUCUUCACAAACCUACUUGGUAGCCUUAAGAAGAAAGCCUCUAAAUCAUCUCUCUCUUAGUCAUUCAAGUCACACAUAAAUUCUCAUCACUGUACCACAUAACCUUUCAAAACUUCACCCUCUUCUCUUUUCCCACCUCAAAGUAUACUACUACCAACCAUGUCUCAUCCCUUUCUAAUGUUUUUCCAAACUCCAACUCCAUAUCCUUCCCUCAAUUUGUAAGAAUACCAACCCCCUUUCUCCUUACCAUACUUUCUAAAAUGACCAUUUUCCGAAAGGCUUCUCCUUCUUAGGCAUCUCCAACACUAUUUUUCCCAUGAGAGGUCUAUUAAGCGCAUAAACAAUUAGUCAUUUCAUUGGAUGCAUCAUUUUUUCUAAAGCUCUUUCUCCCCCAAAGGAAGUCUUUUUGAAUUUUCUCAAUCCUCAAUCUAACCUUUCUGGACAUGCUAAAUAAGGACAUGAAAUAAACAAGUAAACUCGAUGAUUUACUUUGAAUUAUUUAAAAUUUCAAGAGAUCAUGACCUAUCUAAACCAUAUAAUGUGUGUGCAUGUGCCUAUGACCAAAAUAGAAAUUAGCAAAACAUAGUGAAGAGUGUAUUCAUUGUACAUUAUAUACAUGAAUUAUAGUCAUCUCAUGUGAUGUAUAUUGUCUAAAAUAAAUGGACAAAAGAUUAAUUAUUCCUAUCUUAUGGCAAAGGUGAACUUGCUAUCAAAUAUGCUCUUGUGCUCUUACCUCCUUACAAUUGCCAUAAGGGUCAGGGAAUUAAAAGGAUACACAGGUAUACAGAUAUACAAAUACAAAUAAUUUAUUCUAUCUGACAAGUGUAAGUUUUCUCAUAACUAGAUUGCUACCCAAGAAUCUCCUAUGCUAUGACUACCUUGCACUUGGCAUAGGGACUGAAGGUUUAUAUGUGAACAUAUAUAGUCACCUAAAAUGCCCAGGUCACCAUUAGGGUUGAAAAAGAAUAAUUUUUUUUUUACAUUAUAACCCUCAUAUAUUCAAGGGUAAACCUGAAUAGUAUACAGAAGAUUUUGACAACAUGACCUAAGUGCUUAAUACAAUAAGGAACAAAGAUCCAUGUUGAUUACAAACUAUCAAACAUUGUAAUAUUUUCUAAUUAAUGGUCAAAGACCUCAAGCAAGUCACUACAAGAAAGUCAGAUAUGGUCAUGUAGUUUUAGGAGGAGUUGGUAAAAUCUACAACAAAAGAGUAUAUAUAGUUGCAUAACAAUUUCAGUCGCAACUAAUGAAACACAGUGUCAGUUCUAUAGUUGUGGGAAUAAUUAAGUCGUAGUGAAAGGAAUUUUCCGCCAGACCUAUGGUUGUGGGAUUAAUUAAGCCACAUGGGAAGGAAUUUCCUGCUAGACCUAUGGUUAUGAGAUUAAUUGAGCUGCAGGUAAUGGCAUGGACUAUGAUUACUGGAGUGAUUAGAAGCAACUCUAAAUUCCCCUUUUCAGGCAGGACAAAGGUGGCCACUAUUAUAUAUGGCUUAGUAGAUCCACUACCCUAACAUCACUACAUAUACUUCCCUACAUUUCUCUCCCGCUCACCGCACUGCCAAACCCAUUUCUACUUACCUCCAUUAUUAAACCCAUUUCUCCUUGCUUGCCAAACCCAUUGUGGGUGCCAAUGUGAGAUUAAGAACCCUACAUUUCUGCUUGCUUGUACUUCCCUUUUGUUUCACUCAUUGUUCUUUCAACUAGACAUCAUUUUAUUUUAUUUUAUUUUUUCUGAUUUCACUCUCUGGUUUCUUGCUUCUCGCCUACCAUAUGAUUUUCUAGGGUUUCGAGUAAAGGAUUAUGGUCUUUGGGUAUGACUUCUCCAUCAACCAAAUAUGCAAUUUGUCAUAAUUGAUCAUCCUACAAUUAUGCGUAUUGUUCAAACUUGCAUUUUUAGAUCUUUAGAACCUUGUUCAUGUAACUUUUGAUUUUUCCUGAAUUCAACCAUUUAUUUUUAUGUUGGAUCUAAGCUUUGUGUUAAUCAAACCAAAUCAAGUAUGAUAUUGUUAACUAGAAAACAAUCAGCAAUUGUUUGUCCAAUCCAUGGUGGAAUAUUUCUUGAAAAUCUAUUGCCCCUGAGACCAAGACUAUGGAUGUUGGUGCAAGUUUGCAAGGUAGUAGGAAGUUCCCCGAAAAGAUCAUUGUUGCUCAACCUUAAAAAUGUUAGGUAGGUUAGAGAACCCACAAAAGUUGGCUACUCACCAGAUAAGUUAUUGUUCAAUAGGUCUACAUGCAUCACCAGAUUAGGAACGCCAUUCCACAAUGCAGGAAUUUCUCACUAAACCAUUUAGUUUAUCAAUGGACACAGGAUAUGAGAGAGAUCUAACUUUGUCAGCAUGGGCAUUCUUUCCCUAAUAUCACUAGGAAUUGGUCUGGAAAACGAAUUAUUCUCAAAAAUAGUCUACUUACAUUUGAUGACCAAAGUGGCAGAGGACCAUUGAAAUGGUUCACAUUCAAAUAAACAGAGAAUUGAGGGGCAAACUGUAAUGAUUUUGGAAAUCUGCCACUUAAUUGAUUAUAGCCCAAGUCCGGCUAUUUGAUCAAAUUGUAUGUCUAACAUCCAAAACCAGUUUGUAUUAGAGUGUUAGGCUGAUUUUAGUAUUAGUACUAGGCCCAGUACUUGUAUUUUUUGAAAAAUGGGCAAUCAUAAAUUUUCUGAUCAACUAUCAUUAGUUGUUCUCAGUUAAAUUUCCAAUGAGAUCAAUGGUGGGGCAUCAUAUUUGUUAAUCAGAAUUGGAUUUUUUUUUAAUCUUUGAAUACAAAUGGUUGCAUUCUCUUAAUUGUUGUUUGAAAAUGGUUAUCAUAUACGAAAUGAAUCCUGUACUAUUGUACAUAAAAUGAAAAUGACAUGUUAUAAAUUUUGUUCAUAGAUAUCCCACAUAUGAUGGCAACCCAAUACUUUCUGCAUAAAUUGGUAUUGGUCCAUGCAUCAUAUUAAGGUUACUUGGUGGUGAGCUUUUGCAAGUUUUCAUCUUUCUUGUUGUCCCUUAUUUCGGGUAUAAAUAAGGUGAAAAAUGUUGGUCAGGUGUUUGUUAGGACUUAGGACCAUGUUAGGAUCGACGACUUGGAAUUUCUUUAUUUUCAGUUCACCUAUAUUUGGAAUGUCUGCUGAUCAUACUUGUUUUGGGAGUUGGAUUGACUCUCUUGUUUCCUGUGCUUUAAUGAACUAGGUUCCGGUCACGUGCGCCCCCACUCGAUCGGCGAGACUCGCUUUUUAUUGGUGAAAAAUUAAUUUUGGAAAAAAAGUCGGAGUCGCCACUUAUUUUAUUUUUAUUUUAAAAGGAAAAUAAAACAAGAAAGAAAAACCCUAAAAUGUGACUCCAUAAUUUUUGGAAAAAUCAUGUCUUUGAACAGCCCGAGUCUAGGUCUGAGGAUCAGGUUACCUAUUGGGAAGGUACCUCUAAAAGGUAGCACCCCUCUAAGCCCUAUAAAGGUCUCUACUGACUAAGUUGAGGGAAACGUGACAAUUAAAUGGAUGAUCAUGGAUACCUAAGUAAGCAAGGGGUUUUCAAAAAAAAAAAAAACUAUGUCAAGCAAGAAAGUCUGAUCAUAGGAGAGAGUCGAAGUGCGUACCUAAACGGCUUCUCAAGCGCUAUCAUGAAACAUAAAAGUUAGUAUAGAGAUACAUCACACAACAUGUGCUUUUGUCAAAGAUAAUCAAGCAAGCAUCAAAUAUAUAUCAAGGUAAUCAAACAGGAUGGCAAGCAUGGGCAUAGUACGCAAUGACAAUCAUAUUCAUAGGGUUUAGAAAGUGGGUAUUAGGGAACGUACCUGGAUAGUAUAGAUAACUCCUAAUGCGCUUCCUCAGGACAUGGGGGGGUUAAAUAAUAAAUAGUAAAAUAAGAAAUCCUAACAUGCGUAUCUAAUUGGCAUAGCAAAAAUGAUCAAAGAAUACGAAAUCAUCAAUUAUCACACACAUCUUAUAUACAAUUCCAAAAAAAUAGAUAGAUAUGAUUACGACAAAUAGCAAGGAUAGUAGCAAAAAUAAGUUUUGAAAAGAUUUUCUUAUGUAGAGGUUUCAACAAUUCCUCAAUUGAUUUACAUGAAUUUAGCCCAGAAUUAUCCCAUUUAUAUGGGACCACAAGCUUUGAUUCGUGUCUAAUUUAAAACCAAAAUUUUCGUUAAAACCCGAGAAAGAUGCAAACUGAUCAAAAAAUGGUUGCAUAUUAUUUAAAGAAAAUGGGGUUUUUGAUUCAAAGAACUCUAAAUGAACUUUUUAAAAUAGGUUUUUAUAAGGAACAUUUUGAGAAGAGUAUUUUAUUUUAAAGGGAAAGACAUUAUUCACAAACAAAUGAUUCGCAAAGAUCAAAUAUAGGCAACCCAAAAUAAAAACAAAAUCACAAAGUAAAAUUUUCUCAGUAAUCAACAAAACUAAUAAAGGUGAGGGUAGAGACCAAUCUUCAUGAUUUUCCAAUGGCCUCUAAAAAUUAAACUUCACAAAAAACUAUCAAAGCAAUAAACUAAAUGACUUUAGAUCAGAUAAGAUUAGAAGAUAUUAAUCAGGAGUUAAAAAUGGGGAAUCAAACACAUGAGAAUAAUAAAAAACUAACAUAAGACCAAUUAAGUUGAUUAACUAAAAUUUUAGAGAAACAUAUGAACUAAAUUAUGAUCAAUUCAAGAAUGAAAAUUUAUAUAUUUAAGAUAGAAAUAAUGCAACUUAAGAUCAAUUAAACAAGUUAUUUAAAGCUUUGAAAAACAUACAAACUAAAAGUGGAUCAACCAAGAAAUAAAAUUAAUAAAUUCAGAAUAUGAAAAUGACAUGGAACCAAUCAACUUAAACAACUCAAGUCCUAAAAACUCAUGUACUAAAAAGACGAAUAAAAAAUAAGAUUAAUAUUUUAAAACAUGAAUUCAAUCGCAUAGGAUCAAUUAAACUAAUAAAUUAAAAUCAACGAAUGCAUUUAAACUAAAAACGAAUUAAAAUUAAAGUAAUUGGAAUUAAAAAAAACACAAACUUUAUCUAGCGUGAUUAUUUAAACUAAAAACAAAUUAAAAUCCAACUAAUUAGGAUCACUAACACAUUCAAAUUAAAUCAUAAGCUAAAAUUAAAUUAAUCCAGAAUUAAAAAAAUAAACUUUAUCUCUCAAAUUUUUUUAACUAAUAAAUUAAGAUGGACAAAUGCGUUUAAACUAAAAACAAAUUAAAAUUGAACUAACUAGAAAUAAAAGAGAGACAUUUAAUCUAAGAAAAAUAAAAGAUUGUACGAAUCGAGAUUUAAAAGAAUUUAUCACAAACAAUUAAUUAAAUCAAUAAACUAAAAACCCAAACUAAAAAAAAGAAAUACUGUAUCAAAAACCGAAAACUAACCUGUAUUGCGUAGGAAAAAUACUCUCUUGAUGUAUCAAAAUGGCAACUCAAUUAGUGUUUGAAGUCCUCUGCUGCUCCCCAAAAAACUCUUGUGCGUGUCCUCUCUGAAAAAAAAUUCCUCUCUCUCUGCCAAAGAAAUAAAAUUCCUCGCGUGUUCUCUCUGCCAAAAAAUCCCUCCCCCCCGUGUCUGUGUUCUCUCUUACUUCUUCAUCAAUUUUCAACAGUUGAAGACCCUCGUCAAAUGCACAUAUAUUUAACAGAAUAUUCAGUCACUCUGGAGUCAUAAUUUCAUCCACUAUUCUACCAUAAUUUUUAGCUCACUUAUCAAUGCUCCUUCACCAAAUUUCCAACACAUUUCAUUGUGAAUUUUCAGCCAUGAAAAAAGCUUCCAUUCACAGUCACAAUUCUCGUGUGUCCACCACAAAAUUCAGUUUUCAAGAAUUCACCUUUUGCAUGAAACUACCAUCAAAGGAAUUCUCCAUAUGCAACCAUAUAUUCCGUGAUUCAUCCAUGGAGAUUUAUAAAUUCAAGGCCAUUAUCUCCAUUAAGCUAUUUUAAAAUUCAUCCAUGGAGAUUUAUAAAUUCAAGGCCAUUAUCUCCAUUAAGCCGUUAUAAAAGUCAUCCAUGGAGAUUUUAUAUGCAAGGCCAUUGAAACCUGAUUGGAAUCAAGAAAUUAAUAUUCACAAAGUGGCUGCCCAUUCUCCAUCAGAAUCAAAGUGAUAACACAGCUGAAAGUGAAUGAAAGCCUUUCCCUUUAACCAAGACAUCAACACGGCUGAAUGCGUAUAGAAUCUUCUUCAUUAAAUCAAGGCGUCAACACGCGUAAAGGGGAUGAAAUUCCUGCCCGCUUCGAUGGAGAUCUCCCCUCCUUCCCAGAAUAGUGCAGCUGAGUUCCAACCUCCCACCUCAAAAAUUUAAAUGUCUCCGACCUGUUGUGUGUGUAGCUCUCCCGAUCUGACCUGUGCGCGUGUUCUUAGAAAAUCAGAAUUGUGCGUGGGCUCCUUCAUGCGGUUGUGGAGACUUCCUGAAGUGGUGUGUGGCUGUUGGUGCGUGGUCCCCAUGCUUGAGAUUCAACUAAAAAACAUUAUGUCUAUGAUAGGUACACAAAAAUAAUUAAGACAUCAGUUUACACAAUUAAUCAUCAAUCUCAUGCAAUAUUCUAUCAAAUAAAUAAAUAAAAACAAAUAACUAACCAAAUAAUAAUAAAUAAACAAGUAAAUAAAUAAAUAAAAUAAAAUAGAUAAAUCAAUAAAUAAGAAAUCGAGUACAUGCAAACAUUAAAAGUGCAAAUCAUGCAAAUUAUGUAAGUCAUGUAGGAAUUACCGAAAAGGUGACAUAGGUAGGCCAGGAUGCCUAAGUGGACCUAAAGUGAGUGUGCGUAGGCUAGAAGGUGCCAAGGUGGGUCUAAGCGGGUCAAGGUGAAUCUAAGUGGGCCUAAGGUGGUGCUCAAUGGGCCAAGUGUAUCUAAAAACUAUCCUAAAAAUGAAUGAAACGCCUAAUUCUAAAUUAAGGCUGCCAAGGGUCACAAUAAGGGGUCAGAUAAUCCCUCGACCAAAGUCUCCGAGGUGGCUUAAAAAAGGUAAGUAGUAUGAGUAGCUAUGGGCCACCAAGGAACUACUGUAAAGUAUCGAAUAAGUAUCUAAUAGGACAUGUGCUAGGAGGACAAAAUUGAGGGUCUACAAAUAUGCCCCUCUUCAGUAGAGAUCACGGGUGUAAGGAAUGUGAGUAAAAAAAAAUGAAUAAUGAGUGGAAUGAAGUGAACUAUAUCGAAGAACUAAAGAAGGACCAGAGAUUUUGUCUUAGCACAUGACGAGAGUAAGGUCGGAACAUGGGCUGCAACGACAAGGAUGGAACAACUCUACGUGGGGGAAUGGUAGUAAAGAGAGAAAGGUAUGUGACGAGUAGCACAAAGAUGGAAAGAGAUGAAAAGGAUGACUCAAAGUCAUGAAUGAGGUGAAUAACUCUAUGUCAUGGACAAGAUGAAUGACUUUGGGUCAAAAAUAGGACAAACGACUCUAGAUCGGAAAUAGGAUAAACGACUCUGGGUCAUGAGCUCAGGGCUAUAAAUGCUAAGAAUGACUCUGGGUCAUAAAUGAGAAAAAUGACUCUAGGUCGUGAGCUCUGGGCUCUAAAUGGAAAAGAAAUGACUCUGGGUCAAGAACUCAAGGCUCUAAAUGGGUAGUUGAUCAGGAUGCUUUCCGGCUCAUGGUGUCGGGUCGAGGCCACUCACAAGUGGCUAUGAUGAUGAAAACGAAACAUCUCAGGGGUGUGAAGGAUGCAAAUGACUCUGGGUCAUGAGCUCAGGGCUUAGGGUGCUAUGGAUGACUCUGGGUUAUGAUGCAAUAAGUAACUCAGGGUUACGAUGAAUAACUUAGGGAUCAUCAUGACCCAGGCAAAGUUAAUCUAAGAGAUCGAUUAUUCCCAAUGAAAAGUAUAGUUGCAGGACAUGACCCUAUCCUCCUGCAUGAGUCCUCUGGCAAACCUGAUCUAGAGUUGAGUACUGAAUCCCACACCUCUUGUGCUCCCCAAAAAUAGUGUUCCUCAUGCAAAACAAAAUAAAAUGAAAUUAGAAAUUAAGAGCCAAGAGAAUAAACUAAUGAAAAUCAUUAGAUUGGUAAUAAAAUAAAAUAUGAUUUAAAAGAAAAGAAAGGGAAAAGUGAGACCAGAUUAUUCCAUCAUUCAAUCAAGGGUUAUUUGCACAUCUUGGAGUCUAAACAAUUCAAGCAAUUUCCUAUUAGAUAAGUGAACAAAUAAAAUAAAAUAGUAAUAAUAAUAAUAAUGACAAUGAUAAUAAUAAAAAAAUAAAGAGUAAAAAUGAAAAUGAAUAAACAAAAUAAAUAUAACUAUUGAAUGCCUGCAAUAAUGAUAAUAAUAAUAAUAAAAGUUAAGCCCGAUGAAGUGUUUAAACGGGCCUAAGUGGGUGCCUAAUGAACUAAGCGUCCUAAAGUGAUCGGGAUAUUGUCUAACUGACCUAAACAUGCCUAAGAACUAUCCUAAAAAGGAAUGAAGAGCUUAAGUCUAAAUCAAAACUACCAAGGGUCACAAUAAGGGGUUAGGCAAUCCCUGAACCAAAGUCUUCGAGUGGCUCAAAAAAGGUAAGUAAUAUGAGUAGCUAUGGGCCACCAAGGAACUACUGUAAAGUAUCGAAUACGUAUCGAAUAGGACAUGUGCUAGGAGGACAAAAUUAAGGGUCUAUAGGAUUCUUAAAGAUUAUAGGGUGUUCAUAUGGAAGUUCAAGGUUCUUUAGCUUCUUUGACCAAGAAGAAGAACAACAACACCAAGUAAGUAAAGUUCAAGAGAAGGAAUAAGAGAUUAAGCUCAAGGGCGAGUGAUUCCUUUGUGAACUUUUAGAACACUCAAAAAUGAAUGUCCUUUUUGCUUAAAGGAAAAAAGGAAAGUAUAUAUCAUUUUCUCAUUGUUAAGUAUUUAGUGGUGGAUUUCACCAUUUAUGGUUGAUAGAUUCUAGGCCCAUUGUCUAUAAGUCCUUAUAAGAUAUUCAACAAGUGAGAAGAUUAAAUGAUGAGAUUAUACUUACCUUAGCUUUAAAUGCAAGGUUAGUUUUGCAAGUUAAUGGAAGGUAUUAUCAUUUUCUUUUAUAAAUAUUCCAUUACCACUUUGUCAAGUGAUGAGAAUAGUCAAACCUUAGGAUUAAACCUAGCACUAAUUAAACAUUUGGUUUCUAGACCUAAGUCAUAUUAACCUAAAUAGGAUCCAAAGACUAGUAAAGUCUAGACUCUUUGAUUCUAUAAGAUCUUUCAGUCUAUGAAUCCUGUAUAAAUGGUAAAAUGACUAAGAAGAUUAAAGCCAAGGAAUGUUUGGAGUUAGUGCAUACUGACAUGUAUGGAAAUUUUAGUGUCCAUGCAUGGGAAGGGUAUGGGUAUUUCAUCGCUUUUAGUGAUGAUUACUCUAGGUUUGGUACAUACCAAGUCACUUCGAUUAGAUCAAAGUGAUAUGUCUAGUAAGUUUGAUACUUUUCAUUGGAGCACGAGAUUAUUUCCUAGUUAUGUGCACCAAGGUCUCUAUUUCAAAAUGGAGAGGUGGAAAGAAUAUGUCAAACUUGGUUGGAUAUAGUAAGAUCGUGGAUAUGUUUCACAUUUUUUCUCUGAUUCUUUUGGGGAUAUGCCUUAUAGAUAGUGUAAUACCUCUUUUUCUUAAGAGAUUUAUAAGUUUAUAGGAUAUCUAAGAGGAUUUUUGGGUUAUUACCUUUAUAGUUAGGAUCAUACUCAAAUCCAUCACAUUACUCCUAUCUAUUGCAAUGUGUCUCAUUUAUGAGAUUUAACAACAAAACAUUUUCAUUACAAAGGGCCUUGUGUGUAUGUGUAUAAGAAGGCAUAGGAAAGCGUGGUGAUGCUCUAAGAUUUUGCAGGUAGAUGACAAUCUACUCAUUGGAUAUGAUGUAGGGAUACUGCCAUCAAUCAAGAUCUAGUAGUCUACUUAAUUUUAAAUGAAAAUCUAGAGGAAGGAGUAAUAUAUUCUUAGGGUUUAGGUUCUUUAGGACUACAAGAAUAGGAAAAUUACGCCAUGUCGCCUACAUGGAUAAGCACUUGGUCAAGCACAUGAUGUGAAACUCCAAGAAGGGUUUGUUACUCUUUGGAUUUGGAGUUGUCUUGCUUAGGAACAAUGUCAUUGGACAUCUAUGGAGGGAGAUUGCAUUAAGGUGAUAUCCAAUGCCUCUACAAUGGAUAGCCUUAAGUAUGUGGUUGCUUUAUUGUAGGAAUAAUGAGUGGAUAUUAGUCUUUUUCCUUAUUAGAGCUUUGGGAGGAUGUCAAGCAUAUACUCUAGUAUCUUUGGAGAAUGAGGGAUUAUAUGUUUGUGAGUCUUUGCAAUGAUUUGGUACUCCUUUUGUAUCAGGAAAUUGAUCCAGUCUCAUAAAGACUCUUGUAGGUCUACCUUUUGGUAUGUGUACACUCUAAAUGGUUUUUUUGUUGUUCUAUAGCAACAAAGGAAGCCUUUUGGCUUACAGGUAGUUCCCUUGGCUAUAAUGUCUAAGGUCCUGUUAUGUGAUAACGGUGGGAUGGUGGCAUGGUCUAAAGAACUAAAAUGCCACUAAAAGAGGAAACACAUAAAGAGGAAGUGUUAUCUUAUUGUGAGAUAGUACAAAGAGGUGAUAUGACUAUGAAGCAGAAUCUUUCUGUAGUACCCAGUUUGCUUUUGGGGCUAAAAGCAAGACAUGAUGUAAUAGAGUUAGACUUAACUAUCCUCGUGUUGUCCAUUUGGUGUAUUGACAUUGAUUUGAGCAUUUAAUCCAUGUCUCUUACAUUGUACAUGACUUGGGUGCAUUAGGAAUUACAUAGAAGAUACAAGUCAUGGGUUCCUUGUAAGUAGAUAAGUUGUCCACAGUUGGUUCAUGGGUUUAAGCAAUCCAAUAGAGACUGUAGUGCACCACGUCCUAAUUAGAGAGAUGACUUAUCUUAGUCAUCAAGAUGGGUUUUUGCUGGUUAGUGCACUAGUGUAUGUGAUGCACAUUGGACAAGAUCUAUGGUGAAUCAUGACGCAAGGCCAUCAAUUAUCAUGAUUCACCAGGCUACUAUACUACAUGGACUCUCAACCUUGAGAGGAUAUUGAGUCUAUGCCAAAAUCAACAGGAGGCUUUGAGCUACGGGUGAGACCCUAAAGUGGUCAUGUAUCUCUAUGGAUUCGGUCACUAUUGAUAAAGGUUGGUGGCAACAAGUAUUCUCAAUAGAGGCACCAUGAUAUCUCGUGGGAUUUAGAUAGUGUGUUCUAUUAGGUGAUCCAAAGGACAUGUGAUAAUGAAAUUUGUGGUCACAGUAAUUCCUUUACUGGAAUUUGACAUAUGCUCCUUAAAGUUAGAGAGUGUUAUUUGAUCACAUAAUAAGUGGGAUCUAUACCUCAAGGAUUUGAGAGGUAAUAUUGCUAGGUGAUAACACUACCUUAUUAGAUUAUGAACACUGAUUCAUAGGGAGUUUGCAUGUAGUGGAUAGUAGGUUAUGGACCCGAGCACUUGGUGUCUCGUUGUAAUUUACAUAGGGUACUGGAGUGCAAUUGACUAUCUAUGGUGGGAUGUUGAGUCAAUUUCAGAAUUUGAUUAUGAGAGAGCUAGUGCUGCUACAGGUCCCAAUUGUCCCUGCUUUGAGCUCAUAUUCCUUGAUGGCACGGUUUAUGAGGAUUGGAUGAGUUUUUAGUUCACUUUUGUGCAUUAAGGCAUUUUGGUAAUUACGCAAGGUUGCAUAGGGAUAAGUGAGUGGUAUCUUUGGACUAUUCUAAUUGAUUAAUUAGGCUUUGUAUGGUUAAUUAAUCAAUUAGCAACCUUUUUAAGCUAAAUUAAGUGACCCAAGCCCAUGGUGGACUUAAGUCCUUUAAGCUGCAUGAGAAGCCUAUAAAUACCCCUUUAAGGGUUAGGGUUUUUAUGUCUUGCCAUUCUUCAUUUCAGUCUAGAGAGAAAACCCUAGCCUCCACCAUUAAGAUCUCUACCAUCUCAAUGUCUAGAUACAAGGAAGAGUCAUCAAGCGAAAGAUCAUGGUGUUUAUGAGAUCCAUUACGACUUUGGAGUUAUCUACAUCGUUGGAAUCUAUCCGGGAACAUCCAAAUCCAAGGUAUAUGGCUUUAUUCUCUAGAUCUAUGGUUUCUAUGGUAUUCUUAUUGUUUUUUAAUACCUAUUUAUCUGAUAUGAUAAAUUUAGAGAGCCUAGGAUAGAUUUGCAUACACCUUACACGAUCUAAGGCAUGGGAACGGAGUAAUCUAGGGUUCCCAACAUAUGCACACUUAGAUUCUAUUAAAACAUGGAAAUAUGUUUUAUGAUAUAAAAAUGAGUAAUUUGCUCACAAAUGGUAUGUAAUAACCCACUUCCAACAAAGUAGAUAUAGUCCACCUUAGGUUAUCUAGUUAGUUAAGAGAAGUUCAUACAUAUAUAACACUAGGAACAUUUUCCUCUAUCUAAUGUCAAAUAUUACAAUCACCUCCUUUCCCUUUCCUAAUAUAGAACAAACAUCCUCUUUGUAUCUCAUAGGAUUACAAGGCUAAAGAGAAAUGAAUGCCUUGCGAGGUAGAACAAAUAAAGAACACAUCAAAAUCAGAGAUUGGUUAUAAUACUAUUUGCAAUGACCCACUCCCAACCAAGUAGAUAUUGUUUUCUCUAGGUCUAAUGGGUCAUCAGGACUUUAAAGCACGUUUAUAGUUAAGAGGAGCUCAUAUAUAUAUAGUUUCAAGAACUUUUUCUCCUAUUCGACGUGGGAUAUCAUAUAAUAUGUCUAAUUAACAUUGUAGUCCUUAAAUGACAUCCUAAAUUGGUUUAAUAUUCAAGGACCAAUUCAAUAAAAGUCUUUCUCAUAUAAAAGAAUCACUUGACAAGUUUAAAUCUAUUAAAAAGUAGGUAAAAACUUCAAAAUGAUUAUUUUUGGGUUUAUUACACUUUACCCCCUAACCUAUAGCAUGUUUUGCAGAUUGCCUCUUCAAGUUUAAAAUUGAGCAAUGUACCCUCCAUACUUUAUAAUUGCAUACAAUGUACAUUUUUUUGAAUGACAGUGUUAUCUUAAUGGGAUGAAAGACGCAUGUGCUCUCCAUGUGACCUAUUUAAGUGAGGGAAAAAAUGUCAUUUCAUUUUAAAACCCUAACCGAGCCCUUCUCUGCCUCCGUUCUCUUCCUCUUCAUUCUUUUUUUCUCUCCAAAUUGCAAUCGAAGCAUAGCUAAAUCCCCAAAUUGCAACCAAAGCAUAUUAGAGAGUAAAAAUUGCAAGAAAAUGGUGAUGAUGCAAUAUUUUUCUAAACUUUAUUUUCUUUUUCUUUUUCUUCUCGCUUCACUCUUUCUCUUUCCUUCCCAUUUUUAUUGAAAAUUCGCAUGGUCGAUGCUUUGGGUUUUUUUCCAAAAGCUUGAUUUUUUUCCUUAAAUUUCCCUCAAAAUUUCUCCCAAUUUUCUGAAAUAUCAAAACGAAACCUAACCCUAAAACAAAAGUAUAACAUAAAAAUGAAACCCAUCACUAACCGUAACUCUAUGUUGUAUACAUGUGUCGUGUGAUUUGGAUGUUAUGUUAGGUUUGUUUGAUUGUUGCUAUUUUUGUGGGUUUUUGUACUUUGUUUGGUUGACGUGAAAAUCAAUAGAUUUUUUUUCCUUCAUAAAUUUUGAAUUUGAGACUAUUUGAAUUAGUUGAAGUGAUUUUUUAAUAAUGUUAGUUUUUUGAUAAAAUUUUUUGAGUUUGGUUCCAAUUACCAUAAGAUGUGUAGUCCUGUUUGCUGGAAUUCUAGUUUCUCAAGUCGGAAUUAUGGGAAAAUUACAAGCAGUAAUCGAAGGGGGAAGAAGAGAGUUGGGUUAGGGAUUUGGGUGUUUUUAAAUAAAAUGAUUGUUUUGCCCUUGAUCACGCAAAGACCACAUGUCUUUCCAUCUAAAAAAAUAAUGUCGUCUCUCAAAAAAUGCACAUUGCAUGCAAUUAUAAAGGAUGAAGGAUACAUUACUCGAUUUUGAACUUGAUGGGGUAAUGUGCAAAACACGGUAUAGAUUGAGGAGGUAAAGUGUAAUAAACCCAUUAUUUUUUUAUUUUUUGGUUUUUUGGCUUAUAAUGGGGUUCUUUGGGUAUUAAAAUGGAGUUUCACAAUCAGUUUUGAUGAAAUUGAGAUUUAUAAUUAUAUUCCAUAUUUAGAAAAAUCUAUUUCAACUAGAAGGAUGGAAAAUUUUAAUCAGCCAAACUUAUAUCCAAAGGUUACCUUAUUAAAUCCCUCAUUUACCCUUUCCACCAAAGUGCUAGUCCUAGAAUUAGAUCUUUGUCCCUUUCUAUAAUCAUACAUAAAAGCUACCUCAUCCUAAGAACACUCCAUGCCCAAGGAUGAGCUUAAGAGGGAGAUUUUGAUGAUGAGAAAUGCACAUCCACUUUCAUCAACUAAACAUAUAGACAAAGAUGAAGAAAAGACUUUACAAAGGAUCCCCACAAAGAAAUGAAUCAUUCUAUUAUGAAAAUGAGCUAAUAAAAGCUUAAAGAUUCUAUAAUGAAAAAAGUUCAUAAGAACGAGUCUCUUUUAAGACACUUGUUCUCAAAAUACAAGGAUUCUUAUCAAUUGAGUCUCCUAUUUCUAUAAAUAGGGUGUCUUUGUAUGUUUGAGGCACUUCACCCCUAUAUAGGGGUGAGGUUCCCUUUAAUUUCAUUUUUUUUUCUUUGCAUUUCUACCAUAAUGAAAAGCCCAUAAAUAUUAUAUGUUUUGCAUCAAUUAGAAAGACACUUCCUAGUAUAAUUGAUAAUUACACUUUAGUCCAUCAAUUUAUGGACAUUAGACUAACACCUCCUAUGAGAGUUUGUCUGCAUAAUGGUUAAUAGCAUUGAUAAAAUGUCUUUCUUCUAUUCCAUUAAUUGGGAUAUUCGGAACACGACUGUUUUACAUUUCUAAUUAUUCCACCUUAAAUCAACUUCUAUUUCAAUGCAAUUAUUUAAUUUCUAAUUUGAUUUUAAGAACAUCAACCAGUCUCAUUCUUCUUACUCUCUACUUCACCUUAUUCUUUUCCAUAUUUUUUUCUUUUCAUUUUCUUUUUGAAGUCAAAUUAUCUACAUCUUUUAUCAUUUUCUAAAUCUAUCAUCCUUCUUUUAUUUUUUCGUCUCUAAUAUUCAUCCCAUUAUUUCAAAAUUUUCCAACUUGAUUUCAAGAACCCUAAAUUGUUUAUCCUUCCACUUCCUAUCAUUGUUCACCCUCUUAAUUUUAAAAUUAUAUCAUUUACUUCUCAUCUUCUUCUUAAUCCAUUACUUCAAAAAUUUUUUAGAAGCCUAACUCACCUUUUUCAUUAUUAUUUUAAAAUCAAAUCAUCUUUAUACUCUCAUCUUCUUCAAAAUCUAUUGUUUUUAUUUUCAUAUAUAAUUUUAAUCCAAUUAUUUAUUUAUUUAUUUUAAUUUUAUAUAAUCUCUCUUAUCUUUGAAACCCAAUUCAAUAUUUUUGACCUAUUUGUUUCUUUUUUUAUUUUCCCCAAACUAGAAAAUCACCUCAUUUUCUUUUCUUUCCUUUUUCAAAAUUUCCACAGACCCAAAAGAAGAGAAAUCUAAUAUUGUAACUCAUUCAUCUUUUUUCCCUCAAACUUAAAAUAUUUUCAACUAUCCACAUGAAUGUUCAAUCUCAAUCUCAUUACCAUUUCACUUCAAAAACUUUCAAUCAAACAAGAGACAAAGGCAUCCAACAACAACAAGAAUUUAAGUUUUUGAGUUGUUGGUGUACAUUGGGAAGUGACUCAAAUUCCUAAAUAUAAAAAUUUUCUUAGUUUACAUAUGAUUGCAAUUAGAUUUCUCAUAGAAUAAAGAAAGGUAGUAGGAAUAUCUUUAUAAAUAUUUUAUAUCAUGAGGGAAAAAAAUUAAUGGGUUUUUGGGGACUAUAUGUGUUGGAUAGAUGAUUACUACUCAAAAAGUGCUAUUUUAUAGCUUGUAAUUAAAUCUUUUAAACACUUUUGAGUAGUAGUUAUUACCUUUUAACUCAAUUGGCAUGUUAAGGACCUUUGCAAUCAAUUCUAAUCAAAUUGUGUUAAGUUUUGGUGUUUUGAUAGCUUUUUGAUCACCAAAGCAAUCCGAGAUUGAGGAGAGUUAUUUGGAAUCCAUGGCAAAGCAAUGGAAAGCUCAAAAACAUGAAGAACCGAAGCUUUGAAGUCCUUUGCCAUAAGCAAAUCCGGAAUGCAAGGAGGGGAAGCAAAGAGAAAUCUGUCAUGAAGCAUUCUUGAUGACAGUCAUGUCAGCCACUUUUCGAGCACUUCUUGGAGUCCAAUUUAUGCAUGCUAUAUGUCAUUUCGAAGCUCAGGAAGUCAAAAAUCCAAUGCUUCAAACGGUGCCCAAUUCGGAGUUGAAAUCAAGGAGUUACAACUAUUGCAAGCCGAUCACUCCAAGCUGAAGGAAGAAUUUUGCACAGCGUUACGAAAUCACCCUUUUGCUGCGAAAUGAUUUCGCAGCCUUUUUGCACAGUGCUGUGGAAUUCCCCUUGAAGUUUCCCGACAUGUUGGAAGCCGAACACCGCAAGUUGAAAGACCGCUUUGCAGCGGUGCGAAGUCAGCCGUUUGCUGCGAAGUGAUUUCGCAACCCUUUUUGUGCAUUUGCGAAAUCUCGCAGACCUCGUUUUCACCUGCGAAAUGGUCCUUAGUGCUUCCCGAUAUUUGCGACCGACACUUUUGGAUAUUUUGCUUCAGAUUUUUGAUGUCUAAAUCUCCAUUUUCUCCUUGUAACCCACCAAUUAUAGGAUUCCUUAGUUAUUAAGUUUGGAAAAGGGGUGAAUAACCUCAGAUAUUUUGUUUUGUAAUUUUCUUUAUAUAUAGCUCUCGGGAGCCUGUUCUCAGGAGGAAGAGAAGGAGGAAGACGAACCUUUUGUAAUAGUAAGAAAUAUAUCUACAGAGCACUUGCUCUAUUUUUCAUAUAUAUUUUUGUUUUCUUGUUCUAUUUCUUUCUAGCCAACCAAACUCUGAGGAUUUUUCCUCAGAGGAUGAGAGGCUAGGCUCUUCGUCUCUUGGAGUGAGGAAAGCCGGGUAAGUUUCCGAAUGAAAAAUUGGAAGUUUUGUUGUUUUAGUUUUUAAUGAAGAGAAAGUGUGACCCGUUAAUGAUUUCUAUGUUUUUAGUUAACUUAAAACGCCUUUAAAUCACCUGGGCCAACACUUGGUAAGGCAAGUGAUUUCCGUCCAUGGAGCUUCACUAGUUUAUCUCUUGCGAGCCUUUGGGAGGUGGUUUGAAGGUAGGAUUUUCUAGAAUAGCCAACACUUGGUAAGCUUUUGGACUCCACGGAGACAUCCAUUAGUUAUCUCUUGCGAGCUUUUAACGGGUAAUCCAAGGUUAAAGAUCACCUUGAAUGGCAAGAGCUAGGUGAGAGGUAUGAGCUAUUGCAAGGUGCAUCAGUGAGAGGGAUUUAGUGUUUGAACCCAUUAAUGGGAAGCAUCUGUACAAUACCGGUUGGAGAAGGAACUAUAUGUUAAUUCUCUAAUGCGAGGAAAAGAAACAAGUGACCGGAACUCCCUUUUUGCAUGAGGAAUCUGAGCCUAGUGAUCUGAAACUCCAAGAAACACUUUUCUUUGUAAGUAAAAUUAGUUGCUAUUUUUGGUUAGUUUAAAACCAAACAUUUUUCUUUCAAACAUCUUUAUGUUUUCUUUUAAAGCUAACCUUGAAAUGAAAAGGCACCAAUUCAACUUUGAAUGAAUAUCAUUUGUGAAGUGAAAACCCAUCCCAGUGAACAAUCCUAGAGCCACUAUGCUAUAGUAGCUUUGUCUUUGCUACCCUAGUACAUGGUGUAAUAGUUUAUAAAUUUUGUUGAUUACUCCCUCAAUCAAGGAGCACCAGCUGGACAUGAAUCAGCUGAGACACCAAUUGGGCACGAAUCAAUAAAGAUGAGAAGAAAAUCAAGAGACACCUUAUUGAGCAAAAAGGCUCACUAGGGUGAAGAUGUGAAAAAAAGUGAAAAGCAUAUGGUGGAGUAAAAGGCUCAUACCUCGGGAUGGAGAUAUAAAGAGUGAGGAACAAUGAGAAAAAAUGAAGAGAGAUAGGCAAAAGGUAUAUUAAUAUUUUCUUCCAUUGAUAUGUUUGCAUUAAAUCUUCCUUAGACACAAUAAGUGGUAUCAAAUCUUCAAAUGGCACAACAUGUGGUUCGAGUCUUGGUUGAAGAUGUUUGGAGGAACCUUGGUUGAAGAUGUCUAUAAGAACUCAAUUGAAGUUGUCUAAAAGAGUCUUCGUUGAAGAUGUCUAAAAAAGCCUUGAUUGAAGAUGUCUAGAAAAGCUUUGGUUGAAGAUGUCUAGAAGAGUCUUGUUCGAAGAUUUUAGGAAGAGAAGAUGAAUGCAAAAAGGAAUUCUUGUUAAGGUGGGGUCAAUUUUUCUCUGAUCAAAAUGUGAUAUAAGAACAAGAAGAUCAUCAUGCACGAUAAGGUUGUGUUGCACGUAAGGAACUAUGACACAUGGAGAGAGCGGAGCACAUAAGGAAACUAUAUAUUAUGAAAAGAUGGAGAUUGACUUAAUAUAAUUUGAUUCAAGGUGGAGACUAUUGGAAAGUGUCUCAAAUUCAUAACUGAAAUAUAUUUCUUUUUAGAUGAAUAUCACAUAAACUAUUUCCUAAGUUUACAUGUGAUUGUAUAUUUCAUAUAAAAUAAGAAAAGCUAGUAAGAAUCUCUAUUUUAGGUCAUCAGGGAAAAAAAUUAUGAGAAAGAAAUGGGUUUGUGAGGACUAUAUGUGUGGUGGAUAGAAAUGUGAGGAACAACAAGAGACUCUAUUGGAUAAGAGGGCUCACUCUAGUGUAGAUGUGAGGAAGAGUGAGAGGCACCUAGUGAAACAAAUCAGCUUAUGGUUUAGGAUAGAGAAAAGUGGGAUGUUUUGGGACCUAACAAUUCUAUCUAUUUUUGUCCUCCGUAAUAUUUUCUAUCAUAUUCUUAUCCAUGAAGGUAAGCAUGAUUAGUUGGACCACAUUAUAACAUGUUUAUAUUGAUGCUUCCGUUUUGAUGAGGUUAAGGUUAGGACUAGGGUUUGCUAGUUAAAUUAAUAUCCUUCUUUUCCUCAAUAAAGGAAUUGUGAAAGCUUCUUCAUCAUAUUUAUUAAAAUUUUUGUUUAAUUUCAAUUCUUUGCUAUUUUUACAAGUGGUUGUGGCGUUCAUUUUGUUGGCUAUUGGUAUUAAUAAAGAAAGAAACUAUUACACUUUGAAUAACACAAAGGAAGACAAAUAGUUUAUUUGAUUUAGGAAAAAUAAAUGUAUAUAGAAGGUAAAAGCAUCAUUUAAUUGAUAUGGAAAUGGUAAUUGAAAUGGUAGUUAAACAAUGAUUAACAAUGAAAAAGGUAGGAUAAAUAUGAAACUAUUUAAUAAAAAUUUAAUUAGAAAAAAAUUCUUUGUUUUCAUUAUUUAAUAUUAUUUUAUAUGAUUAACAAUAAUUUGAGGUUAAUUAUAGCUAUUCUAUUCAAUAAAAAAUUUAAUUAAAAACUAUUUUUAUUCCAUAGUUGAAAUUUUUUAUCAUUUAAAUUUUUUAUAUUUAAUAGUAUUUGAAAAUUUUAGUUAUUGUUUGUAUGAGAUUAAUUAAUAUUAGUCCAACUAAGUUAAUAAUUUUAACUAAAAUCAAUUAGGUUUUGUAUAUAAAAAUUUAAAGAAAUUUAAUUACAAUUAAUGAGAGGAGGAUAUGAUGAUGGGAUAAAGUAAGAUAUGAUUGUAAGGGUAUUUUUAGAUAUUUUAUGUAGGAAGUAACUGAGGAAAUUUUUGGAAAAAACAAUGAUGUCUUUUAUUAGUUAACAAUUACCAUUAACAAAAGGGGAUAUGAUUGUGAUUUCAUGAAACUAAGGUACUUUUUUAUUAUUUGAUGAUAUCCUUUGUCAUAAUCUUCAUGUCUAGAAUGUUUCAAGAAUAUCCAAGAAAUGGGUGUAUUAUCAUAGAACAAGAGAUUUCAAGCAACCUAAAACGUCUGUGGGCAUUGAAUGCAAGCCACAUCAGUAGUGCCUCAGAUUAAUAGUAUGUGGAAAUUUUCAAGUAAUGCUAGUAAUGCAUUCAUAACUAUUAAAAAAUUACACUAUUCAUUUUGUUGUAAAAAUGAAGACUAUUUGAUAAGAAUCAGAGCGGAACCAAGCCUAGAAGAGAGUGCAUACAAUGAGUCAAUUUGGUUCUAGUAAAGAAAGACCCGAAGCUGCAUUUUGAAAAAAAAACUAGAAAUAUGCAUGUCUUAUUGUCAUCACUUGUUAGAGAGUAUACUAAUUUGAAACAAAGUACUAAGGCGCAACUUGGAUAGAUUGACCAAUCUGAACUUAACUUGAUGUUUGGGCAGACUUGACAAUCAAUUUUAACACCUAGGUUUGGUUUUGGUUAAGUUUAUUCAAUUUGAGCCAAUUUGAGUUAAGUUUGAGCCAACGUUGAGACAACCUAAGUCUAAUAUUUAAUGUUUUUAUAAUAUUUAUAAUGUAUAUUAUUCGAUAUGAUAAUAUCUAUUUUUUGUUUAGAUUUGUAAGAAAAAGAAAAUCAAAUUAUAUCACACUUUUUAAGUAUUUUUAUUAAAGAUAUAUAAAUUUAUUUUUACUUCUUUAUUGCUACCUUGAAAUUUGAUCUUAUUUCUUAUUGAAAUUUUUAUACAAAUAUAUAGAAAUAAACUUUAAAAAAACAUUAUAUAUGGAUUUUGUUAUCAACACAAUCAACUUGAUUAACCUGAACUCAAUCCAAGCUUAUAGAAAUGAAGUUGGAUAGGGUUUGAAUUGAGUACUUUGGGUUAAAGACGAGAUUUAAUUAAGUUUGGAUUGAUUGUUUCUUAAUUUGGAUUGGAAUUUGAUUAGUCAUCAACUUAACCAACCCACCUAAGUUGCAACCCCACAAAGUACAUAUAGCACUUACUUUGUAUAAAAUAUCACAAAUGAGAUAAGAAGAAGAUUGUAAAUACACACAAUAAAAGGAAAGCAAGUUAAUCGCACAUCAAAUGAUGGAGAAUUAUUGGCAGUGACUACUACUACUUGGCAACACUUAUCUUGAUGGAGCUUAUAGGGUAUAUAAGCACUCCAAAACUGUCUUAACAGUGUCCAUUGACAAAAACAUUUUAUUUUAAAACAUGAAUAAUUCCUUAGCUUAAAUUCCAAGAUUUGGAUUCAAUAGGCAUAUCAUGCUCUUCACACCUUUCCUCGUGUGCAAAUCAUCUUUUUUGGGUUUAUAAACAUGCAAAUGAGGAAACACGCAUGUAAAUUGCGGAGAGAUGGCUUGAACGCAUGACCUCUCAUUAAACUAAGUUCUGAUACCAUGUCAAACUAUCAAUUUUCUUAAAAGCUUAAACUUCCAAUUUUUUUAUUCAAUAAGUGUAUCAUGCUCUUAAUAAAACCAACUAAUGCUUUUCUCAAUCUAACAAUUAUGAUCAAUCGUAAAACCACAAGAUUUAUAAGGAGAGCCUUUAGAAAUAUAAGAUUAUAAAUAAAUAAAUGAAUAAAUCAUACCGUAUAGAAACCUUGCAUGGAAGCUUUUUUUUUACACUCGCUAUGGGUUGGUGCACAUUUCCAAUGGGAAUGCUUGACUAAUGGAAGUGAAUCCACCUACUGCUGCCUCUACCACCACUUUGGGACUACCAUCUACUCCAAUUCUUGAAAGAAGAUCAACCUCACAGAUCAUGGAAACAUAAAACUAAGAAUAUGUUUGGUUCCCAAAAAAUAUUAAGAAAAGAAAAGAAAUAUUAAGGAAAAUGAUUUUUUUUGUACACGUUUAGUUAUAUUAUGAAAAACAUGAAAGAAAGUUAAAUACAAUUAAAAUUAGUAAGAAAUACAUAUAUUCUAAAAUUAUUUAUUCUUUAUAUAAAUAGUUUAAAUAAGAAAAAAGAAUUUGAAAUAGUAUAUAAAAAUAAUUUAUUACUUUUAAAUUUAUUUUUUAUUUACCUUCACAUUUUAAUCUUUUGUUCCAUUUUUUAUUUUUACUUUAUUUCUCUUAUAUUUUCGUUUUAAAAUUUUCGAGAAUCAAAUAUAUAUAGCCUAAAAAGAUACUUCCAUUAGGGCACUCUGGGACCACCUAUUGGAAAAUUUUCACAUCAUAGUAUAUAUUCCUUGUAGUUUUUUUAAAACUUUCUCCAUCAGCUUUAAUAGAACCUUCAAUAGGCAUAUAUACUUGAUAAUGGAUGCUCCAAUGAACCCCUCAGUGACCAGUGCAGGAUGCAUGAAAAGUAAAAAAUAAAAAAAUAGAAAGACAAAACAACUAUUAGCUAAAAAAAAUGUGGGUAGCUCAAUAUAAAAGAAAUAAUUAACAUGUAUAUAUACAUUCACUUGGACAGAUUCCUAUAUACAUAAUGGCAAUGUAUAUAAAAUAAAAUUUUAAUGAAAUUACAAAUUUACUGGAUACUACAUACAUGACAAAAAUCAAUGUUUUUUCAUAACAGGCUCCUUGAUACAUUGUUUCCCAUCUUUUUUUUUUUUUUUCUUACCUUUUUUUCACAAUCCUUUGAAAGGAGAUAAAACCCUUUUGAUAUUGUUUCAAUCUUCUGGAAAGAAUCUAUUUUAAAUGUCAGUAUUUUUUAAUAUCAUUUUGAUAUUAUUGCAAUAUCAGUUGUAAUUCUAAAAAUUUAAUUGUACCAACAUUUAAGUGUUUUGUAGACUUCUUUUGGUUUAAGAAUAAUUUUAAAUAUCUAAAGAUACAAGAAAUUUAACUUUUUCAAUCUUUUAAAUUUUAGAAAGAGUUUCAAACAACAUAAAGAGUAAUUUUUUUUGCUUUUUCUAUAGAGUUUUUAUACUUAUAUAUAUAUAUAUAUAUAUAUAUAUAUAUAUAUAUAUAUAUAUAUAUAUAUAUAUGUUAAAGUAAAAAAUAAGAAAUUUAUCAAGCAUACACCUAACCUUUAAAAGUGGUUUGAUUAAUUUGAUCAUUAAAGUAUUAUGAAUAUGUGUAAUAAUCAAAAUAAAUGCAAGGAUGUUAAAAUUUCAAACAAUUUCUCAUACUUCAAUGUGAGAAUGACCCUUUAAUUAAAUAAAUUAUUAUAUAAUUUUAAAACUAAUGCUUGAUAUUUUUAUUUUCAUUUUCCUUUUUUUUAAAACAUAAUUCAAGUACAUGUAUAUGAAAUAACAAUAUUUUUUUUGCAUUUUUAACUUUAAAUAAAUUUGAAAUAGCAUAUAAAAAUAAUUUAUUAACUUAAAAUUUAUUUUUUCAUUUCUUCAACUUUUUAUCUCUAUUUUCUUUCCCUUUUUCUCUCUACUUUCUUUCCCGCAUAUUUUUCCCUCAAAUUUUUAGACAACCAAACAUAGCCUAUAUAUUCAUACCAAAGAAUGGGAAUUACAAAAAGGGAUUCCCCUUUUUAAGCCAUGGAAAUCAUAACACUACAUGCCUCUCAUUUUCUUUCUAUAUGAAAAAAAAAAUGUAAUUCUUUCAAAUUCAUUAUACACAAACAACAAACAAAAUCAACAGAAUCAAAAAUACCAUUUUGGUCUCACUUCCACUUCUUUCUCAGUCAAUUCCUGGUACUGGUACCACUCUCCUCCACCCUUUCCCACUGGAAUUAGAACUCGAAUGGAUAACUUCAAUUGUUUGGCAAUUUCUUCUAAAUUUGAACCAGAAGUUCUGAGUGAUCUCCCCAUUGGUUCAACAGGAAUCCAUCUUAGGCUCGAGAUGUUAAGAUAUGGCAUCACACAUAUUUAACAAUGGUACAUGACUAAGCUAUUCGCCUUUGAUAUUUAUUUUAUAUCGGUUUUCCACAGUAUGGGUCACCUUAUGUGUAGAGCCCAAAGCCAUCACGAGCCUUAGAUGAUGGGCCUAAGACUCGUGAGGCCCAAUAGCUAAAGGGUAUGGUUCCUAAGGUAGGAGGGUAUAAAUCCAUAGUGUGUGUCUAUUCAUUUUGAUGACAUCAGUUUUGGAAUAAGAACAGACACGUUCCUCUUUGGCUCCCAUCUUCUGAGAGAAUUUAGAAAGAGGUGGUGCCCUCCACAACCUUAGAAGAUCCAUACCUUGUCCAAAGGAAAAGCAACAAAAUGGAUUCAGGUUCGUUCUUUCCCUAUCUAGAGAUCAUAGCAUGCUUUUAAAAUUGAUAUAUAUAUAUAUAUAUAUAUAUAUAUUUCUGUUUGUAUUGUUGGUAAUAAUGGAGAUCAAAAAAUGUUUAUCAAUUGGUAUCAGAGCCUCCCAUUUUUCACCAAAAACUCUUAUUAAAUAAGAAACAAUAGAAUAAAUCUGGGGCAAUUUCAGGCGCCGUUAGGAUGCCGUUCAGGCAUUCAUAAUGUAUGCAGUUUUGGCGUCAUUCCGGCAUUCAAAAGGCACCAUUUGAGGCGCCAUUCAUGCGUGCGUUACAGGUGUUACAGGCACCAUUCAGGCAUCCGUUUCAGGCGUGGUUUAGGUGACACUCAGACACCAUCUCAUGCCAAUAAGGAGUGCCACUUUGGCGCUGUUGUGGGCUCCUAGCGAUGCUGCUCUUGGUGUCGUUAGGGAAUAAAGAGGGUGAUGCCGCCUGGAGGAGCUCCAUUCUGGCGCCAUUUCAGGCGAUUAGAGAAGCAUCAUUUUGGAGGCGCCGCUGAAGCACCAUUUUCAAGUGCCGUCACGGGCGGCGUUCGUAUGUCGUUCAGGCGCGAUUGGAGGCGAUGCAGGCCUUGUCUACUUUGUGCCUCUAACGCCGACUGGAGCAGCAUUAUUUCAGGCGCCGUUUUCAGGCGAUCUAGACGGCGUGUAGCGCUGUUCUUCAGGCAUUUCAGAUGCCGAUGAGAAGCGCCAGUUUUGGGCUCUGUAGGUGUCCGUUCUAGGUGCUGUUCGGGUAUCAUUCUCCCACCAUUUCGGCGCCGUGUUGGCGCCACUGAUUCCCACCGUUACGGCGUCAUUUUAACGCUGAUUUUGGUGAUCGGAGGUUGCAUUAUGGCGUCGUUUGGUGGCGUUUCGCCGGCGGCAACUUGUCGUUCGAAGAUGGUUCCGGUGUUGCUAUUGACACCACUGUCGGUUGGAUGUUAGAUGGAUCCCUUUUACAGCGUCUGAAAUUUCCAAGUUUUAUAAAUCAUGCCAUAAUGAAAGAUGGAAUAAUCAGAGUAUUAAAUGAUUAUGUCCUAUUGUGCUGUGGGAAAUUUAUAUUAUUUGUGUUGCAUGUAAAGUAAUCAGGUACCUUUUAAUGUCUUAUGAAUCAUGCAUAAAAUGGGCCACUAAAUCAUGCAUUCAUGAAUGAAGCCUUAUGAAUGGUUAUGAAUUGUUAUAAAGGAUUGUAUAUAUACAUGGGUUUGUGCAUAAAUUUUUUUUGAUUGAAUUAAUUCUUGUUGUAUUUACGUUUAAUAUUUUAAAAUAAAUGAAUUAUGUAUAUUUGUUGCCAAAGUAACUUGUAUUAUGUAAUUUUAUUUAUUUUGAAAUAUGUAAGCAUGUUAUUAUUGUAUGAAAUAAUCAACCCAAAGGAGGAUUAUUUUUUAUAUAAUAAUAAAUAAAGUAAUCAUGAAUGUGUGACAUAUAAGGUUUAUCUUGCAUUUGAUAUGUUAGUCCAAAGACAAACAUAUUGUUUUCGGUUUAUUAUUGUCAAUAUUUAUGAAUUAAUUUGUAAAAGGAUGCCAAUACAAGUUUAUAUUUCCGUCCAAAGGCUGAAUAUUGAUGUUUGUGCUAGGUAUCUUGUUGUAUGUCCACAUGCAUAUAUAUGUUUAAAUUUUUAUUUAUUCAUGUGUGUGAUGUUUAUAUGACUGAUUGUGAGCUUCAUUAUUAUUUCAGCAUCUUCUAUAUCUGCAAAUGUCAAUAACAUUCCUGUGCUUAAUGGCACAAACUUCAAGAAAUGGAAGGAGCAUGUUAUAAUUGUGCUCAGGUGCAUGGAUUUAGACUAUGCAUUAAGAGUGGAUCGCCCUUCAGAUCUUACUAGUGUUAGCACUACUGAGCAAAGGUCUGCUAUGGAAAAAUGGGAGUGAUCCAAUCGCAUGAGCCUAAUGAUUAUGAAGCACUCAAUUCUAGAAGCUAUAAGAGGUGCAAUACCUGAGGAAACCCAAGCCAAGGCAUUCUUGGACCAGAUAGCAAACCGAUUUGCUACAAACGAAAAGGUUGAGACAAGCACUAUUCUUAGUAAGCUUGUCUAUAUGCGGUAUAAAGGGAAAGAGAAUAUAAGGGAGUACAUUAUGGAAAUGUCUAAUCUUGUAACUAGACUCAAGGCACUAAAGUUAGAGUUGUCGGAAUACAUACUCGUGCACUUGGUCCUGAUCUCUCUGCCUACACAAUUCAGUCCAUUCAAAAUCAGUUACAACUCUCAAAAGGAGAAAUGGACUUUGAAUGAGCUUAUUGCUCAGUGUGCACAAGAGGAAGAGAGAUUGAAACAAGAGAAGAUAGAAAGUGCUCACUUGGCUUCCACAUCUCAGGGAUUUCGUGCCAACAAGAAAAGAAAGAGGGACAAUAAAGGAAAACAAACUGUAGUUUCUGAGACAUCAAAGCAGAAGGUGCAGAAGAAACAAGAUAAGGAGAUCACUUGUUUCUUUUGCAAAAUGGCUGGUCAUAUGAAGAAAACGUGUACUAAAUACUCUGCUUGGCGUGAAAAGAAAGGUACACUUCUCAACUUUGUUUGUUCAGAAAUUAAUUUAGCUGUAGUGCCUACUGACAUUUGGUGGAUAGAUACGGGUGCAACUACUCACAUAAGUGUCACUAUGCAGGGUUGCCUAAGGAGCCGAAUGCCAACUGAUGGUGAAAGAUACAUCUAUGUAGGAAAUGGCAACAAGGCUAAAAUCAAGGCUAUUGGUCUUUUUAGAGGACAAUUGGACUCUGGAUGUACUUUAGAUUUGGAAUAGACUUUUGUAGUACCGUUGUUUAGACGAAAUUUAAUUUCUAUUUCAUGUCUGGACAAAUUUGGAUAUUGUUGUUCAUUUGGAAAUGGAAUGGUUAGUCUUUAUCUAAAUUCAAAGGUUAUUGGUACAGGUAGUUUAACAGACAAAUUAUACAAAUUGAACAUAAAGGCCACUAAUGGAAAUGAAACCUUGCAUUCAAGUAAUUAUGGCAUUAAGCAAAAAUUAAUAAAUGAGAAUUCAUCAAUGUUAUGGCACAAGCAUUUAGGUCACAUUUCAAAUCAACAGAUUCAAAGGCUUGUGUCAGAAUGAAUUCUUUAUCCAUUUGAUUUCUCAAACUUUCAAGUCUGUAUAGAGUGCAUUAAAGGUAAACAAACAAAUAUGAGGAAAAAGGAUGCCAAUAGGUACAGUGACGUCUUGGAAUUGAUACAUACGGACAUUUGUGGUCCAUUCCCUACAGCUUCUUGGAAUAGACAACAAUAUUUUAUCACUUCCAUUGAUGAUUACUUGCGCUAUGGCUAUCUUUAUUUGAUUCAUGAGAAAUCUUAUUCAUUGGAUGUGUUCAAGAAUUUCAAAGCUAAAGUUGAGAACCAACUAAGCAAGAAAAUAAAGGUCGUCAGAUCUAACCGUGGAGGUGAAUACUAUGGUAGAUAUGACAGAUCAGGGGAAUAAUGUCCAGGGCCAUUCGCCAAAUAUUUGGAGUGUGGUAUCGUUCCUCGGUACACCAUGUCAGGGACUUCGAGCCAAAAUGGUGUAGUAGAGAGGCAAAACCGUACUCUUAAGGAUAUGGUAAGAAGUAUGAUCAGUCAUUCCACCUUACUAGAAUCACUUUGGGGGCGAAGCUAUCAAAACUGCAAUUUAUAUUUUGAAUAGAGUACCAAGAAAAGCAGUAGCCAAAGCCCCAUAUGAGUUAUGGACUAGCAAGAAACCUAGUAUUAGGCAUUUGCAUGUUUGGGGUUGUCUAGCUAAAGCUAGGCCUUACAAGCCAAAUGAAAAGAAAUUAGACUCCAGAACAGUGAGCUGCUACUUUGUAGGGUAUUCUGAAAGGUCGAGAGGUUUCAAAUUUUAUGAUCCCUCAUCUAGAUCCUUCUUUGAAGUGGGUAAUGCUAAGUUCAUUGAGGAUGUUGAGUUAAGUGGGAGAGAACCAUUAAGAAAGGUGGUCUUUGAAGAGGAAUCUGUUAGUAUUCCUAUGACUUGACAUGGUCAUAUUAUGUUUGAUGACACUAUUCAGAAUGUACAGUCGAUAACAGAAAUUCAAGACACACCUAAAGUUCCUCCUGCUCAAGUUAUCGAACUGAUUCAAGUUCAUGAAGAGGUAACUCAAGAACCUCAAGAACCUCAAGUGUAAGUGCCACUGAGGAGAUCCACUAGAGAAAGGACAAGUACAAUUUCAUAUGAUUAUGUUGUAUAUCUCCAAGAACAUGAGUUUGACAUAGGUCUGGAAGACGAUCCAAUUUCAGUUAGUCAAGUCAAACAAAGUUCUAACUCUGAAAAGUGGAUAGAAGCCAUGAAGGAAGAGAUGAAAUCAAUGAAAGACAAUGGUGUUUGGGACCUAGUAGAGUUGCCUGAAGGUAUAAAACCGAUUGGUUGUAAAUGGAUUUUUAAGACCAAACGGGAUUCAAAAGGCAACAUUGCUAGGUAUAAGGCAAGCCUAGUCGCAAAAGGUUUCACUCAAAAGGAAGGCAUUCAUUAUAAGGAGACUUUUUCACCGGUUUCGUCAAAGGGCUCCUUUAGAAUCAUCAUGGCACUUGUAGCUCAUUAUGAUUUAGAGCUACAUCAAAUGGAUGUUAAAACUGCGUUUCUUAAUGGUAACAUUGAUGAAACAAUAUACAUGGUGCAACCAGAGAACUUUGAGUCUAAUGAUUCAAAGAAACUUGUAUGCAGAUUAAAAAGGUUCAUAUAUGGUUUAAAGUAAGCAUCCUGACAAGGGUACAAAAAGUUUGAUCAGGUGAUCACUUCAUUUGGUUUUAAAGAGAACACUGUUGAUCAAUGCAUAUACCUCAAGUUCAGUGGGAGCAAAUUCAUUAUCUUGGUGUUUUAUGUUGAUGAUAUUCUACUUGCAAGUAGUGAUGUGGGACUUUUACAUGAAUCCAAGCGAUUUCUAUCUAGUAAAUUUGAUAUGAAAGAUCUUGGUGAUGCAUCUUUUGUGCUGGGUAUACAGAUCUAUAGGGAUUGUUCAAGAGGUAUACUUGGGUUAUCACAAAAGAGCUACAUUGAUAAAGUGUUGAGUAGAUUUGACAUGAGCAAUUGUAUACCAAGAGACAUGCCUAUGGCAAAAGGUGAUAAAUUUAGUUUGCACAAAUGUUCGAAAAAUGAACUUGAGAAGAAGGAUAUGGAGAGGUUUCCCUAUGCCUCGGCCAUAGGAAGUCUCAUGCAUGCACAAGUUUGUAUGCAUCCGGAUAUUGCGUACAUUAUUGGAAUGUUAGGCAGAUAUUUGAGUAACCCAGGUAUGGAUAUCUGGAAAAAGGCAAAACGGGUUAUGCGGUAUUUACAAAGAACUAAAGACUAUACGCUCACAUACCAUAGAUCCAGUCAUUUGGAGAUCGUGGGAUAUUUGGACUCCGAUUUCACGGGAUGUCUUGACAGUAGGAGAUCCACUUCAGGCUACAUCUUCAUGUUGGCUGGAGGAGCAGUUUCAUGGAAAAGUGUUAAACAAACACUUAUUGCUUCUUCCACCAUGGAGGCAGAAUUCAUAGCUUGCUACGAGACAUCAAACCAUGGGAUAUGGCUGCGGAAUUUUGUCACUCAGUUGUGAAUUAUUGAUGGGAUUGAGAAACCAUUGAGAAUCAAUUGUGAUAAUAAGGCUGUAGAAUUGUAUUCUAAGAACAAUCGAAGUUCGUCAAAGUCCAAACACAUUGACAUCAAGUUCUUGGUUGUGAAAGAAAGAGUUCAGAGUCUUCAAGUAUCAAUUGAACACAUAAGCACAAACUCCAUGAUUGUGGAUCUGCUCACUAAGGGUUUGCCACCCAAAGUAUAUCAUGAGCAUGUCACACAUAUGGGUGUUGUACACAUUGAUGAUGUGCCAGUAUAGUGGGAGUUUGUAUUUAGAUUUUGUGUUUUUUUCUUGAUGUGAUAUCAUGUUGUGUUAUCUGUACAUACCUUGAUUUAAAAAGACUAUUGUGUUUGAAUACUUUAAAUUGAAAUGAUGACUUUCAGAAGCAAUUUAGCAUCAAGUGUUGAAAGUAGAAUUUGACUAUUUUUUUAGUCAUAAAGUGGGACCAAUUGGAAAUAGACAUAUUAGAGAUCACAUUCUAUGUAAUUUCCAUGCUAUACAUCCAUACUUGAUCCAUGUUGCUAAUUUUGUUCAUAUUAUGAUCAUUGAUGGGUAUAGUUAUAAUUAUGAUUAACGAAGACUGCUUUGAUCCUACAUUAGCAUAACUAGUAAACCGAAUUGUUUAAGGAUAUUAAGAUAGAAUAGCAAGAUGAGCUCAAUAAAGUCCUAUCAUGAACAUUGCUUUGUAAUAUAUGUGGUCCAAGUGGGAGAUUGUUAAGAUAUGGACUCACACAUAUUUAACAAUGGUACAUGACUAAGCUAUUCGCCUUUGAUAUUUAUUUUAUAUCGGUUUUCCACAGUAUAGGCCACCUUAUGUGUAGAGCCCAAAGCCAUCACGGGCCUUAGAUGAUGGGCCUAAGACUCGUGAGGCCCAAUAGCCAAAGGGUAUGGUCCCUAAGGCAGGAGGGUAUAAAUCCAUAGAGUGUGUAUGUUCAUUUAGAUGACAUCGGUUUUGGAAUAAGAACAGACACGUUCCUCUUCGGCUCCCAUCGUCUAAGAGAAUUCAAAAAGAGGUGGUGUCCUCCACAGUCUUAGAAGAUCCAUACCUUGUCCAAAGGAAAAGCAACAAAAUGGAUUCAGGUUCGUGCAUUCCCUAUCUAGAGAUCAUGACAUGUUUUAAGAAUUGAUAUAUAUAUUUCUGUUUGUAUUGUUGGUGAUAAUAGAGAUUGAAAAAUGUUUAUCACGAGAUUGCCAAAUCGCAUGCAGGCUUGCACAAGCACAAACUCAGAAAUUUCUGAUCAAUGUACAUAGAAGAGCAAAAUCUAGCAAUAAUAAGCAUCAAAAAAAUUCAUACAAACCUGUCGCUAUCUUCAAAUUUUAUUAACAGUUGUCACUCUGUUUCAAGCCCUAUCCAGUCUUCCGCUCUCUGUUUUGCAGUUGGCAGUGUCAAAAGAACUCCAAGUUCUUUCUGCAUCAAUCAGGUUUAAAGCUCCCAUCACAUAGUACAUAAACAUGAUAACAAAAGUAGAGAUAAAUGGAUCUAAGAAUAAUAGAACUAGUGAGCUUUUAUGUAGGCAAAAGAAAGGAGAGUGCUACAUGAAUUUAGUUUAUUUACCAGAAUUCAGAGCCUCUCCUGCAACGCAUACAGACACAAGAAACAACAAGAAAUUGUAUAAUAUUGAUUUAUAUCUUUAGGACAUCUAAAAGCUGAUUUUAGUUUUACUUUUAUUUGGUAAACUCGUACACACAUGAAAUCAGCUUCCAAACCUAUAUUGUAUGCAUGCAACAUAUGGGACAAUUCAAUGAACCAAGCAAACACAUUUUUUGGCAGCUAGGUAAAUGAAUACUUUAAUUUAUGAAUUCUCUAAGAUCGAAUAUUCAUAAGCCAAAUAAGGGCAUUUACUUGAGAAUAACCAAGACAAUGACAACACCAGACACGUGCAUUGGCUCCUAGUAUUUUCCAAUUUCAAGGGUAGACAAGCAAAUGAUAUAGAAUAUUGAAUCAUUCCUUCUUCAUUGUAUGGAACACAUAAAACCCAAAACCUCCACCCAAUCGAACCUCCUACAAAUAUUUGGCUUCAUUGAGCUAGUAGGAUAUCAUUUUCUUGAGAAAAAUAUAUAUAUGACUCAUAAUUCAAUUUUCUGUUUUUUGAAAGGAUUUUCUCAACAACUAAACAAGGUACUCUUGAGUUCAUGUAUGCUAGCUAAACAAAUGCCAACUUUAUAUCUAAUGAAUACUUGGGAGACAACAGCACAUUACCACCACUUACAGCUAUAAAAGACCAACCAAGAGUACUUUCUAGCAUUUGUUAAAUAAUUGAUAAAUAAUUUUAUUAAAUUAUUAAAUAAUUUUAUUAAAUUAAUAUUAAUAAGUAAUUGAUAAAUAGCUAGAUGAUUUAUUUAAUUAUUGAUUAGUAUGUUUUUAAUUUUUAUAUGAAAGUAGCAUACUAUAAAAUAGCACAAUAUAUGUUUUUUCAGCACUUAAUAUUUAUACUAUAAUAUUUUAUUUGUAUUAAUUUACUUUUAGUGACAAAAUUUUAUUUUGCCCCUAACUUUUCACUGAGAAAAGUAUGUUUUCUUGUUAUUGAUAAUUUAUCAAUUUCCAAGGUUCAACUACUCUUUCAUCCACUUAUUGCAUCAUUGUUUGAAUCUAUUGUCACAUUUUUUUCCCAUGCUAAAACAUCUUAGGAAGCUUGGGAAUGAUUGACCAAAAUCUAUGCUAAUUAUUCUUUCUCAAUCUUAAUGUAUUCAAAGGAUAAACUUGCCUUUAAUACUCAUGGCACUAAGAAGGUGUUUGAUAAAUUAGCUUAGUGAUUGAAUGGCUUAAUUUAGUUAUUAAAUAUAGUAAAUAUGUUUGAUAAAGUAUCUUAAUAUUAUAGUAUAAAAUGUCUUUUGAUAAAUCAACUUAAUGACUUAAUAAGCUCAUUAUAAUAUAAUUUAAAGUCACUUUAAGUCAUUAAACAAUAAUUAUUAAGUUAUAUCAAAUGCUCUGUAAGUCAUUUUUUUAUUAGAUGUAAGUCAUCAAAGGAUAGUUGAUGAACUUGCUAUCAUUAGGGCCUAAAAAGAUAUAAUGAUCUUCCACUUUAUGAGAAACUUAUGAAGACUUCCUUAUAGGAGAAGAGUUAAUGUUUGAAUCUCAACUAAUUAUAACCAAGUUUGCAUGUGUACCUAAUCAAACUAAAAGAAUAGAAAUAAUUGCAGUAGACAUGUAAAGGAUGGUUGAAAUGGUUAGGCUAAUAGUAGAUCAAGGAUUGGUGUAGAGAGAACUAAUCCUAAAUAUCAAGGAAGUCAUAGAUUAGGUGUUGGUCGGGAAGUGAAUAUUAUGAUUUCAAAUGACUAUAGUUAGCAUAGACAAUUCACUAACCAUAGCUUCACUUGAGUAUAGGUGGUUCACCACAAAGUUACCAUACCAUUAGAUAGCAUAAAACUCAUUGUAAGUAGGGUAAAUGUGGGGGAAGGUUUGAUUGGCUCAUCUAGAAGUUGAGAGUGUGCUUAGCCAAGUGAACUAAUCAAAACGACUAGUAACGAGAUUUACUUGAGUUAUUCCUAAAGUGUAAGUGAUGAAAAAUAAGGUUUCUGGGUUACCUUCUUAAAUGCCUAGGAAUUCCGAUUGAUUGUUUCACUAACUAAUUUUCUCGCUUCAAAUCAUGAAUGGAACUACAAAUGUGAGAACCAUUCUUUUAUCACAGCACAAGAGCCUUGACCUUCAUUUUCAUAGAGAAAAACAAGAAUAACUUUAAGAGAAAAGACUUUUUGUUUCUUCAGAAGAAUUAUAUUCUUUCUUUUAUUUUCCGAGGAGAUAAUAAAAUGUAUUUCUUCACUUUUAUUUUCAGAAAGAGAGAGAGAAGAAAACAUAUUAUUUAUCUGUUUUGUAGGGAGAGAGAAUUCUUAGAGAGCGAGAGUAAAAAAAAAACUUAUUUUAAUUUUAAUAGUGGCAGUUUCUGGGUAGUUUUAAAACUACUAAAAACUUCUCCCCUUAUUUCUCCCAUUUAUUAGGUUGGGUCGGGUCAGCCUACUUGGUAACCCAAACUUAACUCUAACAUUUCCCACUUGCACAAGAUGGGUUGAAAUAGCCCAAUCACUCAUCCAACUCCAUUCUAUCCCACUUUUGAAGGUCAUUCAUACAGGCAAAUGGGUCGUGUGACCAUGCGAGCACACCUACAAUUUGGGUGGAUCAUAUGACCAUGCAAGCACACCUACAAUUUCGGAGCUAUAAUCUUAUGCACCUGUUAGGGAUACAUAGUAGCUCAAUCCCAAAAAAUUGUGAGUGAACAAUAAUAAUCUUGUCUCGUUGUACCCCAAGUUUAUUUAGUUACAUUUUAAUGUAUACACUUAAUAUCUCAAAGUUGUAUACUAUCCAACAUUAUAAAUGCAUUCAUAAUUCUAUCAAUUACAAAAGGAAUAUAACCAGUUGACCAUGAACACAUCUUUAUCAAUGUAACUCAAAUAAGUCUUCCUUAUGAGCUCAUGCCUUUUAUAUUCAAAUUAACUACUUGCCCAAUAUGUCCCAUAAGGAUAAAUUAUUUCAUUUUCGUCGGAAACAUACCAAAGUAGCAACAUUAAUUUGUCACCUCAAAACAUAGUCAAAUAGUACAAAGAGUACAAUAAUAGGCUAUUAUAAUUGUAAUAAGCUCUAAGGAUCUCACACAAUGAAUUUAAAUGAGGUAUGUUAAUGAUUGAUUGAAUAAAAUAUAAAUCAAGCUAGCUUUUUUAGUUAGUUUUUGAAUAAUUUUUUUCCAUCUUAGUUAUUAUUAUUAUUAUUACUAUUAUUACUAUUAUUAUUUAUUAUCAUUUCUAAUCUCAAGUUAAUUUUCAUAUAUAUUUGCUUUGGAUGAUUUGGGAUGACAAUUUAAAAGUUAGUUUUUUUAUUUACUAUUUGUUUUAGAUAAUUUAAUGUUAAUAAAAGUUAGAAUGUUACAAAUAGUAGUUUUGAGUUAAUUUUUAGGUUUUAGGUUUUAAGUAUUAAGUAAAAUAAUGUGUAGUUGUGUGUGAGUUAGUGUUUUAGGUUUUAGAUAUCAAAUAAAUUAGUGUAAUCAAAAUGUAAUGGUUGCUUUAUAAUGCAUGUUGAUGAUAGUGAAAAGUGAUAUAUAAUGAUUUUUUUUUAAGAUAAAAAUUCAUGUUGGAGGUUAAUUAAAGUUAGACUUUUAAAAUUUAAGUUUUAGUUAAGUUUUUUAUGUUAAUAGGAAAGUUGGUGUUUUUAAAAUAUUUAGUUUUAGAUAUUAGUUUAAUGUAGAUAAAAGUUAGAGUUUUAAAAAUUUUUAGUUCUAGUUUUUUCUUUAGUGUUAAUGAAAGAGUUGAAUUUUAUUUUUUUAGUUUUAGAUAUUUUCUUUAAUGUUAAUAAAAAUGUUAGAUUUUAAAACUUUUAGUUGUAGCUAGUUUUUAAUAUUAAUAAAAGUUAAGCAUUAAAUAUUUUAGUUUUAGUCAAAUUUUUUUAUGAUAAUGAAAAAAUUAGUCUUUAAAAUCUUUAGUUUGGUUGGUUGAUUUAAGUUACUGUUCUUUUCAUUAGAUUAGUUAGUUAUGUGGUAAAAUGCCUUUUACUUUGCUAUUUGAUUGGGUCAUUGUUGAUAAUUCUUGGCUUUAAACAUCUUAUUAUGAUUAUGCAUGUUACGUUUUACUCUCCUAAUUAAAUGUCAUCAUUUUUUGUCCUAACCUCUCUAUUUGUAUUACAAGUGUAUUUACAUUUAGAAUAUACUAUUUAGGUACACUCUCCAACUUUCACUUUCUUUUAAUGGCAUAAAAAAUGCUUUGAGUGAACUAUAUCAAUGUUUGAUAUUGACCUUGGGUGCCUAGAUAUAACGCAUGUUGAGUGAUAUAAUACCUGAACUAAAUUUGGUGUUUUGUAAUAGCAUUUAAGUUGCAGAUCUAGGUACACAUAUUGUCAAUACUUUAUGAUUAUGGUUUGAAUCCUUGUUUGACAUGCUAGAGUUAUCAAACUUUUGAAAUCACCUUAAUAUAUCUAAGUAUUCAUAAUCGAUUGAUUAAUUGUCAUAUUUCCCUCAACUUAGUUAGUAGAGACCUCGUUAGGGCUUAGAGGAGUGCUACCUCUUUGGAGGUACCUUCCUGAUAGGUAGCCUGAUCCCCGAGCCCAGAUUUAAAUUUUUCGCAAAUGGUUUCUCCAAAAGUUAGGAGUCAUUUUAGGGGUUUUGUUCUUACUUGAUUUCCCUUUAAAAAUAAAUAAAAGUAAGUGACGACUCCAGAUUUCACAAGAAUACAAUUUUUUUUAUUAAAAGAAAAUGAGUCUUGCUAAUCGAGUGGCAACUCCGACUUCAACAAAAAUAAAUUUUCACCCUAAAAAAAACGAGUCUCACCAGUUGAGUGGGAACACACGUGAAAAAUAAGGGUCCAGAAGAGAACUUCCAGAUUUAUCAUAUCCUUACAACUACUCUCAUGAAUUAGAUUAAGCAUGCUAUAACAUGAACUAGGUAGCCAAGAAAUUUAUCCAAAAAAACCAGUUUGAUUUAUGAUACCAAGAACUUUGGUUUCACAUUUUCUCUAUGGGUGUGAAUUGGGUUUAAUAUCCUUUUUCAAGUUAAAAUUAAUGAUCACCUUGAUUGAAAAUAAGCAACUAUAUCAAAAUAGUGGUUGUGAUAUAAAAUAAUGUUAUUACAAAUUUCCUUUUUGCCUAAGUGAUGAACAUUUUUUUUUACUUGUCUUGCAGGACUUCAACUCUUUCUUAUCUUAUUAUAAACAUGUUAUGGCAUAUUAUCUAAUGUGAGAUAAAUGCAUGCUUGAAUGCAAUUAGCUUUAUCCUUUCAACUUCUCAUCCUAUGAUUGAUUUUAGGAUGUAAUAGGUUUCUUGCUUUAUUUUGAUGAUCGCUUAUAUUCUUAAGGUGUUUAUUGUAUCUUUUAUUUGGAGAUUUGUGGACAUAUAAUCUCUAUUCUUUCUUAUACAAUGCUUUUGUUUGUAAUUUGAUGCUCUAUGAUUUAUCCAAACAACGCUAUAUGUAUAAUUUUUUUUAUGUUGGAAGAGUGCAAAUGUGAGCGUGUUGGAGUGCAAGUGUUUUAAGUUGCCAAUCCAACAUUAAAAGGGAUUGAAAAUUUUUGCAACUUAUUUUGUAACCCACUUUCAUAGCCUCUCGAGGUUAUGGAGAGGGAAGUGGAAGUCUUGUGUAAUCCAAUGGGAUUUCAAGUGGCCAACUCUAAGAACCUUACUACGUAGUAAGGAGCCCACUACCCCAUUGAUGCAAUGGUAAACUAUAUGAUUCCCUAUUUGUUGUAGUCUAGUCCACCAUACUAGUCAACCAUAUUCCUUGCUACUACAAUCAAGUUGACCAUAGACGACUAUAGUGAUCGCUCUUACUUGCUCGUAGUCCUUUGCCAUUGACAAUGCUAUUGUUGAAUCUACUAUAGCCACUAGUGUUGUCUACUCUAGUUGAGUCCACCAUUGCCACUGGUGUUAUCUUUGUACAAUCAUACCCAUUUCUAUAGCUUUCCUAUAGCCGCCUUUUGUCCUUACAUCUUUUAGAGGAGUUUUCCAUUGUUUGAGUUAUACUAUACCUUGUCCAAGGAGUGUACCUUAGAUAAGGAUUUUAGGCUAUUGAAUAUUGGAGUUAGGACACCAAUUCUUUAAUAUUUCAAGAUUGAUCUUAGAGAAGGGUGGAUUUAAUUUAAGAAUAAUGCUCUAUCACUCAAGCCAAACUAAUCUCAUAAGUGUCUAAGCUACUUUUUUUCCUCUUGUUUGUUGGUAUUUUGGGCUCGGUCUUGUUUAAACUCAAUUUCAACCAUCUAGUAUUUUGAACCAACAAUCUUAAAGUAGACUUAAUUUAUAAAGACUUCCCUAGUUCACAACCAUCCGGACACCUCUAAUAUUGAUCCCUUUAAUGGGACCUUCUUUAAGAAAUGGUAGGAAAUGGCCUUUUCUUCUAUUAACAUUAUGAACUUGGGACAUAUUUUGACUAACCUAAAACUUGAGGACAAUUUGCCUACAUGGGAAAUUGGAAAUAGACAAGUUAGGCGUGUUAUUCUUUGUACACUUUCUAAGGAUGUAUAUUGUCAAUAUUAGAUAGCUAAAGAUGCUUGGGAUAUCAUAUAUAAGAUAUAAGUUAUGAAAUACGCAUGAAUAUAGAAAUAUGCCAUGGGGAAUUUUACGAAAUUUUGGAUGACUAAGGAUAUAAAUGUAUCAUCUCAAAUCAAUUAUUAACACUUGUUAAUUAAUAACUUAUCUAAUGAGGAAAUAAAAUGAUUUGAACCUUCAAUGGCUAGAAAUUUGAUAGAAACUCUUCUACAUUCUUGGAAAGAUUAUAAAAACAACAAGAAGCGCGAAAGGAAACAAAUGUCCCUAGAAAAAUGUUGUAAUCCAUAUUUUAGGACUAGUCCUUAAAAAUAAUCAAGUGGUUGUCAAUCAUCCUAAUGUAUACUAUUUGAGUUAUAUUAUACCUCAUAAACAAAUGUCCCUACUAUUCGAGUUAUAUUGUACCUAAACCAAGGAGUGUACCUAUAGUUAGGAUACCAUCUCUCUGCUACAUCAAGAUUGAUAUCAAAGUAGGGCAAACCUGCUUUAAGAACAAUGAUCUAUCACUCUCCAAGCCACCCUAAUUUGAAAAGUGUCUAAACUUUUUUUUUUUUUUUUUUUUUUUUUUUGCCCACUUGUUUGUUUGUGUUUUAGGCUUAGUCUUGUUUCUACUUAGUUAGUUUCAACCCUUUAGUAUUUUGAACCAACAAUCUUAAAGUUGAGCUUAAUUUAUAAAGAUUCUUCCUUAGUUCACACCCAUCCCUAACCCUCUAAGAUUGAUCCUUUCAAUGGGACCUUCUUCAAGAGAUGGUAGGAAAGGACCUUUUUUUCCAUUAACAUUGUGAACUUGGAACAAAUUUUGAUUGGCCUAAAACUUGAGGAAAAGUAUGAAAAUUUUCCCAUGUAGGAAAUUGGAAAUAGACAAGUUAGGCAUGUUAUCCUUAGUACACUUUCUAAGGAACUAUUUGAUGUAUAUUGUCAAUAUUAAAUAGCCAAAGGUACUUAGGAUAUCACAAAUAAGAAAUAUGUUAUAAAAGAUGCAAGAAUCCGAAAAUACGUCAUGGGGAAUUUUAAGAAAUUUUGGAUUAUCAAGGAUAUAAAUGUAUCAUCUCAAAUCCAUGAUUAACACUUGCUAAUUAAUAACUUAUCUAAUGAGGACGUAAAACUAUCUGAACCUUUUAUAGCUAUAAAUUUGCUAGAAACUCUUUCAGAUUCUUUGGAAAGAUUAUAAAAACAACAUGAAACGUAAAAGGAAACAAAUGUCCCUAAAAAAAAAUGUUAUAAUCGAUAUUUUAGGACUAGUCCUUGAAAAUAAUCAAGUGGUUGUCAAUCAUUCUAAUGCCUACUAUUUGAGUUAUACCAUACCUCAUAAACAAAUGUCCCUAAUAUUUGAGAUAUAUUGUACCUCAACUAAGAAGUGUACCUAGAGGUAGGAUACCAACUCUCUGCUACAUCAAGAUUGAUAUCAAAGUAAGGCAGAUCUACCUUAAGGACAAUAUUUUAUCACUCUUCAAGCCACCCUAAUUUGAUACAUGUCUAAACUCUAUUUUUUUCCCACUUUUUUGUUUGUAUUUUAGGUUCAGUCUUGUUUCAACUUAGUUUCAACCCUCUAGUAUUUUUGAACCAACAAUCUUAAAGUAGAGCUUAAUUUAUAAAGAUUCUUCCUUAGUUCACUCCCAUCCCAAACCCUUUAAGAUUGAUCCCAUCAAUGGGACCUUCUUCAAGAGACGAUAGGAAAGGACCUAUUUUACUAUUAACAUUGUGAACUUAGAACAUAUUUUGAUUGGCCUAAAACUAGAGGAAAAUUAUGAAAAUUUGCCUAUGUAGGAAAUUGGAAAUAAAAAAGUUAGGCAUGUUAUCAUUGGUACACUUUCUAAGGAACUAUUUGAUGUAUAUUGUCAAUAUUAAAUUAAGAAUAUUUGGGAUAUCAUGAAUAAGAAAUAUGUUAUGGAAGAUGCAGGGAUCCGAAAAUAUGCCAUGGGGAAUUUUAUGAAAUUUUAGAUAAUCAAGGAUAGAAAUGUGUCAUCUCAAAUCCAUGAUGACCACUUGCUAAUUAAUGACUUAUCUAAUGAGGAUAUAAGAUUGCCUAAACCUUUUAUGGUUAGAAAAUUGAUAGAAAUUCUUCUAAAUUCCUAGAAAGAUUAUAAAGACAGCAUGAAGCACAAAAAGAAAUAAAUGUCCUUAAAAAUGUUAUAAUCCAUAUUUUAGGACCAAUCAUAAAAAAGAAUCAAGUGGUUGUUGACCAUCCCACUUAAGAACUUAUUUGGAUAUGUAGUGAUCUACAUUAUAUUUUUGUUUUGACAAUUUAAGAGGUUUGUUCUUGGUUUUCUAUUUUCUUUCCAAUUCCUUCUUAAAAGAAAUUAGAAUACUUUUAGGCUUACUUCACAUUAUGGAGUUAUAGGUAGAUUUUUUAAUUUCUUUGUCCUACCUCAAUUGUACUCCACCAAUGUAUUUGAUUAAUUGGUACCCUAUUUGAAUUUACAAGGCUAGCAUUAGCAGUGGAGAUGACUCUUGUUAAUUCAAGUUUGUGUUGAAAAUAUGCUUAAUCCAUAUUUGAACUAUUUAAUAGUUAUGUUAGAAUACCUCGAUACUUACACCACCCAUUUACUAAAUAAAUAACAUGGCAUAACAUGUUUAUAAAUAGGUUGGAUUGAAAUAUUAUUUAUGAAUUGAUACUUUUUACCCAUAACUUGAUAACAUGAUUCUAACUUGUUAAAUCAGUUAACAUGAUUACAAUCCAUUUAACCUCUUUAUGAUUUUGAAUUAAUAAAAUGUAUUUUGAAUUUUUUUUAAUUACUUUUAAGUUUUAAUUUCAAUUUUUUUCUAAAUCAUAAUUAAUUUAAUUAAUUGUAAUAUGCAAUAUGCUUAUAAGAUAAGAGAAAAAACAAACUUUAAUUUACACUUGUAUAGAGUUUUACUUUAAUUUUUCAAUUAUAAAAUAUUUUUAAUCUUUAUAAUUUUUUAAAUAUAUAAAGCUUUACUCUAUUAGUUAUUUAAUUUUUUAAUUAAUUAAAAACUAUCAUUUUUUGAAUUUUAAUAUAUAUAAAAUUUAAUAAAUAUAAUGGUUAAACGAAUUAGUAUAUAAAUAGGUUAUUUCUUGAACGUGUUAAAUUAGUCAAAAAUAAUUAUGGCAUAAACACAAGAAUGUCCUAUCCAAACCUACUAAAAUUCACAUCAUCUUUUAGUCGCAUUGUGAAAUAAUGCCAAAUUUGUUAGAAAGAAAUAACCUAGUAUUAAAGAUGUUAUUAAGAACCAUAACUUGCUAAGAAAUAACCUAGAUUAUAUCAAAGAACAAUUAGCUAGAGAAGAAAAUUUUGUUAGAAAUGAGAUAGAACAAAUAAAAUUAGAACAACAAAAUUUAAGAGAAACUUUAGAAAAAGUUAACCAAAAAGUAGAUAAACUUUUAGAACAAAGAAAUAUAGUAUCAUCAAAUGAAAAAAAAUUAAAUAACCUUUUAAAACAAUUUGAAAACUUUAGUUUAGGAGAGAAACCAGUAAUUAGAACAUAACAAAAAAUAAAUCCUUUUGAACCAAAAAGUUUAGCAAUAAAACCAUGGAAAUAGUAGAAGCAAUAAACCCCAAUGAUAAUGUAAAAGAAUUUAUUGAAGAAAAAUUAAAGAAAGUAAAGAAAGUAACACUUUACAAAAAACAAUUAAUUUAAAAUUCUAAAAUAACUAGAUUUUUAAACCAACAUACUAUAAGUUCAAUAGGAAAUAUUGUAUAUUUAGACUUAAUAUCUCCAAAAAUAAAACAUAAAUUAUUAAAAGACAAAACCGAUAAAUAUAUGCACUUAGGAAUAAUUUUAAUAGGAAUAAUAGGACUCCAUCAUAAAGAACUAAGAGCACUUAUAAAUAUUAAUUUUUUAGAUACUAGAAACAAUAUAGUAGGACGAGCUCUUUUAGCUAGCGAAGAAGUAAAAAUGAACCAAAAUUACACAGUUAUUGGCUGUAUACCACAAUUUUGUAUAGAUCUUAAGGAAUUCAUAAAAAAAUUAAAAUAACUAUAAAUACUAAAGGAUAUGAUAUGGAAUUAGGAAGCAAGAACCUUAGUAUAACAAUAGGAUUUAUAGGAAAAACUACCAAUGCUUUAAGUUUAAAAUGAAUGAUGGAAUUUGACGAUUCAGUAAAAACCUUUGGAAGUAAGGCUGUAAAUAAGAUAGAAGCAAAACUGUGAAUAUAGACUAUUUGUUAGGACGAGAGUGGGAAUUAACUCAAAUAAAUAAACUAGUAAUAAAAUAUCCAACAUCUAGUAGUUUAUAUGAAAACCAAGAUGGAAGUGUAAGUAUAACCUUUGGAAAUUAUAAAACUAUAAAUGUAGAGGUAGAGUCAGAUAGUGAGAUAGAAACUGUAAAUGUUAUACAAGAAAAUAUUUUACUAAACAUUGAAACAGUAGAAAACCUAUACAAAACUCAGAGCUAGUUCAUAUAAUGAUAAAGGAAUUUAGUAACCUAACAUUACUAGACGAACAGGUAGAUCAAGAAAAAUUUGUUGAUAUAAUGUGUAAAAACUAUACAAAUGAGCAAAUAAUAAAACAACUUUAUAAAACCAAUUUAAUAAAAAAACCUAUAGAUAUAGAAACAAUAAAUCAAUUUACUAUUCAACCAAAAGUUAAAGAAAACAUAGAAAUAGUCUUAAACGAGUCAGUAAAUAUAAUAAAUGAAGAAAAAGAAUUUGUAAAUGUAAAAAAUGAAAUAGUAAGAUAUAAUAAGUCGUACAGUAAGCCAAAAGGACCUCAAUGGAAAACUAAAACAAAACCUUCUAGUUCUUGGCAACAAAUAUAUGAAUAUGGAACAAUAUUAGAUAUAGAUAAUACAUAAGAUCUUAGGAAAACCAUAGAAAAUUGGGAACAAUCCUUAAAUUCAGUAGGUGUAGUAGUAUCCUUUGAAAACCAACAAGAAAUUUAUGAAUUUUGUAAAAAUACCCUUAGAGGAACUGUAUUGCAAUUCUUUAAAAACAUGGAACAAGAAAACAAUAGUUAUUUUCAAGAAGUUAGAAAUAAUUUUAGCAUAUCUGUAUUUAUAAAUCUAAUAAAGCUUUAUCUUUUAGGAACAACUCAAGAACAUGUAAAAGAACCCGCAAUAUACCUUCAUAAGUUAGAAUAAUUAAAAUUAUGUAACCUUUUGUAUAUAAGGGAAUAUGAACAAAAAUUUAGAAAAUAUGCAAUCCUUACUAGAGUAGAUAGAACCCUUGAAUAUUUAAAUAAAUAUAUAUUAAAAAUACAAGGAACGGUAGGACUUAGACUAUGGAAUGAAUUUACUACCUCCAAAUACAAAAACUCUCCUUAUAUGGGUGCUAGAAUAGAAUCUGUAAAAAAUUGGUUAGAAAGAGAAUGUGUAAGUAUAGGAGAAAGAAGUCAAAUAAAGAAACAAGGCAUAAAUCAACAACUUUGUAGAAAAUUACAUAUAAGAGAGAAUUUAGACAUAGGAUGUGGAGAAUAUAAGUUUAGAAAACCCAAGAAAUAUAAUAAAUUUUUAAGAAGAAAGUCAAGAACCUUUUAUAAAAAACGACCAUAUCAAAUGAUAUAUAAAAAACCUAGAAAGUUUUGGAUAAAAAGAAAAAGAACUACGGAAAGAAAAAUACAGUGUAAAUGUUAUUUGUGUGGCUAGGAAGGCCAUAUAAGACCUGAAUGUCUUGAGCUUAAAAAACCAUUAAACGAACAAAGUAGAAAAACCCAAGUAAAAAUAAACCUAAUAAAUGAGUAGCACGUAGAUAGUGAAAAAGAAGAACUCAUUAGUGAAUUAGAUUUUGAAAGUGAAAAUUCAAGUAUAUAUAGUAUAGAUGAUAGUGAAAUUGAAAAAGAAGAAAUUUGUAUGAUCAUUGAAAAAAAAGAAAAUCAACCUAAGAAAACCCCUUUAAAUUUAGAAAACCUUGUACAACCUUUAGAAACUAAAAUAAAACCUUAUAAUAUAUGGAAAGAUUUACAAAUAAUAAUUAAAACAAAAAUCUCAUAAGAAGAAGGUAGUUGUUCAAACCCUAAAGAAAUAGAAGAAUCAAUAAAAAGUCCUGAAAAAGAAAUAAAAGAACUAAUAGAUCCUAAAAAAAGAACCAUACAAACAAUAAAACAAGUAAAUACUACAAAUAAAGUUAAAUCUAUUAUUUUUCCAACAACAAUUAAAUUAAAAACCAUAGAAUUAAAGGUAGAUGCAAUGUUAGAUAUUGGAGCCAGUAAAAACAUUUUAUUUGAAACUUUAGUACCUCAGGAAGACCAACAAACAUUAGUUCAACCAGUAGAAUUAGUCCAAUAUAAUCAACAAAAACUAAUACUAACCAAGUAUAUUUCAAACGUACCAACCAUAAUUAAUAACAUAACCUUAGUAUUACCUCAAACUUAUCUUGUACCUACUAUAACUUUAUAUCCUUUUAUUUUAGGUUUAACUUUUGUACAUUCUUUACAAGGAGGGAUAACAAUACAAAAUAACCAAGUCAUUUUUCAUCCUAAAACCACAACAAUUGUUUAUACAAACAUGGAAAAUGUAUUAAAUAAAAAUCAUAAUGUAACAUCUCAUCAAAUUAACAAAGUAGAAGCACAAAAGGAUAGCAUAAUUAAUGAUUACUCAGAACAAUUAAGAAAUGCAGAUAAAUUAAAAAACCUUAUAUUAGAAGCAGAAAAAAUAGGAAUUAUAGGGAAGAUCCACAAAAACAUUGGAAUAAAAAUAAAACAACCUGUAAAAUGCUAAUUAAAAACCCGGAUUUAACAAUAAAAACAGCAAACAUAGCAUGUAACCUUAUAGAUACAAAGGAAUUUAAAAUUCAAAUAGAAGAACUGUUAUAGAAUAACCUCAUAAAACCAAGUUUCAACCCCUAUAGAUCCUCAGCUUUUUUAGUUAGAAACCAUAAUGAAGAAAAAUGAGGAAAAACUAGGAUGGUUAUUAAUUAUAAAAGAUUAAAUGAUAAUACAUAUGAUGAUGCCUAUAAAAUUCCAAAUAAAGAUUCUUUAAUUAAUUCUAUUCAAGGAUGUAAAUACUUUUCUUAGUUAGAUUGUAAAAGUGGAUUUUGGCAAAUUAGAUUAGAAGAAGAUAGUAAACCAUGGACAACGUUUUCAUGUCCUUGUGGAUUAUAUGAAUGGAAUGUAAUGCCAUUUGGACUAAAAAAUGCUCCUCAGAUAUUCCAACGAAUGAUGGAUAAUAUUUUUGGUAAAUAUUCUUUUGUUCUUGUAUAUAUUGAUGAUAUUCUUGUUUUUUCAUAUACUCUUCGGGAACACAUAAAGCAUUUAGAAUUUAUUUUUAAAAACUAAUUAGUCAUGGAUUAAUAGUAAGUAAAAAGAAAUUGAAAUUAUUAAAGAGCCAAAUAGAAUUUUUAGGAUUAGAAUUAAGAGGAUGGACAAAUAAAAUUGUAAGAUCAUAUAGUACAAAAAAUAAAUAAUUUUCCGGAUAAACUAGAAGACUUAAAAACCCUUCAAAGUUUUUUAGGAUUAUUAAAUUAUGCUGGGUCAUAUAUUAAAAAGUUUAGUAGAUUAGUUGGACCCCUUUAUAGUAAAACAAAAAACACAGGGCAAAGAUAUUUUAACCAAGAAGAUAUUAAACUUGUACAGAAAAUAAAAGAACUUGUGAAGCAUCUCCCAACCUUACAUUUACCCUUAGAAAAUGAAUAUAAAAUAGUUCAAAGUGAUGCUAGUCAAACAAGAUGGGGAGGUAUACUUUUAGCAGUAACUAAUAUAGGAAAGGAAAAACUUUGUAGAUAUUGUAGCGGAACUUUUAAGGAUUAUCAAAAGAACCUUAGUUCUACAGACUUAGAAAUUGAAGCAAUAAUAUUAGUCUUAGAAAAUUUUCAAUUAUUUUUUAACCAAGAAUAAUUUACUUUAAGAACUGAUUGUGAGAAUAUUAAAAAAUUCUUUGAAAACAAAAAUUCUUCAAAAUUGUCUACCAAAUGAUGGAUAAAGUUUCAAAAUUCUUUAAUUGGUUUCAAACCCAAAUUUGAACAAGGAAAAGAUAACAUAUUAGCAUAUUGGUUAAGUAGACAAAUAAUUAAUAAUGUUGAUAAUAUUAAUGAUUGAUUUUAUGAUUAUAAGAACAUGGCUCAAAGAAAACCCACUAAAGCUAGAACCUUUCAAUAUGGAACCAUAUGUCUGAACGAAGUGUUGAAUCCAAAUUUGAGGUUUAACUCUUUAUUUUCUCAAAACCUUUUUGAAGAACAAAAGGUUAUUGUAGAUAAAUUUUGGUCUCUAAAACUAUAGAGUUUUCCAAACCAAAAUUUAGAAUACGCUUAUGGAAAAACCAUGUCAGCUUUAGCCCAACACUUACAAAACCUUCAAAACCAACUAAUUGCUUUAGAAACCCAAAAUUUUCAAAACCUCAAAAUCCAAGAAAAUCAGGAAAAAUUGAUAGAAGAUUUGAAAACCAGUACAGUGUCAACCAAUCAAACUAGUUGUUCAAACAUUCAACCUGAAGUAAUUAGCUUAAUUAAGAAAUCAGCUCUUCUAAUCGAACAAUAUGAAAAACGUGUUGUUAAAAACCUAAUUGGAGUUGAUAACUACUCUUUAGUCAAAACCUUUUUUCUGCAAACCCAAUAUAAGAAAGUGUUUAAAAAUCAAGAACUUUUGUAUAAACAUUUUAGAAUAAAAAAUGUCAAGAUAAAAACAGGGUAUAUGGCAUAUCAUGACCCUGAAUUUUUCUUUGUUAUAUAUUUAGCUUAUGUAAAUAUGUCUGUUGUAAAUAGAGAAAUUUUUUAUUUAGUACCCCAGCUCAUGGAUUAGGGAAUUUUAAAAAAUGUUUUUAUGAACCAUGGAUUUCAAAUCCUUGAAAAUUUCCUAGAAAAAUUGAAAGAUAUUUUAAGCUAUCUUUUUAAAACCGAAAAACAGAUAGAUAUUUCUUUUGAAACCAUUCCACCUUUAUUUCAAACCGAUGGAUCAGUAGUACCAGCCUAUCACCAUGUAUAUAUAAAGCAUAAUAAAGAACCACUCAUCCCUCAACAAGAACUAGAAUGGGAAAUGACCUGUUCGAAUGAAUUUCCAGAAUUUUUUACUCGCUUUAGAGCUUUUCAGAUUUAUGAUCUUAGACCAACCCGAAACAAGUUAUUUCAUCUCAUUGGUGAAACAAAAACUAUGUCUAUAUGGAGAAACAAACCGUUAGAACACAUCAUUGUUCCAAAACCCUUUAUUACUUCUAAAGAAUUGGAUUUUAUAACCGAACUCAGUGUAGAUAUACCAUAACCCUCUUCCUACCUCAGCGAUGAUGCAUUAUUUUGGGAAAACCUGGACGAUGAAAGUUAUCAUAAUCUGCAAAAUGCAAUGGAAGGAUGAUGUCAGCAAUGACGAUAAUGAAGCAGUAAAUGCGUCUCUAACUGCAAAAAUUUAAUAUAGUAGUAGAAGUUAAAAAAGAAGGCCAUGUAUUCGGCAUGUGAUGGAAAAGAAAAGAAAAAGACAAGGAGAAAGUGGAAGAAGUAUCAGACGGAUGGUUAAAGAAAAACCAAAAGUCAAACCUCAUAAUGACUUUACCAUCCUUGUAUUUAUUAUCAACCAAACCUGUAAAUAUUUUUCCUGCCAUCCAACCACUUGAAUUAAUUUUCACUUGUCAUUUGUAAAUGCUUUGUCUAUAAAUUAGUUGUAGUAAAAGAAAGAAAAGUGUGUCUGAAGAAGUGUAGAAAAAAGUGUGUGAAAAGUGAGAGCAAAGUAGCAAGUGGAGCAAUCAUCUGUGUCUUCAUUCAUCUUGUAAAUUUAUCAACAACAAGAAAGUAAGAAUUUUCUGUUAAAUUUCUGCUUUCAUUUAGAAUUUAUUUUAUUUUGUGUAUUUUUCUUACCCUUAGGGGGUAAAAGUGGUAAAAAAGUAAAGUGGGGAAAUGAAAAUUAUUUGAAUUAUUUUCCAAUUUUCUUUACUAGUUAAUAUCUACAAUAUACAUGGAUCCUUUAUAUAUAUAUAUAUAAUGUUCCCGUCAAUAUAAAAAAAAAAUUUGGGUUAUUUAGAAAAUUUUGGGUGUAAAAUCAGGUUUUAAAACUAGAGUCUUUAGUCUUAACCCUUGACCUAUGACCCGUUUUUGCCGAAAAAAUUGGCAUGUUAGGAAGACUUUGUCUGGUCAGAAGGGGGGUAUUACCUUGACACAAAGUGAUGUUUUAAAAUUUAUAUUUUUAUUACCUGAAUUUUUUAGAUAUCCGAUUUCAAAAACUUAACUUUUAUGCAUUAAAUGGUUUCAUACUAUAAACUGGGAGCUUUAAGUUAACUAUAUAUUAAAAUAAUAAGUGUUUGAAAAUGUUUAUAUUAAAAUAAUGAGUGUUUGAAAUGUUUAUAUUAAAAUAAUAAGUAUUUUGAAAUGCUUAUAUUAAAAUAAUGAGGAUAAUAAAUGCAUUCACACUUUAAUUGAAUUUAAAACUUUCAUUUUGAACGGAGAUUUCAAAACCCCUACCACUGUGUGUCAAUAGCAAACUGUUGUUGAAAUUGAUGCUGUUGCUAAUGGGAAAAGUUUGUAUCAGAGCCCCUCUGUGUACUGCUGUAUAUUAAUUAGCAAAGGAAACUGUAGAUUCAAAUUAAUUUUCAGAGUACGGAACUUUAUCUUGCCCUAUUUAAAUAUUUGCUUGAUUUAUUCUGCAUCUUUAUUUAAUCUGUUAUGUAUUCGCUCAUUUGAUAUGAAUUAAUGUCUUCUUUUAUUCCUUAUCCUCCUGGUAUAUAUAAUAUAGAUUAUGAUCGUAUAAAAGAACUUAAUAAUAGGUUGUAUGCUCAACGUAAAGACUUUAGAGAAACUUGUGAUAAAUUGCAUAAUUUAAGAACUACUGUAAAAGAUUUAACCACAGAUAUCAAAAACCUAACUUCUCUUAAAUAUUUGAACGAAUACGAAGUAGCUAUACAAGAAGCUUUUGACGAACUUUUUGCUAUAGACCCAAGAGGUAAAACUAUAGUAUUGCAAGAAUAUAAGAAACAAAUUUAUAUGCUAGUUCAUCUCAUUAGGAAAUAUUAAAAACUAAUGAACCCUCAUCUACAAAUCCAAGAGGUAAAAAAUAGUUAAAAUUUUUAGUAGAGUCACAAUUAAAAAUAACAAACGUAGUAUUGCAAGAAUAUAAGAAACAAAUUGAGGAAGAAAACCAAAAUAAUAUAGAUUGUUUAAAAGAAAUCUAGAGAAGACAAAUAAAAUUCGUAGAAAAACUAAACACGGUCUUAGGAAUUAGAAAAGAAACUGGAAGACUUUAAAAACCAUAACUUGCUUAGUAUGAAAGUAAGAUUUUCUGUUAAAUUUCUGCUUUCAUUUAGAAUUUAUUUAUUUGUGUAUUUUUCUACCCUUAGGGGUAAAAAGGUAAANNNNNNNNNNNNNNNNNNNNNNNNNNNNNNNNNNNNNNNNNNNNNNNNNNNNNNNNNNNNNNNNNNNNNNNNNNNNNNNNNNNNNNNNNNNNNNNNNNNNNNNNNNNNNNNNNNNNNNNNNNNNNNNNNNNNNNNNNNNNNNNNNNNNNNNNNNNNNNNNNNNNNNNNNNNNNNNNNNNNNNNNNNNNNNNNNNNNNNNNNNNNNNNNNNNNNNNNNNNNNNNNNNNNNNNNNNNNNNNNNUAUUUUCUAUUGAACUUAUAGUAUGUUGGUUUAAAAAUCUAGUUAUUUUAGAAUUUUAAACUAAUUGUUUUUUGUAAGGUGUUACUUCCUUUACUACCUUCUUUAAUUUUUCUUCAAUAAAUUCUUUUACAUUAUCUUUGGGGUUUAUUGCUUCUACUAUUUCCAUGGUUUUAUUGCUAAACUUUUUGGUUUAAAAGGAUUUAUUUUUUGUUCUGUUCUAUUUAUUAGUUUUUCUCCUAAACUAAAGUUUUCAAAUUGUUUUAAAGGUUAUUUAAUUUUUGUUCGUCUGAUGAUACUAUAUUUAUUUGUUCUAAAAGUUUAUCUACUUUUUGGUUGACUUUUUCUAAAGUUUCUCUUAAAUUUUGUUGGUCUAAUUUUAUUUGUUCUAACUACAUUUGUUAUUUUUUUUUUAAAUAUUUUAUAAAGCAAUAAAAUUUAAGUAACUAUGAAAGUCUUAAAAAAAUUAUAAAACAAAAUAAAUUUAAGUAAAAGUAUAAUAUUUUAUUUUAUUUUAAAGUUUAUUUUCAAAAAAUUAACAAUCCAUUUCAAUAUUUAUUAGAUAUAAAAAAUGUAACACUUGUCUUUUUAUUUCUAUUAUUAAAACUACAAACAUAAAUAUUAAUUUUCUGAGUGAAUUAAAAUCAAUAAUAUGUUUAUUUAUAAUUUAUUGAUUUUUAAUUAUGGUAAGAUAUAUCUUUUUUCGGUAAAAAAAUUGAUGUGGUAUUUUUCUUAAAUUAUAAUUUUGGAAUCUACCCCACAUCAUUACAUUUAAAGAAAAAUAGAAGAUCUUGUAUCCUCUUAUGAAUUAGACAUGAUUUUAAUCCGAGAGUAAAAAGAAAAAUGUUCUAUCCUCUUAAGGAUUGUAUAAGAUUUUAAGGCAAAAUAUAGAAUAAAUCUAGUUGGAAUCUCUUAGGAAUUAUAAUGGGCAUUAAUGUGAAUUUGAUUUUUUUUUUUUUUUGACAAGUGAACUCCUAUCUUGCAAUUUUUUUUCCAUUUUAGAUUAUCAAAACAUACUUUUCCCAAGCUUAUACACAUUCUAUUCUUGAUCAUUUGUGUAGAUAUGUAGUGUUUUAAAUUUGUACUUCAAAAAUUCAAGAUAUUUGAUAUUGGUUUUCCAUAUCCCUUUCAAUUGCCCCUUAACAAAAAUUAAGAAUCCUUCUAGGUUUACUUUCCAUUAUGGAGUUAGGGAUAAAAUGUUUAAUUUCAUUUCAUAAUUCAAUAGAUCUAGCUAUUGUUUAAGCCUUAAUAAAUUUAUUUGCUCUGUACCCAAUUUGAAUUCAUAAGCUUAGCAUUUGUGGUAAUGGUCGAUGUUCUUGAGGUAGGUAUAUAUAUCUAUGUGCAUGAAAAUUAAUUCAAUCCAUAGAUGAACCAUUUAAUAAUCAUAUCUAAAUGAAUGAAUAACAUGAUCACAUAACUUAUUUAAUAAAUGAGUUUUUAGCAACAAUUUUUCGUCAAAAUCUGUUGCAAGAAAUGGAUAAUCCAUAAACCUAGCAAUAUCGUUGCACUCUUUAAAAUUUUAAAUUUAUAAAAUAAUAUUUCAAAAUUACUAUUUAAUUCAUUUUAAGUUUUUUAAAUAUUGAUUAAUUUAAUUAUUUAUUUUUAAUUAUAAUAUUUUUAUAUGAUAAAAGAUAAAUUAAAUUUUAAAUUCUAUUUAUAAAAGAUAAUUAUUUAAAUAUAUAUAUAUAUAUAAGUUUAUUUUAUUUGCUAUUUAAUUUUAAAUUUAUAAAAUAUUUAUACAUCUUUAAUUUAUAUAAUUUUUUAAUAUAUAAAAUUAGUAAAUUUAUAUGGUUUAAAGGAUAAAACAGUUGGUGUAUAAACAUGUCAUUUUGACAUGAAUAAGUUAAUAGGUUAACUAGAUUAAUAAAAUAGGUUUGAGUCAUCAAACCCAAACAUGAGUCAUUUAUUGAGCAUAUUAAAUUAGUUGAUACAAUUUUGAUAUAAAUAAAGUUAUGCUCUAUCCAAAACUAAUAGAAUUCAUAUCAUUUCAAAUUGUCAUGUGAUGUCAAAUUUGUUAUAUACAAAAUAGACCUAGCCAAAAGUAGAGAUGGCAACGGGACUAGUCACCUUCAUCCCAACCCCGCUUCAUUUAUUCAAAAUAAUUCUCAUCCCCGUCCUAUUAAAAAAAUUAAACGAGAUAGGGCAAGUAUGUGAAUUUCCCAUACCCGCCCUGCCCCGUUUAACUUCUUUUUUUUUUUUUGAAAAAUUUUAUUUUUUUUAAUUGCAUUAAAAUAAAUAUAUUUUAUAAAUAAUUAAAAUAUUAUAAUUUUAUAUAACUUAUUUUAUCGAAAAGUAUUAUUAUUAUUAUUAUUAUUAUUAUUUUAAAAUUAAUUUUUAUAUAUAAUUGAUGUAGGACAAGACAGGACAAGGCAUAUUUGAACCCACCCUCUUGAGUAUAAAAAAAAUCUUAAACUCCACUCCUAACCCAUUUACUUAAAUUUCAAACCUAUCCUUUUAGGGUGGAUAGGUACCCAAAAAAACCGCCGCUAUUACCAUCCCUAACAAAAACUAAUGAGUCAACCUUGUCAAAAGUCUUCAAAAAUUUAAGGAAAAGAGAAAAAAAGAGAUUAGUGGGGCCUUACUAGUUAUGAUUUUAGAACCAAUAGUGUGAGAAGGGACAAGCUUAAUGUUUGGAUUGGACAUAGAACCAUUCAGCUGAACAAAGUUGCUAAAAUGGUUUCAUAAAUUAAUAUAUAUAAAAGUGGAGAUAUUAAUUUGUCGAGAGCAUGUAGAUAAAUUAAACAUAUCCAAAUAUAUUAUAUAAAAUGUCAAGUCAAUAUAUAUGUGAUUUUUUCAUGAGUUUCCUUUUUAAUCAAAUUCUGGUAAAAGAAAUAUUAAUAUUUGGGUAUGGUUUAAAGAUAUUGCUUUAAAGUAUAAAGAAUUUUUGAUAAUUUACCUUCAGUAUUUAAAGCACCAAUAUAUGUUGGCUUACGAGAACCUUUAUUGGAGCUGGAUUCACUUGGUACUUUCAACGUGAGAGAAGUUUCUAGGAAAUUUUUUACAGUAUAAGAGAAAAAAAAUGUACAAUUUUCCACAGAAGACCAUGAAAUUGAAUGAGUUUGCAUAGACUAUUUAACAAGAAAAUGUACUAACAAAAUUUUCCACACGAUGAACAGAUAACGAUGAACUUGAAUGAGUUUCCAUGGACUAUUUAACAAGAAAUGAACAGAUAUUUUCCAUUGACUUGGAUGUUUUAUAAGACUUCCAUGUGGAAUUUUCAAGUGCCACGUGGUUUCGGGAGGAAUGAAUGGAAAUUUUUGACGAGUUAACAUUGUUGUAUUUAACGUGGGCCUUCCUACACAUAUGAUCUUCCAUUGACUUGGAUGUUAUAUAAGACUUCCAUGUGGAAUUUUCUAGUGUCGCAUGGUUUCGAGAAGAAUGAAUGGAAAUUUUUGAUGAGUUAACACUGUCGUAUUUAACGUGAGCCUUCCUACACUCAUGAUAUUUAGAGUUAUAACAUCAUCGAUCGUGCAAAACAAUCCAGUAAAAGUUAUAAUAAUGAUAUCAGACAUAAUUAAAAGGGUGGGACAAGCGUGAGAAAUAGAGCGGUUGGCUUAGUAGAGAGAGAGAGAUAGAAAUUGCUUGGUCCUUUCUGCAUGUUCAGUCGUUCAAUCUAUCGACCUUCUAAUUCCAAAGUGUCAAAUGGUGAGAGAUUGUCUGCACAACAAAACUAGCUCUCACAUAUUGAAACACAAAGAAAUUAAGAAGGCAUUAGGCUUUUGUGUGUUGUUACCACAUGAUUUGGUAUUACUGGUAAUUUAUUAGAAAUAUUUUAUUUCAUUUUGCUUUAUUUGCAUCAACAUAAUAACAAACUUAUAUUUAUAAUAAACAAAUCAUCGUUGUAUAUGACUCUAAUAUUUUUCAAACUCCUAAAAUACUUUGAAUUUGAAGUAAGAUACCUAUGACCUGUGGGUUAUGAUGAUUAUACUUGAGUGGUAACCUUGUAAGUUAUGAUGAUUAAAUUUAAUAAUAUAAUGAUCAAAUAUGGUAUGCAAAAAUAAAAAAAUAAAAAUAGGAGUCUUUGAUGUUACCAAGUGAUAAAUAGUGAUUAAAUAAAAAUGAAUAAAUAUAAAAAUAGGAGAAACACAACAAGAAAAGUUGAACAAAAAGUGAUAUACAAGUCUUGCUCUUUCAGAAAAGUAAAGUUGAAUUGUGGAUGUCUCAAUCCACUAAAUUGGCUUCAAAAGCGAAGAUGCAAGGGUGCUUUAUGCCCUUGAGAUCAUGAGAUAAUUUAAUUUAUUACUUAUGAAUUAAAAAAUUAGGUAGACUUACAAGAAGGUAAAAGACUAAUAUGGUUAUAUGACUAUUAUAAAAAUAAAAAAUAAAAAUAAAUAUUGUAACAUCUCUUUCUUAUUCUUUGCUCGGGGGACAUGUCCUAGUUGUUUCACUUGACUUUGAAUCAUUAUACAAUCAACUUUCAUAAGUUAGUUGGAAACUAAAGUAAUGAUGCAAUCAACUUCUUUAUUUUUUUCCCUAGUUUGUGAAGAUAUCUUGAUUAAUGUGUUUUUCUUUGUAAUGGAGUUUCAAUAGGUUGAUAUAACUUAAAAUAAGAGAUUAAAGAUUUGUAAUUAUUUUUGGUAAGUAGAAAACUAAAAUAAGAAAAUCUUUCUUCCUCAUUUGUCAUUAAUUAUUAAUUAAAUUUGAUUUUGGAUCUGUUGUAAACUGUAGACAUAAUGCAAUUCACUCACAAUAUGAGAAUGAGUCUUAUUCAAUUCAAAACAAGCUAUAGGCUUAUAUAAGCCUUACAAAAGAAAUUAAAAAGGAAACAAACAGCCCACGUAAGAACGUGGUAAAUGGCUAAGGAAAUAGUCAAAUCCUACCAACAUGUCCCAAAAAAUAGGAAUUAUUAACAGAAUGAAAUUCUAACAACUUUGACUACUUUAACUGAACAUCCCAACAGGAUCAAGAUAUGUUAAUGAAUUUACAUAAGUUGAGCUUAAGGAAUCAUAUCAAACAUUGGAUAUUUGUCAUUAACUAUUAAUUAACAAAAUUAGAGAUUUGCUAGAAUUUCAAUUAACUUAAACAAAAGUGAUUUGAAAAAACAGUUUUUAUAAGAAUUUAUAACAUUUAAAAGAAAAAACAGUUUAAUUCAAAAACUUUUAGGUAACUUUUAAAAGUUUACGUGUCCCAACCUUGCCCUAAUUAUUUAAAUCAAUUUCCAGUCCCAAUAAAUAAAGAAAAAAGAAAAAAAAUGAAAAAAACCUUAAUGGAUAAGGUGAAUAUAGACAUUUCUUUUGUAGAAAUGGAAUUAAAGCUAAGUGUGGGCAUGUCUUGUAUUUUGUAGACAUGUCUUAGUGAAUUGACUUGACUUAUUGAAUGAAGGUUUUCCUAUUACCAUAUUUGUUAGAAAAUUAAUAAAUUUAUGUAUAUUUUAAUAAAAAGUAGAUUUGAAAAUUUACUUUAUAUGUUUAAAAAGGGAAAAUGAAAAUAACUAAAGUAAAUAAUAUUUUAUUUGAUUUUAUAUGGAAUCUAGGUAUGGUAGGGCAGUAUAAACUUUCAUUGUAUCUUACAUUUUGAAAAAUAAAAUCUCAAAUGAUGACAACAAGGUGGGUUUGGAGUCGAUCAACCCUAUCCCAACCUUACCCUGAUUGUUUAAAUCAAUUUCCAUUGCCAAUAAAAAAGGAAAAAAGAAAAAAAAAGAAAUAAACCGUAAUGGAUAAGGUGAAUAGAGAAAUUUCUUUUGUAGAAAUGGAAUUAAAGCUAAGGGUGGGUAUGUCUUGUAUUAUGUAGACACGUCUUAGUGAAUUGACUUGACUCAUUGAAUGAGGUUUUACUAUUACCAUAUUUGUUACAAAAUUAAAGCUAAAGAUAGUGUAAUCUGUCUUUCUUAUCUUCUAUUUUCUAGACACAUCUUAGUGGAUUCACUUAACUCAUUGAAUUAACAGCACCAGCAUAAUGCAUAAAAACCUAACAUGAUUAAACUUUUAAACAUAUGAAAACGUAUUUUUAGGGAUGUCAACAAAAUGGUCAUCCAUUCUUGACCUACCUUAUUUUUCAAACACAUUCUCAUCACUUUUCCAACCGCAGAAUGAGGUAGAACGAAGUAGAAAAGUGAAUUCCCAUACAUGCUUGGAUUAAAAAUUCUCUAUUGCAUUAUUUUAAAUUUUCAAUUAUACUAAAAAAAAUAUAAUUUAUAAAUAAAAACAUUAUGUUUUUAACAAAUUUUUUUGUAUAUUUUAAUAAAAAGUAGCUUUGAAUAUUUACUUUAAAUGUUUAAAAAGGGAAAAUGAAAAUAACUAAAGUAAAUCAACUUUUAUUUUAUUUUAUAUAGAAUCUAGGUAUGGUACGGUAGUAUAAAUUUUCAUUGUAUCUUACAUUUUGAAAAAUAAAAUCUCAAAUUAGGGAUGACAACAAGGUGGUUUUGAAGUCGAUCAACCCUAUCCCAACCUUGCCCAGAUUAUUUAAAUCAAUUUCCAUUCCCAAUAAAAAAGGAAAAAAGAAAAAAAAAAAGAAAUAAACCUUAAUGGAUAAGGUGAAUAGAGACAUUUCUUUUGUAGAAAUGGAAUUAAAGCUAAGGGUGGGUAUGUCUUGUAUUAUGUAGACACGUCUUAGUGAAUUGACUUGACUCAUUGAAUGAAGGUUUUACUAUUCCCAUAUUUGUUAGAAAAUUAAAGCUAAAAAUAGCGUAAUCUCUCUUUCUUAACUUCUAUUUUCUAGACACAUCUUGGUGGAUUGACUUAACCCAUUGAAUUAACAGCACUUGCAUAAUGCAUAAAAACCAAACUUGAUUAAAGUUUUAAACGUAUCAAAACGUAUUUUUAGGGAUGACAACAGACUGGUCACCCACUCUUGACCUACCUUAUAUUCCAAAUAAAUUCUCAUCAUUUUUCCAACCAUAGAAUGCGGUAGAACGAUGUAGAAAAGUGAAUUCCCAUACAUGCUUGGAUUAAAAAUUCCCAUACAUGUAGAAAAGGGAUGUUUCUAACAAAAAAUUUUAUGUAUAUUUUAAUAAAAAGUGUAUUUCAAUAUUUACUUUAUAUGUUUAAAAAGGGAAAAUGAAAAUAACUAAAGUAAAUCAAAUUUUAUUUUAUUUUAUAUAGAAUCUAGGUAUGGUAGGGUAGUAUAAUUGUUUAUUGUAUCUUACAUUUUGAAAAUUAAAAUCUCAAAUUAGGGAUGACAACAAGGUGGGUUUGGAGUCAAUCAACCCUAUCCCAACCUUGCCCUGAUCAUUUAAAUCAAUUUCCAUUCCAUAUAAAAAGAAAUGAAAAAUGAAAAAAAAAAAGAAAUAAACCUUAAUGGAUAAGGUGAAUAGAGAAAUUUCUUCUGUAGAAAUGGAAUUAAAGCUAAGUGUGGGUAUGUCUUGUAUUUUGUAGACACGUCUUAGUGAAUUGACUUGACUCAUUGAAUGAUGGUUUUACUAUUACCAUAUUUGUUAGAAAAUUAAAGCUAAAGAUAGUGUAAUCUCUCUUUCUUAUCUUCUAUUUUCUAGACACAUCUUAGUGGAUUGACUUAACGCAUUGAAUUAUCAGCACUUGCAUAACUCAUACAAACCUAACUUGAUUAAAGUUUUAAACAUAUGAAAACGUAUAUUUAGGGAUGUCAACAAAGUGGCCAUCCACUAUUGACCUACCUUAUUUUUCAAACACAUUCUCAUCACUUUUCCAACCGCAAAAUGAGGUAGAACGAUGUAGAAAAGUGAAUUCCCAUACAUGCUUGGAUUAAAAAUUCUCUAUUGCAUUAUUUUAAAUUUUCAAUUAUACUAAAAAAACAUAAUUUAUAAGUAAAAACAUUAUGUUUUUAACAAAAUUUUUUGUAUAUUUUAAUAAAAAGUAGAUUUGAAUAUUUACUUUCAAUGUUUAAAAAGGGAAAAUGAACAUAACUAAAGUAAAUCAACUUUUAUUUGAUUUUAUAUAAAAUCUAGGUAUGGUAGGGUAGUAUAGAUUUUCAUUGUAUCUUACAUUUUGAAAAAUAAAAUCUCAAAUUAGGGAUGACAACAAGGUGGGUUUGAAAUCGAUCAACCCUAUCCCAACCUUGCCCGGAUUAUUUAAAUCAAUUUCCAUUCCCAAUAAAAAAAGAAAAAAGAAAAAAAAAAGAAAUAAACCUUAAUGGAUAAGGUGAAUAGAGACAUUUCUUUUGUAGAAAUGGAAUAAAAGCUAAGGGUGGGUAUNNNNNNNNNNNNNNNNNNNNNNNNNNNNNNNNNNNNNNNNNNNNNNNNNNNNNNNNNNNNNNNNNNNNNNNNNNNNNNNNNNNNNNNNNNNNNNNNNNNNUUUUCAAAUACAUUCUCAUCAUUUUUCCAACUAGAGAAGGAGGUAGAACGAUGUAGAAAAGUAAAUUCCCUUACAUGCUUGGAUUAAAAAUUUUGAAUUGAAUUAUUUUAAAUUUUCAAUUAUACUAAAAAAAAUAUAAUUUAUAAAUAAAAACAUUUUGUUUUUAACAAGAAAUUUUAUGUAUAUUUUAAUAAAAAGUAGAUUUGAAUAUUUACUUUAUAUGUUUAAAGAGGGAAAAUGAAAAUAACUAAAGUAAAUUAAAUUUUAUUUGAUUUUAUAUAGAAUCUAGGUAUGGUAGGGUAGUAUAAUUUUUUUAUUGUCUCUUACAUUUUGAAAAAUAAAAUCUCAAAUUCGGGAUGACAACAAGGUGGGUUUGGAGUCGAUCAACCCUAUCACAACCUUGCCCUGAUUAUUUAAAUCAAUUUCCAUUCCAUAUAAAUAAAAAAGAAAAAAGAAAAAAAAAGAAAUAAACCCUAAUGGAUAAGGUGAAUAGAUAAAUUUCUUUUGUAGAAAUGGAAUAAAAGCUAAGGGUGGUUAUGUCUUGUAUUAUGUAGACACGUCUUAGUGAAUUGACUUGACUCAUUGAAUGAAGGUUUUACUAUUACCGUAUUUGUUAGAAAAUUAAAGCUAAAGAUAGUGUAAUCUCUCUUUCUUAUCUUCUAUUUUCUAGACACAUCUUAGUGGAUUGACUUAACUCAUUGAAUUAGCAGCACUUGCAUAAUGCAUAAAGACCUAACUUGAUUAAAGUUUUAAACAUAUGAAAACAUAUUUUUAGGGAUGUCAACAAAGUGGCCAUCCACUCUUGACCUACCUUAUUUUCCACAGACAUUCUCAUCACUUUUCCAACCGCAGAAUGAGGUAGAACGAUAUAGAAAAGUGAAUUCUCAUACAUGCUUGAAUUAAAAAUUCUCAAUAGCAUUAUUUUAAAUUUUCAAUUAUACUAAAAAAUAUAUAAUUUGUAAAUAAAAACAUUAUGUUUUUAACAAAAAAAUUUAUGUAUAUUUUAAUAAAAAGUAGAUUUGAAUAUUUACUUUAUAUGUUUAAAAAGGGAAAAUGAAAAUAACUAAAGUAAAUCAACUUUUAUUUGAUUUUAUAUAGAAUCUAGGUAUGGUAGGGUCGUAUAAAUUUUCAUUCUAUCUUACAUUUUGAAAAAUAAAAUCUCAAAUUAGGGAUGACAACAAGGUGGGUUUGAAGCCGAUCAACCCUAUCCCAACCUUGCCCGGAUUAUUUAAAUCAAUUUCCAUUCCCAAUAAUAAAGGAAAAAAGAAAAAAAAAAGAAAUAAACCUUAAUGGAUAAGGUGAAUAGAGACAUUUAUUUUGUAGAUAUGGAAUUAAAGCUAAGGGUGGGUAUGUCUUGUAUUAUGUAGACACGUCUUAGUCAAUUGACUUGACUCAUUGAAUGAAGGUUUUACUAUUACCAUAUUUGUUAAAAAAUUAAAGCUAAAAAUAGCGUAAUCUCUCUUUCUUAACUUCUAUUUUCUAGACACAUGUUAUUGGAUUGACUUAACCCAUUGAAUUAACAGCACCUGCAUAAUGCAUAAAAACCAAACUUGAUUAAAGUUUUAAACAUAUCAAAUCGUAUUCUUAGGGAUGUCAACAAAGUGCUCAUCCACUCUUGACCUACCUUAUAUUCCAAAUACAUUCUCAUCAUUUUUCCAACCAUACAAUGCGGUAGAACGAUGUAGAAAAGUGAAUUCCCAUACAUGCUUGGAUUAAAAAUUCUCUAUUGCAUUAUUUUAAAUUUUCAAUUAUACUAAAAAAAAUAUAAUUUAUAAAUAAAAACAUUAUUGUGUUCACAAAAUUUUUUUGUAUAUUUGAAUAAAAAGUAGAUUUGAAUAUUUACUUUAAAUGAUUAAAAAGGGAAAAUGAAAAUAACUAAAGUAAAUCAAAUUUUAUUUGAUUUUAUAUAGAAUCUACGUAUGGUAGGGUAGUAUAAUCUUUUAUUGUAUCUUAAAUUUUGAAAAAUAAAAUCUCAAAUUAGGGAUGACAACAAGGUGGGUUUGGAGUCGAUCAACCCUAUCCAAACCUUGCCCUGAUUAUUUAAAUCAAUUUCCAUUCCCAGUAAGAAAAGAAAAAAGAAAAAAAAGAUAUAAACCUUAAUGGAUUAUGUGAAUAGAGAAAUUUCUUUUGUAGAAAUGGAAUUAAAGCUAGGUGUGGGUAUGUCUUGUAUUUUGUAGACACGUGUUAUUGAAUUGACUUGACUCAUUGAAUGAAGGUUUUACUAUUACUAUAUUUGAUAGAAAAUUAAAGCUAAAGAUAGUGUAAUCUCUCUUUCUUAUCUUCUAUUUUCUAGACACAUCUUAGUGGAUUGACUUAACUAAUUGAAUUAGCAGCACUUGCAUAAUGCAUAAAGACCUAACUUGAUUAAAGUUUUAAACAUAUGAAAACAUAUUUAUAGGGAUGUCAACAAAGUGGUCAUCCACCCUUGACCUACCUUAUUUUCCACAGACAUUCUCAUCACUUUUCCAACCGCAGAAUGAGGUAGAACGAUAUAGAAAAGUGAACUCUCGUACAUGCUUGGAUUAAAAAUUGUCAAUUGCAUUAUUUUAAAUUUUCAAUUAUACUAAAAAAAAUAUAAUUUAUAAAUAAAAACAUUAUGUAUUUAACAAAAAAAUUUAUGUAUAUUUUAAUAAAAAGUAUAUUUGAAUAUUUACUUUAUAUGUUUAAAAAGGGAAAAUGAAAAUAACUAAAGUAAAUCAACUUUUAUUUGAUUUUAUAUAGAAUCUAGGUAUGGUAGGGUAGUAUAAAUUUUCAUUCUAUCUUACAUUUUGAAAAAUAAAAUCUCAAAUUACGGAUGACAACAAGGUUGUUUGAAGUCGAUCAACCGUAUCCCAACCUUACCCGGAUUAUUUAAAUCAAUUUCCAUUCCCAAUAAAAAAGGAAAAAGAAAAUAAAGCAGGAAUAAACCUUAAUGGAUAAGAUGAAUAGAGACAUUUCUUUUGUAGAAAUGGAAUUAAAGCUAAGGGUUGGUAUGUCUUGUAUUAUGUAGACACACCUUAGUGAAUUGACUUGACUCAUUGAAUGAAGGUUUUACUCUUAUCAUAUUUGUUAGAAAAUUAAAGCUAAAGAUAGUGUAAUCUCUCUUUCUUAUCUUCUAUUUUCUAGACACAUCUUAGUGGAUUGACUUAACUCACUAAAUUAACUGCACUUCCAUAAUGCAUAAAAACCUAACUUGAUUAAACUUUUAAACAUAUGAAAACGUAUUUUUAGGGAUGUCAACAAAGUGGUCAUCCACUCUUGACCUACUUUAUUUUCCAAAUACAUUCUCAUCACUUUUCCAACUGUAGAAUGAGGUAGAACGGUGUAGAAAGGUAAAUUCCCAUACAUACUUGGAUUAAAAAUUCACUAUUGCAUUAUUUUAAAUUUUCAAUUACACUAAAAAAAUAUAAUUUAAAAAUAAAAACAUUAUGUUUUUAACAAAAAAUUUUAUGUAUAUUUUAAUAAAAAGUAUAUUUGAAUAUUUACUUUAUAUGUUUAAAAAGGGAAAGUGAAAAUAACUAAAGUAAAUCAAAUUUUAUUUGAUUUUAUAUAGAAUCUAGGUAUGGUAGGGUAGUAUAAUUUUUUAUUGUAUCUUAAAUUUUGAAAAAUAAAAUCUCAAAUUAGGGAUGACAACAAGGUGGGUUUGGAGUGGAUCAACCCUAUCCCAACCUUGCUCUAAUUAUUUAAAUCAAUGUCCAUUCUCAAUAAGAAAAGAAAAAAGAAAAAAAAGAUAUAAACCUUAAUGGAUAAGGUGAAUAGAGAAAUUUCUUUUGUAGAAAUGGAAUAAAAGCUAAGGGUGGUUAUGUCUUGUAUUAUGUAGACACGUCUUACUGAAUUGACUUGGCUCAUUGAAUGAAGGUUUUACUAUUACCAUAUUUGUUAGAAAAUUAAAGCUAAAGAUAACGUAAUCUCUCUUUCUUAUCUUCUAUUUUCUAGACACAUCUUAGUGGAUUGACUUAACACAUCGAAUUAAUAGCACUUGCAUAAUGCAUAAAAACCUAACUUGAUUAAAGUUUUAAACAUAUCAAAACGUAUUUUUAGGGAUGUCAACAAAGUGGUCAUCCACUCUUGACCUACCUUAUUUUCCAAAUACAUUCUCAUCAUUUUUCCAACCACAGAAUGAGGUAGAACGAUGUAGAAAAGUGAAUUCCCAUACAUGCUUGGAUUAAAAAUUCUCUAUUGCAUUAUUUUAAAUUUUAAAUUAUACCAAAAAAAUAUAAUUUAGAAAUAAAAACAUUAUGUUUUUAACAAAAAAUUUUAUGUAUAUUUUAAUAAAAAUUAUAUUUGAAUAUUUACUUUAUAUGUUUAAAAAGGGAAAGUGAUAAUAACUAAAGUAAAUCAAAUUUUAUUUGAUUUUAUAUAGAAUCUAGGUAUGGUAGGGUAGUAUAAUUUUUUAUUGUAUCUUAAAUUUUGAAAAAUAAAAUCUCAAAUUAGGGAUGACAACAAGGUGGGUUUGGAGUUAAUCAACCCUAUCCCAACCUUGCUCUAAUUAUUUAAAUCAAUGUCCAUUCUCAAUAAGAAAAGAAAAAAGAAAAAAAAGAUAUAAACCUUAAUGGAUAAGGUGAAUAGAGAAAUUUCUUUUGUAGAAAUGGAAUAAAAGCUAAGGGUGGUUAUGUCUUGUAUUAUGUAGACACGUCUUACUGAAUUGACUUGGCUCAUUGAAUGAAGGUUUUACUAUUACCAUAUUUGUUAGAAAAUUAAAGCUAAAGAUAACGUAAUCUCUCUUUCUUAUCUUCUAUUUUCUAGACACAUCUUAGUGGAUUGACUUAACACAUCGAAUUAAUAGCACUUGCAUAAUGCAUAAAAACCUAACUUGAUUAAAGUUUUAAACAUAUCAAAACGUAUUUUUAGGGAUGUCAACAAAGUGGUCAUCCACUCUUGACCUACCUUAUUUUCCAAAUACAUUCUCAUCAUUUUUCCAACCACAGAAUGAGGUAGAACGAUGUAGAAAAGUGAAUUCCCAUACAUGCUUGGAUUAAAAAUUCUCUAUUGCAUUAUUUUAAAUUUUAAAUUAUACUAAAAAAAUAUAAUUUAGAAAUAAAAACAUUAUGUUUUUAACAAAAAAUUUUAUGUAUAUUUUAAUAAAAAGUAUAUUUGAAUAUUUACUUUAUAUGUUUAAAAAGGGAAUGUGAUAAUAACUAAAGUAAAUCAAAUUUUAUUUGAUUUUAUAUAGAAUCUAGGUAUGGUAGGGUAGUAUAAUUUUUUAUUGUAUCUUAAAUUUUGAAAAAUAAAAUCUCAAAUUAGGGAUGACAACAAGGUGGGUUUGGAGUUGAUCAACCCUAUCCCAACCUUGCUCUAAUUAUUUAAAUCAAUGUCCAUUCUCAAUAAGAAAAGAAAAAAGAAAAAAAAGAUAUAAACCUUAAUGGAUAAGGUGAAUAGAGAAAUUUCUUUUGUAGAAAUGGAGUAAAAGCUAAGGGUGGUUAUGUCUUGUAUUAUGUAGACACGUCUUAGUGAAUUGACUUGACUCAUUGAAUGAAGGUUUUACUAUUACCAAAUUUGUUAGAAAAUUAAAGCUAAAGAUAGUGUAAUCUCUCUUUCUUAUCUUCUAUUUUCUAGACACAUCUUAGUGGAUUGACUUAACUCAUUGAAUUAACUGCACUUGCAUAAUGCAAUAAAACCGAACUUGAUUAAUGUUUUAAACAUAUGAAAAGGUAUUUUUAGGGAUGUCAACAAAGUGAUCAUCCACUCUUGACCUACUUUAUUUUCCAAAUAUAUUCUCAUCACUUUUCCAACCGUAGAAUGAGGUAGAACAGUGUAGAAUGGUGAAUUCCCAUACAUGCUUGGAUUAAAAAUUCUCAAUUGCAUUAUUUCAAAUUUUCAAUUCUACGAAAAAAAAUAUAAUCUAUAAAUAAAAACAUUAUGUUUUUAACAAAUAAAUUUAUGUAUAUUUUAAUAAAAAUUAUAUUUGAAUAUUUACUUUAUAUGUUAAAAAAGGGAAAAUGAAAAUAACUAAAGUAAAUCAACUUUUAUUUGAUCUUAUAUAGAAUCUAGGUAUUGUAGGGUAGUACAAAUUUUUUAUUGUAUCUUAAAUUUUGAAAAAUAAAAUCUCAAAUUAGGGAUGACAACAAGGUGGGUUUGGAGUCGAUCAACCCUAUCACAACCUUGCCCUGAUUAGUUAAAUCAAUUUCCAUUCCCAAUAAGAAAAGAAAAAAGAAAAAAUAGACAUAAACCUUAAUGGAUAAGGUGAAUGGAGAAAUUUCUUUUCAAGAAAUGGAAUUAAAGCUAAGUGUGCGUAUGUCUUGUAUUUUGUAGACACGUCUUAGUGAAUUGACUUCACUCAAUGAAUGAAGUUUUUACGAUUACCGUAUUUGUUAGAAAAUUAAAGCUAAAGAUAGUGUAGUCUCUCUUUCUUAUCUUCUAUUUUCUAGACACAUCUUAGUGGAUUGACUUAACUCACUGAAUUAACAGCACCUGCAUAAUGCAUAAAAACCUAACUUGAUUAAGGUUUUAAACAUAUGAAAACGUAUUUUUAGGGAUGUCAACAAAGUGGUCAUCCACUCUUGACCUACCAUAUUUUCCACAGACAUUCUCAUCACUUUUCCAAUCGUAGAAUGACGUAGAACGAUAUAGAAAAGUGAAUUCUCAUACAUGCUUGGAUUAAAAACUCUCAAUUGUAUUAUUUUAAAUUUUCAAUUAUACUAAAAAAAUAUAAUUUAUAAAUAAAAACAUUAUGUUUUUAACAAAAAAAUUUUGUAUAUUUUAAUAAAAAGUAGAUUUGAAUAUUUACUUUAAAUGUUUAAAAAGGGAAAAUGAAAAUAACUACAGUAAUCAAAAUUUUAUUUUAUUUUUCAUAGAAUCUAGGUAUGGUAGGGUAGUAUAAUUUUUUAUUGUAUCUUAAAUUUUGAAAAAUAAAAUCUCAAAUUAGGGAUGACAACAAGGUGGGUUUGGAGUCGAUCAACCCUAACCCAACCUUGCCCAGAUUAUUUCAAUCAAUUUCCAUUCCCAAUAAAAAAAAGAAAAAAGAAAAAAAAGAAAUAAACCUUAAUAGAUAAGGUAAAUAGAGAAAUUUCUUUUGUAGAAAUGGAAUUAAUUAAAGCUAAGCAUGGGUAUGUCUUGUAUUUUGUAGACACAUCUUAGUGAAUUGACUUGACUCAUUGAAUGAAGGUUUUAAUAUUACCAAAUUUGUUAGAAAAUUAAACCUAAAGAUAGUGUAAUCUCUCUUUCUUAUCUUCUAUUUUCUAGACACAUCUUAGUGGAUUGACUUAACUCAUCAAAUUAAUUGCACUUGAAUAAUGCAUAAAAACCUAACUUGAUUAAAGUUUUAAACAUAUUAAAACGUAUUUUUAGGGAUGUCAACAAAGUGGUCAUCCACUCUUGACCUACUUUAUUUUCCAAAUACAUUCUCAUCACUUUUCCAACCGUAAAAUGAGGUAGAACGGUGUAGAAAGGUGAAUUCCCAUACAUGCUCGGAUUAAAAAUUCUCAAUUGCAUUAUUUCAAAUUUUCAAUUCUACGAAAAAAAUAUAAUUUAUAAAUAUAAACAUUAUGUUUUUAACAAAUAAAUUUAUGUAUAUUUUAAUAAAAAGUAUAUUUGAAUAUUUACUUUAUAUGUUAAAAAAGGGAAAAUGAACAUAACUAAAGUAAAUAAAAUUUUAUUUGAUUUUAUAUAGAAUCUAGGUAACGUAGGGUAGUAUAAAUUUUCAUUGUAUCUUACAUUUUGAAAAAUAAAAUCUCAAAUUAGGGAUGACAACAAGGUGGGUUUGGAGUCGAUCAACCCUAUCCCAACCUUGCCCGGAUUAUUUAAAUCAAUUUCCAUUCCAAAUAAAAAAAGAAAAAAGGAAAAAAAAAUAGAAAUAAACCUUGAUGGAUAAGGUGAAUAGAGAAAUUUCUUUUGUAGAAAUGGAAUUAAAGCGAAGUGUGGGUAUGUCUUGUAUUUUGUAGACACAUCUUAGUGAAUUGACUUGACUCAUUGAAUGAAGGUUUUACUAUUACCAAAUUUGUUAGAAAAUUAAACCUAAAGAUAGUGUAAUCUCUCUUUCUUAUGUUCUAUUUUCAAGACACAUCUUAGUGGAUUGACUUAACUCAUUGAAUUAACAGCACAUGCAUAAUGCAUAAAAACCUAACUUGAUUAAAGUUUUAAACAUAUGCAAACGUAUUUUUAGGGAUGUCAACAAAGUGGUCAUCCACUCUUGACCUACUUUAUUUUCCAAAUACAUUCUUACCACUUUUCCAACCGCAAAAUGAGGUAGAACGAUGUAGAAUGGUGAAUUCCCAUACAUGCUUGGAUUAAAAAUUCUCUAUUGCAUUAUUUUAAAUUUUAAAUUAUACUAAAAAAAAAUAAUUUAGAAAUAAAAACAUUAUGUUUUUAACAAGAAAUUUUAUGUAUAUUUUAAUAAAAAGUAUAUUUGAAUAUUUACUUUAUAUGUUUAAAAAGGGAAAGUGAUAAUAACUAAAGUAAAUCAAAAUUUAUUUGAUUUUUUAUAGAAUCUAGGUAUGGUAGGGUAGUAUAAUUUUUUAUUGUAUCUUAAAUUUUGAAAAAUAAAAUCUCAAAUUAGGGAUGACAACAAGGUGGGUUUGGAGUUGAUCAACCCUAUCCCAACCUUGCUCUAAUUAUUUAAAUCAAUGUCCAUUCUCAAAAAGAAAAGAAAAAAGAAAAAAAAGAUAUAAACCUUAAUGGAUAAGGUGAAUAGAGAAAUUUCUUUUGUAGAAAUGGAAUAAAAGCUAAGGGUGGUUAUGUCUUGUAUUAUGUAGACACGUCUUAGUGAAUUGACUUGACUCAUUGAAUGAAGGUUUUACUAUUACCAAAUUUGUUAGAAAAUUAAACCUAAGGAUAGUGUAAUCUCUCUUUCUUAUCUUCUAUUUUCUAGACACAUCUUAGUGGAUUGACUUAACUCAUUGAAUUAACUGCACUUGCAUAAUGCAAUAAAACCGAACUUGAUUAAAGUUUUAAACAUAUGAAAAGGUAUUUUUAGGGAUGUCAACAAAGUGGUCAUCCACUCUUGACCUACUUUAUUUUCCAAAUACAUUCUCAUCACUUUUCCAACCGUAAAAUGAGGUAGAACGGUGUAGAAAGGUGAAUUCCCAUACAUGCUCGGAUUAAAAAUUCUCAAUUGCAUUAUUUUAAAUUUUCAAUUCUACGAAAAAAAUAUAAUUUAUAAAUAUAAACAUUAUGUUUUUAACAAAUAAAUUUAUGUAUAUUUUAAUAAAAAGUAUAUUUGAAUAUUUGCUUUAUAUGUUAAAAAAGGGAAAAUGAACAUAACUAAAGUAAAUCAAAUUUUAUUUGAUUUUAUAUAGAAUCUAGGUAACGUAGGGUAGUAUAAAUUUUCAUUGUAUCUUACAUUUUGAAAAAUAAAAUCUCAAUAUUAGGGAUGACAACAAGGUGGGUUUGGAGUCGAUCAACCCUAUCCCAACCUUGCCCGGAUUAUUUAAAUCAAUUUCCAUUCCAAAUAAAAAAAGACAAAAGAAAAAAAAAUAGACAUAAACCUUGAUGGAUAAGGUGAAUAGAGAAAUUUCUUUUGUAGAAAUGGAAUUAAAGCUAAGGGUGGAUAUGUCUUGUAUUUUGUACACAAGUCUUAGUGAAUUGACUUGACUCAUUGAAUGAAGGUUUUACUAUUACCACAUUUGUUAGAAAAUUAAGGCAAAAGAUAGUGUAAUCUCUCUUUCUUAUCUUCUAUUUUCUAGACACAUCUUAGUGGAUUGACUUAACUCAUUGAAUUAACAGCACCUGCAUAAUGCAUAAAAACCUAACUUGAUUAAAGUUUUAUACAUAUGAAAACGUAUUUUUAGGGAUGUCAACAAAGUGGUCAUCCACUCUUGACCUACCUUAUUUUUCAAACACAUUCUCAUCACUUUUCCAACCGCAAAUUGAGGUAGAACGAUGUAGAAUGGUGAAUUCCCAUACAUGCUUGGAUUAAAAAUUCUCUAUUGCAUUAUUUUAAAUUUUAAAUUAUACUAAAAAAAUAUAACUUAGAAAUAAAAACAUUAUGUUUUUAACAAAAAAUUUUAUGUAUAUUUUAAUAAAAAGUAUAUUUGAAUAUUUACUUUAUAUGUUUAAAAAGGGAAAGUGACAAUAACUAAAGUAAAUCAAAUUUUAUUUGAUUUUAUAUAGAAUCUAGGUAUGGUAGGGUAGUAUAAUUUUUUUUUGUAUCUUAAAUUAUGAAAAAUAAAAUCUCAAAUUAGGGAUGACAACAAGGUGGGUUUGGAGUUGAUCAACCCUAUCCCAACCUUGCUCUAAUUAUUUAAAUCAAUGUCCAUUCUCAAUAAGAAAAGAAAAAAGAAAAAAAAGAUAUAAACCUUAAUGGAUAAGGUGAAUAGAGAAAUUUCUUUUGUUGAAAUGGAAUAAAAGCUAAGGGUGGUUAUGUCUUGUAUUAUGUAGACACGUCUUAGUGAAUUGACUUGGCUCAUUGAAUGAAGGUUUUACUAUUACCAUAUUUGUUAGAAAAUUAAAGCUAAAGAUAACGUAAUCUCUCUUUCUUAUCUUCUAUUUUCUAGACACUUCUUAGUGGAUUGACUUAACACAUUGAAUUAAUAGCACUUGCAUAAUGCAUAAAAACCUAACUUGAUUAAAGUUUUAAACAUAUCAAAACGUAUUUUUAGGGAUGUCAACAAAGUGGUCAUCCACUCUUGACCUACCUUAUUUUCCAAAUACAUUCUCAUCAUUUUUCCAACCACAGAAUGAGGUAGAACGAUGUAGAAAAGUGAAUUCCCAUACAUGCUUGGAUUAAAAAUUCUCUAUUGCAUUAUUUUAAAUUUUAAAUUAUACUAAAAAAAUAUAAUUUAGAAAUAAAAACAUUAUGUUUUUAACAAAAAAUUUUAUGUAUAUUUUAAUAAAAAGUAUAUUUGAAUAUUUACUUUAUAUGUUUAAAAAGGGAAAGUGAUAAUAACUAAAGUAAAUCAAAUUUUAUUUGAUUUUAUAUAGAAUCUAGGUAUGGUAGGGUAGUAUAAUUUUUUAUUGUAUCUUAAAUUUUGAAAAAUAAAAUCUCAAAUUAGGGAUGACAACAAGGUGGGUUUGGAGUCGAUCAACCCUAUCCCAACCUUGCCCUGAUUAUUUAAAUCAAUUUCCUUUCCAUAUAAAAAAAAAAAGCAAAAAAAGAAAAAAAAGAAAUAAACGUUAAUGGAUAAGGUGAAUAGAGAAAUUUCUUUUGUAGAAAUAGAAUUAAAGCUAAGUGUGGGUAUGUCUUGUAUUUUGUAGACAUGUCUUAGUGAAUUGACUUGACUCAUUGAAUGAAGGUUUUACUAUUACCGUAUUUGUUAGAAAAUUAAAGCUAAAGAUAGUGUAAUCUCUCUUUCUUAUCUUCUAUUUUCUAGACACAUCUUAGUGGAUUGACUUAACUCACUGAAUUAACAGCACCUGCAUAAUGCAUAAAAACCUAACUUGAUUAAAGUUUUAAACAUAUGAAAACGAAUUUUUAGGGAUGUCAACAAAGUGGUUGUCCACUCUUUACCUACCUUAUUUUCCACAGACAUUGUCAUCACUUUUCCAAUCGUAGAAUGAGGUAGAACGAUUUAGAAAAGUGAAUUCUCAUACAUGCUUGGAUUAAAAAUUCUCAAUUGCAUUAUUUUAAAUUUUCAAUUAUACUAAAAAAAAUAUAAUUUAUAAAUAAAAACAUUAUGUUUUUAACAAAACAUUUUAUGUAUAUUUUAAUAAAAAGUAGAUUUGAAUAUUUACUUUAUAUGUUUAAAAAAGGAAAAUGAAAAUAACUAAAGUAAAUCAAAUUUUAUUUGAUUUUAUAUAGAAUCUACGUAUGGUAGGGUAGUAUAAAUUUUCAUUGUAUCUUACAUUUUGAAAAAUAAAAUCUCAAAUUAGGGAUGACAACAAGGUGGGUUUGGAGUCGAUCAGCCCUAUCCCAACCUUGCCCGGAUUAUUUAAAUCAAUUUCCAUUCCCAAUAAUAAAGGAAAAAAGAAAUAAACCUUAAUGGAUAAGGUGAAUAGAGACAUUUCUUUUGUAGAAAUGGAAUUAAAGCUAAGGGUGGGUAUGUCUUGUAUUAGGUAGACACGUCUUAGUGAAUUGACUUGACUCAUUGAAUGAAGGUUUUACUAUUACCAUAUUUGUUAGAAAAUUAAAGCUAAAGAUAGUGUAAUCUCUCUUUCUUAUCUUCUAUUUGCUAGACACAUCUUAGUGGAUUGACUUAACUCAUUGAAUUAACAGCACUUGCAUAAUGCAUAAAAACAUAACUUGAUUAAAGUUUUAAACAUAUGAAAACGUAUUUUUAGGGAUAUCAACAAAGUGGUCAUCUACUCUUGACCUACCUUAUUUUCCAAAUACUUUCUCAUCACUUUUCCAACCGCAGAAUGUGGUAGAAUGAAUGUAGAAAAGUUAAUUCCCAUACAUGUUUGGAUUAAAAAUUCUCAAUUGCAUUAUUUUAAAUUUUCAAUUAUGCUAAAAAAAUAUUAUUUAUAAAUAAAAACAUUAUGUUUUUAACAAAAAAAUUUAUGUAUAUUUUAAUAAAAAGUAGAUUUGAAUAUUUACUUUAUAUGUUUCAAAAGGGAAAAUGAAAAUAACUAAAGUAAAUCAAAUUUUAUUUGAUUUUAUAUAGAAUCUAGGUAUGGUAGGGUAGUAUAAUUUUUUUUUAUUGUAUCUUACAUUUUGAAAAAUAGAAUCUCAAUUUAGGGAUGACAACAAGGUGGGUUUGGAGUCGAUCAACCCUAUCCCAACCUUGCCCUGAUUAUUUAAAUCAAUUUCCAUUCCCAAUAAAAAAAAAAGAAAAAAAGAAAAAAAAGAAAGAAAGAAACCUUAAAUGGAUAAGAUGAAUAGGGAAAUUUCUUAUACAUGUAUUCCACUUUAUUUAGUUUAUAUUUUAUUUUUUAUUUCAAAACAAUUAAAGUUUAUAAGUGAAUAAAUGUUAUAAUUUUAUAAAUUAUUCUUAUGGGAUUUUUUUUUAAUUAUUUUAGAUGUAUUGAAAUGGAUAGCAAAAAAAAUUGAAUUAUUAUUUAGUUAAUUAUAUGUAUAAUUGGGGUAGAGCAAGAUAAGAGAAGGCAAUACCCAAACCCAUUCUAAAUCAAACCUAGGUUUUUUUCUUUUUACAAAAUAAAUAAAAAUCUAUGCUCAUCCCUAUCUUGUUUGUGUUUCUUUCAAACUCAUCCCAUAAGGGACAAGGCAAGGAGCAAGAAAAAUUUGUCCCAUUGCCAUCUCUAUCUCAAAUCCUCUAAGAUACAAUUAUGCCUUCUUCAAGGCUAUCUUUCCUCUUUGUACACCAGCCUCAUUUGAAAAGAAACAAAGAAAAGUAGGUGUAAAGGGAAGAAAUGUGGGUACAAUUAUAAUUGUCUUUAUGGUAAACAUAAAUAUUUGCUCACAAUUUCUAAACACGUUGAAUCAAUCAGUUCCUUUUCAUUCCAUUUCUUCGAAAUCUUGUAAACAUUUUAAUAGAAUUUAUUGUUCUCAACUUUUAUUCAUUUUAUCUCAUUUCUUUUCUAUUUUAAUUUUUUCCUUCAAUUUCCUAUAAAAAAAAUAUUAAUAAUCAUGUCAUAAUUAAGUUUGUUUGAAAUUAAAGUAAUGAUGCAAUCAAUUUUUUUCCCCCUAGUUUAUGAAGAUGUCUCAAUUAAUGUGUUUUUCCUUGUAAAGAAGUUUGAACCAUAACUUAAAAUAAGAGAUCAAAGAUUUGUAAUUAUUUUUAGUCAAUAAAAGUGGAAAGCUAAAAAGCCCUCAUUCACACACCUUUAAUGACUUGUCAAUUCAUAAAACAUCUUUCUUCCUUAUUUGUCAUUAAUUAUUAAUUAAAUUUGAUUUUGGAUCAAGAUGUGUUAAUGAAUUUACAUAAGCUGAGCUUAAAGCCAUCAUGCAUAAGAAAAUGAAACAUUUGUAAUUAAUAAAAUUGGAGAUUUUCUACAAUUUCAAUUAACUUAACAAAAGUGAUUUGAAAAUAUAGUUGUACAGAAUUGCUAGCAAAUCCUUCAACACUAUUAAUAUAAGAAGCCAAAUCCUUCAAUACUCAUUAUGCCAUUGAGAUGGAUGUCAUUUAAACACAAUGAUGUUAUUAUUUAACACUUUUAUGGGGGUAGUAUGUUAAACAUUUAUAUUUCAUUUCAUUUCAUUUUUGUUCUGACAAGGGUGAUACUAAUUGUACCCAUCUUUUCUAUUUGUAUGCUCAACCUCAUUUGAAAAGAAACAAAGAAAAGUAGGUGGGUACAAUUAUUAUUUUCUUUAUGGUAAACAUAAAUACUUGUAGAAUAGUGGCCUUCGAGGUAAUGAGGGAAAAGUCCUUACUUGCGGACUUUGAGGAGUGAUGGAAAAGUCCUCCCUCUAUUCCUUGCGGAAUAGCAGACUUUUUGAGGUGUAAGGAGAGUUUGAAGAAGUUAAGGCCUUACUCUAUUCUUACCCUUCAGUAAGGAAUAAUGACCUUAAUUUUUUUGUUUUUUUUUUUUGGGUCAAAGCCUGACUCUAUUCUUGCCCUUUAGUUAGGAAUAGCAGACUUUGGUUAUUAGGGAGAGGCCUUACUUUAUUCCCUUCAGGAAUAGCAACCUUCAAGGAAGAGAAGUUGUAGUUCACAAUUUCUUACCACAUUGAAUGAAUCGAUUCUUUUUCAUUCCAUUUCCUCAUAAUCUUGUAAAUAUUUUAAUAUAAUUUUUUGUUCUCAUUUUUUAUUCAUUCUAUCCCAUUUCUUUUCUAUUUUAAUUUAUUCUUUCAUUUCCUAUUAAAAAAAAAUUAAUAAUCAGGUCAUAAGUUAGUUAGAAACUAAAGUAAUGAUAUAAUCAACUUCUUUUUUUUCCCUAGUUUGUGGAGAUGUCUUGAUUAAUUUAUUCUUUAUUGACUUGUCAAUUCAUAGAACAUUUUUCUUCCUCAUUUGUCAUUAAUUAUUAAUUAAAUUUGAUUUUGGAUCAAGAUAUGUUAAUGAAUUUACAUAAGUUGAGAUUAAGGAAUCAUAUCAAAGAUUGGAGAAAUUUUCAUUAAUUAUUAAUUAAUAAAAUUAGAGAUUUGCUAGAAUUUCAAUUAACUUAAACAAAAGUGAUUUGAAAAAACAGUUUUUAUAAGAACUUAUAACAUUUAAAAGAAAAAACAGUUUAAUUCAAGAACUUUUAUGUAACUUUUAAUAGUGCUGAAAAGAACUCCCGAAUAUUCAAAAUUUGGGUUCUAAAGAAAUCAAGGGUAGUGAAAACUGAAAAGCUACUAUCUCAGCUGUUGGAGGCCUUCCAACUGUGCAAAACCCAAAGGUAAAAACGACGUCAUUUUCUCAAACUGGGACGACACCGUUUUGGGUUAGGACGCAGUGAAAUAAGAUUGAAUUCACAGUCGUUUCUCAGUCUUUCAUUAUUUGCCGCUUUUUCCAGUUGCCGGAAACCACAAAGCUUCACGGACUGAGUGAUAUAAGAAUUUCAAUUAACUUAAACAAAAGUGAUUUCAAAAAACAGUUUUUAAUACAAAAAUUAUGAAUUUCACUCUUCAAUAAAUAAAAGUGGAAGGAAUCUUGGUAUUGCGUUCAUAUGGUAGACUCAAACAGAUACUAUAUAUAUGUGAGUGCUUGGUCUCCUCAGAAUUCAUAAGAAAAAAACAGCAGUUGCAAAGCCUCUCUUCUAUUACUUGCAGACCAUGGCAGGACGGUCCUUUCAACACCUUCUUAGCUUUCUUAUGCUUUUGCUGCUAUGUGCCAAACCUGGCCUGGGGAAUGUUACUGGGUGCAUAGAGAGGGAGAGACAAGCUCUCCUUCACUUCAAACGUGGCCUUGUCGAUGAAUUUGGCCUUCUUUCCUCUUGGGGAGACGACAACAGAGAUUGUUGCCAAUGGAGAGGAGUCCAGUGUAGUAACCAGUCUGGUCACAUCAUCAUGCUUCAUCUUCCUGCCCCGCCAAAUGAAGAAUAUGGUGAAUUUGUUAUUUACCAAUCUCUUAGAGGCGAUAUAAGUCCUUCGCUGCUUGAAUUGGAGCACUUGACUCAUUUGGAUCUCAGCUGUAAUGAUUUUGAAGAGAGGCACAUACCUCCAUUCCUUGGUUCCCUCAGCAGAAUGCAGUACCUCAAUCUCUCUCAUGCAUAUUUCGCUCAAACUGUUCCCACUCAACUGGGAAAUCUUUCCAACUUGCUUUCCCUUGAUCUCAGCAAUAAUUAUUUGAAGUUUGGGAACCUUGAGUGGCUUUCUCGUCUUUCUUCUUUAAGACACCUUGACCUAAGUUCUGUCGACCUUAGUAAAGCCAUCCACUGGUCCCAAGCAAUUAAUAAACUCCCUUCUCUCAAUUCACUUGGAUUUACAAAGUUGUGGUCUCCCUCCCAUCCCUCCACUCACCAUUCCGUCUCUUUCCCAUGGGAAUUCCUCUGUCCCUCUUGUUUUCCUUGAUCUCUCUUUUAACCAUCUCACUUCUUCAAUAUACCCAUGGCUGCUCAACUUUAGUACCACCCUCCUUCAUCUUGAUCUCUCUUUGACUGAUUUAAAUGGUUCGAUUCCGGAAUAUGCUUUUGGGAACAUGAGUUCCCUUGAAUAUCUUGAUCUCUCUUCGAAUCAACUGCAGGGCUCAAUUCCAGAUACAGUUGGGAAGAUGGUUUUACUUUCCCAUCUUGAUCUCUCUUUCAAUCAACUGCAGGGCUCAAUUCCAGAUACAGUUAGGAAGAUGGUUUUACUUUCACAUCUUGAUCUCUCUGUCAAUCAACUGCAGGGCUCAAUUCCAGAUACAGUUGGGAAGAUGGUUUUACUUUCACAUCUUGAUCUCGUUGUCAAUCAACUGCAGGGCUCAAUUCCAGAUACAGUUGGGAAAAUGGUUUUACUUUCACAUCUUUUUCUAUCUUACAAUCAACUGCAGGGCUCAAUUCCAGAUACAGUUGGGAAUAUGGUUUUACUUUCACAUCUUGAUCUCUCUAGCAAUCAACUGCGGGGCUCAAUUCCAGAUACAGUUGGGAAUAUGGUUUUACUUUCACAUCUUGAUCUCUCUCGCAAUCAAUUGCAGGGCUCCAUUCCAUAUACAGUUGGGAACAUGGUUUCUCUUGAAAACCUUUAUCUCUCUCAGAAUCAUCUUCAAGGUGAGAUUCCAAAAUCCUUGAGUAAUUUAUGUAACUUACAAGCAUUAAAGUUGGAUAGAAACAAUCUCUCUGGACAGCUUGCACCAGACUUUGUGGCCUGUGCAAAUGACACAUUAAAGACUCUGUCUUUAUCAGAUAACCAGUUCAAUGGAUCAGUUCCUGCUCUUAUUGGAUUUUCAUCCUUAUGAGAGUUACAUCUUGAUUUUAAUCAACUAAAUGGAACUUUACCUGAAAGUGUUGGACAGCUGGCCAAACUUGAAUCCUUGGAUAUUGCCUCAAAUUCAUUGCAAGGCACUAUCUCUGAAGCCCAUCUCUUUAAUCUAUCCCAGUUGUCCUAUUUAAACUUAUCUCCCAACUCUCUCACUUUCAACAUGAGCUUGGAGUGGGUUCCUCCAUUUCAACUGUUUGAUCUACUAUCAGCCUCCUGCAAAUUGGGACCUCAUUUUCCUAGUUGGCUUCGUACUCAAAACCGGUUGAGUGAGCUUGAUAUCUCCAAUUCUGAAAUUUCAGAUGUCCUCCCAGACUGGUUUUGGAAUGUAACCUCAACUGUCAAUACCUUGAGUAUUUCCAACAAUCGGAUCAAAGGAACCUUACCCAAUUUAUCAUCAACAUUUGAACGUUUUUCUAACAUAGAUAUGAGCUCAAACUGUUUUGAGGGUUCAAUACCACAACUUCCUUAUGAUGUGCAAUGGUUGGAUCUCUCCAAUAACAAGUUAUCGAGGUCCAUUUCUUUAUUAUGUACAGUUGGUACUGAGUUACUUCUACUUGACCUCUCAAACAACUCGUUGUCGGGAGGGCUGCCCAAUUGUUGGGCGCAGUGGAAAAGCUUGGCAGUCCUUAAUUUGGAAAAUAACAGAUUUUCUGGGCAAAUUCCAAAUUCAUUUGGCUCCUUGCGAUCAAUUCGAACACUACAUUUGCGCAACAACAAUUUAACUGGAGAAUUGCCUUUGUCUUUUAAGAAUUGUACAAGUUUGAGGUUCAUUGAUUUGGCAAAAAAUAGGUUAUCAGGAAAAAUACCAGAAUGGAUUGGAGGAAGCCUCCCAAAUCUGAUUGUUCUAAACCUAGGAUCUAAUAGAUUCAGUGGAGGUAUAUCUCCAAAGCUAUGCCAAUUGAAAAAUAUUCAAAUAUUGGACCUCUCUAGCAACAAUAUGUUAGGUGUUGUACCGAGAUGUGUUGGUAGUUUCAUUGCCAUGACUAAGAAAGGGAGCUUGGUCAUUGCUCAUAAUUAUUCAUUUACAGACUAUGAUAAUUGUAGUUAUUUCAAUUGCAUGCCUACAAAUGCCUCUUAUGUUGAUAGGGCAUUGGUUAAAUGGAAAGCAAGAGAAUUUGAUUUUAAAAGUACCCUUGGGCUUGUAAAGAGUAUUGACCUUUCAAGCAACAAACUAUCGGGGGAAAUUCCAGAAGAAGUAAUUGAUCUUGUAGAAUUAGUUUCAUUAAACUUAUCAAGGAACAAUUUGACUAGACUGAUUCCUGCAAGAAUUGGUCAAUUGAAAUCAUUGGAGGUUCUUGAUUUGUCUCGAAAUCAACUCUUUGGUGAAAUUCCAGCUAGCCUUGUUGAAAUAAGUGAUCUAAGUGUCUUAGAUCUCUCUGACAACAACUUGUCCGGUAAAAUUCCACAAGGUACUCAACUUUAAAGCUUCAAUAUUGAUUCCUACAAGGGAAAUCUUGCACUCUGUGGAUUGCCUCUUCUGAAAAAGUGUUCUGAAGUUAAAAUAAAGCAGGAUUCUCCCACUCAUAACAUUGAAGACAAAAUUCAGCAAGAUGGAAAUGACAUGUGGUUUUAUGUUAGCGUUGCUCUUGGAUUCAUUGUUGGAUUUUGGGGAGUGUGUGGAACUUUACUACUCAACAACUCCUGGAGAUAUGCCUAUUUCCAAUUCUUGAAUAAAAUAAAAGAUUGGCUCUACGUGAUUAUAGCAAUAAAUAUGGCUAGAUUACAAAGGAGUCUCCAAAGCUAAAUGGUACAAUUCUCUCCCUCUUUCCCUCUUUUUCAUUUGUACUUGUUUUUGAAGGCUAACAAUUGUCAAAGAAAAGUAGGCCUUUACAUAUCCUUGGGAUAUACUUUAUAAAUCAUGAAUGCUAAUGCAAAUUUUCUUUGCAUGCAACUAAUUGAAGGGAUUUUUUCAAAUUGAUGAACACUGAUUUUUACUUUGUGUUAAUUAUAGGACUGCAACUCUUGUUCUUGCCAUAUUAGCAUGGUUGAAUGCAAAUCGUUGUGUCCUUCCUUCUGUGAUUGAUCUUGGGAUGUAAUAGGUUUCUUGUUUUAUUUUAAGGAUUUCUUAUGUUCUUUAAAUGCAUAUUUUAUAUUAUAUUCAGAAAUUUCUGUGACAUAUUAUCUCUUUUCUUCCUUACAUAAUGCUUUUAUUUGGUAUUUUGGAUACUUUAUGAUUCAUCCAAACAAUAUUAUAGAAGGAUAUCAAAGGUAUAUUAGAGUCCAGCUUUCUAAUUUUAAAAAUAUUUCUUUAGCUCUAAAACUAAUUUGUAUUCAUUAAAAUUAAAACAAAAAUAAAGGAUAAUGCCAUUUGGUUAUGUAUGACAUAAGUUUUCAACCAAUUAUUAAUAAUCAAAUCAUAAUUUCAACACUAAAGAAAAAAGAAUUUUUUUUUCACAAGUUAUUAAUGAUCUGUUUCUCUCUUUCUAAAAAAAACUAAAUUACUCUAAUAAAUGGGAAACUCUUUCUUUCUUGUCAUCAAAGCUUUUUCACUUGAAGUUGUCUCACAUGCAGAUAAUUUUUGUGAAAUAUUUUGUUUUCAUCAAUUUUAUAGAAUAUUAAGUCUAACUUCUUUUCUUAAUAAAAGGUUUUUUUUAAGCAAUUAAAAAAAUCUCGUGUUAUUUUCUCUAUUUUAACAUAUUUCAACUCUAGGAUGACUAAAAUAUGAUUGAAAAAUAUAAAAUAAGAGAGAAUAAUUAUAUUCUAUAAAAGCCAUUAAGAAUCAAGUCCUAUCAAGUUUUUAAAGUGGUAAAAAUGAAAACUUUUAUAUUACCAUUCUUUUAUAAGUUUUUGUAUUUAUUAGUUUUUAUUUAUUUCUCUAUGAUAAAAUCUUUUAUCUAAAAUAUUUUUCAAUAAUUCUUUAUUAUGAUUUUUUAAAUUUAAAAAUAGAAAAGACUCUAAUUCUUAUUAAAAAUAUUAUUUAUAUUAAUAUUUUCUUCUAAGCUCUUUCUAUUGGAACAAGUAGUGACUAUGUAGACCCCUCAUUUUGGUUCUAGAGGAGACUUAAUUCUUUCUGGUUACCUUUCGUUCUGUUUUCGCCUUUUGGAAGGUGAGUUGUAAAAGACAGGUGGCAAAAGAGGAUAUUCUGGUGGCAGACUGUGAGGGUAAGACAUGUGGCAGUGAGGUUUUGGUUUUUCUGCUAGUCAUUUUAGAGUGAGUAGUGGAGUGUCUUGGUAGUAGGAAGAGCCGGGGGGUUGUUAGAGGGUAGUAGAAAAUGUCCUUUGCAGGGAUGACACGUAUUAGAGGGGAUAUAUUUUGGGUUAUUUGGUUAAAGGUGCCAAAACAAGCUGGUAUUUGGAAAAAUGACCUCUACCUUUUUAAAACCUGAAGAAUGACCCCUUUUGGACUAAAUUACCCCUGAAAAAAAUUAAAGAGAAACCUUUGAAAUUCAAAAGUGCAGAAAGAAAGAUAGAGAACUAACUAAGGGUUCUCUUUUGAAUGGUAGACUGCAACACACUCUUUGGUCUUCUAAUAUUUUUUUUUGUUUUUUUGUUUUUUUGCAAAUUUUCGUAUUACUGCUGAUUAUUUGUCUAAAAGGAUUCUAAAAGGUUAUUCAUUUGAUUAAAGUGUGAAUUUUUUUUUUCUCCAGUUUUUGAAAAAAUGCGGGAAAGGAAGAGAACGAAAUGAAGUGGAAGAGAACCAAAAAGGAUCUUGAAAAGUAAGUUUAUUACUUUGAAAUAGUUUUUUUUUUUAGAUUUUUCUCUUGUUGAUUUCACAUAUUCGCUUGAGGUGUGUAUUUUCUUUCUGCAUUGUUUCAGAAAAAAUAUGGGAGAAAGUAAUGGUUUAUACGUUCACUUUUUGUUAAGCAUAAAUAUAAGGGUUUUUCUUAAAUUUGUUAGCUUAUUCCUCUUUGAUCUUGAACUCUUAAAACACAUUGGUCUACCAAAGAAGAUAUCUAGUUGAAUUGAAAAAAAAAGUCUUUAAUUAGAUUUCUUAGCUAUUUUAUUUUGAUGUUUUGCUCUAGUUGUUAAGAUUUUGAAGCAUGGUGUUGUGACAAAUGCUUUGUUUCUAUAGUGUAGAAAAGUGACAAAUGUGUUUACCAAUUUGGUCUUCUAAAGAGUUGAAUCAUAAUAAGAGAAAUAGAAUUUGCCCCCAUUUUGAUAUCUCCUCCCUAGUGAUUAGAAGAAACAUUUCAUUUGUCCCAUAGGAAAAUGAAUUUGUUUCCUUAAACCCCCAAGUGGAGACAUUGAAGGUGUUGCUAAAGUCUUUUUUCAUAAGCAGUGUUGGAAGAAUGGUUUCGAUUUCUUUUCCAAAAUUCAAAACCCUUCUUUUAGAGUAGUUUUGGCCUUUAUCAUAAAGUGAAAACAACACUUCUUCUAUGAUUCAUGUCAAUUAUUCUCCUUUUGUGUUGCUUAACUUUUAAGUAAUGGAACCAAUAUGAUAUACAUGAAUAGUGUGAAACCAAGGUUUGGUUAAUCUUGAUUUUGAUGAUAACAAAACAAGGUUUAGAACUAAUGAUCAUAUUUCAAGUGUGAUUAGGCAAGACAACUUCCAAAGUGGUAAUCCAAAGACAAAUCAAGCCAAGGAGAAAUCAUGAAGAAGAAGACCACCUCAAAGAGAAGAGUUUUUCAAGACCAAAGCUUCUUAAGAUCUCUUUGUAAGGUUGUUGGUGCACUAGGACUUUCAUGUAUUUCAUUCUUUAUUUAUGCACCAAAAUCAUCCAAGAGUAAUAUUGUUUUAAAUAUCUUAAGAAUUGGAUGAUUUCAUGUUUUUUUAACUAAAACCUUGUGUUAAAUGAUUUUCAAACUUGUGUUAAAAGGUUUUAAGUUGAAAAAGGUUGAGUGUUGAGCCAAAAAAAAUGGCUCAACCGGUUCAACCGGUUGUGCUCGUCCGGUCGAGGACCGGUUGUGCUUCUCCGGUCGAGGACCGGUUGAGGGAGGCGAAAAAGUUUCUCUCUCUCUCAGUGGCCUUCUCUUCCCAGUCAAGGUUGAACCUUAACCGCUUGAGGUCCGGUCGAGGUCCGGUUGAGGCCUAACGGUCACUUUUCCUAACGGCUAGUCAACCGGUCAAACCCCCAACAGCUAGUUUGGCUUUUUUCUUCUAUAAAAAGACUCCAAUCUUCAUUGUUUCAUAAGCUUAACCUUCCCAAUUCAUUCUUGAUUAUAUUUGAGCCUUGGAAGAGUGUUUUUUGAGUGCACCAUUGUUUCAUAACUUGCAUAUCUUUAGUGCACCAUUAAAUCCUAGUUUUUUUUGUAUCUUUGAGCCUAAAGUUCUAUUACUAGGAUUUUGAGAGAUCAUUAUUUGUAUGUCUUUGUGAGGAAUUUUCUCAAGUGCGAGGUAUCACUUGAGGGGUUGUUCAAGAGUGGGAUAUCUCUUGAGAAGUGUAAAGGGUGCUUGGAGCCAAAAGUCCAAGAGGGUGAAUUGGAACCAUAAUCCAAUUGUAAAGAGAUUAGAAGCUUGGUUGAAGCUUCAAGAUAGUGGAACCCUCACUCGGUUAGGAGGUUGAGGAGAGUGGAUGUAGGCAAAGAAGUGCCGAACCACUAUAAACUCUCGUGUUUGCACUCUCUCUUCCCUAACUCUUUUAAAUUAUAUGCAAUUGUAUUUAUUUUGUUUAUUAUAUACUUGCAUAUAAUUGUUUCUUAUUUUUGCAUAGUUUAAAUUUGUGAAAAAGAGACCAUCACCCUAUUUACCCCCCCUCUAGGGUGAUUACCAUAGUUUGGAGUAGCCCUAUUUUUCUAACAAAUAGUCAUUCUUUUCUAUUAAUGACAAAAUUGGAGAUCAUUGUAGUCUUUGCCAAUUGGGUGUCUAGUUUUUUAGAAAUUUAGGGGAAAAAUUUGUGCCUAUUUGUAGUUCUUUUCCCAAGGGAUAGAAAGGUGGUUUAACUGAAAAUCUCAAUUUUCAUCAAACUAUUUGCAUCCCUUGCCUAUCUAUAGUCUCGAUUUCACUUGUAUAUAUUGAGAAGAAAAUCACUACUCUCCCUUAGAGGUAAACCAACAUUAAGAAGCACCCCAUCAAGGUCUAAACCCAGUUUGCUUUUACUAGAUCAUAAGUGACAUUUGCUAAAUUUGGGACCCAGUUGGUCCUACAAUGCAAACCACAACAUUGAAAUAGUAAUCUCUAACAAAAGUCAUGACAAAGAACAAUCCCAACUGAGGGCUGAAAUAUUACUCACAACUAAAAUAUUGAGUGAGAUGAUGCAUAUGCAUAGCUAGAAUACUUCUGCCAUAUGCUUUCUAUAAGUAAGGAUAGUCCUUUAGAACUUCACUUAUAUCUAGAUAUAGAUGCAAGGAAAAGCAAUAUGACAUGGAGUCAUGAUUAGUUCUUAAAAUUUAGGCAUGAAUAACCAAAGUGUUUGAACUCUUUAGAAAAUCAUGUGCAUUAUGCAAUCUCUUUAAUCAAUAAAAGAUUUAAAAGAAUUGAAUGAAAAAUGUAGUGUAAGUUUUAUCAAAAUGCAAAUUUCUAAAACUUGUUUCUAAGGUGAUGUAAAAUAAUGUUAUACAAUGGUCUUUAUUUUUUCUCUCUUUUAUAUAAAUAUACAUAUAUACUUAGUAUAAACUUAUGGAUUUUAAUAAGUAAAUUCAUGAUUUUAAUAAGUGGUCUAAGUGUCUUAGAUCUCUUUGACAACAACUUGUUCAAUAAAAUUCCACAAGGUACUCAACUUCAAAGCUUCAAUAUUGAUUCCUACAAGGGAAAUCCUGCACUCUAUGGAUUACCUCUUUCGAAAAAGUGUUCUGAAGAUAAAAUAAAGCAAGAUUCUCCCACUCAUAACAUUGAAGAAAAAAUUCAGCAAUAUGGAAAUGACACGUGGUUUUAUGUUAGCGUUGCUCUUGGAUUCAUUGUUGGAUUUGGGGAGUGUGUGGAACUUUACUACUCAACAACUCAUGGAGAUAUGCCUAUUUCCAAUUCUUGAAUAAAAUAAAAGAUUGGCUCUACGUGAUUAUAGCAAUAAAUAUGGCUAGAUUACAAAGGAGUCUUCAAAGCUAAAUGGUACAAUUCUCUCCCUCUCUCCCUCCCUUUCAUUUGUACUUGUUUUUGAAGGCUAACAAUUGUCAAAGAAAAGUAGGCCUUUACAUAUCCUUGGGAUAUACUUUGUAAAUCAUGAAUGCUAAUGCAAAUUUUCUUUCCAUGCAACUUACUAAAGAGAUUUUUUCAAAUUGAUGAACACUGAUUUUUACUUUGUGUUAAUUGCAGGACUUCAACUCUUGUUCUUGCCAUAUUAGCAUGGUUGAAUGCAAAUCGCCGUGUCCUUCAUUCUAUGAUUGAUUUUGGGAUGUAAUAGGUUUCUUGUUUUAUUUUGAUGAUUAUCUAUGUUCUUUAUAUGUCUAUUUUGUCCUUUAUUCAGAAAUUUGUGUAACGUAUUAUCUCUUUUCUUCCUUACACAAUGCUUUUAUUUGGUAUUUGGAUACUUUAUGAUUCAUCCAAACAAUAUUAUAGAAGUAUAUCAAAGGUAUAUUAGAGUCCGACUUUCUAAUUUUAAAAAUAUUUCUUUAGUUUAUUCAUUAAUUUUUUUUUUAAAAAGGAUAAUUGGUUAUGUAUGACAUAAGUUUUCAACCAAUUAUUAAUAAUCAAAUCACAAUUUCAACACUUAAGAAAAAAGAAAUUUUAAUCGCAAGUUAUUAAUGAUCUGUUUCUCUCUUUCUAAAAAAAUUAAAUUACUUUAAUAAAUGGGAAACUCUUACUUUCUUGUUGUCAAAGCUUUUUCACUUGAAGUUGUCUCACAUGCAGAUAAUUUUUGUGGAAUAUUUUGUUUUCAUCCAUUUUUUGCUUGUCUCAAGUUAACUUCGUUUUCUUCUUAGUGGUUGAUUUUAUGGAUCCAUCACUAAAUCUGAUUAUUAAAGAUCAUGCCCCAACUUUCUUUUGAUUCCACCCUAGUGUAGCUCAUUGACAAUCCAUGAAAUAGGGCUAAGAUUCAUUGAUGUUUCGUUUAUUUGUUCGUUUGUGCUUUGCCCCUGUUUUGUUCUUCCCUAUAUUCCUCUAUUUCUGGUGUCUCUGGGUGAGGAUACAAUAACUUUGGUCAGACAGUCUUUGAGAAGUAUACAGAUUCCUGGUAUCAUCACCAUUUUGUUGGCGUGUUGGAGAAGUAUUGCAUUGGACCAGGAUGAGAAGGUAAGAAACUUCCAGCUUCGGAGCAAUACCUUUGCUUUCUUACUGAUUUCCAAAGCUGGGACUGGAAAUCUGAUCACUAAAAAGAAUAGUGAGCAUUUCGGGUUGAAUGAGGGUCCUUCGAGAGUCUACGGAUGAUGGCCACUUGAUUUUGGAGUUGGGGAACGAAUUUUCUCACUACCGAUGAUAUGAGUGUCAUACUAGUUGCAAAACUGAAGAGAAGAUUGGGAUGUGAAAUGUGGGCAAAAUUACAUUUGACUGGCAUGCAUGUUGACUAGGGUAUCAAGUUCCACUGGAGAUCAGGUAGAGGCAAUGGCCUUUCUAGGGGGUUUUAGACAUAAAAUGUGCUUUAAUGGCAUGAGAAUUUCUGGGUCCCUUUCAUCUAGUACUGUUCAUUUGUUAAUUUGGAGACCCAUUUUUGGUUUUGUUGAGGGUUCUGAGUUGAAGCUGGCCUGUGUUCAUGUGCAAAGCUAUCUUAUAUUUGUUUUGUUGAUAGAAUGUUAAAAUCAUUAAGAGUGAUAGUUUACGCCGAGCCACAUUGUUCAGAAAGGAGAAGUGGUUUUGAAGGAAUCAAUCCCAUGAAGUAGUUGCCUCCAACAAAGAUUUGGGCAUUUUGCAUGAAUAUAGAGUGGUGAUAAUUGAAGGAGUCUGGGGCUCUGAGCAUUGACACUUGAAGAAUGGCUUCAACAGGGCCACCAGACUUUAAAGAGAUUGAAUUCCUCGUUAACAAGAGAGGGAAUCCAGCUGAUUAUCACCCAUCUUGGUACUGGAAAUGAAAUGGGCUGUUCCUGUGCCUACACGUCUUAUAAAGGGAAAACCAUAUUGUUUGACUCUGGAAUUCUUCCCACAUACACAGGCACGGUUGCUUUGCCAUACUUUGACGAGAUUGAUCUUUCAACCAUUGAUGUCCUUUUGGUGAUACCCUUUCACUUGGAUCAUGCUGCAUCCCUUCCAUAUUACCUGGGAGAAGACAUUUCUGUGCAUUCAGACAGUAACAUGAAAGCUCGGUUCCUGAAACAGCACUUGCAGCUGCAAUCAAUCAAGCUCUUUCCCACCCAAGCCCUUGGUGCAUGUGACUUCUUCUGCAUGGCCAACCAAAGUUUCUACAAAGCCCUCCAUCAAAAUCCUUCCUCUAUCCAAUCCAAAUCCCAAGCCAAACAACUCCGUGCCUAAAACCUGAAGACAAACUCACUAUCUCCCCAAUCUUCAUACCCACCAAAUUCAUCAUGACAUACCCACCACCAUCAGUUUGUUUCCCAUCACAAUACUCAACACAAUCACUCCUCACACCCUCUACCUUCAACUUCAAACCCAUCAUACUCUCUCCAUGAUCCUCACUUUCCUUUCUCUCCCUAACAUGCUCUUCAGACGGUAACCAUAAAUCAACCAGAAGCAGCUCCUGGGUGGGCCCUAGUGGGCUAACCUCUCUCAUCCGGUUUCUCAUCAUUGCCCAAGACGACCUUGACAUACCAGUAGCCACAGUUCAGCUAGUAGAUGCGUCCAUGUGUGACGUUACUUCCACUCAGCAUGAAGAGAAGUCCUAUAGUUUAUUGCAUCCAGUCAUCACAAUUCUUGAUGGAAAAGAACGAGAUAUUGCUUGUCUUGUUACUAAAGUCGAGGAUUUAAUAUUGGAAGAUAACAAUAUGAAGUUUAGGCUAAAAUGGAUGAUUCUAUACUGGUUUUCGUACCCGUUUAUUCAUCCAAAGACGAUAAGCUACAUGUGUGAAGACAUUGGAAUCAUCUCAAGAUCCCAAAAUAGUCUCCAUGCUAAUGGCAGUAGCAGAGCCAGUGGAGCCAUGGAACCUCAAGCCUCUAGGAGCAUAGGACUGUCGGAGGAAAAUUCGAUGAGAAGAAGCACAAGGUUGGAUGCCGCCUUCAACUGAGCAUGUAAUGCUAUUUAGUUCUUCUCAUUCUCAGCACCCAAAAAGCUAGAAGGACGAUUUGAGGUGACUCAAGUUCAACAAGCUGUGAGCCUAGGAAUGGCCCCACGUGCAUGAAGUUUCGCACCACCCAAGAGCACGUGGCCCUUUUGAAUCCGACAGUGUUCUUGUUUAUAAUAGUGAAAUAUUUGGAGGAAUUCAUGUUGGCAGCAACUAUAGAUGCUCAGAACUCAAUCUGGACACAACUAUAUUACUCAUAAACCUAUUGCUAAGAAAGUAAUAAUGGAAUACUGAAAAUGGCUUGCCAACCUCUGAUAAGCAACUUCUGGUAAUCAUAAAGAAGACGAGAUACGGAAUGGAAAUCAAAUCAUGGUGCCCGAGCCUUUGGGAAACUCCUCAUUACCAAAGGAGAGAGAACCUGUUAUUGAUGCCGAUAAGCUUUCUGUCACCAAUAUAUCACCAUCGGGAUGCUUGGCAAACCUCCUUGAAGACCACUCUGGUAGAAUUGAUGCUCUCAUAGUUAAACUUCCAAAGUGGGUUGCUACAUCUGCACUCAAUCAGUUCAUGUUGUUAAAGGCUGAUAAGCUUGACAAGGCAGAAGCUCCUCAAUUGCCUAUAUGGCCCCAUCAUGCAUUCCCACAAGUUGACACAAAUCCAUGGUGGUGCUUAAGGAUCAGAAUCAGACAUAGCUUAGGCACGCUGAAGAUUGCUAGAUGAGAAGCAGUAUCCAAGCAUGGUGAUUGGUUUAGAGGCCCAUCUACCAAAAAUCUGAAGACUAAAUGUUUGGGAAGGAUUAAGUUGAGGUAGGCCUACAGUCAAAAAGCUGAAAAGCAACAGAAAACAGGUUGUGAUUGCUUCGGGGAGUGAUUGGGGCAUUUAAGCAAAGAUUCCCUACUAUCCUGAUGAGAAUCAGUAAGGCUGGAAAGACCAUGCUGAUGAAUGUUCUAGAAGAAAGACAAGCUAGAGGUCAUAUUGAAAGGAAACAUUAGAAUAUCUGGGUUCUCCAAGCAGCAUUAAACUUUUGCAAGAAUUUCCAAUUGAGCAGAAUGAUAUCCACUCUCCUCCAGUUACUGUUAUUGAAUCUUUGAUCUACUCAUUUCUUUCCUGGAGCUCAUCUUUUAACUCUUUUAUCUUUGUAAGGAUUUACAUGCUGCCUUAAAUUGAGUUUUCAAAACUUUUCCAUUAAAAUAAUUCCUCUUUUCUAAUUUCAUCCUUAGGAGUUUCUAGGUAAUAAAUUUUAGCUUUCAUAAAAGCUUGCUGCCGUAUUUCACUCCGACAGGCACUUCUUAUCAUCUCCCUUGUCUUUUUUAACAAUUUUCUUGAUUUUUAAUAAGCACGAUUAAAUUCUCUAAUUCUAGAAAAUGGAACUUAUAGAAUUAAUUCCUGCAAAAAUAAUUCGGGUAGUGGUGGGGCUCAACAUACAUGUUAUUCUCUUUUGUGGAUUAAUUCUAAUUGAUAUGCUCAUUGAAUAUUGACUGACUUUGUGUGACAUACAUGUGAUUAAUUCCAUGAUAGCACAUUAUUGAUUCGCUGCUCAGGUACACAUCCUAUCUUUUCCCAUCUGUUUGAUCACUAUCCAUUGAGUACUUUGACUAUAGUAUGUCUUUGAUCACUAUUUGGUAUCCACGAUUAAUCGGUUAAUUGUCGUACAUGCCUCAACUUAAUUAGUAGAGACCCAUUUUUAGGGGCUUAGAGGGUUGUUACAACUUAUCACCAUACCUUCUAGAUAGGUAACCUAACCCUCGGACCUAACCCGGUUUUUCCAAAAACUAUUAUUUCUUUUAAGAGUCACACUUAGGGUUUUUCUUUCUUAUUUUGUUUUUCCCUUAAAAAAUUAAACAAAAAUAAAUAACAACUCUUUAAAUAAUUUUCAAAAAAAUCAAAUUUUCAAAUAAAAAAUGAGUCUCGCCAUUCGUGUGGGGAUGCAUGAGAAAAAGGCCGGUCCACAGACUGACUUUCUUGUGAAGGCAAAUUGAAAGUGAGGACCAUAGUUUCAAUGGUGCUAACCUCAAUAAAAACCAACCUCAUUAAACCUCGUUGGUAUAGCCACAUAGAGUUACUUUCUAAUUUUCUCAUUUUUUUGGGCUCAAAACUAAUCAACUAACAACUAUUAUCAUAUAAUUAUUUGUUUAUUUAUAAAUAUAUUCUAAUAAUAAAAUAAAAUAUUUGAUUAACAUGUUUGAGAAUACCUAUAAAUAUUUAAAUAGUACCAAUGAUAAUAUCCAUUAAGGAUUAUUAUCUUAAGUUGCUUACUUUAUUUUUGUUAUACACUUAUAAUGACCCACUUGCCAUAAACAAAGCUAUUAAGUUCAAGGUACAUAUAGGUUAUGUUUGGUUCUUAGAAAAUUUGAAAGAAAAUAUAAGGGAAAAAAAAUAGGAGGGAAACGUAAAAGAAAAGAACAAUUGAAGAAAAAAAAAGAAUUUAAAGACAACAAAUUAUUUUUAUAUGACAUUUCAAACUUAUUUAACUUAUUUUAACUCUUCGAUAUAAAGAUAAAAUAAUUUGAAAAUAUAUAAGUUUUUAAUUAAUUUUAAUUAUAUUUGAUUUUUUAGAGGACAACCAAACAUAAGAAAAUCAUUUUUCUAAACAUUUUUUUCUUUUCUUUCCUUAAUACUUCUCAAAAAUCAAACAAAACCAUAACAUAUUUUUUUUAUAAUAAAUCUUUAUUCUUUAUUCAUGCAAAAUUCCUUUACUGACUUGAGCAUAGGAGUUAUAUAUAUAUAUAUAUAUAUAUUAUUAUGAAAAAUACUUGUAAAACAUUAUUAUCAAUUUCCUUGUUAGAAAAGCCAAUAUUUUAUCAUAUUUUAGUUUUCAUUUUAAUAUUUCAUUAUCACAAAAAUAAAAAUAAAAAUUAAAACUACAACUGUUUUACACUUUACCUUUAAAUUAUAGUUUUAAAGUUGAAUUUACUUAUCUAUUUUUAAUUUAAUUGUCUAAGCCUUUAAUAUAAUUGUUUUUAGGUUGUUCUAGGUCCUUCAAGUUUCAACUGCAACUAGGAACUAAUCGUCCCAAGGCUGGAGCCACAAACCAUUGAAUUGGGCUCGAAUCCCAUAUCUUGGGCCUAUUAAUGAGAGGCCUACCCUUUUUCCUUUACAAAAGACUAAGUUUGCCACCAAGCCCAUAUUCUUUUAUUGUUUAGAUUUGGAUCCUAACAUGCUACCCUUCUUUAAGUCCCAACAUUUUCAAGCCCAAAGUCUCAACCUUGUUAAAUGUCAUAAGUUCUCUAAGUUGAGGUUGCCUCUAGAAUGCAAUUAAUAAUAUUAAAAUGUUAUGAUUAAAAGAUAAUUAAUGAUAACAAAUAUAGGUUAUGAAAUUUUAAUAUCUCUAUUCUAAGAACCUAUAAAUAGAAUAACAACUUGACUAAUAUUAAAAUAUAUCAUUUGUAUAGAAAUGUAUCAUAUUUAUAGCUUGUUGAAUUUUGAAUAUCUUUGUUAUAGUAACAUAUAAAUAAAAUAAUAAAUUUUCCGAUAUUAAAAAUGUAUAUUUAUUUAGAAAGUAUGUAUAAGGAAAAUGAUAAAUUGACUAAUCAUCUUAAAAAUAUAUUUAUUUAGAAAACAUGUGACAUUUUUCUCAUCAUAUUCUUCAUAUUUGUAAGAAAGAUAUCAAAAGCAUCCUAAAAAUUAAAUCUAUUAUUCACUAUACUUUGAGAAGUAUCCUAAAAAAUUUCAAUGCUAGUUUACAUGCAUUCUAUAUCAACUUCUUGUUAGAUUGCUAGUGCACCUCAUGUUCUGCAUCUAGCAUCCUAAAAGUUUUCAUAAUGAACUUCAAAAUGAAUUUUCAUGUUAUUUCCAUUUCCAAGUCAAGGCCAAAUACAUAUUAAAAUCAAACACACAUAUAUAACUAAAACUAAAAGGUUUAAAAGGCUUAUUUAUGCAAAACAUCCAAAUAUCUCGAAACAUCUUCUUUUCUUUUCGUUUGUUAAAUGUUUCAUAGAGAGAAAGUAGAACACCUCAACCUGUGACAUGGGUCCUUCAAAAUGAACAAUGUUAGUGGAAACUAUAAGUGUAUUUUGUGUAUUGGAAAUUUCGAGUCAAUCAUAGCUCAUAUUUUUCAAAUCCUCUCUUGGACACUUGCCUUUUGCAAAUUAUUCAUGUUUGAAGAUGGCUAAAGGAAUUGGUAAGUGCAUUUGAGGUGAUGGAUGAUGGUAAAAAAUGAUCAAUCAUAUUUUAAUUUUAUAUCCUUUUAUUGAAAAAUGAAAUUGAAGCUUAAAAGUGUAAAACAUUGUGUUUAAAAAAUUUGGAUCGAUUUUUGUUAAUCGAACUAAAGAGUAAUAGUUUAUCCUGAACCCAUAUUUUUCAGUCUUGUCCGAUCGAUCAUAUUUCGAUCACACUUGUGAAUUUUUAUAAUUUUUCAAACAAAUCUCAAUCAAUUGAUGAGUUUCAAAACCCUAAUACUUAACAUCUCUUUCCAGACGUGGAGAGAUGACUGUGAGGGUAAAAACCCUGGUUUUUGAGCUUCAAGAUUCUCUUACUAUAUUGGGGAGUGUUUGCCUUAUGAGAUAAUUUAUGAGUUUCAAUUGAAAAUCAGUUUUUGAGUAAAAAAUCUUUAGUUCCAAAUGGGUUAAUUCAUUGUCUUCUUCAUCCUAUCUCUCAUAUUGCUCUCAUAUCCAACUUAUUGGGGUAAAACCUAAGAUUCUUCCUUUGUGGACUUAAGAAAAGGCUGAGAUCAAAGCUUUGAGUGAAUUUCAAGUAUUUUCUUGAAGAAGAAUGAUGGUAGCUAAAGCUCAAAGGUUCUAGGCAAGUGGUCUGAGAAAGAAUGAAAGACUUAGGCUAGGUAAAACCUUGUACUCAACUAUUUUUUCUUCAUAGUGGAUUAUUUGAUUGCUUGAGGCCCAUGGUUUUUUUUAUCUCUUUAGAGGUUUUCCAUGUUAAAAAAAAAUUGGUGCCAUUUCCUUUCCUUUCUAUUUUAUCUUCUAAUUAGCAUUUCAUAAGCUUAUGAUAUUUUUCAUUGUGUUAUGGCAAUUGAGUUAAUUAGAGCAUGAGCUAAAAUGCAUCUAUUGAAUCUUUGAAAGAACAAGAUAUAUGUUAGUUUUUGUUGAUUGAUGACAAGGGGCAUGUGAACAAAAGUUUUUAUGUUGAUGCAAUGUUUAAUAUAUUAGGUUUAGGGAGUGUUGUCUCAUUUGCAUGUGACUUGCAUUGAAUAACUUGUUUAGGAGAGUGUUGGUGCAUCCAUUGUUGCUUGUGAUUCGCUUGUUUGUUCAUAAAGUUGAAAAAAAAAAUCAUUGUAUAACGGAAAAACAGGGAAAUUGUGAGCAUUUAUGAGAUACCUAUCUUAUUGUUUUAAAAAACACCUAUUCGCCCCCUUCUAGGUGUUAUCCAUAAGUGAGAUUCAUCUUCAAUUGGUAUCAGAGCGAGUUUCAAAGCAAAAAUCAUUAUCGAUCCGUGAAUCUCAAAUAUGGAACCUCAUAAAGAGGGUGAUUCAAUUGGGAGACCCCUCUUUUUAAUUGGCGAAAAUUAUUCUCAUUGGAAAGUGAGAUUACAAUAUUUUCUCAAAAUGCAAAGUGAAAAAGUAUGAAAUACCGUUGAAUUUGGUUUGCCUCCACCAAAUGUGUUGGAUAGAGAAGGUAGACUAACAAAUGUGAUCAAGCCUAAAUUGGAAUGGGAUAGAGGUGAAAAUGAAGCUAGUGAGAACAAUGCUAGGGCCAUGGAUUCCAUCUUCAAUGCCAUUAGCACAGAUGAAUUCCAUAGGAUUACUACUUGUACCUCAGCUAAGGAAGCUUGGGACAUCCUCCAAGUGACUCAUGAAGGAACCAAUGUUGUUAAAGUUUCUAAACUUCAAAUGUUGACUUCUAGGUUUGAGACAAUUAGGAUGGAAGCUCAUGAGAAUUUUGGAGAGUUUCAUGCAAAAUUGACGGACAUUGUGAAUUCUAGUUUUAAUCUAGGUGAACCCAUCCCUAAUUCCAAAGUGGUUAGAAAUAUUAUAAUAUAUCUUUCAGAGAGAUUUAGAGCAAAAGUCACCACCAUUAAAGAGUCUAAAGCUGUGGAUUCCUUGAAAAUUGAUGAACUUGUAGGUUCCCUCCAAACCUUUGAAAUGAUUCUUGUAUUACCUGGGAAAGUUAAGGGAAUUGCUUUAAAAGCCAUUAAAAAAGAGUCUCUAAGUUUCGAAAGUGAGGAUGAUGAGAAAAUGUUAGAAGAUGAGCUUACUAAGUUUGCUAAAAAAUUCAAGAAAUACAUGAAAUUCAGAAAAUCCAAGAAUGAAUCAAAUGAUGCUAAAAAAAAAUGGAGGAACUCAAUUAGAAAAAAGAAAAAAUUGGAAAAAGAUGUGAAAAAAGAGUUGGAAAUUGAGUGUUUUAAAUGUGGGGGAAAGGGUCACCAUGCAUUUGAAUGUCCUUAAAAGAAAAAGAAUAAUAAAGCCAUGCAAGUUACUUGGAGUGACUCCGAGUCUAAUCGAACAAGUGAAAAUGAAUCAAAUGAAUAAGAUGAAUGCACUAACUUCAUAGCCUUUACUGCAACUAUCAAAGAGGAACCUCUAUUAAAAGAAGCCUCAAGUGAGUUAAAGUGAGUCAAGUGAAAGAAUCCAAUGAUGAUGACAUGUGUUUUGACACAACAUAUGAGAUUUUUUAUAAGGAGUGCUUAAGCCUUAAAUAAGACAAGUCAAGUAGACGACUUCUAAGAGGAUUUUAACCAAUGAGAUUGAUGUUUUAAAGAGAGAAAAAAAGACUUUGCUUGAUAAAAUUACAUUUCAUAAAAAUGAACAUUUGGAAGUGAAGAAAAAGUGUGAUGUGUUGAAGAAUGAAAGUCAAAUGUUCAAGGAUGAGUUAAGCCUUAGGAAGGAAGAGUAGUAUCCUAGCUUUAAGAGACUUAAUGAGUUGAUCAAUUCAGGGAGAAAAUCUUUUGAUAGAAGAGGUCUAGGAUUCGUUGAUGAAAAUGUUACUCUAAGUAACGAUAAGAUAGUUUUUGUUAAGCCUUGUGAAGAAAAAUUUCCUAAGAAAACUCUUUCUCAUAUCAAGUUUCAUUGCACUCAUUGUGGAAAAGUGGGGCACACUUUUGAUAGAUGUUAUACAAGAUUGUUUGAUAAUUUUCAAAGGAAAUUGACCAACCUAAUGAAUGAAUGUCAUGCAUUGAAGGAUAGGUUGUUGAAUGUGAACAAGAGAGUGUCUAUGAAGUCUUCAAAUAUCCCUUAUAAUGGUAUCUUGAUAGUGGAUGUUCACUCCAUGUGACUGGAAAUAAAUCUUUUUUCAGAUCACUGAUUUUGAUGGAGGAAAUGUUACAUUUGAGGAUGGUAAUGUGGCUAGAGUGAAAGGAAAAGGCUUUAUAUGUGCUUCAGGUAUUCCUAAGCUUGAAGAGGUCUUAUAUGUGGAAGGUUUAAAGGCCAACUUAAUAAGCAUAAGCCAAUUAUGUGAGAAUAAUCUUAAUGUCCAAUUUUCAUAAAAUGUGUGCAGUGUGUUUGACUUGAAUGGUGAUUGUGUGAUGAUUGACUUGAAAACUUGUAAUAAUUGCUAUGUUGUUAGUCAAAAAGCUCUUUCCUCUUCUUCUCUUGUGUUUGAAAGUUCUAAAAUUGAUUUUGUUGAUCACUUGUGGCAUAAUAGAUUGGUUCAAAAUGAAAAAAGGUGUGUCAUUCUAAAGAUUAGGAGUGAUAAGGGAGAAAAAUGGAUGAUGUUGGUGUCAUUCAUAGAUCAAAGAAUCAUCUUCAUCAUUUUAGAGGCAAACUCACUGCUGACACUAGACAUUGCUUCAAUAAAGACUUGGUAGAAGACAAACUUGUUUCCUUCAAAUAUGUUCCUACCGAGUGUCAAAUAAUUGAUAUCCUCACUAAGCCUUUGGAUGUUUCUAGGUUUGAGUCACUUAGGAACUCCAUAGUCUUAUGUUUUCUAAGUUGAUUGUCUUUAAGGCCUCUCUAUGACAUCCCUUCUUUGUAAAUUCUUUCUUCUUAGAGGUUUCAUAGGCUUAUUGAGUCCUUGUGUUGCCUUGUUUUUCUUUUCUCAUGGUUCUCAUUCUUGUUUUUUUUUUUUGUUUUGGUAUCUCCUUAAACCCUUUUUCCUCUCUAGUUUAAACAUAGAUGUUUGUUUUUAUGAGGACUUGACAUUGUUUUCUUUUUAGCAAAUGGUUAUUUCGUGUCAUAAUGAUCCAAAAGUAUUCCAAGAUAUGAAAAUCCUUCUUGUGUUGGUGUGAGAUGGAGCAUAACGUGCUUAUUGUUUAGCUUUGCUUGGAUAAGCUACAACAUACUUAUUUCAUAACCAUUGAGUAAUUAACAACUUGUGGAGUGAUUUAUGAUUUCAUAAAAACUGAUAAAUGAUUUGUAAAGUUCAAUUGUGGGUCUAUAUCAUUCAAUGUGCCUUAAAGUAUGAGUAAAGCCACAUGAAUCUUCUUGAGAAUUUGAAUUUGUGUAUCUUGAUUGUUUACACUCUCCAAAAAAAAAAAUUAUUCAUUUCUCGGAAUGGUUAAAGCACCAUGGCAAUGUUUCAAGUGUAAAAAGUCUCCAUUAAAAAAGUGGGGCAUCCCUUUAUGUUUGUAAUGACAUAUUUGUAAUGGCCACCUUAGUGAUCUUAAAUUCAACAAUCUAUCCUAAGUGUGUUUUCAACAUGUUAUCAAAACAAAUUAAAAAAAAAAACAACAAGAUGUGAUGUUUGUUUGCAUUUCAAGGGAUGUAUAUUUAGUCAAAGAAUGUAUUUUUUACUAUGUUAAAUAGAAAUCUGGUCAAGGGAGAUGUAAAUUGACUUUAAGAGAAAUAAAUUUGAGUUUCUUUAGGGAUGGAUAUGAUUUUGAAAUUUUUUUUUUUUUUGGUUCAUGGAUAUCUAUAGCCUUAUAAGUUGAGAUUAUUUAUCAUUUUUAGUUUGUUAUGGUCUUAUGAGUGUACUCUUUAAGCCAAAAAUCGUUUGAUGGAGUGUUAAUAAUUUCUUGUUUUAUUUAUCCUUGUCAUAUGAGAAAUUGAUGAGUUUCUGUAUAUUUCAUGCUUUGUCAUUCAAUUCAAAAGUCUCUCGUUGACAUUUUUUUUAUUAUUAUUAUGCAUUUUAAUGACCAAAUGCUAAAUGCUUUUCACUUUGAGCUCUAAUGAAUUUGUUUCUAAUGUCUUUUUUCAUUUUUCUUAAGAUUGUACAACUUUUUUUACUCAUUUUUUGUUGAUUUUUUUGUCAUAUCUUGAUCAUUGGUCAUUUCAAUCAAUUGUUUUUUCAAGAAAAACCGAGUAUUGUGAAGCGUGAUUGAACUGUGAACGAUCAACUUUUGAUCAACUAUGUUUUUCUAACCUUGGCUGAGAACUAUAUUAUGUGAUUGAAAUGUAAUUGAUCGACUUUCGAUCAACCAUGUUUUGUCUAACCUUGGUUGAAAACUAUAUUAUGUGAUUGAACUUGGAUCGAUCCAUCUUCGAUCAACUAUGUUUUUGUUGGCUUGACUAACAAUUGUAUUGUGUGAUCAAAUUUAUUCUCUAGUGCUUUAAAUAAAAAAAAAAUCAAAAGCAAUAGAUAAAAUACAUGUUUAAAUGGAAAGGAAAAAAGUGUUUUUCCAUUUCAAAACCAAAUCCCUAAAUUUCUUCAAAUCCUAGCUCCUUCCAACCCACUUUUCUCUCAAAACACUUUUUGCUCGUCACUUUCUCUUCACCAAAGCAUUCAAAGUUUUCCAUUGCUCUUCUCCAUGGGUGGCUUCUAACUUCUAAAUCCUUCUCACAUCUCUCCAAGAAAGCGUGUUUUAUUGUGGAUUGUGGUGUCGAUGGCUAGUUGUUCUCCAUUGCUAGAUAAGUUUGGUUUUUCUUUAAAUCUAAGGUUUGAUUAGGGAAGAUUUCUCAGGAUCUCUCAAAUUCUUAUUUGUAUGGUUCGUAAGUUGAGUACUUAUUCACCGAGUAUAUUCCAAUGGAGUGGUGGAAUUAUCGAAUUCCAAUGGCAAAGACAGCUUCAAAGUCAAUGGAUAUCGUCUCAAGCCAUUCAUGGAGCCAUUCAAACUAGAAAAGGAGGCAAUCAACCUCCUUGAACGUCAAAAAGCCUAAGUGAAAAAGGGUUUGCUGAACGUGGUUUUACCAUAGUUCAGUUUGUAAAUUUUGUAAAAUUUCAAGUUUUUUUCUGUACAUUUGAUCUUAGUUUUUGAUCUUAAAUCAUGUUUCUAGGUGUGUUUUAAUUGUUUUGAAUGAUCCCAGGUGGAAGAAAUUUCAAGGGAAUUGAAAGAAAAAAAAAUCGGGUCGAAAUCGGAGCAGAAACAGAGCAAAAACAGAGGAAAAGCAAAGCUCUGCGAAAUUUCGCAGAAUGAAGAAAACCUCUGCGAAAUGAGCAUUUUGUUGCCAAAUCAUUCCGCAACACUUUAGGAUUCUCUGCGAAAAUUUUCGCAAUUGCGAAAGUGGAAAUGGCACACGAGUGCCACUUCGCAGCACAGGAGCAUCAGUUUUGCAGCUGCGAAACGCAUUGCGAAGUGGAAAAACGUGAUUUCGCACCAAAAGUCCCAUUCCGCAGCGUAAUUCGCAAUUGCGAAAACGAUUUUGGCACACGUGUGCAACUCCGCAGCACAGUAACAUCAAUUUCGCAGCUGCGAAACGCACUGCGAAAUUGCUGCGAAAAUGGCAUUUUGCUGCGAAAUUGGCGUUUUAUUGCGAAACUCAAACUGACCCUUAGGCUUCCGUUUUUCCUAUUUAUACCGGUCAGUUGAGCUGCGAAAAGGGUUUCAAAAAUCAAAGCACCAUUUUCGCAGCCUGUUCGUCUUCUUCAGUGAGCCUCGCCGUCCAACUUCCGGUCAUCCUCUCCGUUCAUCAACGCCGGCCAAAGUUCGGUAGCCCAAAAUGGCGCGAACGCGAGGAGCUAAGUCUUCAUCUCCUUCGAACCGCAAAAAGACGCUGCGAAAGGAGCCACUUCUAGAUUCUGCUCCAGAGCCUUCGUCGUCAAAACCAAUUCCACCUCCGGCGAAGCCCGCGCCACCAAAGCCACCGGCAAGACGAUAUUUAACCAGGUCAGGAGGUCGACCAUUACAAAAGAAGCCAAGGGUUGAGAGCUCAGAACCCAUCGAUUUGACUGAACAAUCCCUUGAGCAAUCCCCAGAGCAGUCACCGGUUCAAACUCCGGUAUCCUCACCAAAUCCUUCUUCAGUUGCAACCCCAGUUCCCUCGCCAGUUCAGUCGCCGGUACCAUCUCCGGCGCCGCAAAAAAAAUUGAAGAAGUCUCAAGCGCCACUUCCAGAGCCCCAAAUUCAAUCUGAAGUAGCUCCGGAAGAAGUGAUCAGAAGGCCAAUGCUAACUCAGCCCCCAAUAGAGGGAAAUUUGGAUUGUCGAUCUUGGCCAUUCCAUUCCGACUUGUGUUUCGAUAUAGCAGCAUUCCAAGUGAGGCCGGAGCUAGCCCAAUCAUUCCAGCUGCUGAGGAGGUACCAUAUGGAGCAUCUGCUAGCUCCAAGAGAUUUUUUUCUACCCCCGGAUAGCAAUGGAUUUCUACCAAUCCAUGACAACCAAAGAGGUUAGAAAUCCAACUUUGAUUCAUUUUACUAUUGAAGGAAGACAUGGUGUAUUGGGAGCACGCCACAUUGCUGAAGCCCUGCAAAUUCCUUUUGAGCCAACCCAAUUCGAUAAUUUUAGAGCUUGGGCCAAUCCUACUGAACUGGAGAUGGUGCGCACCCUUUCCAGAGGAGCUGCAAAUCGAUCACAUCUGCUGAGAGGGGAGCUUCCUCCAGUUAUGUUUUUGAUUGAUGCCUUUUUGAGGCAUAAUAUCUAUCCAUUGCAGCAUUGGACCCAAAGAAGGGGAAUCCUCUUGGAAGCUCUUUACAAGAUGUUAGAAGGAUUUUUCUUUGGGCCUCAUCAUCUGAUCCUGACAGCCCUUCUCUAUUUCGAAGAGAAGGUUCACAAAAAGAAGCUUCAAAGAGCUGAUUGCAUUCCUCUCCUAUUUCCAAGGCUGCUAUGCCAAAUUCUAGAGCACUUGGGAUACCCUGCUGAGCCUCAGCUGGAGAGAAAGCAAAUUUUCCGUGAGCCAUUCACCCUAGAUAAAUGGAAUAACAUGACGGCCUACAAAGUUGAUCAGCCUUCAGAGUCUCAUCCUCCAGAGCCUGAAACCCCAGCUGAUGCACCUACUGAAGAGGCAGCAGAUCCAUCUGCCUAGUUCUAGCCCCAGCACCACUCAUCAGACUACUAUCUAUCUAAUAUUUCUAUGUAUUUUGUUUUUUUUUAGUUGAAAAGAAAUCCCAGUAUUUUGGUACUAUAUUUGGGAUUCCUUGUGAUUACUUGUCUUUUGCACUGUACUUGAAUCAACUGAAAGUAAUACAAGCUGAAUAUUUCUUAUUAAAAGUUAGCAUUAAAUUUUCCUUAUUUCCUUUUCUCACAUAUUCUAUUCUUUUUGAAACAUGUGGUUUUCCCCAAUCAAUAUUCGAAUUUGAUAUCAACCAGGAGGUACCACUUCCUCCCUUUAAUUACAGUCACUCAAAUCACAUUGAGGACAAUGCUCAGUUCGGUUGGGGGGUAUGAGGAAGGAAGUAUGCUAAAUCUUUUUGGUAUUGCAAUCAUAUUGGUUAAGUAGUUGUAGUUUUACUUUUUACUUUUGUUACUCUAUUCUCUAUGAAUUUUGAGGAAAAAUUUUCAAAUUAAACCAAGAGAAAUUGAACUAUUGUUUUUCACUUGACUUAGAGUAUGGAUUAUGCUUACUAAAGUGGUUCAAUUGUUGAAACUUCUACUGAAAUUGAAUUUAGUUCUUCCACUUUAAGCUAUUCACACACUGUGCACAUUAGAUUCCGAUUAUAAGAUGAAAAGCUAUUUCCCUCUUGACUUAGGAUAGUUUUGGGACUUGGUAUAUUUGACCUCAUUUGAUAAAAAUUGAAACACCUUGCAAAAGGCCAAUGAGCCUUUGAAAUAAAGAAAGUUGUUUGCUUGCCUUGAAACCCGAGCAAGGUCUGAGGGGUAUAUGGUGAAAAUCUUUAAAGCCUGGUGCCCUAAGCCUUAAAUGGUUGGGAGACACCAACCUCAAUGCUCGUUAUAAGGGUGAAUAGGUAGAGUUAGCAUAUGGUAGAUGUUUGGGUAUUAGAAAUUCAUUCUUAAAAGUCCGGGGAAAAAUCCGAGGAGUUAGUGGUUGAAAGAUCCUUAAAGCUUGGUGCCCUAAACCUUAAGUGGUUGGGAGUCAUCGAUGGACCCCCAUUACAUGGACAAGUCAGAAAGAGUACCCCAUAAAGCUGCCUUCUAAAAAAAAAAUAAAAAAAAAAAAAAAGUUGUGUUCUUUUCUUAUUGAUUUUGGUCAGAUUACUAAAGUUUUGAAAAGAAAUAGGUUGGGGGGUGAGAUUAGUUUAGCAUAUUAUUUUCGGAACCUAAGGAACCAAUACACAUAGAUUUUUGUGGAAGAUUAAAGUUUGAUUCUUAGAAAGUGGAAAUGAUUUUAAAACUUCAGUUUGUAUAAUGCACUCCCUUGAUUGACAGUGUUUAGCAUAGUUGUUAUGACUCUUGUUGAGAUUUGGGUUUGUAUUUAUUUAAUACUUCAUGUGAGAAUUAGAUCAUCAUGCCACUUGAGAAUUAUUUUCUUUUAGCAUGAUGUUGUAAAUUUUAGAUUAGUUUGUUAUGUAUUUUUCAUUUUUCUCUCCUAUAUUGCUAAGGGACUAGCAAUAUGUCGGUUGGGGGGAGUGAUUACUACUCAAAAAGUGCUAUUUGAUAGCCUAUAAUCAAUCCUUUUAACCACUUUUGAGUAGUAGUUUAGGCCUUUUAACUCAAUUGGCAUGUUAAGGGUCCUUGAAAGCAAUUUUAAUCAUUUUGUGUAAGUUUUGGUGUUUUUGUUAGUAUUUUGAUCAAAAAAGCAAGUCAAGACUGAGGAGAGCUAUGAGGAAUCUUGGUCAAAGCUUAGAAGUCAUUUGCCAAGAGUGAAUCCGGAUUGCAAGGAGAAAAAGCAAAGAGAAUCUGCCAUUAAGCAUAUUCUUGAUGAUAGUCGUAGCAGCCACUUUUGGAGCACUUUUUGAAGUCCAAAUGAUGCAUGCUAUAUACCAUUUCAAAGCUCAGGAAGUCAACAAUCCAAUGCUUCAAACGGUGUGCAAUUCGGAGUUGAAACGAAGAAGUUGCAGUCGUUACAAUCCAAUCACUCCGAGCUGAAGGAAGCAUUUUGCAAAGUGCUGCGAAAUCACCCUUUUGUUGCGAAGUGAUUUCGCAGCAUUUUUGAACAGUGUGAUGUUUCUCCUUUUGACGAUGCCCGAUUUAUGCCGCGAGAAGGAAGCUUGGAACCUCAAGGUGGAAGCCAACUUCGCAGCCCUUCAGAGAUAGCUUGGUGUUGCGAAAAAAUUUCGCAGCCCUCUUGAGUGUCUGCGAAAUUUCGCAGACACCAUUUUCCUCCUGCGAAAUGGUUCCUGAAGCCUCCCGAUAUUUGCUACCGACAUUGGGAGAUAUUUUCCAUUAGAUUUUUGUUAUCUAAAUCCCAAAAUACUCCUUGUAAACCUCCAAUUAUAAGAUUCCUUAGCUUUUAAGUUAAUAAAAAGACCAAAUAUCUUUGUAACAAUUAGUUAUAUAUUAUGUUCAUAUAUAUACCUCUCGGGAGCCUGUUCUCGGAGAGGAGUUCCUUCUGUAAAAGUUUGGAAAGCAAGUAAAGUUCAUUUUCCUUCUACUGCCUUACCUUCUCACUUUGUAUUUUUUUAGUUAAUACUAAGUUAUGAACUCUCUGAGGAGUUUUCCCCAGAGAAUGAGUAACUAAACCUCUAAUUCCUUGGAGCUAAGGUUGCCGGGGAAGGUUCCAAGUGCAAGAAUGCAAAGCUCUGUGGUUUUAGCUAGUAAUGAAGAGGAAGUGAAAUCCUUUAGUGAUUUCAAUGUUUUUAGUUAACUUAAAACACCUUGGAGUCACCUGGGCCAACACUUGGUAAGGCAAGUGAUUUCCAACCAUGGAAAUGCACUAGUUUACCCCUUGCGAGCCUCUGGGAGGUGACUUCAGGGUAGGAUUUUCUAGAAUAGCCAACACUUGAUAAGCUUUUGGACUCCUAGGAGACAUCCAUUAGUUAUCUCUUGCGAGCUUUUGACGGGUAAUCCAAAGUUAAGGAUCACCUUGAAUGGUUAAGGCUUAGUGAGAGGCUUAAACCAUUUCAAGUUGCAUCAGUGAGAGAAUUAAAGUGAAAUCUAAUUGAAGGAUGAAUCUGUACAUCACCGGUUAGGGAAUUGACUAUAUGUUGAAUCUCUAACGCGAGGAUAUGAACCUUCUGACCGGAGCUAUGUCUUUUGCAUGAGGAACCACCCCAGUGAACCUAACUCUUCAAGGAAUGUUUUUCUUCCUAAGUUAUUCCAAACUUCUGUUAUGUUAGUUAGUUUAAGUCUAAACCUUCACCAACCAAAGUUUGUUUUUUUACCUCUUAAGCUAACCAUGAAAUGAAACAAGACCAAUUCACUUGGAAUUGGUAUCAUUGAUAUCUUGUCAACCUUUCCCAGUGGACGAUCCUAGAGCCACUAUACUAUAGUAGCUUUUUAUUUGCUACCCUAGUGUAUGGUGUUAUAGGUAUAAAUUUUGUUGAUUACUCCCUCAUUCAAGGAGCACCAGCUGAACACGAAUCAGCUGAGACACCAAUUGGGCAUGAAUCACCUUGUAUGGUUAAUUAAUCAAUUAGCAACCUUUUUGGGCUACAGUAAGUGACCCAAGUUCAAGUUGGGCUUAAGUCACUUAAGCCCAGUAGGAAGCUUAUAAAUAUCCCUUUAGGGGUUAGGGUCUCCAUGUCUUAUCAUUCUCCUUUUCAGUCUAAAGAGAAAACCCUAGCCUCCACCUUUGAGAUCUCCACCAUGUCAAUGCUUAGACAUAAGAAAGAGUCAUUGGGCAGAAAAUCAUGGUGUUUACGAGAUUCAUUAUGACUUUAAAGUUAUCUACAUCGAUUGGAAUUGAUCUAGGAACAUAAAGAUCAAAGGUAUGUGACUUUAUUCUCUAUAUCUAUAGUUUCUAUGCUAUUCUUAUUAUUUUUAAUACCUGUUUAUCCAUUGCGAUAGAUUUAGAGACCUUAUGACAGAUUUGUAUGCACCCUAUGCAAUUUGGAGCAUGGGAACAGAGUAAUUCGGGGUUCCCAACAACUGGUAUCAGAGCCCUAGGGUAGGUUAUAGCAUGUUAAAGUUGUUCUAAGGUAUGCUAACUCUAUUUUGCAAGGUUGUUUUAUUCAUCCUAUGGCCCUAAGGGAUGAAUGAAUGAAAUUAUUCAUUCAUUUUAACGUAUAAAUAUAUUUGGAUUGAUUGAUUGUUAUUGAUUCAUUUGAAUGAAUGAAUAUUAAUGGAUGUUUUCUUUGCCUUUUGUUCUCUAGAUUGGGUUGAACGCCCCAUAAGGGGUAUUAGAUUUUUAUUUGGUUGUAAAAAUCUUUUCUUUUCAAUAGAUGAGUUGUAAGCUCCAUUAUAGGAGCAUAGAAAUUUUUAUUGUUGCAAAAAUUUCAGUUUUUUUAUAUCCAUCUAUGGUUACCCAAGUGAAAUGAAGGAAUCUUGAAAGUUCUUUUUGAGAUUCUAUGGUGGUUAAAGAGGAAAAAAGGAUUCUUGGAAGUUCUUAUUUAGAAAUCCAUAGUUAUACAGUGAUGUUAAAUUAAACUCAAAAUCAGGAUUAUCUCCUAGUGGCUUCUUAGGGGAAGUAACAUAUGAAUUUGAAGUUUAGGAAGUCACAAAUCCAAUGGUUCAAGCGGAUUUCAAUUUAGAGAUGAAAUGAGCUACAUAUGGCUAAUUGAAGCAAGGCUGCACAAAGUGCAUGAUUGCAUAGUGAUGUCAGCUUUGAGCCAAAAUUGCAGCUACUUUUAGUAAGUUUCUUUGAACAAAUCACAUAUGGUUUUAAAGCUCAGGAAGUCAUAAAUCCAAUGCUUUAAACGGAUAACAAUUCGGAGUUGAAACGAGAGAGAUAUGACCAAUCAAAGCAACGUUGUGCAAAAAGCAUACUAUUACAGGAUUGCACACGGGUCCAAUUCAUUUAGUUGUUUGGGCUAAAUUUUGGGCCUCUUCUUGGGCUUAAUUGUUUGUGGCAAUUGGGCCUUUUGGGUUUUAUAUUUUCACUAACCCUAUUUUUGGUUGCAGCUUUAUUUUUGGUAAUUUAGAUUUUAUCCAAAUUUUAAUUACUAAAUAUGCAACAAGAUCCCUAAAGGUCAUUGGAAGUUUUAUAUUUAAUUAUUCUCUUGUUUUUAUUGUAUGCUUUUGAUUAAUUGCAUAUGUGGCCUCAAGAUAUUUUGAUACUCUUAAUUAGAAAUAAAUUUUCAUGUUUUAUUUUUAAUUGGAAAACUUAUUUAAAUAGGGAUGUGAAUGGUUGGGAUUUUUUAUUUUUUUUAAGGAAAGAUAGGUUGGAUAAAAGAUUAAGAGCUUUCUUACCUUUCGCCUACUAAAAUAAGGGGAAGUAAAUGAUGAAGACUAAAAAAACGAUUUAAGGUGGCAUUGUCCAUAGAGAAACCACCCCAAAUCCAAGUCACUAUGGUAUCUCUUACUACAGCUAUGGCGCUAGCUAAGCUAGUAAUUACUAUAGCUCCCCAAAAGCUCAUCUGACCUCAAGGUGGUACGUAUCUUGUAAAAGUUGUCACAAUCAUUAAUAGGAAGAUUACAACUCCGAGACACCAAGCAAAUUCCCUAGGACUGCUAUAACUCGCAUGAUAUAGCCCAUGAAAAAUAUGAAGGUGAACCACAAUAAGAAACAUACUUGCCCCAUUAGCAUGCAUAUAACGGAGAAACCAGCCCCCUUCAACAUCUCUCAUAACAUAUUCUACACUGUUGAAAGCUAACUCCACUUGAGGUGUGUGAUGCAUAGCAGAAAAAAGGCCAGUAACUAUCUGAAUGACUAAACAAAUACCAGCUAACGAACCGAACCCCCACCAAUAACUAAGGUUGCUUGGGGUUGGAUAGUCUAUCAAAUGUUGAUUCAGUGUGGAGGAUAUAGGUUGUUUAAGAAGAGAGAAUCAUUGGUUCCUUAUAGUCAUUUCUCUUUUCUAUUGUGAAAACUCUUGUUCCCCCACCUUUUUAGCGUUCUGGGACCCUACUUACUAAAUUAUAUAUAGAGAUAUAUAGAUAUAUAUAAUUAUAUAGAUAACAUAAUUUUAUAUCUAAGAGUACCCCUUAUUCCACCUCUGAAGGAUGGAGGGGGUAUACAGCGAAAGAAACGUCAGAGGGUUCAUCUUGGGUUACUAAAGAGUUGUCUGACUGCUCAGUGACCGAAUCAAAGAGGUUUUUACCACUUUCUCUUCUCUCCAGCACUCUCGAACUGAUCAUCUUGCUGUAACAAAGCAAUCUUAGGAAUGAAUCUAAUGGAAAUUUAUUAGUUCUCUAUCCGCUUGGAAGAUUCUUCUUUCCUCUUCGGUGAAAGAGGGUAAAUGUGUGAGGGAGAAAGAAUGAAAAAAUGAGAGAAUCUUUCAUCCACCAAGCGGGAUAGAGUGCAACCCCUAAGUAAUGUUCAAUUCUCACUCAGGGGUCAAUAUCAUUUGAAAACUUUUCCUGUUCCAUUAGUAUAGCUAAAUUUGAAUAAAAUGACUCAGCGUCAGGAAAAGCCCUUGCCUUGAUUUAAUUUUGCUUCACUAGGUCCUUGAAUCAAUCAAAAAUCUUAUUGAUUUGAUUCAUCCUAUUUCAUUUGGGCAAAAGGGAGGUUGUGAGUCACCUGGGCUACGAAUUUGUCGAUUGGUUGAUUCUCGAAAUCACCUCUUGAGAAAAUAAAAAAGGCCAUCCGAUCCUAACCCACAAAUGAAUAGGAAGCGGGGCGAGGGUCUUUCAUUAAAGAGGGGAAAAAAAGGUGGGGCUUUGUUCGAGGGAAAGGGAGGGGGGGGGGGGACCACCUUGCGUAGCUUUAGAAAGAAGAGAAUUUCAUAAAGUCACCAUCUCCCACUAUCUUUAGAAAUAGGGCGAGAUAAAGUAAAUAUGAUAUUUGCGUUGGGUUUUCCAAUGAAACUAAGCAUUUUUUAUCUUUCUCAUUUAGAAGGCUCAGUCCCAUAAUGAUGGGAACAACCUUUACACUCUGGCGCUCCAAUGAACAACACUUAUCCAUCUUACUAUAUUUAGAAAAAUGGUCGAUCCCUCGAGAGUUACAUUCGUAACUUAAUGUUAUGUUCACGUGGUGAUAUUCUAUCUUUCCAAGAGUACUACCUUGUAAUUGUACCUAGUCUAUGUUUGGGGAGCAUACUUGAAAGGAGAUAGAAACAGGCAGUAGAGAGGUCCCCCACUUCGAUUCCCGCCCCGUUAGUAUCUUCGAUCCGCGAUAAAGGAUUACUCUAUUAGGUCUUUUCUAUUCGAAGCCAGUCAGUUAUGGACUUACUUACCUUGCUUGUAGACCAGCUGCAGAGCUAACCCUUGUUCUAUUGGUUUGGUGGUUUCUACCAAGACAAUUUCUUUAUGCCCAUCAAAGGACCUCAAGAUGCUAAUCCAUGAAAAAUGAUACGAGAAAUUCGAAAGAACUCAUAUACGGAACAAGGGUGACUUGUGGAAAUACAUCGGUUUCUUACUCGUGCAAAGGAACUAUUUCUUGGAAACUUGGACAACUUAUAACGAUGUUUGUCCCACAUAUCACUAGGAAGAUCGGGAUCUUUACAAAAGGACUUAUAAAACUUUCGUCUCAAUUCAUAUUUAGCUGUGAGCAAUCUACGUUUGUGAUCUCGUAUAUUUAGCUUCUUUAACCUCUUAUUGACCCUCAUCUUUUUUAAAAAAGCCACGCCACGGUGGUAAAGUCUCAUCUUGUGUGUUAGCCGAAGUAACAAUAGUCACAUUGAACCCUCCAAUAUGUUUGAAGAUCUCGAAAAGAUCUUCCAGUUCUGGGGAGAAUUUGCAAAACUCUGUUUGCAUCAAGAAUUGAAUGGAGUUUUCCCAUAUUUCGACCGGAGAAUCUAAUAGAGACAUUACUAUCAAGAUUUUGACCAAAAAAUUAGACAUUCCAUGCCCUUGGAGAGUGCUUUGUCAUGCUAGGUCACUAACAUAUCCUUUGUCUUUAUUUGACCCUAAGAAUUUAUUGGAUCAAAAUGACUUUCCUGUCGAACCCCUUUGUGUCUGUAUAAAUCUUUGACCGCAUGGAAUCUCCAUAGCCAACUUUCCAUUUUGGAUUAUGAAAGAUGAGGGUCUUUUUGGUAUUAAUCUUGUUUCACACAAUCCAGGAACUUCCAUAACAUUAGCGUGAUUUGGUUUGAGCAAUAGAUCAUGACAUGAUACAUCUUCUUAAUGAAAAUGGAGUGGAAACAUGAGUUAGCUUUUCCAGUAUAUAUAGAAUGAGCACUGUGAACUAUCGGCUUCAAAAAGAUAAUUGGUUGAAUGAAAAUCAACACUUUAACUCGAUCGAAAUACGAAUGAGAAAAAAAAAACAGUUGCUUACUUGCGAAGAAGAGGGCAAAGGAUGCAAUAGCUUCGAUUUGAGCAAAGGCCAUAUUCCUUUCUUGAUAAACCUCUUUUCUUUGAACCACUGCUUGUCAUGGUCGGUUGUUCCAGUUAUCAUCUUUAUUUGAGGCGCAGGUUUCAUAUCCUUAAUUCAUGUGGUUAAGAAAGUCUUUGUUUUCUAGAUGUUGAAAAAAUUUAGAAUUGGCUUUUCGAUGAUAAGAGAAUAGAUAAGACUUCCAUGGGAGGUCGAAUUCCAAACUUCUCUCUCAAGUAUACUCAUUACCAAAAAAUGGACGUCACUUUAGGACACAUGCGGAUAGCCGCCCCGCGUGGCUAAAAGUAAGCCAAAAGAGCUCAAACUCUUUUUUUUUAGUUCCGCUGAGAAACUCGAGUCUUAUAAAAGACGCCACUCUAUGAGGGAAGUCCUUGGGUCGAGUCUUUGCAAGUUCAUCCGAAAUGGAACCUCCUCAUGGUCGGGAAGAUGCAAAUAAAACGCCAAUAGCCGGUUCUAUGGCAUAAGCUUAAAAGAAGAGAGCUAUCAACGAAGAAUAAACAUUUCAUAAGAAAAUCCAAUUUAUUUUUUUGAAACUCGACUUCUUUCAAUUCUAAGAAAGAAAAAUAUCAAAAAAUUCAUCAAUAAAUGAUGAACUUCAUUAUACAAAUGAUAGGACAGGGCUAAGGUAGUGAUCCUGAUGGAGAUUAGGAUGAGCUUGGAUGAAAAAAAAAAAAAAAGAAUAGGUAGAAAUUCUCAUAGGUGAAGCAAAUCAACCCUAUUUUCAGACAAAGAAGAUAAAAAAAAAAACAAAACUAAAGUGGCUUGGAAAGCCUCGGAUAUUCUAUGAUAAAUUGGAAACGUCAAAGUGAGUUGUGGCUUAUAAAUAGGAAGAUGAGGGGAUAACGGGCGAAGGAUAUUUUUUCUAUUAUUAAUUAGAUUACCACGUCUAAUUAGACCAUUACAUACGAAAUCCGAUAAUGUUAUUAAAAAUAUUUCUUUUCUUCAUUUUUUGUCUCAUUGAAAAAUAUUUUAAUGUUAUUAAAAACUUUUAUUAUUUAUUUAUUAUCUAACUGUUGAUUAUCCGUAACCUUCAAUUUCAUUUGCUUUCUUCUUUGACUGCUCUGCUCCCCAACACAAAUGAGGAAAGACUUGUCGAAAAUGGUUGGUUAGUUGGUUGUUGACCAACGGAAAAGCAUAGGAAAAAGAAAGAACACUAACGAAGAUGAUUCUGGAUUGGUCACCUGGAGAAAGUUGACAUCAACGGCUUACUCUUUUGCUGAGCAAAAAGAGAAAGAAUUUAUAUGAAGAGAGAUUUUCAAAGAAGCAAGCGGAGGCUCAAAAGUCAGAGCUUUUCGUUUUCUCUAUUGGCUCUCGGAAAAUAGAUUGACUUAGAAACGUACUCUUCUUCCGCUUUAGCAAAAAAGGCUUUCUUUUUACUUACUAAAUUUAGAGUCUAGUUCUAUAUUUUUCCUAUUUUCUUUUAUGUCUCUUGUCCUUUCUUUCUCGAGUUGGAAGCCAGUGAGGAGAGAUUUCUUUUGAUUAGUAUAGGAUAGGACUAACUCUUUUUCUUCCCAUUCUGUAUACAGAAAUGUUUCCAUGUGAGUCUUUACUUCUUACUUCUAUUUUCGACAUAGGUUUCUCUCAAUGGUGGGCCAGCCUAGAGAAUCUCCCUAGCUCUAGUUGGAGUUUCCUUUGCUGUUGGUGCAGCCGAGAAAAUAGGAUCCACGUAAGUUUCUUUUGAUAUCGCUAGGAGUUCCAGCCAAUAAGCCAAUUUAAGUAAGGCUAGGGUAAAGGUAUACACCUAGGCAAUCUCUUUCUUUCUCUAGGAAGGCAAUAGUUCUCUGGUUUUGGUAGGUCUAUAAAUAGAUAGUUGGAGGGCUAGCUAACAUAGAGAGAUUUCCUUUUUGUUUUUUUUUUUCCCCCCUUUAUUUGUGAAGAUAUUUCCUACAAGUGGGAGUUCUCAUUCUCUGUAAUCCCACCCAGGGAUCACUACUAAGUAAGCAAGCUACCUAUUGCCUCAAAUGGAAUGGAUCGCCAUGAAAGGAAAGCACUUAGGAGAAGGCAUUACGGCUGAAGACCGUAGCACUCUCAUGAGAUAGUAGAAAGAAUGGACCUCAAACUCUUCCCACAUGUAAGGAAUUAGUUAGGAAAGUCUUAGAAAUGUAAAUGGCUCGCUGGAAUCCCCAUCGAAGAUAAUAGGAUUGCCUAAAAAAAGGAAUAUCUUAGUACUACAAUUGGGUUUGUUGCUUACCUUCAUACUCCAAUUGGAAGACUUGAAAGUCAAGUGACUGCGUUUUCCCUUUAUUAAAAAUAUGAUAUUUAUUGAACUGGUUUCAAACCUGAUCUACGACCACCCUCCUUGAACCCCAACCUACCUACAGAUUUUUUUUCCCGUAGCUCGUCAUCCGUUCUAGGACCGUCUUCUCGUGCAACCUCCAUGUAAAGCAAAACUUACCAUAGAAGUUAGUCUACGAUCAGCCGACAUGAGCAUUCGGUUAAACCAAACCAUUUCAAGCGCUCCCAUAUAGAAUCGGAGUAAUGGUAGUUGACUGUCUGUCUAUAAAAUUAGGGCUCAAGGCACCCACCCAACCGAUCUUUAGGAUGGUUACAAAAAUUUCCUCAAUUCAGUAGACCAAAAAAAUAAAAACUAUAGUGCGAUAGAAGGUGGCAUAUAGUCAAGAUAUAUGCCCUCCUAUGUUGGUCCUAAGAAAUCCUGACUUCAUGGGAAUAAGGAAAACAUUUCUUUCGCAUGCCCAUAUGUAAAAAACCAUCACAUCUUAAGGUUAGUUCAAGGUAGUAUAGUUCUUAAUUAGUGGUUCAUUCGCUCCAAAUUCCACCCUACUAUGGUAUAGUAAGACUUUCCAUAGUCUGUUAUGAAGAUAGUUAGUGAUAGGCUUCCUAGUGGGUACGACCUAUUUCUUAUUUUAUUUUAUUUAAUAGAUAGUAUAAUUGAAAAUAGACUCUUUUUUUUUAUAUCUAUCUAUAAAAAUAUAUGAAUUCCCUAAGGAUUGCAUUGAUUCAAACUCUUUUCUAGUCGGGUCGGGAGAAAUUCAAACUAGAUAAUGAUGCAAUUGACCGAUAAAUGGAAACAAUGUGGCCUUCUUCAAAAUUAGAAAUGAAAAUCAGUCUUUACAAACCGAAUCUUGUUCACGUACAUUGUUGAAUUAGGUUGACCCCCAUAUUGGUAUAUAUGUCUUGGAUGCAUUUUGAUUGCAGAGGUAUAUCACUUCAUAUUUUCAUAUUGUCAGUGCCAUUAAUACCACAUGAUUUUCUACACAUGGAAUCUAAAAACUAUGUAAGAUAUAUAUAAAAAAAAAAAAAAAGGUAUUAUAUGAACAUAAACUCUCGAAUUUCACUUAAACAUGUCGUCUUACCUUAGAAGUUAUAUUUUACCGGAUUGGAGAAGCGAAGACAAGGCUAAAGUGCUUUAUAUAGGGCUAAACGCGCCUCCCUAACUUUAAGGGAAAAGGCCUUAGAUUCGCCUUAUGUUGAAUUAAGAAAUAUAACAAAUUUACACAACUUGAACAUGGAAGGUAAGAAAUAAUAAAAAUUUACACUACUUAUAUUCCAAAGAUUGUGUUAGAAUAAUGUAACAAUUACAUGACCCAUUUGUAGAAAAUAACUUACCUACGGUUGGGUCAAGUCAUUAGAUGACUAGGUAGAGGAAAAACAACAAACUAACAAACAUGAAUCUUAGACUAUUAUUUUUUUCUCUUUCACACAUGAUAGUGGUCUUAGUCCAUAAUUUUUUUUGUCCAUUAGCAAAGGUAGGGAAUCUUCAUUUUUAUCUCUUGUGUUGUCAUCUUUCCUCUUUAAUAUCUCACAUGCUAAAUUGUUCCACCUUUAACUUGUAAUAUGGUGAAAAGCUUAUUUAUCAUAUCUUAUAAGGCAAGUAUUUGAAAAUUUUGAAAUUCUUUUUAGAAAGACUAUCAAGUCUUGGUGUGGAGCUACAUUUUUCACGUGCAUCCUCACUUGAUGACAAGACUUGCUUUUUAUUGUAACAAACUGAUUUUUAAAAAAGUUGGAUUCAUUCUCUCAUAAAAAAUCUCUACAAAAUUUAAAUAAUUUUUUUUAAUAUAUAAAAAUUUGAACAAAUGCAAUAUUUUGAAUACACACAACACAAUUUUUUAUAAAUUUUUUUAUUGGACAAAGAUUUUUCAUAUAAUUUUAAUAAUGUUGGAUCAAUUUGUUAAAGUUUUAUUAAAUCCUUUUUUAUACACUUCAAUAAAAGAAAUUUGAAUUUUCAUCCUAGUACCUACAUGAUCCACUCUUAAUAAUUUGUGUAAAUAUGUAGUAAUUUAAAUUUGUAGAAAAUAACUUACCUAUGGUUAAUCAUCCUAGUGCCUACACAAUCUAUUCUUAAUAAUUGGUGUAGAUAUGUAGAGAUUUAAAUUAGUAUUUUGAAAAUUGAAUUAAAUGGUUUCCUUUUAGUUUUCCACACUCUUUCCAAUUGCUCCAUAAAACAAAUUAGAGGCUUUAGGUUCGUGUUACAAUAUGAAGUUAUAAAUAAACUUUUUUUUUAUUUUUUUUAAGAAUCUUUUUCCUAUGUUAACUACAACUAAUAUUUAAGUUUGAAGUACUCCCAAAAUGCAUUUGACUAGUAACUAAUUUGAAAUUACAAGUUUAGCAUUAAGACUGAUAAUUUGUUGUGACAUAUUGGAUUCGCCUUAUGUUGAGUUAUGAAAUAUAACAAAUUUACACAACUUGAAUAUGGAAGGUAAGAAAUAAUAAAAAUUUACACUACUCAAAUACCAAAGAUUGUGUUAGUACAUGACCCAUUUAUUUCACAAAUAAUACUAUAGACACCAUCUAGUUAACUUAUUUAAUAAAUAGGUUAAGUUGAAUUGUGUAUGAAUUGAUAGAUAAUUUUUUUAAGUUAUUAAUUAUUUAAUUAUGUAUUUUUAACUACAAUAUAUUUAUAAGGUAAGAUUAAAGUUUUAAUUUUACAAUUGUUUAUAUUUUAUUUAAUUUUCCAUUAUAAACUAUUUUUAAUCUUUAUAUUUUUUAAAUAUAUAAAAUUUUACUUUGUUAGUUAUUUAAUUUUUUUAUUAUAUGAUAUUAUUAUUUAAAAACUAUUUUAAUUUUUAUAAUUUUUAAUAUGCAUAAUUAAUAAAUUUAUAUGAUUAAAAUGUGACCUAAAUAGGUUAUUUUAAUAUUGUUAAGUAAAUGAAUUAAACUGGUUGACAAUUAAAUUCAAGUAUAACCUAUUUAUUAAACAAAUUGACAUGAUUUUGAAUAAAUAUAAUCAUGUUUAAACCAAACCUCUAAACUUUAUGUCAUUUUUGAGUCAUAUUGCCAAUUCAUGUCAUAUUUGCUACCCUUAGCAUAUAACCAAGAGUCAUUAGUCAAUCUACCCAAAAUUCUUUAAAAUUUUAUGAAAGAAAAGUGUAAUGGGUAUGAUGAUUAGAACUAAUACCAUUUGAGAAGAGAAAAACUUAGGCUAUGUUUGAUUCCAGAAAAUUUGAGGGAAAAUGUGAUGGAAAGAGAAUAGAUAGAAAAAGUGGAAGGAUAGAAAAAACGAAGGAAAAUAAAAAGUAGAUCCAAAGUCAAUAAAUCAUUUUUAUAUCAUUCUUUAAAUUCAUUUCACUUAUUAUCUCCCAUUAUAUCAAUAAUAAGUAAUUUUAAAAUGCAUAAAUUUUUAACAAAAUUUGAUUAUAUUUUAUUUUCUUCCAUAUCUUCUAUAAUGAAACCAAAUAUAAAAAAAAAAUAUUUUGCUCAAACAUUUUUUUCUUUCAUUCUUGAUACUUUCUAAGAACCAAACAUAGUCUUAAUGUUUUAAUAGCAUAUUUUCUUCAUUCUUAGGGAAUAAAAUGAAAAGGAAUUACUCCUUUCUUGUUAAUUCCAAGGGUUUACUUCACUAUUGAAAUUGGUAAAAGCAUGUUGGAUCAAAUUUUGAGAAAACUAAUUUCUCCAGCCCUCGAGGCCAUUUAAAAAUCCAUUUCUUUUCCUCCGUGAAUGCAAGGUGACCAAAACAACCCCUCCUAACUUGUUGUAACUAUUUCAAUUAACAUAAUGAAAUAUUUAGUUAUUGUAAUCCUACACAUUAAUAAACAUGAUGACAUGUUAAAAUAUUUAGUUGUUUGAGGGUUCAAUACCACAAGUUCCUCAUCUCGUGUAAUUGUUGGAUAUCUCCAAUAACAAGUUAUUGGGGUCCAUUUCUCUAUUAUGUUCAGUUGUUAAUCCGUCACUUAUCCUACUUGACCUCUCAAACAACUCAUUGACAGGGGAGGGCUACCCAAUUGUUGGGCACAAUGGGAAAGCUUGGUAGUUGUUAAUUUGGAAAAUAACAGAUUUUCUAGGAAAAUUCCAAAUUCAUUUUGCUCCUUGCAAUCAAUUCAAAGUCUACAUUUGCGCAACAACAAUUUAACUAGAGAAUUGCCUUUAUCUUUUAAGAAUUGUACAAGUUUGAAGCUUAUUGAUUUUCAAAAAAUAGGUUGACAAGAAAAAAGCCAGAAUGGAUUGGAGGAAACCUCCCAAAUCUAUUUGUUCUAAAACUAGGAUCUAAUGGAUUCAGUGGAGGUAUAUCUCCAGAGCUAUGCCAAUUGAAAAAAUAUUCAAAUAUUGGACCUCUUUAGUAACAAUAUGUCAGGUGUUAUACCAAGAUGUCUUGGUAGUUUCACUGCCAUGACUAAGAAAGAGAGCUUGGUCAUUGCUCAUAAUUAUUCAUUUGGACCUUUUGGUGGUGUUCAAUACCAUAUAGGUGGGAAGACACCUGAGAAUGCCUCUUAUGUUGAUGGGGCGUUGGUUAAAUGGAAAAGAAGAGAAUUUGAGUAUAAAAAUACUCUUAGACUUGUAAAGAGUAUUGAUCUUUCAAGUAAUAAGCUAUCAAGGGAAUUUCCAAGAGAAGUAAUUGAUCUUCUAGGAUUAGUUUCAUUAAAGUUAUCAAGGAACAAUUUGACUAGAUUGAUCCUUGCAAGAAUUGGUCAAUUGAAAUCAUUGGAGACUCUUUGGUGAAAUUCCAGCUAGCCUUGUUGAAAUAAGUGGUCUAAGUGUCUUAGAUCUCUCCAACAACUUUUUCUCUGGUUAAAUUCCAUAAGGUACUCAACUUCAAAGCUUCAAUAUUGAUUCCUACAAGGGAAAUCCUGCCCUUUGUGGACUGCCUCUUCUGAAAAAGUGUCAUGAAGAUAAAAUAAAGCAAGAUUCUCUCACUCAUAUCAUUGAAGACAAAAUUUAGCAAGAUAGAAAUUACAUGUGGUUUUAUGUUAGCAUUGCUCUUGGAUUCAUUGUUGGAUUUUGGGGAGUGUGUGGAACUUUACUACUCAACAACUCAUGGAGAUAUGCUUAUUUUCAGUUCUUGAAUAAAAUAAAAGAUUGGCUCUAUGUGAUUAUAGCAAUAAAUAUGGCUAGAUAACAGAGGAGUCUUCAAAGAUAAAUGGUACAAUUCUCCUCCUCUCUUUCAUUUGUACUUGUUUUUGAUGGCCAACAACUCUCAAAGAAAGAUAGGCUUUUGCAUAUUCUUGGGAUAUACUUUAUAAAUUUUCUUUCCAUGCAACUAACUAGAGAGAUUUUUUCAAAUUGAUGAACACUAAUUUUACUUUGUGCUAAUUACAGAACUUCAACUCCUGUUCUUGCCAUAUUAGCAUGAUUGAAUGCAAAUAGUUAUGUAUGUCCUUCAUUUUAUGGUAGAUUUUGGGAUGCAAGAAGUUUUUUUAUUUUAUUUUUAUGAUUACUUAUGUUCUUUAGAUGCUUAUUUUAUCUUUUAUUAAGAAAUUUGUGGACAUUUUAUCUCUUUUGUUCCUUAUAUAAUGCUUUUAUUUGGUAUUUGGAUACUUUAUGGUUCAUCCAAACAAUAUUAUAGAAGGAUAUCAAAGGUAUAUUGUUGUCCGACUUUUAAUUUUAAAAAUAUUUCUUUCAUUCUAAAACCAUUUUUUAUUCAUUAAAAUUAGAACAAAAUAAAAAUUAAUGUUAUUAAUUUGGUUAUGAAUAAUAUAAGUUUUUGUCAAAUUAUUAAUAAUCAAAUCAUAAUUUCAACAUUUAAGAAAAAAUAAUUUUCUUCACAAGUUAUUAAUGAUUUGUUUCUCUCUUUCUAGAAAACUAGAUUACUCUUAUAAAUGCAAACCUCUUUUUUUCUUGUCUUCAAGCUUUCUCACUUGAAGUUGUCUCGCAUGUAGAUUAUUUUUGUGGAAUCUCUAGUUUUCAUCCAUUUUCUGCUCCCUUUUCUUCUUAGUGAUUGAUUUUAUAGAAUAUUAAGUCUAACUUCUUUUCUUAAUAAAAGGUUUUUUUUUUCUAAGUAAAUAAAAAAAAAAAAAAAAAACUCUUGUUCUUUUCUCUAUUUUAACAUAAUCCAACUAUAGGAUAACUAAAAUAUGAUUGAAAAAUAUAAAAUAAGUGAGAAUAAUUAUAUUCUAAUUAUACUCUAUAAAUAAUAUCAAAUAUUUGAUUCACAUAUUAGAAAAUAGUACCAAUCUCCAUCAUCAUGAGAUUAAUAUCCCAAUAAUUAAUCUUUUUUUAUUUGUUGAAAUUUCUUAUCUUUCGUGGUGCAUUACAAAACUCCUUAAACACUUUACACAAUGGUCUCUUGUUGUUUUGUUUUUGGUGUUUAUUUUAUUUUAUUUUAUUUUUUAUCAUUUCCCUGUCUUUUUUAGGUCUUCCAUUGCUUGGAUUAUUCUAUGCAGGAAUUUGAUCAAAAAGCCAUUAAUAAUCUAGUCCAAUCAAGUUUGUGAAAUGGUAAAAAUGAGAACUUUUAUACUAUCAUUAUUUCAUAAGUUUUUGUGUUUAUUAAUUUUUAUUUAUUUCUUUAUGAUAAAAUCUUUUAUCAAAAAUAUUUUUAAUGAAACGAUAAUUCUUUACUAUGAUUUUUUUUUAAAUUUUAAACUAUAAAGGAUUUCAAUUCUUAUUAUAUAUAUAUAUAUAUAUAUUCUCUCUUUUAAGCUAUUAGAACAAGUAGCGACUGGCUUUCUUGUGAAGGCAAAUUGAAAGCAAAGACCAUAGUUUCAAUUAUGCUAACCUUAAUAAGAACCAACCUCAUCGCAAAGAGUGGCUCUUAACUCAUUGAUAUAGCUAGAGAGAAUUACUUUCUAAUUUUCUCAUUUUUUGAGCUCAAAACUAAUCAAGUAACAACUAUUAUCAUAAAAUUAAUUACUUCUUUAUUUAUAAUUAUAUUCUAAUUAUAAAAUUAAAUAUUUGAUUAAUAUAUUUGAUAAUACUUAUAAAUAUUUAAAAUAGUUCCAAUAUAAUAUCCAUUAGGGGAUUAUUAUCCUGACUGACUUGCUUUAUUUGUUAUGUAUUGAUAAUGACCCACUCACCAUAAAUAAAGCUAUUAAGUUCAAGGUACAUAUAGGUUACGUUUGGUUCAUAGAAAAAUUGUGGGAAAAUAUAAGGGAAAGAACAUAGGAAGGAAAAGUAAAAGGAAAGAAAAAUAAAGAAAAAAAAAUGGAUUUAAAGCCAACAAAUUAUUUUUAUACAACACUUCAAACUUAUUUCACUUUUAAUUCUUCAAUAUAAAGAUAAAAUAAUUUGAAAAUAUAUAAGUUUCUAAUUAAUUUUAAUUAUAUUUUAUUUUCUUUGGUACUUUUCAUAUGACAAUCAACUAUAAGAAAAUCAUUUUCCUUAACAUUUUUUUCCAUAUUACUUUUCAAAAACUAAACAAAACCAUGGAUAUUUGUUAUAAUAGGGAACUCUUUAUUCAUGCAAACUCCCUUUCAGACUUGAGCAUGGGAGUGUUUUUCUUUUUCUUUUUUCUUUUUUUCUUUUUUUUGGCUUGUACUUCUCCAUAGGCCAAAUUACAUUGAAUGGAUCCCAAAGGAACAAAAAAUAAAUAUAAAUGUCAUUUGGGCCAAUACUAAUACGAUGAUUGUAUUAUCUAUCAUUAGGGCUGAUACAUUUCCAAGAAGUGUGUGUCAAAGAUUAUGUAUCUUAAGCCAAACCCAUUACUAAUCCAAUCAAAUUGAGCAAAAUUCAGCAAACCCCAUAGCAAAGAAAGUGGGAUAUACAAGCAAAGAUGGCCUCGCACAAUAGGAAUGAAAAUUUUUACAUUAUUAAUGGAAUGAGAACCAUAUAUGUUUGAUAAACACUUGACUAAAGCAAUAGAAAAACCAAUAUACUCCCCAAGAAAAUAAUGAAAAAUAAAAUAUAAAUUAAAUAAAAAAAACUGUAUUAAUGAGUAUAACAAUGUGAGUUAUACAUGUGCAUUCUAUCCUAGUAAGUAAAAAAAUAAAAUAAAAUAAUAAUAAUAAUAAUAGGAGCUAUGUGGUGUAAAGUAUGAAUAGUGAGAGAGAAGUACUAAAAGAUAUGAAAAAUAUGAGAUAACAAAAUUUUAAGAAUUUUAUUUAGUUCUAUUAAAUUAUUUUAUAGACAAAAAAAAAAAAAAAAAAGCCAAUCAUUUAAUUAACUUACUAAAUCAAAAUUUUGGAAUUUGUAAAAGAACAAAUAUAUAAUUGAAACACCUAUAAUUGAACUUGGGUCUCAUUUGAAUCUCACAAUUUUAUCGUUUGAUAGGGGUGGAGAGGGCUUGAGUUAAAGUUGAAACCAGGGCUCAUCAAUUUAAAAAUAAUUAUAUUAAAGGCAACACAUUUAAACAUAGAUUUCAGUUGGUGAUUCUAUAAUAAUGAUGAUGAUGAUGACGACGAAAGAGAAGAGGACAAAGUAUGAAGUGACGGACAAAAAGACACCAAAAAUUCUAAGAGUCAUCUACUAUGAUUAUUUUAUUAUUAAUUGCACUCAUCAAAUCACCUUUUUAAUAUAUUGAUGAUUUUAUUUGAAAAAAAAAAUUCAAAGUUAUAAAUUACACAAGAUUGAAAAGAAUUCAAAUAAAAUUGUGUUUAUUAUUAUUAUUAUUGUUAUUGAAAACAUCAUUCUUAGUUUCCUCAUUAAAAAAGCCAAUAUUUUUAUCAUAUUUUAGUUUCAUUAUCACAAAAAUAUUAUUAAAAUUAUAGCAGUUUGACACUUUACCUUUAAAUUAUAAUUUUAAAGUUGAAUUUAUUUGUCUACUUUUAAUUUAACUGCCUAAGCCUUUAAUAUAAUUAUUUUUGGGUUGUUCUAGGUCCUUCGAGUUUCAACCGCAGCUAGUAACUAAUCGUCCUAAGGCUGAAGCCACAAGCCACUGAACUGGGCUCAAAUCCCAUAUUUUGGGCAUGUUAUUGACAGGCCUACCCUUUUUUCUUUUUUUCUUUUUCUUUUAAACAAAAGACUAAGUUCGCCACCAAGCUAGCCCGUAUGCUUUUAUUGUUUAGAUUUGGCUCCCAACAUGCUACCCUUAUUUUAAGUCCCAAUAUUUUUAAGCCCAGAGUCUCGACCCUUGUUAAAUGUUGAUAUAAGUUUUCUAAGUUGAGGUUGCCUCUAGAAUGUAAUUAAUAAUAUUAUAAGAUAAUUAAUGAUAAUAAAUAUAGUUUACGAAAUUUGAAUAUUUUUAUUCUAACAACCUAUAACAACUUGACUAAUAUUCAAAUAUAUUAUUUGUUUAAAAAUGUAUCAUAUUUUUAUAUAUAGCUUGUUGGAAUUUGAAUAUCUUUGUUAUAGUAACAUAUAAAUAAAAUAAUAAUUAAAUUUGUUGAUAUUAAAAAUGUAUAUUUAUUUAAAAAAUGUGUAUAAGGAAAGUGACAAAUUGACUAAUCAUAUUAAAAAUAUGUUUAUUUAGAAAACAUAUGAUGAUUUUUCUCAUUAUAUUCUUCAUAUUUGUAAGAAGGAUGCCAAAAUAAAGAGAAAAAAACAAGGAAAAAUUGAAUCUUUUAUUUCACUCUACUUUGAGAAGUAAAUCCCAGGUUGUGCAAACAUGGGAUUACGUAGAGCUAACCACCAUGAGGUGAGGUUGAGUACAUGAUGAGAUGAAAUGAGAUGUAUGGGAAUAUAUGCUUCUACAUACCCAUUACAAAUGCUACAAUUUUCAAUGUUAGUUUAGAUGCAUUCUAUAUCAACUUCUUGUUAAAUUGCUAGUGCAUCUCAUGUCCCUCAUAUUGCAUUCUAAAAAUUUUCAUAAUGAACUUCAAAAUGAAUUUUCAUGCUAUUUCCAUUUCCAAGUCAAGACCAAAUACAUAUUAAAAUCACACAUACAUAUAUAGCUAAAAUUAAAAGGGUGAAGGGGCUUAUUUAUGCAGAACAUCGAAAUAUCUGAAAACAUCUUUUCUUUUCGUUUGCUAAAUGUUUCAUGGAGAUAAACCAGAGCACCUCAAACCUUAAUGGGGGUUCUUUAAAAUGAACCAUGUCAGUGAAACCAAAAACAUGGCAAUACUCAUUCAAUAACAAUGCUGAUUUUUUUACAAAGAUUAUUUUAUUUCAAUUAAAUGUGUCAAACACAUGGCGUGAAAUUAGCUAAUCACCAUACUUGGCCACAUGCUUCUUGAGUGCAAUGAACCAAUCAUGACAUCAGUUGGCAACAUCCUUAGUACUCAUCAGGGCAUUUACAAGUGGAGAAGCAAAGCACUACAAACCACAAAUUUUCUCAUAAGUGCUUCAAAUAAUGUUUUGAAAUUUGAAACUCAAAAUCUUCCUAGUGUUUACACAACUACAUAAAACAUACAAAAUUUAAAACAGUCAAACAUAUAAACUACAAACUAUAUAUAAAUGAAAACCCUUCUUACAUGGAAAUUUGCUCUAUGUCAAGCCAUUUAUACUAACAAGCUUUUGAUCAAGUGCAUGAUGUUGGAUUUGACGAAAAGUUUGCUAUCCUUUAGACAUGGAGUUCCUUUUUCUAAAGAUUGGUGUCAUAAGACAUUUAAGGAGAAAGAUCCCAUGAAAACAGUAUCAAUCUCAUGAAAGCAAUAUCUUAUACCUUUAUAGUGAGUAGUCUUAUGUUUGUGAUGUUAUGUGCUAGACCAAAUAUUUGUUUUGUUGUACGGGGUGGUAAAUAGAUAUUUAUUCAAUCCAAGACCAAAGCAUUUGGCAAAUUUCAAAGGAUAUUCUCAAGUAUAUUAGGCAAACAAUGGGAUAUAUGCUUGUAUCUCUUUGUAAUUAGUUGGCACUCCUUGGAUGCAUGGAUUCAAACUUUCAAUCUGACAAAGAUUCUUGUAAGUUUGCCUCUAGAUAUGUGUACAUUCUAAGUGAUUUUUAUUGUUGCUUUUGACCAUAAACAAUUAACAUAUAAUAAUAUAACUUUUGAUUAUAUAAGAUUUUAGAAAUUAUAGUUUAUGGCUAGAAAAUAUCAAUGUUCACAAGCUUUUUUCUUGACCAUUCAUAGUUUGUGAGUAGGAAUAAUUUUUAAGUAUAGCUUCUAGCUAUAUAAAAUUAAGAUAUCAACGAUUAUAAGUUUUUAACUUGAUUUGAAAGGUCUUAAUAUAGCUUAUAGCUAUAAAUUUAUUAAUUUGGUAUUCUAUUUUAUAUUAUUACUAGUUAUAAGAAAAUACAACAUAUUUCAAAUGUUAUAUACGAGAUGGCGAAAAUUAAUUGUGUAAGUUAUUAAGAAACUUUGUAAUGUACUUUUGAAUUUCGUAUUCAAAAACAAAGAAAUUGCUUUGAAUUGAAGAUGUUUUCUCUUUCUCAACCCCAAAAGUUGUAUUCAUAACAUGUUAUAAUUAAAAAUAUAAAGGCUAAGGAAAAAUAAAGAGAAGAGAGAAUAAGAGGAGAGAAUGCAUUAAUUUUUUUUUAAUCUCUUUAUUAACUCAAAAACCCUUAUUUAUAGGAUAAGAAUAAUAUCAAUAUGAUAAUAAUACAAACAUGGCAAUGAUGUUUUCAUCUACAAACUAUCAUGGAUAUUUGUAACAGUUUUCUAGUUUUAACCAUAAUAUAAAGAAUUGUAUUAUUAAAUAAAAAUUGAAAUGCUUUACUUAAACAAUAUACAUUUUUAUACUCACAAGUAUUAAGAUUUUUUUAAUACUUAAUUUCCAGUUUGAUAGAUUAGGCAAUUUUAUAAAAAAUAAUUAAUAGGUGAUAUCAGAUUUAUAUUACCAAACAUAUAUACUUAAAAAGAUUGAUGUUAGACCUCUUAUGAAGAACAUGAAGAUAUUUAGUGUAAUGGCUUCCUGAAAUAAGAGCCACCAUAAAGUUUUACUUUAGGGAUUUUUAUAGGUUGAUUUAUUUAUUUCUUUCUUGUCUUUUUCUUUUGGUAACCUAAUUGGAAUCUUUCAUAAAUACUUUCAAUUCCUAAAAUGCCUAAAGAAAUAGUGAAAUCUUUUAUUAAGAUAAACAAUAUUGAUCUGACCACCAACUUUAUCGUGUUGAUAUAAUGUUUUAUAAAAUGAUAGUUAGAAUAUCAAUUCUCUUCUAAGUAUUUAAGGUUUGUUUUGGUCAGCCCUUAGCUUCUAGUGUAUAAGAAAGAGGCAAGGUCUAGCUUGUCUUACAAGUUUAUAAUGAUUAAAUUGAUUAAAGUAAAAAUAUUGUAAAUGGUAGGGCCUUGUGAUAAGAUGCUACAAUGAGUCAACUUUGUUGGUGCACCAAGUGUAAUCCGACUAGCUAGCAAGAUGCUGAUGACAGUUCGGCCAGCACAAAGAAAUGCCUGGACAAGUUAAAAGUAAUAAAGGAUGAUAGAUUAAAAGUAAUAAAAUUAAGCCUAUCUCACCCAGGUUCCUUUACACUCACGAGCUUUAAAAGGGAUAGCUUCAAGCUCUAGAACUUUGCCUUCUCGUUCACUAAUAGAUGAAGAUGAAGAUGGAGAAAUGGUUGAUUCAACAUAUGAGGAAGAUGGAGAAGGCUAUAAAUGUGAUGAUGGAAAUGAUGAUGUUGAUUUUGUUGAUUUAGAGGAGGAGUGAGGAUUGAUUGUUGUGGACAAAUUUGUUAUUUAAGUGUUUUUUAAUGAUGUUUUUGAAUUGUGGAUAAAUUUCAUGUUUUGGUUUGGAAACUUUGGAUUUGGAUAUGUAUUAGACUAUUAACAAUCAUGAUGCUUUGUUUUUAUGCUUGGAGUUCUUUGUUUUUUUGUUUUUUGUUGAUUAAAUUGAAGUUUUGGAUGAUAUUUGAUGAUUUAUGUGUUUAGGACAAAUAAAUGAUUAUUAAAUUUGAUUAUGUUUUAUAUAAAAAUAUAUAUGUAAAUUAUGGUGCACCUCACUUUACUAAACCCCGUGUCUUAGGUGCGCCUUGUGCCUCAAGCUCCAGGACUACUUUGCGCCUUGGUGCGCCUUGACCCUUUUAAAACUAUGCAAGGUAUUUUGGUACAUUAUUUGUGAACAUAAUGGCUCUACCUACUAGAAGGUGGUGAUUCUUUCUUUCAGCAAUGCCAUUUUAUUGUGGGGUUGUUGUGUAGAAACUUUGAUGAAUAAUGCCUUUCUUAGAGAGAAAACCUUCUAAAAUAAUUUAAAAUAUCCUUUUUCGUUGUCUAUUAUAAGAAUUGUAAUGUUAGCAUUGUAUUAGGUGUUAAUCAUGGCAUAAAAAAUUUUAAACACUUGCUUUGCUUUUUAUUUUUCUUUCAAAAGAUAUACCCAACAAACCCGAGUGUGAUCAUCAAUAAAUGUGAUGAACCUUUGUUUUUCGUUAAAUGUUUAACUCGUGAAGAACCCCAAAUAUUACUAUGGAAUAAUAAAAAGAUGAUGACGCUUUGUAUUUUUAAGGAGGAUAAGUGGAACAAACAUGCUUGGCUAAGUGACAAAUUCCACAUUGAAAAAAAUCUCCAUUAUGAAAUAGUGAUGGAAACAAAGUUCGCACAUAUGGAAAACUUGGGGCCUAGUCUACAAUGUCACAAUAUUAUUUCUUGUUCUCUAGAAAUAGACUUACAACUUGCAAUUUAGGUUUGUUUAUUCAAUUCACUUCUCAAAAUAAUAUAACCCCUCAUGUUCUCUGGCAUUGCCAAUCUUCUUCUCCUAAGUUAGGUCUUGAAACACAUAAGAAGAUUCAAAGAAAUGAGCAUCACACAUUAAGUCUCUAGUCAACUUACUAAUAGAGGGAAGAUUGCAAGAAAAAAAUUAGAAUAUGUAAAACAAAAUGUAGUUCAAUAUUAGGGCUAAUUCUAAUAUUUCUAGUUCUUGCCACUGUUGAAAGAGAUCCAUAUGCUACUUUAACCUUGAAACUUCCUAAACUAAGAUUGUAUGAUGAGAAUAAUUUUUCGCAGCCCAUCGUAUGAUUUGUGGCUCUAGAUUCAAUCAUCGUGGUUCUAGAUUAUUUCUAUAACUACAAUGAGGUGAGGAAAAAAUUACUUCUCUGUGCUAAUAAUGAAUUAUUAGUGUCUUUUGAUGGUUUUGUCAUCAAUAUGGAGAAAAAACCAACAUUCAUCAAAUUCUUAUUAAAAAUAAAUUAAAGGUACAAGCUGUAAUUUAUACAAAGCAAAACGUGAAACAGACCUUAAUUCUAGGAAUAAUAAAAUCAUAUCUCCUAAGAUUUUAUUGCUAUUAAUCAGCAAUAUUUAUUCAAAAUGAAAAAAUUCAAAUGAUGUUCAAAUAAUAGUUGAUUAUUUGGCUACUAGUUUAAAACAAAAUCUGCCCAUAAUUAGAAUGAUUUGAUUUUAUUUGAAUUAUCUUCCAACACUCCCCCUCAAGUUGGGUGGUACAAAUUGAACAUGCCCAGCUUGUCUACUAGUUACUUGAAUGAUCUUCUUGAUAGUAAUUUGGUGGGUACAUUUGCUAGUUGUUUAUUUUGUUGGUACAUAAGCCAUGCAAAUUGUACUAUCUUCAACCUUUUCCUUUAUAAAGUGUCUAUCAACUUCCAUGUGUUUAGUUAAGUCAUGAUGAACUAGGUUGUGUGAUAUAUGUUGAUGGUCACCUUAUUGUCACAAUACAUCUUCAUUGGCAUCUUCUCCUCCACAUUAAUUUCUCGUAGAAGUUGUUUAAGCCAUAGUAGUUCGCACAUAUCAUGAGCAAUAACACAAAAUUCCGCCUCUGCACUACUUCUAGCUACUACUGUUUGCUUCUUACUCCUCCAAGUCGCUAAGUUGCCCCACACAAAGAUGCAAUAGCUUGAAGUUGAUCUUUGAUCAUCUAUGGAACUUGCCCAGUUAGCAUCCGUGAACCCUUUAAUGCUUCUUGUUUCAUUUUUUCUAAAGAAUAAUCCUUUCCUUAGAGAUACUUUAAGAUACUUUAUAAUUCUAUACACGACUUCCAUAUGUUCUUUGCAAGGAGAAUGCAUGUAUUGACUCACAAUUCUUAUUGCAAAAGCGAUGUCUAAUCUAGUGUGGGAAAGAUAAAUUAGCAUCCCUACUAGACGUUGAUAUCUUUCGAUGUUGAUAGGUGUGCUCUCUUUUUGUUCUUCAAUCUUUUUUACGGGAUCCAUUACAACAUCCAAAGGUUUACAUCCUAGCAUCUUAGUUUCCUUCAAGAGAUCUAGAAUAUAUUUUCUUUAGGAAAUUGUUAUUUCACUAUUUUUCCUUGCCAUUUCCAUCCCUAGAAAGUAACGUUGAGGUCCUAGAUCUUUGGUUUCAAACUUAGCAACCAACUUCCCUUUUAAUUGUUCCAUCUCCAUUGGAUCAUUUCCCAAUCACUAUAAUGUCAUCCACAUAGACCAUGAGAAUAGUGACCUUACCAUCAUUGUGAUGUUAAAAUAAGGUAUGAUCAGAUUGAUCCUAUGUAUAUCCAUGCGUUAUGAUGGCCUUGGUAAAUCUCUUGAACCAUGCAUGAGGAGACUGUUUCAGCCCAUAGAGAGAUUUUCUAAGCUUGUAGACUUUUCUACCUUCCUUCCUUGAUCGAAUCCAAGAGGCAAUUCCAUCUACAGUUUUUCUAGGUCUCCAUUCAUAAAAACAUUUUUGAUGUCUAGUUAUUGAAGUCACCAAUCCAGACUUGUAGCAAGAGAUAAAAGAACUGUUACGGUAUUAAGUUUGGCAAUUGGGGUAAAUGUACAUUUCUUGAUAGUCAAUACCAUAAGUUUAUGCAAAUCCCUUAGCUACCAACCUUGCCUUGUAUUUUUCAAUGAACCCAUUUGACUUUUAUUUUCCAGCAAACACCCAUUUGCAUCCAACAAGCAUAUUUGCUUGGGCUUGUCCACUAAAUCCCAAGUUCGGUUUUUUUUUUUUCUAGAGCUUUCAUUUUCUCCAUCAAAGCUUCUUUCCAUUGAGGAUCUUGUAAAGCCCCAUGAAUAAGUUCCAAAACUUCUUCUCCUAAAAGUUUUGAAAUAAAAGCUUGAAAUCAAGGUGAGAGGGUGUUGAAUACAUGGUCAAACACCUUUUCUCAUGGCUAUAGGAAAAUUAAGGUUACUUAUGACUCAUGCCCAAUUGGUGUCUCAGCUGAUUUGUGUUCAGCUGGUGCUCCUUGAUUGAGGAAGUGAUCAACAAAAUUUAUACCUAUAACACCAUACACUAGGGUAGCAAAUACAAAGCUACUAUAGUAUAGUGGCUCUAAGGAUCGUUCACUGGGAAUGAUUUGCAAGCAAUCAAGGAUACCAAUUCCAAGUGAAUUGGUUUUGUUUCAUUUCACGGUUAGCUUAAGGAAUAAAACACAAACUUUGAUUGGUACAGGUUUAGACUUAAACUAACUAACUUAACAGAAGUUUGGAAUAAUUUAGGAAGAAAAGCAUUCCUUGGAGAUUUAGGUUCACUGGGGCGGUUCCUCAUACAAAAGACACGGCUCUGGUCAGAUGGUUCAUUUCCUCGCAUUAGAGAUUCAACUUAGAGUCAAUUCUCUAACCGGUGAUGUACAGAGACUCCUUCAAUUAGAUUUCACUUUAAUUCUCUCACUGAUGCAACUUGCAAUGGUUCAUGCCUCUCACGAGCACUUACCAUUCAAGGUGAUCUUUAACCUUGGACUUCCCUUCACAAACUCGCAAGAGAUAACUAAUGGAUGUCUCCUAGGAGUCCAAAAGCUUACCAAGUGUUGGUAAUUCCAGAAAAUCCUACCUUGAAGUCACCUACCAAAGGCUCGCAAGGGGUAAACUAGUGCAUUUCCACGGUUGGAAAUCACUUGCCUUACCAAGUGUUGGCCCAGGUGACUCCAAGGUGUUUUAAGUUAACUAAAAACAUUGAAAUCACUAAAGGAUUUCACUUCCUUUUCAUUACUAGCUAAAACCACAGAGCUUUGCAUUCUUGCACUUGGAACCUUCCCCGACAACCUUAGCUCCAAGGAAUUGGAGGUUUAGUUACUCAUUCUCUGGGGAAAACUCCUCAGAGAAUUCAUAACUUAGAAAUAAAAUGAAAAUACAAAGUGAGAAGGUAAGGCAGUAGAAAGAAAAUACUUUACUUGCUUACCAAAUGGUUACAGAAGGAACUCUCCUCCGAGAACAGGCUCCCGAGAGGUAUUUAUAUCAAAACAAUAUAAAACUAAUUAUUACAUAGAUAUUUGGUCUUUUUACUAACUUAAAAACUAAGAAAUCAUGUAAUUGGUGGUUUACAAGGAGUAUUUUGGGAUUUAGACAACAAAAAUCUAAUGGAAAAUAUCUCCCAAUGUCGGUAGCAAGCUUCGGGAGGCUUCAAGAGCCAUUUCGCAGGAGAAAAGUGAGGUCUGCGAAAUUUCGCAGACACCCAAGAGGGCUGCGAAAUUAUUUUGCAAGACCGAGCUAUCUUCACCUGGCUGCAAAGUUGGCUUCCACCUUGAAGUUUCCAGCUCCCUUCUCGCGGCAUGGUUCGUGCAUCGUCAGAAGGAGAAACACCUUACUGUACAAAAGUGCUGCGAAAUUCUCGCAACAAAAGGCUGAUUCCGCAACACUUUAGAGUGACUGGCUUGUAAUGGCUGCAACUUCUUCGUUUCAACUCCGAAUCGUGCACCGUUUGAAGCAUUGGAUUGUUGACUUUCUGAGCUUUGAAAUGGUAUAUAGCUUGCAUCAUUUGGACUUCAGAAAGUUCUCCAAAAGUGGCUGCUACGACUGUCAUCAAGAAUAGGCUUCAUGGCAGAUUCUCUUUGCUUUUUCUCCUUGCAUUCCGGAUUCACUCUUGGCAAUUGAAUUCUAGCUUUGCCCAAGAUUCCUCAUAGCUCUCCUCAUUCUUGACUUGCUUUGGUGAUCAAAAUACUAACAAAAACACCAAAACUUGCACAAAGUGAUCAAAAUUGCUUUAAAGGAUCCUUAACAUGCCAAUUGAGUUAAAAGGCCUAAACUACUACUCAAAAGUGUUAAAAAGGAUUAAUUAAAGGCUAUCAAAUAGCACUUUUUGAGUAGUAAUCAACUUACCUCAGGAACGACAGUUUUUCUGAUUCUUGACAGCACUAUUGGUUCAUUUUGGUCUCUAUUAUUCUUGAGUUACUCCUCUUUGUAUAGACAUGAAGUUUUGGUUGUUGUAGUGAAUCUUCCCUGACCUUGAAUCUAUUUUUGUUGUUGACACCACAAGUCUGACUGGCUUCGAUUGUUCUUGUUUGUCAGUUUCAAACACUAGCUGGUUAAGGAGGUGUUCUGGUUGUUCAGGUGGGUAAGAAGGCUAGUUUAAUAGUUGUUUUGGUGAUAUAGUUGGGUUAGACAAGUUUGGUGGUUGUUCUGGUAGUAGGCUUAGCAAUGAUAGUUCCCAAAAAUUCUCUUUAUCUACAUUCUGCCCUUGAAGUGAAUUUUUGGAGAAAAAGGUUGGUUCUAAAAAAAAUGUAACAUCCAAAGUGACAAAGUAUUUUUGUUUUUUAGGAGAGCAACAGCGAUACCCCUUUGUGUGGUUGAAUGACCAAGGAAGACAUAGGCUAAUGCUGUAGGAUCCAGUUUGGUUCGAUUUUGGUCGAGGACAUGAACAAAGGCUUUACAAUUGAAAACCUUAAGGGGGAGUUGGUUAAAGGACUGAGUUUGUGGAUAGAAUUGAAGGAAUCUUUUUAAUGGUGUUUGGUAAUUGAAAACUCGGGUAGGCAUAUGAUUUACAAGAUAAUAAGUUGAAAGAAUGGAAUCUUCCCAAAAUUGUUUUGGUACAUUUGUGGUAAGCAUAAUGGAUCGAGCUACUUCCAAUAAAUGCCUAUUAUUUCACUCGGCCACUUCAUUUUGUCGAGGUAUAUCUACACACGAACUUUCCCAUUAUCCAUUUAUAAGACUUGGAUUUUAGUAUUAGAUUGGUUUUGAAUCAUUUGAUAAAAAAUUUUGAAUGCUGGUUUUGCCUCAUUUUUUUCUUUCAAGAGAUAUAGUCAUGUAGUUCAGGUGAUCAUCAAUAAACGUGAUAAACCACCUUCCCAAUUAGAUUUUGUAAACGUGAGGGACCCCAUAUGUAGUGUGUAUCAUUGCAUAAGGUCUGGAUGCUUUGUAGGGUUGAGAAGGAUAAUUGGACCAUUGAUGUUCAGCAAAUUGAUAAAUAUCACACUAAAAAACAUCUUUAUUAUUGAAAAAAGAAGGAAACAAAUGCUUCAAAUAUUGAAAAUUAGGAUGGCCUAAGCUAAAGUGCCACAACACUACUUCUUGUUGCUUAGUCCUCUAGGAAGAUUCACAACCAGCUGAUAGUACUUGUCCAUCCUUGGUAUUAUCUUCCUUGAAGUAGUAGAGCCCUCCAUAUUCCUCAGCACUGUCAAUGCUCUUCCUUAGACAACAAAUUACAUGAUAAUUUGGGACAUUGAGAACAUUGAAAAGGGUUAUAUGAGGCCCUAAAAUUUUAGUACCAGUCCCUGCAACAGUAGCCAGAGAUCCAUCUGCAAUUUUGACUGAUGUGUCCAGAACCUGGAGUAUAAGUAGAAAGUAGACUUGCACAACCUGUCAUAUGGUCUGUUGCCCCUAAAUCUAUUAUCCUAGGGUUGAAUUUUUCUGUUGUUCCACUCAAAGCAAUCCCAAAUGUACCUUUUGGGAUAGGAAGGAUGAGUUAAUGUGGUUUUGGGAUGUAUUAGUGCCUGAUUCUGCUGGUACCAAGGCUGAGGAUGGUGUUAACAAUUUGUAGAGCUGCUCUAACUGCUCCUUGUUUAAGGAAAUAUUGACAGAGCUCUCUCCUCUCUGCUAUUCAGUAUCUGAAGUGGUCUGAUAUCCCUUGGGUUCCCUCUUAGUGCCUUGGUUAUCUCUGAAAUUAGGUGGUCUGCCAUUCAGCUUCCAGCAGUUUUCAUGGCUGUGAUUGGAUCUCUGACAGUGAUCACACCAAAGGUUGUCAUUUCUUCUGUUGCAAGUAUCUCCACAGGAACUGUCAUCUUUACAGGCUAUCAGGUCUGAGUUAUCAGCAGUAGUAUUGCCAGGAACAGUAGGAGUUUUUACCCCACCAACCAUCACACGUUUGCAUGUUUGUAAUUUCUGAUAUUUUAAUCCUUGUUCACAUGAUGACUGUUAUAUUAAUUUUAUUGCUGAUUCAGAUAAUACAGUCAUAACAUUUGCUGGAAUUUUGCAAAAUCAGACUCAGCCUUUUGAGACUUUGAAAACUUUGACACCAUAUUUAGUCAAUCUAGAUUGAAGAAAAGACCUUAUUCUAGAAACUUAUGAACUAAAAACAGAGUUUUCUCUACUUAGAAUAUUCAUUAUUCAUUACUGGUUUUGUUCAUGAAAGUUUCUUUCCUUCUAUGCUUUGUUGCUCUAUACUUCUACUUGCAUAUUCAAAUGGAUCUGCAAAUAAUUUGAUUUUGUUGAUAGGUUGAUGCUGCUCUUGAUUUAAGUCACGCUCAAAACAUUGGAAGAAUGAUUAAAUCCCAUUUCCCACAUUCCCCGGUUAGUAAAUAUAUAUUUUAUUUUAUUUGUUCUCAUCAGCAUGUUGAUUCACUUUUCUUUUUAUCCUCCUAAACUUUAGAUCUUUUUGCCAAUUGAAUUUUAGCUCUAGUAAUAGACACGGGGCCUUUAGUUAUAAUUAAGUCAUAAUAAAAAAAGAAAUUUUCUAUGGUACAAAAAAGGUAUCAUGAUUCAUGGCUCCAAAAGUCAACUAAUGAGAUUGAGAGUUUGUUUCUUGAUAUAUGAAACUACCUAGAGGAGAAGCGAAUAGGUAGUCCAAAAUUUUAUUUUCCAAUUUAAAAUUUAUUCAAAUUUUAUGAGAGGUAGAUUCAAACAAUGUAUAUAUAGAAAUCAAUCACACAUACAAGGACAUCAAUUAUAGGUGGAAAUAACACUUACAAAGUACUUGAGAAAUUUUGUAGAUGAAAAACCUACAGGUUGAACGAUCGGGAAUAGAGCCAUGAAAUACAUAAAAGAUUGUAUGUAGAUUACCUAAUCUAGAAUAUCCAACUCCCAAAGGGUCUUAUACCGGUAAGCACCUACCCAACUUUUCAUGUCCUUAUCGCAACACUCUUUGUUCCUUACUGAAUACCUUAAUCCCAUGCUAAGGCUAUGAAAGAACAUACCUUCAAUGAAAACACUUUCAAGAUUGUGCUUUAAAGGUUUGAGAGAUGGAGAUCUAGGGUAGAGAGAAUAGUCACAUUCUUAUGCAUGUCUUCAAUUUAUAAAAACUUAGUAUUUAUACCAAAAUAUUAGGAGACAAUUUUGGAGAUAUUUUUUCCAAAAAGUUAGCAAAAUAUCCUUUAAAAAAUUGGAAAAUGGCUAGAAAUAUGCAAGAAUAUGGCCCAAUGUUUGAAAGUCUGUAGAUGGUGUUUGAGAGAGAUGUUUGAAUGUCUCCUAUGUGACAUUUGGAUUUCCAACCUGCAUUUUGCCCACUCGGUUGAGUUUUUCAAUCUCUUCUCCAAAAUUUCACUUAGUACUCGUGAUAACCAUUUCUCAUGGCCUAAUAUCACCUAAUGUAUAUGUACUUCAAAUGUGAAUCAACUCUAAAGUAACUAAUGAUUGAUUUAAAUUGGUAAGACCCUCAAGAGGUAAGCUACAUUGGACUCAAUACAAUAAUGGAACAAAAUUUAUCAACCUAAUCUAAUACAUCAAUUGAGAUACCUAAAGGCAAUGACAUAUUAAAUAGUAAAAUGUUAAUUUUUAUUAGUUAUAUAUAUUUUAGUGGAUAAUACCUUCAAAUGCAUUCAGGUGCGUAUAAAGAGUAGCAUGUAUGACAUGAACAAUGCUUGUUUCUAGAAGAGUCUGCUACCUAGUUGACAUUAAACAACAGAAGUGGUUCUUAACUCGAGAAACCAACAAAAAGAGGAGUCAACACUUUUAUCUUAGAUGUAAACUCUACUCUGUAUUUCUAUAAUUAGAUUUGUUCAUAUGGCCAACUGGAAGAAUAAACUAUUCAUUACUAAGAGCAAAAUGAAGCUUUCUAGAAGUUAAUAAAGCGAUCAUAAGAUCAAUUAUUGUAGUUGUGCUUUUGCUACACACAGUCAAAUUAAUAGUCAAGAAAAAUCCUGAAAAUUUUUAAGAACUAAAUUAGAUCUUGUGUUUGGUCUUAAGAACUAAAAAAAGUGGCAGCUCAAAACUAACCAUUAGGUAUGGUUUGGGGUUGAUUUAACAUUCUCUAAAGGCUCAAAUAAUACUCAAGAACGAUUUAAAAUUCUUCCACAAUCAAUAUAAGAGGUUAAUUUGAAGCCUUUAAAUAGGAGUUGGAAGCUCAAAACUAAUCGGCAGGUAUGAUUUGGGGUUGAUUGGUCAAAUUGGUUAUUACCCAUUGGGCAUCAAAAAGUACAAGUGACCAUUAGGUUAUAAAAGGUUAGCUAGAUGGGUUUCCACCUCAACCAGUUAAAAUAAGCUUUUGUCGACCUUAAUCAGUCCAAUUGAUGAAUAAACCAAUUCAACCGGUUGAUUGAGUGAAUAGAAAUGGUUGAGCCGCUUUGGUCAAAGUCUGAGGUCAAACAUACAACUUUAGCAUAUUGCAUCUUUAGCAUAAGAUCAUUAGGAAAACUUGACUAGAUAAACCCUUCAUCAUUUUAAAAACCUUUUUAACCAUUAAAAACACUAAUUAAAGAUGAUUUUCAUUUAAAACAAUUCUUCAUCCAAUUUAUAAAAGAAUAAAAAAUCAAGAGAAGAAUUUAGAGAAAUAAAGGAAGAAGAAAGUCAAAGGAAAAUAAUUUUGAAGUUAUCUAUUUCCAAUACCUUACCAUAUUUAUAGGUUCCAAUCAUAAUGACUAUAAUAUAUAUAUAUAUAUAUAUAUAUAUAUAUAUAUAUAUAUAUAUAUAUAUAUAUAUAUAUAUUAACAAUUAUGAAUGUUACAUGAAUAUUUGCAAAGUUUAAUAUUAGGAAAUGACGUCCACAAAUUUUUAUACCUAUUUAUAGAACUCCCCUUUUGAUGUUAAAUCAUUUUAAAAAUAUGUCUUAUUAAAACCUGACUAAGAAAAAUCCAAGUGAAGGAAAAAAAGUAUAAUAAUCUUUUAAUGCAUUUGGACUACUGUGACUACCUCAUUAAAAAAUUUGUCUGUAAAACCUAGUAGGACAAAACCUGGACAAAAGGAAAAAGAAUACAAUGUAGUGACAUCCUUAUUAAUUUGCUCCCCCGUGAACAUAAUCACGUUUUCUUGACUACUUCAAUUUGAAGCUUCUUGAAUCUUCCCAUUUCAAUAUUAUAUAUGAGUUUUUGGAAUAUUGCUCUUAGUAAUGCUUUUAUGAAUAGAUUUGCAAAAUUGCCACCUAAUCUUACUGGUUGAAUAUUAAUAUUAUGCUUAAGCUUGCUCUAGCUCUAGUAUCAAACCUGGCCUCCUCAGCUCCAACAACAUCACCCUAUGUCAAAUUAUCAUCAUCAAAUACAAAAUCAUAUUGUGCACCUCCAUGAGAAUCCUCAUUUUCCAUUCUUCCUAUCAACCCUUCAUUGUUGUCAUCUAUAUCUUUUAAGGAAAUUGGGCCAAUGGUGUUACGUUCAUUGUAUCUUCUCUUUAAGGCAUUAUAUUUAAUGUGUACCAAAUCAUUCAAGCGUUGAUGAUCUAACCUAUUUCUCCUCUUGCUAUGAAUCUACAAAAAUUUAUAAACUCAUAAAUAUAUUUCAAAGUUUUAACUUUUUACUUUUAAGUUACAUUCAAGACUCUAUUAGACUAUUACUUGUAAUUAUUUUGGUCACUUACAUUUUCAAAGAUGCUUCAAUUCCAUUCACAACCCAAUGCACUACAUGUUAGGUUGAGGACUUUCAUUGCAAACCUUUGCAAAUUUGGAGCUUCAGCUCCAUAUGUAGCCCACCAUUCAGCUAUAGUAUAGAUAUUAACAAUUUAGUGAAAUAAUUCAUCUAUUUCAGCAAAAAUACAAUCUAAUCAUUUAAAUAAAUAAAAAUAAAUAACUAACUUGGUGUUCUAGUCUUCAUUGUCCUUACAACUAACUCAUUCUCGAUUAGUCUUUGGGCAUUUGAGUACAAACUCACUUUAGUCACAACUUUUUCUUACUUAGUGGGGUUUUUUGUCAGCCUUAAGAUGCAUUUAUACAAAUCACUCACAAUCUUUGCAUCAUGCUCUAUUUCUAGUUUAUCAUAGAAAAAUUACCGGUUCAAAAAGUACCAUGUUGCAUGCAAAGGCCGAUGAAGUUGAAUUUCCCAUCUCUUAUAAAUGAUUUUGAAGAUUUCUUUAUACUUCUCUUCAUUUCCAUUAAAACUUCUCAUAAUUGUAUCCUUAGCUCUAUUCAUGACCUCAUAAAUUUAUUCCAUAGGAGCUUUUUUUUUUCACCUUUAACCAAACAAAGCACAUGAACAAGGGGCCCAAAACCUUUAAGCAAAACACAAUAGUGUUCCAAAAUGAAGGCAUUAGAACUAUGUUGGCUAUAGUUUUCUCCUUCUCUUUUGCCCAUUUACUAUUUGACCAAUCUGAACUUGUAAACAUCUUCCUCAAGUUGCUUUUUUGUUCAUGUAAUCGCAAUAAUGUGAUGAAAGCAAUUGCAAAUCGAGUCUUAGUAAGCCUAAGCAAUUCUUUUUGUCUAAUAAUCUGCCUCAUCAUAUUGAGUGGCCUUGGGCAAUUAUAAAUAUACCCAUUUAGUGAUAUAGCCCUCUCCAAUGUCCCUUGAUGUUUGGUAGCUUUCCAAUAUCUUCCAAUAUCAAGUCAAGGCAAUGUGCAGCACAUGGUGUCCAAUACAAAUGCAAGAAAGCUUUAAUUCUAGCAACCUCCCUAUGUGACAUUGUAGAUAAUAAAUUUACAUAAGUUCUCAAGAUAAAUAAUUCAAAUUUUAAAAUUAAAAUUAUUAAAUAAAAAUUCAAGAAAUAGUAUUUAUUACCUGCCAUCACAUAACUUGAGUGAUUAUCUGUUAUAACUUGAAUAACAUUCUCCUCACCAACUUGCUCUACCCAUUUUUCAAGUAACUCAAACAUCUUUUCUCUAGUCUCAAUCAUCGAAAAAGCAUAAAUGGAUUGCAUAAACAUGGUUCCCUUUGAAUAAUUAACCAAAAAUUUCACCAAAGUUCUCUCUUUCCUAUCGGUCCAUCCAUCUAACAUAAUUGAACAUCCAUUUUUUUUUCCAUUCCACCAUAUAAUCCUUCAUCAAAUCUUUUGUAAGAGCUAAUUCUUUCUUGAGGUUUGUAAAUCUUGCCUCAUGAAGAGUUGGUCCCUUCAUACCCACACCAUAUUAGCCAAUAGCCUCAAUUAUUGGUUGGAAACUCGGAUAUAUGAUUGCAUUAAAUGGAAUAACAGCCUCAUACAUCCACCUUGUGAUAAACAUACAAGCUCUUUCUCUUGCUUCCUUUUUAUAGGCAUCAUUGAUAGUAGUUUGAUUCAUCUUCCCACUCUUUUGACUUUGAACAACCAUUUCUACAUUAUGAGUGAAAAAAUGAUCCAUGGGACCUUUUUGUCUUGGUUUUUUUGAAGAAAACAUCCUACCACCACUUCCUCCUUAGUUACUACCUCCAUUAGAAAUGUUGGUGACAUUCAUUCUACUUUUAAUCUCCUCACCAAAAUCUUCAUCUUCCAAACCAAACAAAUUUUCAUUAACAUCUUCACUCCCCAUAUUCAUUUGCUUUUUUGACUUUUUUUGGAACUCAUAUACUCUUCCAUUUCUUCUCUAACAUGUUCUAGACAUUUUCUACACUUUUUAGCAUUUUUAUAUCCACCAACAAGAUGUUGUUUGUGUCUAUAUAUGCCUUUUUUGAUUACUUUAUCACAAAAAAUGCAUAUAGUGGUGUUCAAAUCUUUUUCAUUAGGCAAACGAGCAUACUUUCGUCUGAGAUCUCUUCUUCUACUUGCACUAGAGUCCACUUGAGUUUCACUCUCAUUUUCCAUCUUGCAAACAAAUUAUCCAUACUACAAUAAAAUAAUUAUAUUAAAUUAAGAAAAUAAAAAAUUGAAAAAAAAUGCAUAUCAUAUUAACAAAAAAUAUGUACAUGAGAGUGUUUUUUAUUUGUUUAUUUUUAUUUAGUAAAAUUUUCAUGUCAAAAUACAAUAUUUAUUUUAAAAAAAUGCCAAUGAGAGUUAUGAGACAAGAAUGGAAAAAAAAUGCAGAAAAGAGAAACAUACCAAGGUCCUAGAAAGGUACGUCUAUUUUUCCUCUAUUUUUCCUCAUUUUCUUUGCUUCUCCACUGCACAGCUGAGGUUAGGGCAAAAUUUGGGAGGGUUGUCGAGUUGAAAACAACCAGAAAAUGGAACUAGAAAGGAAAAUAGGACCAAAAUGACAUUGUUUUGGCCUGUUUUUUAUUUUAAAAGAACAAGCUCCAAAACAACAUUAUUUUGGCUGGUUAUUUUUUAAAAUAAAAAUGGUCAAAACAACGUCAUUUUGGUCUCAAUUUUUUUCAUAAAAAACAAAAUUAGGGUUCUCUCUACCCUUUGCAACCCGUCUUCAAAAAAAAAAAAAAAAAAAAAAGAAGAAGAAGAAGAAGAAGGAGAUAGGGGAUCAAGGCGCACCUAUGGACUACGUCGUGCCUUACCGAAGGUGGGCUCCUUGCGCGCUUAAGUGGCGCCUUCGUGAAGGGGCAUCGCCUACCUUUAAGCAAGGCACCGGAGGGUUGCAUCGCACCACCUGGAGCCUAGGCGCACCUUUCACAACUAUGAUACCUUGUUAUCUAAUAAAUAGAAUGUUAACCUAAAUUCUUAAUUAUGAAGCACCAAUAACUUGUUUUCUCAAAGCCUAUCAUCGUAGCCAAUCUAUCUCUUCACUUCCAUUAUGAGUCUUUGGUUGUACUUCCUUCGUACACAUCUGCGAUAAUAAUAGGAAUAAACUUAACCCUAAAGCUCGAAAAUGUAUUUUCUUAGGAUACUUUGAUAUGUAAAAAAGAUAAAAAUGUUACAUACCAAACACACAAAUAUUACACUUCUAUGGGUUUGACAUUCUUUGAAAACCAACCUUUUUUCACCAAAAAUUUCUCUCAAGGGGAAAACGUUAGUGAGGACGAAAAUAUUAAAGUUGCCAUUGCUCCUAUAUUUGCACUACUACUUGAGUUUGAACAACCACAAACACUACUACAUGAACUUGAAUAGUCAUAAAACACCCUUUGGUGAACCUGCUAUGACCAUGAACAAGGGUUCAAUGAUGGAGGGACUUGUAACUCCAGUCUCCCAAGCCACUUGUUUAUUCAAGACAAAAUAGUACUCAAAAGGUGGAACACCUAACAACCUCUUGCAAAACCAUGAAUUUGAACCAAUAUCAAUUACUCAAACUUCUAACCCACGUGUUACUUUUGGAGGUGAUGAUCUUAAAUGUUCCUAUAGCUCUCAAGAAAGGAACCCGAUCUUGUACUCAACACCCAAUCUCCAAGUUUGCAGCCUAUAAUCACUUGUCAUCGUCUGCUCAAGCACUUAUAACUAAUCUAGCAAGAGUGGAAAUUCUGAAAACCACACAGGAAGCUUUAUCAAUACUAGAAUGUAGAAACGCGAUAAGAGAAGAAAUGUUAGCUCUAGAAAAAAAUAGAACUUGGGAUGUUGUGGAGAUGUUGAGGGAAAAAAAAUCCCCUAUUGACUACAAAUGGGUUUUCUCAGACAUAUGGAGUUGACUAUCAAGAGACAUUUACACUAGUGGCAAAGCUAAAUACUAUUCGAGUACUUUUAUCCUUGGCAACAAAUUUGGAUUGGAAACUCCAACUUGAUGUCAAAAAUGCAUUCUUGAAUCGUGAGUUGGAAGAAGAAGUCUAUAUAGAUCUGCCAAUAGGAUUUGAUGAGGCUAGAAUUAAUGAAAAGGUUUACAAGCUCAAAAAAUCUCUUUAUGGAGUGAAACGGUCUCCACAGGCUUGGUUUGGUAGAUUUACAAAGGCUAUUCAUUAGCAAAGGUACCAAUAAGCUCCAUUGGAUCACACUUUGUUUUAUAGACAUAAAGGGGAUAAGACUAUGAUUCUCAUAAUCUAUGUUGAUGAUAUAAUCUUGACUAGUGAUGAUAUUGUAAAGAUGGAAAGGCUAAAAAAUCUCUUGCAAUAGAUUUGAGAUUAAAGAUCUAAGCCCAUUGAGAUAUUUUCUUGGUAUGGAAGUAACAAGAAAUAGAAGUGAUAUUUCAAUUUGUCAAAGGAAGUACAUCCUAGAUCUCUUGGAAGAGAUGGGGAUGUUAAGGUGUAAGCUUGCAGAUACACCCAUAAAUUAUAAUUUGAAACUAGGUAAAUAAUCUGAAAGUACACCAGUUGAUAAAAGUCAAUACCAACAUUUAGUAGGAAAGCUUAUCUAUCAUUCCCAGACUAGAUUGAUAUUGUCUUCGCAGUAGAAUUUGAGAUUAAAGAUCUAAGCCCAUUGAGAUAUUUUCUUGGUAUGGAAGUAACAAGAAAUAGAAGCGAUAUUUCAAUUUCUCAAAGUACAUCAUAGAUCUCUUAGAGGAGAUGAGGAUGUUAGGGUGUAAGCUUGUAGAUACACCCAUAAAUUAUAACUUGAAACUAGGUAAACAAUAUGAAAGUACACGAGUUGAUAAAAGUCAAUACCAACAUCUAGUAGGAAAGCUUAUCUAUCGUUCCCAUACUAGACUGAUAUUGUCUUCGCAGUUAGUGUCGUAAGCCAAUAUAUGCAUUCUCCUUAUGAAGAACACAUGGAAUUCAUGUGUUAGAUUUUGAGAUACCUCAAAUGGACUUUAGGAUGACGACCUAUUCUUUAAGAAAAGUGAAGAGAGGAGAGUUGAGGCUUUUAUAUAUGCAGAUUGGGUAAGACCAGUGAAACACAGGAGGUUAACAACUGUAUAUUGGACUUUUGUGUAGGGUAAUUUAGUGACUUGGAGGAGCAAGAAAUAGACAGUGGUGGCUAGAAGUAGUGUUAAGGCAGAACUUAAAACUUUAGCACAUGGGAUUUAUGAGUUACUAUGAUUGAAAAUAUUGUUAGAUGAUUUGAAAUUUAUGAGAAAUGAGUCUAUGAAGAAUUAUAGUGAAAACAAGGUUGCCAUCACCAUCUCCCAUAACCUUGUUCAUCACAAUAGAACAAAACAUGUAGAGGUAGACCGCCAUUUUAUCAAGGUAAGGAUCGAAGAGGGGAGCAUUUGUGUCGUGCAUAUACCUUCAUCACAAUAUGUUGCAAAUUUGCUAACUAAGGGAUCAUUCAAGCCGAUGUUUAAGAUUGGUUGACAAGUUGGGUCUAUUCAAUGUGUUUAGUCCAGAUUAGUCCAGCUUGAGGCGGAGUGUAGAGAAUCUUGGAUAAUUCUUAUUCUUUGAAUAAGGAUAAAAUCCAAGAAGAGGUUUAUUUUCUAAAUACGGGAGAUUGUGAUUGUGUUCCUUGUUUCUAUUUCUAAUUGCUAGCUAUAAUAUUACAGCUAGCUUGAAUCUCUUAAAAUACAACUGAUUUGAAUCUCCUAAAAUUAAGGGUUGUGGUUACAAAGUCUAGCCCAUAAAUCUACUUGUAUUGAAGAAAUAAAAAAUAACAAUAACAACCUCCACUUUAUGGUUUGCUCUUCUUUCCUGUAGUGUUUUUCUUUUAUCAUUUUUUUUUUGUUUCCUGCCCAGUUUCAGAUACUUAAAAUAUCUAGAGGGAUAAAUAUUCAUAGCUUGUAAAAUUUUGAAAAAAUCAAUUAUAAUAUACAAUAUUAAUAGCUUUGAAAAUUUUUGAAAGAUGAGAGAAAAAAAUCCCUUGGUUUAAUGUGCUUCGCAAGAAGACCCUCAGACUAAACCCUCAUAAAAGUAAGUUGCACCAUUUGAAAAACUAAAGAAAAGUUGAACUUAGUACCAUGAACAUAGAUGCAUAAAGUAAAUCCAGCUAUAACAAUUAUCAGAAGCAUCCUUGUAAACUCUUCCUCAAAGAAAAGCCAUUUAAUAAGUUUGGUAAAGCAAUCUAUAUUAUAAGUUUCAAAUGCUAAAGAUAUGGAAAAAAUAUUUCAAAACUAUGCCAAAUUAUAAAUGAAAAAAAAAAACCGUACAGCACCUCAUCCAGAAUAUAAAGUGGAACUAGUUUGAAGAGGAGCAAUGCCAAUAUUAGAGAGAUUGCAAGCAGUGAACGUUGUCCUCCACUCAAUUCUGACAAGGACUACUUCCAAACACUUCCAAAUGUAACACGAACCUCAAGACCAUCCAAGAAACUGCAUCCUUCAGGAGAUUCCAGCUUUUCCAUUGUGCUUGGUAAUAGAGUAGAAAAGACGGAUCCAAAGUCCCUGAAAAGAAGCUACAAAAUUAUGAAUAGUGAGCUUCAUCAAGUUCUAUAAAAUCAAAGAUCAAUAACCACAUAAAUGAUUAAUUUUAGUAUCAAUUAAAAUAACCAUCUAAUAUAGCAUGAUGCAAUAGACUCAAUUGUUAACUUUAGUCCAAGAACUUUUAAUGUUUCCUUCUUCUUUUCAUCCAGCUCUUCAAUCACCAUCUUGAUUUUUGACUUGUCAUUCUGUUAAAGGCAUAUUAUGCUUUUCUUGGAUAUUAAUUCAUAGUACUCAUCUUCUGCUUUCUCAAACAUUGCCAUCACUUUCUCCAGGCUACAUUAGUGAAAAUAAGAAAAAACAACCAAUAAAAAAUUGUUCUUUGCUACCUCUUCAUUUCAAAAAAGAUAAUGAUAGCACAGUACUAUGUUUGAGUAUGAGAAUGUUUGGAAAAAUCACUCAGCGCUUGAAACCAAACCAAUACAAACAAUAAUGAAAAGAGAUAAGGAAAAAGAAAAAAGGUUUCUCAGCUACAUACCCUGAUUGUUCAGCUUGCACUUUGUUAAGUUCAGCCCUGGCUUUACUAGGAUCAUGACACACAAAAUCAUAAUCAGUUCCACUUCUUCCGAAAAGUUGCUUUUCUAAUGCAAUCCAGGCAUGCUUCUCAAUUAACUUUUCUACCUUCGAAGAAAUCUUUUUGUUCCAUCUCCAUUCGUUUUACCUAAAAAAACGGAAAGUAGAUUAUUUAGUGUAUCAAGUCACAAAGAACAAAUAUAAUGCAAUUAGAAUUUACCUCAUUUUCCAGUUUCUUCCUUCCAAUAUUCAUCUCACUAAGUUUGUGUUGAAGCUUCUCCUGCUCCUUGAGAAUGUAACUAAUUUGAGAAUCACAUUCCUUCAUCUUCAAACGGAUCAAAUUGAGCUCACAUUGAGCCUGAUCAUGAUUGUUCUUUAUUGAAGCAACCUAAGAGAGAGGCUAGAAGGUUAAACUUCACAUUACAUAACUUUCCAUUGUGCUUUGAGAAUCACAAUUUGUCCUCUCAAACAUGCUAGUUGACUCUCCAAAGAUGCACGUUCCUCUAUGGCUGCUUCCAUUUCCAUAAUAAGCCUCUCUUUUCAUUCUCAUGCCCCUAAUAGCAAGAAAAAUCAUACCAUAAGAAAUUAAAGUGCUAUUGAGCACUCUAACACUUCAUCUACUAGAAAAAUCAAAAUGUGGAUGAAAUAUAAUUACCAAGCAAAGUUUAACAAAAUGGUGAAUGAAACGAUUUAAUGAGAUGCAAAAUCAAAAUGAAUAAUGUCAAAUACAACAUAUUUAAACUUCAUACCAAGCUAAUUAGCUAAAGCUUUUUAGAGAGAAUAGUAGAACAUAUUUCAUGUUGUGAAAUGUCUUGCAUUCUUGGAUUACUUGACUUCUAGGCGGUCUCAAAUUCUCUUUGUAAACAUAUUUCAUUAAGCAUUAUAAUGGAAAACUAAGCUAAGGAUUAUAGGGAAAAUUAGGAAUUAAUGGAAGAGGACAAAAUACAAGAGGAUGAGAACAGGAAAAUUUUGUUUAACCAUGGAAAUCCAAGAAAAAAUAACCACAAAAAAAAUGAAAGAAAAAAAAACUUAGGGAAUUGAUUGCAGCUCUGAGUUGAAGCUUCAAUAUAAAAAUUUUUAAAGUGCACCUUAGUUGUUCUUUGCUAUCAAACAAAUGAACUUAGGCAAUCACAUCAAUUUUGAAGUUUCAAGCUACAAAAUCUCACUUGAGCAUUCAUUAACCGUAAAAGAGAUUCUAACAAUCCCUUCUAUAAACGUGUAAGCCUAAUAUGAUAAAUUCUAGCACUUGAAUAGAAGAAUUCCAACCAUCAAUUAAAAGUCAAGUAAAAAGAUACUCAAAAUGCUAGAAAACCCCUUGCUAAUUGAUGCUGUUAAUGUCUUUAUGUGUUGGCCAAUUCUGGAUCAAAAAGAAUUUCCAUUGUAUUCUACCAUUCCAAGUCCUCAAAUUCUCUCUUGGACACUCAUCAUUUCAAAAAUACUCAUAAAUAUAGGUAGAGGAAAUGGUAAGUGUUUUUAGGUGGUGGAUGGGUUCACAAAUUGAUCAACCAAGUUUAAAGUUCUCAUACUUUUUAUCAAAAAUAGGGUUGGAAACUUGGGAGGAGUCAAAACUUUGGUUUUAAACCAAUUGGCUCUAGUUUUGAUUGCUCAUGCUGAAAGGCAAUUAUUCAAUUGUUGUAUAGAAUGUUUCAAUCUUACAUUGGAUCAAUCAUUGUUUCAAUCAUAACUUAAAUUUUCAUUUUUUUUCCAAGCCGAUUUGAGUCGUUGAAUUAAACUUAAAAUCCUACCAUUUAAACUCAUUUCUAAAUUAGGGAUUUAUAGUAGAGAGAGAUGAGUGUCUCCUUAAGCUUCAAAUCUGUUCCAUAUUAGGGAGUGUUUUCUAGAAAUUUUUUAGGUAUUUGAGUUGAAAUUAAAUUUGAUUGAGAAAUUUUCCAACAAAAUAUGUUGAUUCAUUUUUUUGUUUUCAUGUCUAGUUUUGUUCUUCAUCCAUUGGGAUAAAAGCAAAUACCUUCUUGUGUAAAUAUAAAAAAAAAACUAAAAUCUUGUUUGAAGGUAAUUCAAAAGGGAUUCGAUAUGAAGAUGGUGGGAAGUUAAGUUUCCUAAGGUAAUAAACAAGCAAUCCGGGAGAGGAUUGACAGUCUUGGGUUAGGUAAAACCUUGUACUAAUUAUUUUCUUCAUAGCAAUGUUAUUAAAGAUGAUUGCCCGGGUCGCCUAGGCUAUCAGGCCAAGUGGGAUAGAUGAAAGUCGCCUCUUAAAGACCAGGCAAAGCAACUUCACAGAAGCAAUGCCUAGGUGAUUGCCUUGGGAUAAGGCGCAAGGCAUUGAGGUGAUCGCCUUUGACCAUGAGUUAAGAUUAAACAUACUUAGAUUAUUUUCAUUCAAUCUAAUAUUAGAUUAACAUGAAAUAUUAUAUUAUCAAUCAUAGAGAUAAUGAGAUGGAGGGCCAUCAAUCUAGUCUUGAUGAAACAAUGAAAAUUUUAAUUUUAAUGAUGAUUAUGAUGAUGAUGCCUAAAACUUUUUUAAGAUGUUCAUUCUCUUUUUUUGUUUUUUAUUAUGACUUUUAGAUGUCUGAAAAAUUAGAAUAUUCAUUUAGACAAGAUGAAUAUCUCUAGUAUGAUGUUUCUUAUGAUGUGGGGUAUAAUAUUUAACACUUUGAAUAAUUAUUACUAUUUUUUCAAUUUUAUAAGACAUCAUAAGUGAUGAAAAAUAAAUAAUAUUGAUUGUUGAAGACAACACUUAUAUUGUUUAAGUAUCAAAUAGGUAAAUACACGUAUAUUUUUUUAUUGUUUUAUUAUAAUUAGGCUAUUGAAUUGUUUUUUACCUUUCGUCUUAGGCUAAAAGGAGUCUUAUCGUUUUUUGCUUUUGACAACACUGCUUCAUAGUGGAUGUUAUUGACACAAAAUAUGGGAUGAAAAAUAAUAAAUUCUGUCUAUUAGAUUGACUAUACACAGAGUUUAUAUAGGAGAUUACAAGAGAAGAAAUAGGAAACAAGAGACAUAAUAGGAAACUAACUUAUUCCUAAAUCAUAAAACUAUCUAUUUACAAAAAUAAGAAACUAACAUAAUAGGAAAAUAAUUCUCCUAUUCUAUUUACAACUCAGCACUGCCCCUCAUACUGAAGAAUAGAUGUCUUCCAUUCCUAGCUUGAAUACAAGAUCGUGAAACAUUGAAUUGUUCAACCCUUUUGUUAUGAUAUCAGCUAAUUGAUGUUCUGAUGGAACAUAAGACAUACACACUACUCCUUCGUCCAAUUUUUCUUUGAUGAAAUGCUUAUCAAUCUCAAUAUGUUUUGUCCUAUCGUGUUGUAUAGGGUUAUGAGCAAUAUUGAUAGUUGACUUGUUGUCACAAUAAAGCUUCAUAGGACCAUCCCACUUGAUUCUCAAAUCAUAUAGAAUAAUCUUCAACCAAAGUAGUUCACACAACCCUUGAGCAAUGGCCCUAAACUCUGAUUCUGCAGGCGACCUUGCUACCACAUUCUGCUUUUUACUUCUCCAUGUUACCAGAUUAUCUCUAAGAAAAGUACAAUACCCUGUAGUUGAUCUUCGAUCUACUAAGAAACCUGCAUAGUCAACGUCGGUGUAUGCUUUUAGAGCAAGAGUAUUGUUCUUCUUGAACAAAAUUCCUUUCCUGGGGUUGCCUUUCAAGUAAUGCAACACCCUGUAAGCAGCUUGAAGAUGAGGUUCUCUUGGAUCAUGCAUCAAUUGACUGAUCACGCUCACCGAGUAGGCGAUGUCUGGCCAAGUGUGAUCAAGGUAUAUGAGCCUACCAACUAGCCUCUGGUACAUUCUUUUUUGCACCACUGGUUCCUCUUUAGCUUCUCUCAACUUGUGGUUUGGAUCCAUUAGGGUAGAGACUCUUUUACACCCAAUUUUCCUUGUUUCUUCCAAUAAAUCAGUCACAUACUUUUGUUGAGAGAUGAAGAUCCCUUGUGUGGAAUAUGCCACCUCAAUACCGAGGAAGUACUUCAGUUUCCCUAGUUCCUUUAUCUCAAACUCUAUUGUUAAUCUCUACGUCACAUUAUGCUUUUCUCUCUCAUUUCCAAUCACUAUGAUGUCGUCAACAUAGACUAGAAGAACAGUUACUCCUCCUGCAGUCGAGUGCUUAAUGAAGAGAGUUUGGUCACCUUGGCUUUAUUUGUACCCAAACUCUUUCAUGACUUUUGCAAAUCUCCCAAACCAAGCCUUAGGAGAUUGUUUUAUCCCAUAAAGGGCCUUUUGCAGCUUGCACACCUUGUUACCUGUGUUUACCUCAAACACCGAUGGGAUGUUCAUGUAAAUCUCUUCAUCUAAAUCACCAUGAAGAAAUGCAUUAUUGACAUCAUACUGUAGGAGUUGCCAAUUGUAGUGGGCAGCCAGUGACAGUAGGAUUCUUACAGUAUUCAUUUUUGCAGCUGGAACAAAAGUCUCCUGAUAAUCAACUCCAUAAGUUUGAGUGUACCCUUUGGCUACCAAUCUUGCUUUACAUCUCUCAAGAGAUCCAUCAGCCUUAUAUUUCAGUGUGAAAAUCCACUUGCAAUCAACAAUGUUUUUCCCUUUCAGUCUUUCAACAAUCUCCCAUGUUUUAUUCUUUUCUAAUGCACUCAUCUCCUCUCUCAUAACAUCCUUCCAUUCCUUUUUUGUCAAUGCCUCAAAAACAAUGUUAGGGAUGAUAGUGGUGUUUAGACUCACAAUAAAAUUCUUGUGGGCUAGUGAUAGGUGCUUAAGAGACACAUAGUGUGAUAGUGGAUAGAGUGGUCGAUUAGUGCAUUCUCUGGUGCCUUUUCUGAUAGCAAUGGGAAGGUCUAGGUCUAGGUUGUCUGUUGAGUUGGUGGAAGUUUCACCAGGUUGUGUAUGUAAAGGUGGGUCUUAUAUUUCCAUGAUUUCAUUCCCAGGGUCUGAGUUGGAUUCUUGGACCUGCUUUUGUUCUGGAAUGGCCUUUUCCCUUGAAUACACCUUAGGAAACUGUGGAAAAUUGCGAGUGACACUGGCUGGAACAGGAGAUGACACGGGUUCAAUGGUAAAAUUGGGUGACUCAGGUGUGAUUGACUCGGAUGACUUAGGUUCUUCAUCACCAUGGGUUGAGACAUGAGGAAAAUCAAGAGGUUCAAAGGACUCACAAGAACUAUCUUCCAUCAUUGAAAUCUCCCCCUGAAGAGAGGACUUGGGGAAAAAAUGUUUAUUUUAUGUGAAUGUGACAUCUGCAGAGAUGUAAAAUUUUCUGGCUGAAGGAUUGUAACACUUGUAUCCUUUUUUAGUGGAUGAGUAACCAAGGAAGACACAUUUUAUGGCUCAAGGGGUCUAGCUUGUCUCUAUGUUGGCUGUGGAUAUGAACAAAUGCAGUGCACCCAAAUACCUUAAGAGUGAGCCCAUUUGAGGUUUUGAAGUGUGGAUAGAAACUCUUAAGUAUCUCUACGGGGCUUUUGUCGUCUAACACUCAUGAGGGAAUUCUGUUUAUCAUGUAUGUGGCACUAAGAACAGCUUCCCCCCAAUAGGACUUAGGAACAUUCCCUUGAAAGAGUAAGGCUCGGGUUGUGUUGAGUAAAUGCCCAUUUUUCCUCUCGACUACCCCAUUUUGUUAGGAUGUGUUAACACAUGAUGAGUCAUGGAGACAAAAUCUGGUUGAAGUAAUCUCUAGCAUUGUUUGUCCUAAAGCUUUUUAUUUUAACCUUAAAUUGGUUUUGAACCAUUGAAUGGAAAUUAGAUAUAACAAUGAUAACAUCAGAUUUUUGUUUAAGAAGAAAGAUCCAUGAAACCCGAGUGCAUUCAUCAAUUAAGGAUACAAACCAACGAGCCCCAGAAACAUUAGGUAUUGUCGAAAGACCCCAUAUGUCACUAUGGAUCAAAUGAAAAUGAUGAAAACUUCUUUUAUUGCUAAUAGGAAAAUAUACACGAGUAUGUUUUGCCAAUUCACAAGUUUCACAAUGAAACUCGAAAAUAUCUAAUCCUUGGAACAAAUGAGGAAACAUGACCUUUAAAACCCUAAAAGAUGGAUGACCUAGACGUAGGUGAUACAACAAAAUGGUAUCUUUAUUUAAGGAAUUGAGAAAAGACAACGACAAAUUAUUACUAGCUUUCUGAGAUGAUUCAAGGUGGUAAAGACCUUUCCUUUCCUUAUCAAGUCCAAUCCUCCUCCCCGAGCCUUGUUCCUAAAAAACACAAUAAGAAAGGAAAAAAAUAGCAUAACAUUUAAGAUCAUGGGUAAGCUUUUGAAUGAAAACAAGGUUGGCCGACAAUUUUGGUACAUGGAGGACAUUUUUAAGAAUAAGGGUAGGUGUGAUGUAUGUCUCCAAAACCUACAAUGGUAGCUAAAGAGUCAUUGGCCACUGCAAUUUUCUUGUUACUUGGGUUUAGGGUAUACGUAUGGAAAAGUUGAGAUUUGGAGGUCAUAUGGUCCGUGGCACUGGAGUCUAUUAUCCAAGAGUCAUCAUAAACCCUGUGUGAGGCAUUUAUGCAAAAAUAGAGUGAAAGUGUAGCUGAAAGAGCCAAAGAAUAAGUUCCAAUAGGUUUGUAAAGAACACGUGAAUAAAAAAAAAUCCAGCUAUGAAAGCCAGAAAAAUGGCGAUGAAGGCCAAAAUGAUGCCCAGGUCUUAAAAACCUAUAGCUCUGAUACCAUGACACGAAAUAUGGGAUGAAAAAUAAUAAGUUAUGUCUAUUAGAUUGACUAUACACAUAGUUUAUAUAGGAGAUUACAAGAAAAGAAAUAGAAAACAAGAGACAUAAUAGGAAACUAACUUAUUCCUAAAUCAUAAAACUAUCUAUCUACAGAAAUAGGAAACUAACAUAAUAGGAAAAUAAUUCUCCUAUUCUAUUUACAGCUCAACAGUUACAUUUAUGAUUAACCCAUGUUUUUUUUCCUCUUUGGAAAUUUUCCAUGUUAUAUCACUAUGUCUUUAUUUCUUUUUUAUUUUCUAAAUUUAUGUUUUGAUUCAAUUUAUAGCAUGAAUUUUAGAUUUGUGGACCAUGUUUUAAAAGGUAUUGAGGGUUAUGCAUCGAGGCUCACCUCAAGGUAAUUGAGGUGAUUGAGGCUUAAGCCUUAGUUAAGGUAAUUGAGGCUUAAGCCUCACCCUAUCAAGGCUUAUAGCUUUGAGGAUAUAGCCUCAAGGCUGUUGAGACCUAAUCCUCAAAUAUCCAAAGGGUUUUUGGUCUUUAUGGGCUUUUGGUAUAUAUUUUGUAAAAGGCUUAAGUCUCUAUUCAAUAAGUGUUAAUAUGAUCUACUUCAGCAAUUACAAAAUACCUUGAGGUCCUGGGAAUCUGAUAUCAUUUGAGACUUUAAAGCCUUUUCAUUUUUCUCUAAAUCUUUAAGCCUACCAUCCCCAUUAUUAGCAUGCUCUUUGAUUGACUUCUCAAGCAGUGACACGGUAUUUACACAGUUUUCAAGCAGAAAUUGCUUUUCUUUAGCAGUUGACUUUGAUUCCCAAGCUCCUGCUCAAUCCUUUUAACCAAUUCACUGAGCUACAUUGCAAGCAAAAAUAAAAAACAUAAAGAAUGAAAAUUAGAAAGAAUAGAAUCAUAUUACAUGAGAAGAGGCAACCUGAGGGUAAAAAUAUAUGGCUUCAUAUGGCAUAGCACUAAAGCUUCCUCCUAGACAUUUUAUGUGAGAAAGGAAAGGUCAUAAACCUUAUGAUGCUCAUUUUGCUUAACCCUGAUCUAAAAUAAUGAAAGGUCAUAUGACUUAAGUUCCAACUGCGCUUUAAGGUCCAUGAACCUUUAGGCAUGAGGUCGGAGAUCUGCAAUGUCAACCAAGAAAUAGACAAAAACAUAAAAUUAGUAUUGGAGAAGGCUGAUUUUAUUCAAAUCUCAAUGAAUACAUCUAAAGAGAAAACAUACACUUGCAAUAAUAAAAACCAUUUAUCUUCAAAUGUUGACAAAAAAUUAAAAGAUAGAUGUCAAGUUUGUUCUCAAAGUUCCAAAUAUGUACUGAAUAAGUAAAAAUAAUAUGAAUAUGACACGCUAUUUUUGUCCAUCAUUGAAUAAAAUCUCCAAAGCUGAUAAUAGUCAUGCAACCACAAUACAAUCAACUUUCAAUAAGAAACUUUAUAUAACAUUGGACUUGAUCAUAACCUACUAGAGACAAACAAUAGGGAACAGUGCCCCUAACUGUUUAUGAACUUCAGAAGUUGGCAACCCUAUCAGAUAACUUGAAUGUUUAUUUAUCAGUAACCAUAAAAUACAAAAAUAAAAUAAGGUUCAUAUAAAGAUAGCAUUUUUAAAAGAAAACAGAAAACAUCUUCCCAUUGUCAUGUUGAAUGGAGAUAAAAAUCAAAACUUUGCAAAAUAAUCAUCAUUUUACUAAAAGUUUUUUUCACUUCAUGAACACAAACACAAUUGUUGAAGAAAACUUAUAAGAUAUUAAUAUUUUGAAAACAUUUGUAUGGUGGACAAUGUUAAAGUCAUAAAUCAUGUGAAGGACUAUUGGGUUAACUCAAAUAAAUACUUCUUAUUAAAAGAAGACACAUACAUACACUAUUAACAUAUUGAAAAGAAGUUUUAUUUAAAUAAAUGCAUGAAGAUUUUUACUUUCUAUUUUUUUUAAUCCUAAAUACUUCAUUCUUCAGGAAAUAGAGUAGGUUGUUCAAAGUUGACCUUUGCUUCAAUUUAUGGUAACUUCUGCUGAUGAAUUGAAAGUUUUGAUUCAGCCUCUGCCAAAGCAUGAAGUUGCCUUAAUAGAUCACCACCACCUCUGGAACAAUAAAUUGUUAAUUUAAAAGGUUAUCUUACUAAAGUUGAUUUGAACCUUGAGAGCAUCUUCUAAUGUAGGUAUGAUAGUACAAAUGGCCUUUUUCCAACAUACUUGAAACAUAUGUAUGCAUAAAAAAUGAAAUAAAAAAAAAUAUAACCAAAAGAACUAAAAAAUUACUCAAAAUUUUGUAUUUAUAUGUGCUUACAAACAAUAAGCAAUUGAAAUGAUAGGCAACUACACCUUUGUAAAGAAUGUUAACUAGAUAGAAAAUAAGCAAGCAGGUGGUUUACUUGUGACUACCACCAGUCAGAAGACCACUUGGUUGAAAUAUAUCACCAUCAAGAGUAACACUUGGAGUGGAGAUACCCCUAUUAAAAAUAACCUGUUGACCAUUCAUUUCAAUACAAAUUAGCUUUGGCUAAAUCAAAAAUAAAAUUUACCACAUAAUUCACACUAUGACCAGUUUGCAUUUAAAUAAAAAGCAAUAAGAAAGCAAUGAAUGUAUUAGAGCUGAAAAUAAUAUCCUGGACUUGAGACCACCUUAUUCGAUUAAGUUUACCUCCAUCCCUUGAGUAAAACAGGUUAACUACUUAUAGACAUGUCUGAUUACAGGUUAGGCUCUAACACCAGAUAAAUUCAUCCCCAAGAUGAAGUUCUUCGACUAGGUUAUAAACAGGACAAGCUUUGGUUGGAUAAUGUUAGAGAACAUGCAAGUAUGGGGCUGCACAUCCAUGAAUGAGAGGGGGUGUAAGAGAGCAUGUUUAUUUCCCCAAUUUAUUGAGCUCAAAGGAGGUUGUUUGCAAUUUGUUUGCCUAUGGACUCGUCUAUUUCUCCAUGUAUAGGAAUAGAGCCACACAUGGAAGAGGAUGCUAGAACACAUACAGGUAUGGGGCCUCUCAUGUGGCCUACAGGCCUAUUCAUCUCUCCAUGUGUGGCUAUGAGGCUACACAUGAGGGAAGGUAUUGGAGAACAUAGUGGAAUGGGACUACAUGACCCCCAUGGUUUGUCUAUCUCUCGUCAUACAAAUAUGAGGUCACACAUGAGGAAAGGUCUUAGAAAGCAUAUACUUAUAGGGCCACACACACCCACAACUAUUAGGAAAAUUGGUUGUCCAAAUAAGUAGUUUUAGAGCACUACUCUAUCAAUUACCAACUCUAGAUAUACAUUCAAAUCAUUAUACGUUUUUUACAUAUCAAACACUUGAAAAUCACUGUAGAAAACAAACAAAAUGAAUUGAAAAUGAUAUUCCCAAUUCUUAUUUCAUUCAAACAGUAAUUUAGUAAAUCAUUGAUGAUACAAAUAAACCAACAAUACUAAUUUGACGAUACAAAAACAUAAUAUCUUUGACCAAUGAUUUUGAAGACUAUACACUAAAGGAAAUGUGUAAUAGAAGUUUAGCUUUCAAAAAACUAAAAUUUUCCAAAUUCUAUGAAGCACAUUGGUAUAGAAAACCCAAAGAGUUAGGAAUUAACUUUAAUUGGCAUAAUCAUCAAUUUUCUUAAGAAAAAAGCAACUGAACUUGGUUUCCAUGCAGAUAUUUAGAGUUUGGUUUAUCCGAUUACUAUUAAAGAGCAAUUCCAUUGCAAGUAUCUAUUUGGAUCAUUAAUGGUUUUGAUUGACACUACCAUCAUGGUCCUAGCUUUUCUCUAAGGGGUCAUUUAGAUGAGAGGUGCAAAAGAAGGGAUUUCAAGAUAAAUAGAAUUUGGCAUUAUCUUCUUCCAAAUCCAUAGAUCUCAGUAUUUAAGACAAAGAUAUAGAGCCAUAGACAAUUACCCCAUCCACCAUUUUUUCUAAACCAUCACUAUAGCCACCAACACUCCUAUCACUAUGCCAUCUUCACCACUACUUAUGUAACCACCACCACUAACACAUUAGCUCUAUUACCAAAUCACACCACCCCAUUGUGUCAUUUUUAUUUUUUCUUAUAAUUGAGGAACCGUCCAUGGCCAAGCCCUUAGGACUCUCCAUGGGGACCCAUUGUGUCAUUGCCAUGACAAUAAAUCAAUAAUAACACUACCAGGAAAAUGCUUUUCAUACCAUAUUUAUUAUCAUCUUUAUUACAACCUACUCGUGUGGUAAGGGAUUGUUGGAUGUGAAAAGAAAAAAACCAAAUAAAAAGACAUUUUUACUUAUUUUAUUCAUUAGCAUCUUUUCUACAUAUCCAAUAACCACCUGCUACAUUCGGCAAUGGUAAAAGAAGUGUUAUAGAAAAUGUUAAUGAUAGCAUCAUCCCCAUUGCUACUACCAUUUCAUCACCAGUACAACCACAACUACAACAACUCUCAUUGUUUUUAAUAAGUAAAGGCAAUUGUAUUAAAGGAAAAAAUAUACAAAGAAACCAAGGUGCAAGUACACAAAACGACUCUCAUUGUUACAAUGCCACCAUCACCAUCCUAUCAACCUACAAAUUUAUUAACAUCAAACAUAUAGCAGAAUCUUCAAAAGAUCAUUGGCAUUCCAUUCAUUCAAAUACUUGAUCACAGAAUCCUUAAUGUUAAAUCAAAAUCAUCAUUCAAACAACGAUUAAAAGAAAAGCAUUGAUCAGAAUGAAACUUCUAUUUGUUGGCUUAGUUUAAAAUUGUCUUAUUACAUUAAUACAUAAUAAGUAUAUUAGUCAUUUCAUUUCAAACCCAUUUCUAUCAUGAUAUAUUGCAAUGUAUGAAAUGGGUUUGGCUCACUUCAAUUUCCAUAAUCUUUAAAAAAAAAAUCAUUAAAAUCAUUUGGCAUGAGCAAAAAACAAUCAAAAUCUACAAUAUAAUAGGUCCCACAUACACUACCCCCAAUGUACAAAGACCAAUUUAACCACAUGAUUUUAACCAUACAAUUUUUCACAUACUAUUUUCUUUCUAAAUAUCAUUAACAUUUUCCAUCUGUUCAAAUUUUUUUAUAUAAAUCAAUGAAAAUCCAAGGGACAAAAUGAUCAAAUCAAGGUAUCUCAUACAUAGGGUACUAAAUCGUGCUCAUUAGAUCGUGAUUUCAAUUUUUUAUUGUUGAUGACAUUGCUCGAGUAUAAAAGUUGAGGAAACUUCAGAAUAGCUCAUAAGGUGCUGGGCAGUAUGGCAAUCCCAAAUUUGGUUAUGAAGCUAUAUUUAUAGUCAUUUUAAAUUUGGAGGAUGGAACCAAUUGAUUGAUACAAUCUAUCUAAUUCUAUUUAAUCUAUAUGUCACCAGUAGGACUAAUCGUCCUCAAAAGAGAAUUAAUAGAAAAUAUCUACUAAACAAAGAAGAAUCUCUUGGAGGCAACUAACAUAGAAACCUCAAAACAAAAUGAAAAACAAAAGAUGUUGAAGCCUCAAACACAUUUCCAUAAAAAAUUGCCUACAAGACAAGGAAAUUUUUUUAACGAGAUUGUCCUUUCAGAUGAGGCGCACACUUGAAAUCUUAAAAUGGUAUUGUCCUUGUUUCCUAAAUAUUCUACUUAAAUGACUGGAUAGACGAGGAAUAGGAAAAAUCAAAGAAUAGAAUAUUCUCAAAGUAGAUCAAAUAAUAGGUAACAUACACACUAAAUAUUCAACUUAAAUGACUGGAUGGACAAGGAAUAGGAAAAAUCAAAGGAUAGAAUAUUAAAUGAUUAGAUCAAAUAAUAUGUAACACACACACACACAUAUAUAUGUAUAUAUGUAUAUCACAUGUUUCAUCAUUUCAUUUUUUAUAGAAUUAUUCAGGGUGAUGCAACAAAAAUAUAUGAAACUUAGUGCUUUGAAGUAAAUUCCAAAAUAGCAGAAAUAUACUUCUGCUUUUCUGCUGCAUUUCAGGUAAAAUCAUUGUGUGCUUCAUAGUUUCAUUUUUUUGCAGAAUUAUUCAGUGCAAUGGAGCAAAAAUAUGUCAAACUUUGUGCUUUGAUGUAAAUUCGAAGAAAAUAUUUUUUCCAGAAAUGGAGUAGAAAAACAAGUAUCUGAAAUAUGGCAUCAACAAAACAUUCAAAUAGAAUCAUACUGCUCAAAUAACUGCACAGAUAACUGCUUUGCCAAAAUGAGUUUACCUCCUUUGCAGCAUCAAUACUUUUACAAACAAAGGUUCAACCAAACACAUAUUCCAUUGCACUCUGCGACAUUUAUACCAACUUUUGGUAAAGCUAUUAUCCAACAGAAUUUGGUUAAAAGUGCAAGAGAGGUCAAUGCUCAAUUCCCACUACAUAUGCUAUGCAAUAAGAUAAAUAAGGCUUGCCCAUUUUCACAACAAAUAUGUGAUGGAAUCAUAGUUGUGAAAGGCACGCCUAAGGCGCGCCUAGGCUCGGGGCUGUGUGACGCCACCCUCUGGCGCCUAGCCUGAAGGGAGGCGCCGCUUCGGCGCGCAAGGCACGACGCGGUCGCCCGAGUCGCCUCCGAUGAUCCAACCAAGUACGCACUCCUUCUCCUUCUCCUUCUGCUUCUUCUUAUUUCUUCUACCGUCGAGUUGCAGAGAGCCCUAAAUUUUUUUUAAAUUUGGUAGGUCCAAAACGACGUCGUUUUAGAGCCUGUUCCUUUUAAAAAAAAAACAGGCCAAAACGACGCCGUUUUGGCCUGUUCCUCCCUUCCAGCCCCUUUUUCUGUUCUUUCUCAACCCAAGACCACUCCCAUUCGUGCCCUAGCCUCUUCCGUGCUGGAGAAGUGAAGAAGAAGAAGAAGAAGAAAAAUAGGGGGGAAAUAAGAGAAAAAUAAAGGGAAAAUAGUCACGUACCUUCCGCACCUCGGUAUUUUUCUUUUUUCUUCACUUUUCUGCAUUUUUUUCCAUUCUUAUCUCAUAACUCUCAUUGGUAAUUUUUUUUUUAAAUAUAAAUAUUAUAUUUUGAGUUUUUGACAUGAAAAUUUUACAAAAUAAAAAUAAAUAAACAAAAAACACUCAUAUGCAUGUUUGUUGUUAAUGUGAUAACGUGAUAUGCAUUUUUUUUUUUAAUUUUUUUCUUAAUUUAAUUAUAAUUAUUUUAUUGUAGAGUAUAGAUAAUUUGUUUUCAAGAUGGAUAAUGAGAGUGAAACUCAAGUGGACUCUAGUGCAAGUGGACUCUAGUGCAAGUGGAAGAAGAGAUCCCGGGUGGAAAUAUGUUCGUUUGGUUAAUGAAAAAGAUUUGAACACCAUCAUAUGCAUUUUUUGUGAUGAAGUAACCAAAGGAGGCAUAUAUAGACACAAACAACAUCUUGUUGGUGGAUAUAGAAAUGCUAAAAAGUGUAGAAAAUGUCUGGAACAUGUUAGACAAGAAAUGGAAGAGUAUAUGAGUUCCAAGAAAAAUCAAAAAGAGCAAAUGAAUAUGAGGAGCGAAGAUGUUAAUGAAGAUUUGUUUGGUUUGAAAGAUGAAGAUUUUGGUAAGGAGAUUAAUGGUAGAACGAAUGUCACCAACAUUUCUAGUGGAGGUAGUAACCGAGGAGGAAGUGGUGGUAGGACGUUUUCUUCAAAAAAACCAAGACAAAAAGGUCCUAUGGAUCAUUUUUUCACUCCUAAUGCAGAGAUGGUUGUUCAAAAUCGAAUGAGUGGAAAGAUGAAUCAAACUACCAUCAAUGAUGCCUACAAAAAGGAAGCAAGAGAAAGAACUUGUAUGCUUAUCACAAGAUGGAUGUAUGAGGCUGCUAUUCCAUUUAAUGUCGUCACAAAUCCGAGUUUCCAACCAAUAAUUGAGGCUAUUGGCCAAUAUGGUGUGGGUAUGAAGGGACCAACUUUUCAUGAGGUAAGAGUUACUAACCUUAAGAAAGAAUUGGCUCUCACAAAAGAUUUGAUGAAAGAUCACAUGAUGGAAUGGGGGAAAAAUGGAUGUUCAAUUAUGUCAGAUGGAUGGACCGAUAGGAAAGAGAGAACUUUGGUGAACUUUUUGGUUAAUUGUUCAAAGGGAACCAUGUUCAUGCAAUCCAUUGAUGCUUCUUCAAUGAUUAAGACGGGAGAAAAGAUGUUUGAGUUACUUGACAAAUGGGUAGAGCAAGUUGGUGAGGAGAAUGUUAUUCAAGUUAUAACAGAUAAUCACUCAAGUUAUGUGAUGGUAGGUAAUAAAUACUAUUUCUUGAAUUUUUAUUUACUUUUAAAAUUUGAAUUAUUUAUCUUGAGAACUUAUAUAAAUUUAUUAUCUACAAUGUCAUAUAGGGAGGUUGUUAGAAUUAAAGCGCCCACAUUUGUAUUGGACACCAUGUGCUGCACAUUGCCUUGACUUGAUGUUGGAAGAUAUUGGAAAGCUACCAAACAUCAAGAGGACAUUGGAGAGGGUUAUAUCACUAAAUGGGUAUAUUUAUAAUCGCUCAGGACUAUUCAACAUGAUGAGGCGGUUUAUUGGACAAAGGAAACUGCUUAGGCCUGCUAAGACUCGGUUUGCAACUGCUUUCAUCACAUUAUUGCGAUUGCAUGAACAAAAAAACAAUUUGAGGAAGAUGUUUACAAGCUCGGAUUGGUCAAAUAGUAAAUGGGCAAAAGAGCGGAAGGGGAAAACUAUAGCCAACAUAGUUCUAAUGCCUUCAUUUUGGAACACUAUUGUGUUUUGCUUAAAGGUUUUGGGUCCCCUAGUUCAUGUGCUUCGUUUGGUUGAUGGUGAAAAAAAAAAUCCUAUGGGAUACAUCUAUGAGGCCAUGAAUAGAGCUAAGGAUACAAUUGUGAGAAGUUUUAAUGGAAAUAAAGAGAAGUACAAAGAAAUCUUCAACAUCAUUGAUAAGAGGUGGGAGAUUCAGCUUCAUCGGCCUUUGCAUGCGGCAGGGUACUUUUUGAACCCGGAAUUCUUCUAUGAUAAACCAGAAAUAGAGCAUGAUGCCGAGAUUAUGAGUGAUUUGUAUAAAUGCAUCUUAAGGCUAACAAGAGACCCUGCUAAGCAAGAAAAAGUUGUGGCCGAAGUGAGUUUGUUCACAAAUGCCCAAGGACUAUUCAGGAAUGAGUUAGCUGUUAGGAUAAGAAAGACUAGAGCACCAGGUUAGUUAUUUAGUUUUGUUUAUUUAAAUGAUUAGAUUGUAUUUUUGCUAAAAUAGGUGAAUUGUCUCACUAAAUUGUUAAUAUCUAUACUACAGCUGAAUGGUGGGUUGCAUAUGGAGCUUCAGCUCCAAAUUUGCAAAAGUUUGCAAUGAAAGUCCUCAACUUAACAUGCAGUGCAUCAGGUUGUGAACGAAAUUGGAGCAUCUUUGAAAAUGUAAGUGACCAAAUCCAAAAUAAUUACAAAUAAUAGUCUAAUAGAGUCUUGAAUGUAACUUAAAAGUUAAAACUUUAAAAUAUAUUUAUGAGCUUAUGAAUUUUUGCAGAUUCAUAGCAAGAGGAGAAAUAGGUUAGAUCAUCAACGCUUGAAUGAUUUGGUGUACAUUAAGUAUAAUCGAGCCUUGAAGAGAAGAUACAAUGAACGUAACACCAUUGACCCAAUUUCCUUGAAAGAUUUAGAUGAUAGCAAUGAAUGGUUGAUAGGAAGAAUGGAAGAUGAGGAUUCUCAUGGAGGUGCACAAGAUGAUUUUGUAUUUGAUGAUGAUAAUUUGACAUGGGGUGAUGUUGCUAGAGCUACUGAGCUGAGGCAACCAGAUUUGAUACUAGAGCUAGAGCUAGAGCAAGCUCAAGCAUAAUACCACCAACAGGGGGAAUAGCUUCAAGUUCUAGAACUUUGCCUUCUCAUUCACUAAUAGAUGAAGAUGAAGAUGGAGAUAUGGUUGAUUCAGCAGAUGAAGAAGAUGGGGAAGGCUACAAAUGUGGUGAUGGAAAUGAUGAUGAUGAUGAUUUUGUUGAUUUAGAGGAGUGAUGAUUGCUUGUUGUGGACAAAUUUGUUAUUUAAGUGUUUUUUAAUGAUGUUUUUGAAUUGUGGACAAAUUUCAUGUUUUGGACCUUUAGGUUUGAAAACUUUGGAUUUGGAUAUGUAUUAGGCUAUUAGCAAUAUGGAUUUGGAUUUGUUUUUAUGCUUGGAGUUCUUUAUUUUUAUGUUUUUUGUUUAUUAAAUUGAAGUUUUGGAUGAUAUUUGAUGAUUUAUGUGUUUAGGACAAAUAAAUGAUUGUUAAAUUUGAUUAUAUUAUAUAAAAAUAUAUAUGUAAAUUAGGGUGCGCCUCACUUCACUCAAACCCACGCCUUAGAUGCGCUUUGCGUCUUGGUGCGCCUUGAGCCUUUUAAAACUAUGGAUGAAAUUAUGUCCAAGCACUAAAAUUUCUAGUAACAUGGCAAUAUACAAACAUUUCAUAAUGCGCAACAUUCAAUGAUGAGGUUCAACAUCAUGCAUACCUUCAGUUCCUCAUCAUAUCCAACCAAAGAAAGAGCCAGUUCUGUAUUCUCCUUACCAACCUGAAGAUGCCAAAUAAUAAUAUUUGAACCAUGGCUGACAGACUGAAACCAUUAAAUUAUGGAGAAAACUAAGUGCAUUGACUAACCAAUCUGGAAGCUGCAUUGACUAAGAAACUUCUGCACCACGUCCAGCUUAAGAGCACAUUCCUAAAAAGCAUUAUGCAAUCUAAAAAGUAAAAGUGUGAUCAAAUUAGGAUUCAUAUAUCAUUUAUGUAGUGUUGGCAGCCAUUUGGGGAAGAGCACACUAACCUUUUGUAAAGCUUCCAUCUGACCUUUGUAUGUAAGAGAUUCCAAUGCCAUUUUGAUAUUUUCCACAUCCUUUCUCCUCACAUUAAGCUCAUUCUCAACAGAAACAGCUUCUUCACGCUUAGAUAUUGACUCAUUUGUUUUCUCUUUCAGCUCUUUCUCACGAUGAGUUAUUUUUGUGUUGAGCUGUUUCAAUUCUGUUUCUGCUCUCCCAACUGCUACUUUUGCAUCAGCUAGUUGAUCUUCAAGGCAUUUUUCCUCACUUCCACUGCUCUUACCGGCUAGAACACCCUAUCAUGGUAUGUACAACAUCUCUUCUAUAUUCAGCUCAGCUUGCCUAUAAAUGAGAGCAAUAACAAAGCCCAUCAAGUUCAAUAGCAGAAUGAGAUAUAUUAGAACUUUUUUUACCUGGUACUCUUUUUCACACUCUUCCAAAUUCUUAGAAAGUCCCUCAACUCUUUGUUUUAGAUCAACUGCCCCAUCUUCAGCCCUUUUGACAACAGAGGCCCUCUCUUCACAGACUGUUUUAAAUCUUCAAUACCUGUAACAAUCUAGUAACAUCAACACAACUAAAUGUGAUAUUCCAUACAACUCACAAUAACAGCAGAAAAAUAUUAGUACAAAACACAAAAAGCAAACUUUCAAAAAACAAAAGCUAGUGGAAAGCAUGCAAUGCUUGCAACCAAGAGAAAACAUAUCUUUAUUUUUUUGGUGCCAGGCUCUAGUUACCUUUUCAGCAUUCUCUUUUUCACUCCUGAGAGUGUCUUCUUGAUUUUUCAGUACUGAUGCUUGCUUCACAAGCUCACGAGAAAGAGCAUCUAUGUUCUCUGAUAAAACUUUUACCUCUCCGCCCAGACUUGCCUUCUUUUCAGCAGUCAAGUUUGACACUUGUGUCUCCAUUUCCUGUAUUUCCACCUGCAUCCUUUUGUGACUCUCUUCGAUAUCAGCAGUCUUUGUCUUUACUUGUUCAACCCCAGAGACUGCACUGUCCCUAAUCUUCUCUGCCUGAACAAAUUCAUAGGCAAUGCAGAACCUUUUAAGUCAAUCUAAUUCUGCAAUGCCAUUAGCCCAUUGCAUAUACUGCAUAUGUUCUUUCCUCAACUUCUCCAAAGCAAGCAAUAUCUCCUAGUCAAGAAGAUUAUCAAUCUCAUCAACUUUGCUCUACUUCUUCUCAAGUGUUUUCAGAGCAGCCUCUUCUUUUUUUCAUACAUUCUUGUCCCAGCAGCCUCUUCAAGCAUAGAUAAAAUCCCUGGAGGUUUCAUGUUUAAGACCUUCGUGAUGCGCCCUUGCAUUAUGAGAAAAUGUGGGUUGUUAACAUUGAGCUGUACAGAGUGGAAAGGGUUUUGAACUCAACUAGGCUGGGCAAGGUGUCUAUUUAUUAGGUAUUUGUUCCUUCCACCAACCACAAUCUACCAAGUAAGCAAACAAUUCUAGACUAAGUUGGAAUAAAAGCAAUGCAUUGACGGUCCAAAAGGACAUUAGCAUAGCACUAGUUGGAGCAAACCGAUUAUAAGGUGUAUUACAUAUGCUACCACAUAAAAGUGACAAUUAACUUUUGGAAAAAUAUGUGACAUGACUUAAUGCUGAUUAAUUUUGGUAAUAUGUGACAUGACUUAAUGCUGAUUAAUUUUGGUACCAAUUUGCCUUGGAAAAUAAAGUCAUGAUCCAAACAGUAAUAGAAUAGAAUUCUUGUUAUUUAGUAAAUCCUGAAAUUAUUAUUUUGUCUUCUUUUUUUCCAAUUUUUAUGUUUUUUACCAUCUAGAAUGAAGCCAUCCACAGAAGAAGCAAAAUAGUUUUAAAAAGUCAUAAGAAUUUGAUCAGUUUUUAACACCCUUAAAGAACAAUGUUUAUACCAGAGUGAAGAGAAAAAACUAGACUAAGUUCUUAUGUUAUUAAAAAAAAUAAAAAUAAAAAGGAAAAAAUAAAAAGGAAAAAAUAAAAAAGAUAAGAUUUGUCCUCCAUUUAGUUGCUGAGAAAGGUAGGAAAACAAAACAUCGGAUAAAAUUUUGAAUCUUCAUGUUCCAUUACUAAGGACCGUGGAUCUGCAAACCUCACCCAACUCAAUGUACCACAACUGUUCAGCUUACUUAGGAUAUUUUUCAGUUGCAGACACAAACACCACAUAAACAGGAUAUUUGCCUCUCGUCUCAGCAAGCAAACAGGAAGUUCUUGAAAUUACCAAAAACUAAAAAGAAAAAUGAGAUAAUUUCAUUUGUUGCGAGUUUAAGCACCACAAAAAAAAAUUGGCUGUGCCCGAAAGAUUGGCCUGUUUCACAUCAUGGGUAACCAAAGAAGAAAGAAAGAAAGAAAGAAAUCCAAAAAGUAAAAAACUAAUUACACUGAAAACAGGCUUAAAUCAUAUCCAAAGGAUCAUGCAAUUUCUAAAUACAAGCAAACAUGCUUCAUAAUUUCACCCAUAUUAAGCUUUCUUCUUUCAAAUUUGAACAAUCUAAAACAUACAUACCAAAAAAAUAACAUAACAUUACAUAAUAGUAUAACAAUACUUCUCAACAGUUCCCCAGCAACCAAACAGGACAUCUUUCUUUUUCAUUUUAAUGCAGUUGUCAAAAUGGCUAUAAAAUACACUAAAAAACUAAAAAUCAGUGCGAACCCCACACACCUGCCGUAUUUUCGUAAUUUCUGGACAAUCCUGGUAGCCGAGCGGACUCCGACUCCUAUCAGAAUUAUCAAACACCACCGACACGGUGGCCUUGGUAAUCCCAGCUUGGCCUUGCUUAUAGACCAGCUUCUGGAGAUUGGAAGCCAGAACCUGCCGCAAAUUGGUAAUGCCCAACACAAAGCAGAUGGAGUCAAGAAUGUUGGACUUGCAGGAACCAUUAAGGCCGGUGAUGGCAUUGAAGUAGGGAUCGAAGCCAGGGACGACCGUGCGAGUGGCGUAGGAUUUGAAGCCCUCCAAGCAGAUGUCCUUUAUGUACAUUAUUGGGAUGAAAUUGAAACCCUAAGGGGGAGAGCUGAAGAGAGUGGUUUCGGAGAUGGAUACCCUAGAGUUCGAGAGAGGGAGUGGGGAUUUUGGAGGGCUUUUGAAAUGAAUGUCUCUUUAUUUCAAAGGCGGGAAAUGACUGGAUUUUUAUUUUUAAUUAAAAUAUUAUAUAAACAAAGUAUAACUGUUAACACGUCAGCGGGGAUAGGUCAGUUGGGAGAGCGUCUUACAUUAUUUAUCCUUUUACUUCUCUAUUUUCUAUGAGGCCCAUCAUUAAAUUCCUUUUUUCCUUUUCUUUUUUUUAUCACACUUGAUAAUAUUUAGGAUUUUUUUUUCAAAUUUGAGUUUUUAAAUAAAAUUUUGUUCUCAAAAAUUAAGUAGGAAUUUUUAAAAAUAAAAUUUUUCUACAACUAUUUUCAAGAAAAUUGUUAAACUACAUGCUCAUUUGAUCAUGUCUUAUGAUGUUUGUUUUUAAAAAUUAUUAAUUUUUAUAUUACAAGUCAGCACUGGUACGUAAUAGUCACAUUGAAUGUUUAUAUAAUAAAAUGUUUCUCUAUUGUCAUUUCGAGUGACAAAAUUCCACAAAUUGAAACAUUCAAUAUACAAAAUAACUACCCGUGCAUAUAGUUAGUUCUCUUAUUUAUUUUUUCAUAAAAUAUAAAAAUAAAAUAAAAUAAAAUGAAAAUUAUUUAAAGUGUCUCCAAUAAUAAAUAGCAAUGUAGUGUUAUUUUUAACAUUGAUAAUUGUUUUUCAUAACAAAUGCCAAAUUUUGAUGGAUACUUCAAUAACAAAUGUUAAAAAGAAUGUUUUGUUUUAGUGUUAAUACCAUAAUUUUUAAAGCUUAAAAAAAACAAAUGAUUGAGUUUGAAUUUAAUUUUCAUUUUCUUUUUGUUCUCAUUUCCCUCUUUAUUGCGUCUCUACUUUUUUUUCUCUAUACUUUCCCUUCUAUUUUUUAUAAUUCAAAGAAAACUUGGAUGUGAUUUUUCUUUUAUAAAAUAAAAGAUGAUUUAUGCUCUAGCGCCAAAAAACAAUCUAAAAGUCUAUUUGAUAUAUAUAUACAUUGCAAUUGAACUUUUAAAUUAAUUUACUACCAUUUAUUACAAAUUUCUCAAGUGCUACUACUUGUAGAAUAAUAUAAAAGUCCAUUAGACCUUGUGAUUUAAUAACAGUUUUCUAUUUUUAAAAAUAAAAAAUUAUUUUUUAAAAUUUAUAAUACGAUUUGACCGUUGUUAUCUGAAAACAAUUUUUAAAAACAAAGUAAAAUAUAGAAUUAUUUUUAAAGAAUAAGUAGGAGUUGUUUUCAUUGGUUUAAAAAAAAAACAUGAGCCCAUUUUGUCAUAUUUUUCAAACUUAUUUUUAAAAAUUGUUUUUAAGUUAUAAAAUAAAAAAUAAAUUUUAAAAAUAAGUUUUAGAAAAUAUAAUUAAAUUUUUAGCCAAAUUCCACUCAAUAUAAAUAUGAGCUUUUCUCAAAAUAAUUAAUUACAAUUCCCGACCCAAGGUGGGCUCAAAGCAUAAGCCAAGUUGGGCUUAGGAUUAAACUUGAUCUAAAAAUUAAAUUUCUAAUUGGAUAUAUGACUUGUUGGGCCUUGUUACGGCCAACUGAGCCCAAGCCAAGGCAAUCACUUAAGGUUGAAGAUGGGACAUUAUAUUAGCCCAUUCCACAUCAGAACUCAUAAGCUGAAGUCCAAGGUUGGUUCAAAAAAUUGGGGCUUGAGAUUGGGUGUUGCAACAUCUUGGACAUGGGCAUCUAUCCCCACCUGGAAAUUAUUGCUCACCAUAUUUAUGUUAUAAAAGUCUAUAAUGGUUUUGGAAAUUCUAUCCUUAUUCCUCCAUUUUUUUUACUAGCAAAUAAAAUAAAAAUUAUAUUUACAUUCGUGUAAGGAUUUAAUAAUAUCAGCAAAUAUACAUGUCGAUUUGAUAGGGUGGUGGGUCAUUGAAUCAAGUUAAGUCAAAUCGGAUUUAGCUAGUCAACAAGUUAUAAUUACAUUUUACAUCAAUUUAAUGAGGAAUUUUGUAUAAAAAUAAAAUCACAUUAAAUCAACUUACUAUCUCUUGUAGUUGAUAUACAUUUAAUAAGGAAUUGAUUGUCAAAUUUAUAAAAGUCAUAUUUUAAUGGGCUAAUAUUUGAAAUUAUAAUAAUUUCAUUAAACAUAUCAACUUUUAAUGUAAGAGAAAAAGGCCUCCAUUAGAAAUAGUAUCAUUAUUCUUGCUCAUACAUAUGAAAACUCUUACUAAGAUUAAAGAGGAGCUUUUAGUUUCAAAGAAGAAAAUCCAAAAUAACAUUUGGCUCUCCUUAGUCUUAUGGAAAAUUUUAUUUCAUAGGAGGAAAAGGAGUUACUAUGUUUUAAAAUUUGGAAAAAAAAAAUUAAAAAGUUACGAUUUAUAAGUUUUAGAGUAUUUUGAAAAGUUAACUUUUCUAACAUAGUAUAUUAGCCGAGUAGUGCCCAAUACUUCUAUUUUCAAAUUAUUUCUUAUCACUCAACACACAAAGUCAACAAACUUCAUUUUCCUACAAAUGAAAUGAACAUCAAAAUUAGAAAAGAAAAGAAAAAACCAGCAUAUUGGUUUUAUAAAAUAAUAAGUGGAAACAAUCUUGCUUUAUUUUUGACAAAAUAAUAACUUGAAUAUUUGAUUUGGUUGUUUUGAUGUAGAUCCAAGAAGUUAAGGAUAUGCCUUUAAAAUGGAGUGAUUAAGGGUUAUAGGUAGUCAUGCUUGAUUCUUCCUCAAAGUUGUUAAACCACCUCUGAAGUUGUGAUGAUUUUGGUCUAACAAGUUAAAAAUUAGCACUUACGAUUAUGUUUGGUUUUGUCAUAUUACUCAAUACAAGUUUAACAUGUGUCAUAUCCUUCAUCAAACUCAUUGAAGAACAUUUUAAGUUGUCUUAGAUUUUGGAGUUUUUUUAGGUCUCUUGUUGUAUUUCCCUGAAGAGACCAAUAUUUAUGGGUGGAGUUUGGAUACCUUAUUUGGCAUCCUAAGAUUUGAUUUUAUUGAUUCUAAAAAUUUAAUUCAUUGAUUGCAUUACUUUGUCUUUUCUUAGAUGACAUUUUACUACUGCCAACAAGAGAAUAAAUCCUCUUAAUUUCCUAUAAUUUGAUUUGAUUUUCUUUUGCAAGGUAAUUUUCUUCCAUGAGGCAUUUUUAUGUAUGGUUUCACAAAAUGAUAUGAAAGUGCUUCUAUAGUCUAGUGAUAGUUAUUGAUUUUAUGGUUUAACAAAAUGAUGAAUAUUGAAAAUUAUGGAUAGCCAAGUGGUAUUCCACCUUAUAAUGUCAAUCUCUUAAUUAUUGUAUGAAUACUUUUGCUUUAGGAUAGUAUUUCAUAAAUUUAAAGAGCUUUUGAUAUAGUAUUGAAGAAAAAUUGCAUUAACAUGGAACACAAUCAUAUAAGGUGAAUUAAAGGGGUUUAAAAGUAAAAUAUGGAAUUCUUUUAUUUAUUAACUUAUUAAAUUUUUAUCUUUUACUAAGAAAGAGAAUAAAUUGGAGAAUGGUUAAGAACAAACGGAGUUCAAAUUUUACUUUUUAUUUUCUAUUUUCUUUUACCUUCUAAAAUUUUCUUUUAUUUUUUAUUUUAAUUUUUUAGUCCAUUCAAUUUGAGAUAGCUAGAUAAAUAUAGUAUCAUCAUAAUCAUAUAUGUAUAUUUAGGUUGUUUGUUAUUGGGACUUUUACUAAAUUUGUAUACUUUACAUUAAGAUCUAGCAUUUCUUUACAAUGGUCUUAUAUAUUAGGUAAAAAAAAUUAUUUUAUAUAAAUAUUUUUCAAAAAGUAUUUGCAAAAUGUCUUACGUGAAAAAAACUCCAAGAACUCAAUACUCUUGUUAAAAGAAUUUAUAAAUACACAAUCUUGUAACUUUAUAGGUUAUAAUAAGACCUAGCAUUUCAUGAGGAGGGAGAAUUUUAAAAAAUUGUCGGUGGUUGGGCAAAAGAACUUAAAAACUUUAUGACUAAUAAGCUUUGUAAAAGUUAAACAAAAAGCAAGUCUUAGUUGAUUGACUUGACUCUAAAUCAUUUAAAAUCUAAUGAUUUUGCCAAAAAAAAAAAAAAGAGAGAAAAAAGAAAAAAGAAAAAAAUGUGACCUUAAAAGCAAAUACAACUAUAGUUCUAAAAUUUUAUUUCCAAAAUAUAUCUUCUUGUGAGGAUACAAAAUUGACUCUAAAGAAUUAAUAUAGUUUCAUAUUAAGUGUAUCUAUGUCCAAGAUUUUUUUUUUUUUUUUUUUUCUAAAUAAUGCAUUGUUUUUUAUAUUAAAAAGAAAAAAAAAACCUUUUAAUGUCAAUCUCUUAUUUUAUAAAUAAUUUUACUUUACAACAUAAUACUAUAAAUUUUAAAAACCUCUAAUUUAAUAUUGAAGAAAAAUUGCAUUUGCAUGUACACAAUCAUAUAAUAUAAAUCAAGAGGGUACAUAAGAAGUAAAUACCAAACACACGAGCAUAAGAAAAGGUGAAGAAGUAUAUAAAUUAAUAAAAUGUUUAAUGAUUAUUAUUAUGUAAUUGUGUCCUUUAAACAUUAUUAAUUUUUUAAUGGAAUCAUACAAAUUUUCUUUUUUGUAUAAAGGUAAACACAAACAUUGAAUUUUGAAAAAAAAAAAAAAAUUCAAGAAGCAUUUGCAAACAUUUUUGCAUGUAAAAAAAAAUCCUAGAUGUUGCAACUUAUAUUAAUUAGAUAAUUACCACGUUGUAUGUUAGACUUGACAAUUUAAGUAAUGAAAAUUUGAUGAAAACUUUAUGCUUGAUAAUACAUUCCCUAACAUUAUUAGUGGUGGUAAUCUUGUAACAUACGAUAAUUAGACUUGAUAAUGCAAAUUAACACCAAGUACCAUGAGAAAAUAAAGGAAAAAUGAGUGUCUCUCGUGUUUGUAGGUGAUAAAAAGUUAUUAAAUGAAGAACAAUAUUUAUAUUUUUUUAAUUUUCAUAAAUUUUCUUUUCAUUAUAGUAGAAUGCAUACCAUCCUACAAGAUAAAAUAAAUGUAAAAUUAGGGAAAGAUUAACAAGCAAAGUUGAAUGGAAGUAAUAUAUAAGUCUUGCUUUACUUGUAGUGGUCUUCUUUUUAAUAUAUUUUGUGCUUUAUAUGCCAUUGACUUCAUGAGAUGUUUCAAUUAAUUAUUUAUGAAUUAAAGUGUGUGGGAAGAGAAAGGCUAAUAUGCUUAUUGAAAACAUAGACUUUGGACAAUUAUCUUAUUUUUUUCUCUCUUUCACACAUGGUAGUGGUGUUUACUCAUAAAUUUUUUGAUGUUCUUUAGUAGGUAGAGAUAUUGUCAAGUCAAGUCAAUUGAUAUUGAAAACAUAGACCUUGGUUAAUUAUCCAUUUUAUUCUCUUUCACACAAGGUAAAGGUGUACAUUGAUAUUUCUGUCUUUUGCAAAGGAUACAUUACCUUUUUCUUUUGUGAGUUUUUUCGAGUCAAGUCAAUAGAUCCAUGGGUGGAGGAGAAAAAACAAACUAACAAACAUGGACCUUAGACCAUUACUUUUUUCUCUUUCACACGUGAUAGUGGUCUUAGUUCACAAUUUUUUCUAUGUCCUUUGAUAAGGGUAGGGACUCUUCAUUAUUAUCUCUCAUGUUGUUAGUUUCCAUCUUUAAUAUCUUACAUGCUAUCUUAUUCCAUCUUUAACUUGUAGUUUGGUGGCAAGUCUAUUUAUUGUGACUUGUAAGUCAAGUAUUUGGAAAAUUUGAGAUUCUUUUUAGCAAGACUAUUAAGUCUUGAAUUUAUUCUUUCAUAAAAAUUCUCUAUAGAAUUUAAGUAAAAAAUUUAUGUAAAAUAUAAAAAAAAAUUUAAAGAAAUGAAAUAUUUUGAAUACACAUAACAACAUAUUUGUGGGAAAAAGGAAAAGAGUGAUAAAUAGUGAUUAAAUGAAAAUAAAUAAAUAUAAAAAUGGGGGGAAAAACAAUAAGAAAAGUUGAACAAAAAGUAAUAUACAAGUCUUGCUUUUUUAGAAAAGUAAAGUUGAAUUGUGGAUGUCCCAAUUCACUAGCUUGACUUCAAAAGCUAAGAUGCAAUGAUGCUUUAUGCCCUUGAGAUCAUGAGAUGUUUUAAUUCAUUACUUAUGAAUUAAAGAAUUAGGUAGACCUAGAAGAAGGUAAAGACUAAUAUGGUUAUAUGGUUGUUAAAAAGUUAAAAAAAAAAAAAAAAAAAACCUUUGCUUUGGGGACAUUUCCUAGUUGAUUGACUUGACUUUGAACUAUUAUACAAAAGAACUUCAAAAAUAAAAAUAAAAAUAUAGCAAAAUAAGAAAUGUAGUUGUAUAAUUAAAUACAACUAUAGUUCUAAAAUUUUAUUUCCAAAAUAUAUCUUCUUGUGAGGAUACAAAAUUGACUCUUAAGAAUCAACGGAGUUUCAUGUAAAGCAUAUCUAUGUCGAGGAAUUUUUUUUUUCUCAAAUGAUGCAUUGUUUUUUAUAUCAAAAAAAAAAAAAAAAACCUUUUAAUGUCAAUUUCUUAUUUUAUAAAUAUUUUUUCUAUACAACAUAACACUAUAAAUUUAAAAAGCCUCUAAUUUAAUAUUGAAGAAAAAUUGCAUUUGCAUGUACCCAAUCAUAUAAUAUAAAUUAAGAGGGUAUAUAAGAAGUAAAUACUAAAGACAUGAGCUCAAGAGAAGGUGAAUAUGUACAUAAAUUAACAAAAAAUUUAAUGAAUAUAAUUAUAUGAUUGUGUCAUUUAAACUUUAUUGAUUUUUUUAAUGGAAUCACACAAAUUUUCUUUUCUUGUAAAAAAGUAAACAUUGGAUUUUUAUAACAAGAAAUAUUUGCAAAUAUUUUUGCAUGUAAAAAAAAUCCUAGAAGUUUACACUUUUACCAAAGAAUCUACAAAUACAUCAUCUUGCAACAUAUUAAUUAGAUAAAAUUAUUACUUUGUAUGUUAGACUUUAUACUUUAUACUUGAUAAUACAUGCUUUAACAAUUUGGUAAAUUUUUUUAUUAAUGGUAGUCUUGUAAGAUAUGAUAAUUAGACUUCAUAAUGCAAAUUAACACCAAGUACCAUGAGAAAAUAAAGGAAAAAUGAGUGUCUCUCGUGUUUCUAGGUGAUAAAUGGUGAUUAAAUAAAUAACAAUAUUUAUUUAUUUUUUAAUUUUCAUAAAUUUUGUUUUCAUUAUAGUGGCAUGCAUACCAUCCUAGGAGAUAAAAUAAAUGUAAAAUUGGGGAAAGAUUAACAAGAAAAGUUGAAACAAAGUAAUAUAUAAGUCUUGCUUUACAUGUAAUGGUCUUCUCUUUAAUAUAAUUUAUGCUUUAUAUGUCAUUGAGUUCUUGAGAUGUUUCAAUUAAUUAUUUAUGAAUUAAAGUGUGUGGGAAGAGAAAGACUAAUAUGCUUAUUGGAAACAUAGACUUUAGACAAUUAUCCUAUUUUUUUUUCCUCUUUCACACAUGGUAGUGGUAAACACUCGUAAAUUUUUCCAUGUCGUUCUUUAGUAGGUAGAGAUAUUGUCAAGUCAAGUCAAUUGAUAUUGAAAACAUAGACCUUGGUCAAUUAUCCCUUUUCUUCUCUUUCACACAAGGCAAAGGCAUACAUUGAUAUUUUUUAGUAGGUAGAGAUAUUGUUAAGUCAAGUCAAUUGAUAUUGAAAACAUAGACUUUGGUCAAUUAUCCAUUUUCUUCUCUUUCACACAAGGUAAAGGCAUGAAUUGAUAUUUCUAUGUCUUUUGCAAAGGAUACAUUACCUUUUUCUUUUUUUUGAGUUUUUUCGGGUCAAGUCAAUAGAUCCAUGGGUGGAGGAGAAAAAACAAACAAACAUGGACCUUAGACCAUUACUUUUUUCUCUUUCACACAUGAUAGUGGUCUUAGUUUAUAAAUUUUUCUAUGUCCUUUAGUAAGGGUAGGGACUCUUCAUUAUUAUCUCUCAUGUUGUUAGUUUCCAUCUUUAAUAUCUUACAUGCUAUCUUAUUCCCUCUUUAACUUGUAGUUCGGUGGCAAGUCUAUUUAUUGUGACUUGUAAGUCAAGUAUUUGGAAAUUUUGAGAUUCUUUUUAGCAAGACUAUUAAGUCUUGAAUUUAUUCUUUCAUAAAAAUUCUCUACAAAAUUUAAGUAAAAAAUUUAUGUAACAUAUAACAAAAAUUUAAAGAGAUGAAAUAUUUUGAAUACAUAUAACAACAUAUUUGUGGGAAAAAGGAAAAGCGAGAUAUUCUAAUCUUACUUUCUUAUCCCUUAUUUUUAAGAAUGUUCCAAUUAAUUGCUUUAGAUAAAACAUGUUUUCAAAGCAGAUGGACGUAGAAAAAUUAAAGUUCUGUGAAAUCAUGAAAAAUAGGAAGGAAAGUACAAAGGAAAAAAAAGAAGGAAAAAUAAGGAAGGGAAAAGAAAGAAAAACAAAGAAAGAGUUGAACAAUUUUUUCUCACACACUUUCAAAUUUAUGUUUGUACUUUUCUUUUUAUACAACUAAUAAAGAUUUGAAGAUGCUUAAAUAUUUAUAUAAUUUUUAUUAUAUUUAUUUCUCUUUCUAUCAUACAUCCAACUAGAGAAUUUAGACUUUUUUAACUUUAUUUUUAUUUUUUUAUAAUAGUUUCCAGGAUCUGAGUGGUAUCUAAAAUAUCUUAAUAUUGCACAUACUUCAAAAAAUUGUUUUAAUUUUUUCCCAUCUUCUUUGCUUGUUGAGCACUAACAAAACAUACUGUUGAACACAUGUUGUCCCAAUCUUAGGGUGUAAUUAUUUGAAAGAUGGUAUUCAGGUCCACAAGAAUAGUAGCCACUUUAAAGAUGCAUUGAGGUCCACUAAAAUGAUAGCCACUUUAAAGAUUUAUUUUAGGGGUCUUCAUAAGUCUCUUUUUUAUUGUCAUUUUUCUUUUGGUGAUCUUAGUAGAGUUUUAAAUAAAUAUGUUUUUCCGAACCUAAAGAAAUAGUAAAAUCUUAUAUUAAGAUAAAUAACAAGGAUCCGACCAAAUUUUAUUGAAGUGACAUGUUAUUUUAUUACAUAAUAGUUGGAAUGCCUUAUAAUUGGUAUUCUUAUAAAAUUUUAUAUUUUAUAUUUAAAAUCUUCUAUUUCUUCAAUUUUUUUUAUAUAUUAGACUAAAAAUUUUAAGUACUUACUGAAAAUUUCAUAUGAAAAAAAAAUCUUAAAUGUCUACAAUGUUGCUAAAAUAGUUUCAUAAAAAUCUUAAAUGUUAAGGCCUUGUGUGUUGGAAUCAAAUGAUUUGGUAUUAAUAGUAAUUUACUAGAAAUAUUUUAUUUCAUUCACUACAACAAAAAUAAUUUAUGGUGUCACUUUUAAAAUAAUGACACCAUAUGACUUAAAAUUCAUAAAGGUGACACAUCAUAUAAAAAUUUUUAAUUAGGAUAGGUGAUAUUAAUUUUAAGUUUAGUGUCAGUUUUAAAAAAGUGACACCAUAUAAAAUAAAAUUUUUAAAAUAUUAUAACUAAAUGGGCCCACUUUGAGAAUAAUGAUUGUAUAUAAAAAAAACUCAUUGUUUCCACAUUCCCACAAUCCAAAAAAAUCUCAUUCCAUAACCCAUAACCAUAACUUUCUUCUACCUCUCUUCUCACACCCAUAGUUCACACACAACUGCUCUUCUCUACUUCAUGAACUCUCAGGUAACCCAAAAUCUCUUAGAUCUAUCAUUUUCUUUUUUUUUUCUUUUUUUUUAUUAAUACCAAAAUCUUCAUUAGCACAACUGAUUUACAUUCAUUGAUUUGGUAUAUUUGUAAUGUAGAUUGUGUAAAUAGUGUUUUUUUUAUUGAGUUGUAGGAAAGUAAAAAUUAGGCUUAACAUUCCACUAUAUCUUUUGUUUCAUUGUUAAAUCCAUAAACCCCAAAACGAAUGAAAAUAAGAUAAAUGAAUGAUUUUUUAAUAUCUUUCAUACUCAAAAUGAGGGAUAAACAUUUUACAGUAUGAAAUUUUCUUUUGAUCUUACAAGAAAUUUCUUUUGAUGAGAUUUUAUGUUUGUUUUCUAGGAAUAUUAUAGUAUAUUGUGAUGAGGAUAUGUAUCGGUGAUAUUUGACAAAUAAUUUUUUAGAAAAUUAUUCUCAAUAUUGUCAUCUCCCACAAAAGGAAAAAUGAAAUAGUUUCCAUAUCAUGUUGGAGUUGGUUUAGAAUGUUGGAAUUAACAAUGAGAAAUUAAUUUUAUUUUCUAUUUAUUAAUGUAAAUGAAUUGUUCUUUAAAAUUUAAAUAGGAAUGAAAAUUUUUAUAAUUAUAAAAAUGAUCAAAUCUCAUAUUUUGAUUUUUUUUUUUUAAUUCUUUUACAUGGUAUUAUGGUUAAUAUCUCAUCUUGUUCUAUUCAUUUAUUUUUUUAAUCCUUAAAAUAUUUUUUUGUUUUUUAUUUUUACCUUCUUUUCUUAUUGUUUUUAUAUGUGUUCACCAAAAUUUAGAGUAAUUUGAGAUUGAUGAUGAAAUUUCUCUUUCAAGGUUAAAAAAUUUCUAUAAAAUCCUUUUAUUACAUAAAUUUUCCUUCCAUAAUUUUUGAGAAAAUUAUUCUCAAUAUUGUCAUCUCCCUCAAAAGGAUUCUAAAAAUUUGUUUUUUUUUUGUCUUCUUUUCUUAUUGUUUUUAUAUGCAUUGACCAAAUUUUGGAGUAAUUUGAAAUUGAUGAUGAAAUUUUCCUUUCAAGGUUAGGAAAUUUCUAUAAAAUCCUUUUAUUACAAAAAUUUUUCCAAUCCCUUCCAUAAAACUCUUCAUUUUCUUCAUUUUUCUUUUUUCUAAAAAGAUAUUUGAUAAUUUAUUGAUCUAAAGAUUAUCAAAAUUAAAAUCUAAAAUAUUGAAUAUCUUUUCCUUUGAUGUUUUUAAUCUUUUAUUAUUUUUAUUUGAACAUAUUUUUCAUAUCCAGAUUUUUUAUUAAUUAUUUUAAUUAGAAAAAAUAAAUAUUAAUUGGAGUUAUGACUGAAAAAUUAAUAAUUUUUAUGAAAGGUUCUUUAAUUCUUUCUCAUACUAAUUUUUUUCUUAAUAUUUUUUAAUAAUGAAUUAGGUUUUUUGUCUUAUAUACACAAUCUUCAAGCUUGUUAUAAUAUCAUGUCCUCUCAUAUUAAUAGUUGAAAACAUUUUUAUAUUUUGUUACUAAAAUUUUAUUUUAUAUAAUUGAGAUGAAAUUUAAUGGACAUUGUUAUUUCACAAAAUGAACAUUAAAAAAAUAUUGAAAUUAAAAAAAAUCCUUCCAAGAAAUAAAAAAAUAUAUAAAAAGAAUUAAAUGUUAAAAAUGAUUUUUAAAAGCACAAUGAAUUAUAAAAAAUAAAUUUAAAAAGUGCAGAUUUUAAGUGGAAGAUUACUAUUUUCUAAAAUUUUAGAUUUAUUUUGUGAUUUUCUAGUUUUUCUUUAUUUUUUAUUUUCUUGAAUUGUUUUUAUUUGAGUUCAAAUGUGACUGCUUUGUUAUGAGAUUCAUUAAAGAGAUAAUUGUUGAUUCUACAAUUAUUGUAUUAAAUGUUUUACUCAUUUAAUGAAUUGUACUUAGUUUCAUACUUCCAAUUAUUAUAAUAUUAAUGUUAUUCUCAUUUUAUUUCAGUUUUAUGAUAAAAAAAAAAAAACCAUAUUCUCAGGUAGAAUUUGAUGAAAUUAGAGGAGAAUUAACUUCUUUUGUGUUAUAACUAAUCAUGAAUCAUAUUGAUAAAUCAUGAUCAUGCAUGGUGAGUCCCUUAGUUGUUAUAUGAAUUUUCCAUUGGUAUUGUAUAACAUUACUUAUUCUUUACAAAUUAUUUUUAUAUCAAAAUGGGAAAAAGAAAAAAGAAAACAUUAGUACUUAGAUUUGUUUAUUUUUUAUAACAUCAAUUAAUUUUUAUUUUCAAUAAAACUCAAAAUCUCAUUAAACUAUGAAAUGCAGGUAUACACUCUUGGGAAGACAUUAUGAAGAAUAAAAAGAAAGGAGAAAGAAACAACAACAUUUUGGGUUUUUAGAUAUGACUCUUAUGUCAUAUAUUAUAGGACAUCAAUGUUACUUUAUUUGGUAUUGAGAAUUUUGGGUUUUUGGAUGCAACUCUUGUGUCAUUUUAUGAUUAGCCGGUUUUAUGCAUAUGAAAUGCAGGUAUACAUGAAUGUUGGAAUGCUUAACAUUUCUAAAUCAUAUUUUAAUAUGUAUUCACUUUUCUUUUUUAGUUUCGGUGGGUUUGAUGUACUAUCAUUUUGUAAACAUUUGAUAUACAAAUAUCACUGCAUGAUGUAAUGUAUUACAGGUUAAUCCAUAAGCAUUACGAAAAUAUAAGUUAAAUAUGAUAUGAUUAUUAUAUUUAUGGACAAAAUAUACAUAAGUUGAUCUUAUUUGUUAAUAAACAUUACAAAAAUCAAUAGGCUAAUUAAUAAAAAAUAACCACAUCUUCCAUAAUCAUUUACAAUGAUGUAACACCAUAACUCAAAGGUGAUGCAUUUAAUGUGACACCAUAACUAAAAGGUGAUGCAUUUAAUAUGACACCUUAUAUAUCUCAUGCAACUCUAUAUCAAAUUAAGUAUAACUAAAAAUAUAUGGUGUCGCUUCUGAAUCCUUUUAUGGUUAGAAAAUUGAUUGAAACUCUUCUAAAUUCCUAGAAAGAUUAUUAAGACAACAUGAAGCACAAAAAGAAAUAAAUGUCCUUGAAAAAUGUUAUUAUCCAUAUUUUAGGACCGAUCAUAAAAAAGAAUCAAGUGGUUGUUGAUCAUCCCACUUAAGAACUUGUUUGGAUAUGUAGUGAUCUACAUUAUAUUUUUGUUUUGACAAUUUAAGAGGUUUGUUCUUGGUUUUCUAUUUUCUUUCCAAUUCCUUCUUAAAAGAAAUUAGAAUCCUUUUAGGCUUACUUCACAUUAUGGAGUUAUAGGUAGAUUUUUUAAUUUCUUUGUCCUACCUCAAUUGUACUCCAAUAAUGUAUGUGAUUAAUUGGUACCCUAUUUGAAUUUGCAAGGCUAGCAUUAGCGGCUGGGAUGACUCUUGUUAAUUCAGGUUUGUGUUGAAAAUAUGCUUAAUCCAUCUAUGAACUAUUUAAUAGUUAUAGUAGAAUACCUUGAUACUUACACCACCCAUUUACUAAAUAAAUAACAAGACAUAACAUGUUUAAUAAAUAGGUUGGAUUGAAAUAUUAAUUAUGAAUUGAUACUUUUUACCCAUAACUUGAUAGCAUGAUUCUAAGUCGUUAAAUCGGUUAACAUGAUUACAAUCCAUUUAACCUCUUUAUGAUUUUGAAUUAAUAAAAUGUAUUUUUCAAAUAUUUUUCAAUUACUUUCAAGUUUUAAUUUCAAAAUUUUUCUAAAUCAUAAUUAAUUUAAUUAAUUGUAAUAUGCAAUAUGCUUAUAAGAUAAGAGAAAAAUCAAACUUUAAUUUUCACUUGUAUAGAGUUUUAUUUUAAUUUUUCAAUUAUAAAAUAUUUUUAAUCUUUAUAAUUUUUUAAAUAUAUAAAGUUUUACUCUAUUAGUUAUUUAAUUUGUUAAUUAAUUAAAAACUAUCAUUUUUUGAAUUUUAAUAUAUAUAAAAAUUAAUAAAUUUAAUGGUUAAACGAAUUAGUAUAUAAACAGGUUAUUUCUUGAACGUGUGAAAUUAGUCAAAAAUAAUUAUGGCACAAACACAAGAAUAUCCUAUCCAAACCUACUAAAAUUAACAUCAUCUUUUAGUUGCAUUGUGAAAUAAUGCCAAAAUUUUCACCCCCCAUUUUGCAUCUAACCAAGAUUCAAGAAUCAAUCUUGCUGAAAUCUUUUAAAAAUUUAUGAAAGAAAAGAGUAGUUGGUCUUACUUAACCAAUAUAUCCAACCCAAACCAACUAAAACUCCUAUAGUUUAUUAAUUCUCAUCCUCGUCCCAUUAAAAAAAUUAAAUAAGACGGGGCGAGACAGAACAAGUAUGUGAAUUUCCUAUACUUGUCCCACCCCGUUUAACUUUUUUAUUUUUAUUUUUUUUUUGAAAAAUUUUAAUUUUUUUAAAAAAUUAAUUUUGAUUUUUUAAUUACAUUAAAAUAAAUGUAUUUUAUAAAUAAUUAAAAUAUUAUAAUUUUGUAUAACUUAUUUUAUUGAAAAUAUUUGUUGUGGGUAGGUAUCGGAAAAACUAGCCCAAUUAUCAUUCCUAAUCAAAACCGAUGAGUCAACCUUGUCAAAAGUCUUCAAAAAUUUAAGGAAAAAAAAAAUAGUGGGGCCUUACUAGUUAUGAUUUUAGAACCAAUACUGUGUGAGAAGGGCUAAGCUUAAUGUUUGGAUUGGACAUAGCACUACGAAGUCAAUAAAAGUCGACAGUUGUCACAUCCUUAUUCACAACUUUGAUGACUUAUCGAUUCAACAAACCAUUUUUUCUUUCUCAUUUGUCAUUACUAAAUUUGAUUUGUCUUUAUCAAUGUACUAUGCAAGUUGAAUUAAAAGCCAUCUUAUGUAGAAAUGUCAAAUGUUUAUAAUUCAUAAAAUUGGAAAUUUGCUAGAAUUUCAAAUAUAAAUAUUUGAAAAUUUUAAGUUCUAUUUUCCAUCAAAACCUGAGAUAAAGUAGAAGGAAACUACGAGAAAAUUUCUAAGACAAAAUGCAUUCAAAUGGUGGGGUUAGAAAAAAAAACGACGGCUCAAGAAAUUUGAAUCAGUCAAACCUACCAUUCAGCUGAACCAAGUUGCUAAAAUGGUUUCAUAAAUUAAAAUAUAUAUAUGUGUAUAUAAUUGGAGAAAUUAAUUUGUGGAGAGCAUGUGGAUAAAUUAAACAUAUCCAAAUAUAUUAUAUAAAAUCUCAAGUCGAUAUAUAUGUAAUUUUUUUCAUGAGUUUCCUUUUUAAUCAAAUUCUGGUAAAAGAAAUAUUAAUAUUGCUUUGAAGUAUAAAAAAUUUUUGAUAAUUUACCUUCAGUAUUUAAAGCACCAAUAUAUGUUGGCUUACGAGAACAUUUAUUGGAGUUGGAUUCACUUGGCACUUUCAACGUGAGAGAAGUUUCUAGGAAAUUUGCUACAGUAUAAGAGAAAAAAAAACUGUACAAUUUUCCACAGAAGACCAUGAAAUUGAAUGAGUUUCCAUAGACUAUUUAACAAGAAAAUGUACUAACAAAAUUUUCCACACGAUGAAUAGAUAACAAUGAACUUGAAUGAGUUUCCAUGGACUAUUUAACAAUAAAUGAACAGAUAUUUUCCAUUGACUUGGAUGUUAUAUAAGACUUCCAUGUGGAAUUUUCAAGUGCCGUGUGAUUUCGGGAGGAAUGAAUGGAAAUUUUUUGACGAGUUAACAUUGUCUUAUUUAACAUGGGCCUUCCUACACAUAUGAUCUUUCAUUGGCUUUGAUGUUGUAUAAGACUUCCAUGUGGAAUUUUCAAGUGCCGUGUGGUUUUGGGAGGAAUGAAUGGAAAUUUUUGACGAGUUAACAUUGUCUUAUUUAACAUGGGCCUUCCUACACGUAUGAUCUUCCAUUGGCUUUGAUGUUGUAUAAGACUUCCAUGUGGAAUUUUCAAGUGCCGUGUGGUUUUGGGAGGAAUGAAUGGAAAUUUUUGACGAGUUAACAUUGUCUUAUUUAACAUGGGCCUUCCUACACGUAUGAUCUUCCAUUGACUUGGAUGUUAUACAAGACUUCCAUAUGGAAUUUUCAAGUGCCGCAUGAUUUCGGGAGGAAUGAAUGGAAAUUUUUGAUGAGUUAACAUUGUCUUAUUUAACAUGGGCCUUUCUACACGUAUGAUCUUCCAUUGGCUUUGAUGUUGUAUAACACUUCCAUGUGGAAUUUUCAAGUGCCGUGUGGUUUUGGGAGGAAUGGAUGGAAAUUUUUGACGAGUUAACAUUAUCUUAUUUAACAUGGGCCUUCCUACACGUAUGAUCUUCCAUUGACUUGGAUGUUAUAUAAGACUUCCAUAUGAAAUUUUCAAGUGCCGCGUGAUUUCGGGAGGAAUGAAUGGAAAUUUUUUGACAAGUUAACAUUGUCUUAUUUAACAUGGGCCUUUCUACACAUAUGAUCUUCCAUUGGCUUUGAUGUUGUAUAAGACUUUCAUGUGGAAUUUUCAAGUGCCGUGUGGUUUUGGGAGGAAUGAAUGGAAAUUUUUGAUGAGUUAACAUUGUUGUAUUUAACGUGGGCCUUCCUACACAUGUGAUCUUCCAUUGACUUGGAUGUUAUAUAAGACUUUCAUGUGGAAUUUUCAAGUGCCGUGUGGUUUCGGGAGGAAUGAAUGGAAAUUUUUGACGAGUUAACAUUGUCUAUUUAACGUGGGCCUUCCUACAUGUAUGAUCUUCCAUUGACUUGGAUGUUAUAUAAGACUUCCAUGUGGAAUUUUCAAGUGUCGUGUGGUUUCGGGAGGAAUGAAUGGAAAUUUUUGACGAGUUAAUAUUGUCGUACUUAAUGUGGGCCUGCCUACACGUAUGAUCUUCCAUUAACUUGGAUGUUAUAUAAGACUUCCAUGUGGAAUUUUCUAGUGCUGCGUGGUUUCGGGAAGAAUGAAUGGAAAUUUUUGACGAGUUAACAUUGUCAUAUUUAACGUGGGCCUUCCUACAUGUAUGAUAUUUAGAGUUAUAACAUUAUUGAUCUUGCAAAACAAUCUAGUAAAAAUUAUAAUAAUGAUAUAAGACAUAAUUAAAUGGGUGGGACAAGCGUGAGAAAUAGAGCGGUUGGCUUAGUAGAGAGAGAGAGAGAGAGAGAGAGGUCCAUAUGGGAAACAGUUGCUAAGGAAAUUACUUGGUCCUUUCUGUAUGUUCAGUCGUUGAAUCUAUCAACCUUCUAAUUCCAAAGUGUCAAAUGGUGAGAUAUUGUCCGCACAACAAAACUCUCACAUGCUGAAACACAGAGAAAUUAAGAGGGCAGUAGGCUUUUGUGUGUUGUUACCACAUGAUUUGGUAUUACCGGUAAUUUAUUAAAAAUAUUUUAUUUCAUUUUGCUUUAUUUGCAUCAACAUAAUUACAAACUUAUAUUUAUAAUAAACAAAUCAUCGUUGUAUAUGACUAAUUCAUAAUUACACUAAGAGUUUCAAUUAACAUAAUGAUCCUAAACAAAUAAAAAAUUUUAAUAUUUUUCGAACUCCUAAAAUACUUUUAAUUUGAAUUGAAGUCAGAUAAUUAUGACUUGUGGGUUAUGAUGAUUAUACUUGAGUGGUAACCUUGUAAGUUAUGAUGAUUAAAUUUAAUAAUACAAUGACCAGAUAUGGUAUGCAAAAAAUAAAUAAAAAUAAAAAUAGGAGUCUUUAAUGUUACCAAGUGAUAAAUAUUAAAUAAAAAUAAAUAAAUAUAAUAAUAGGAGAAACACAACAAGAAAAGUUGAACAAAAAGUGAUAUACAAGUCUUGCUCUUUCAGAAAAGUAAAGUUGAAUUGUGGAUGUCUCAAUCCACUAACUUGACUUCAAAAGCUAAGAUGCAAGGGUGCUUUAUGCCCUUGAGAUCAUGAGAUAUUUUAAUUUAUUACUUAUGAAUUAAAGAAUUAGGUAGAUUUACAAGAAGGUAAAAAACUAAUAUGGUUAUAUGACUGUUAUAAAAAUAAAUAAAAAAAUAAAAAAAUAUUGUAACAUCUCUUUCUUAUUCUUUGCUCGGGGGACAUGUCCUAGUUGUUUCACUUGACUUUGAACCAUUAUACAAUCAAAUUUCAUAAGUUAGUUGGAAACUAAAGUAAUGAUGCAAUCAACUUUUUUUUUUUUUUUUUUUUCCCUAGUUUGUGAAGAUGUCUUGAUUAAUGUGUUUUUCUUUGUAAUGGAGUUUCAAUAUGUUGAUAUAACUUAAAAUAAGAGAUUAAAGAUUUGUAAUUAUUUUUGGUCAAUAAAAGUAGAAAACUAAAAUAAGAAAAUCUUUCUUCCUCAUUUGUCAUUAAUUAUUAAUUAAAUUUGAUUUUGGAUCAAGAUAUGUUAAUGAAUUUACAUAAGUUGAGCUUUAAGGAAUCAUAUCAAAUAUUGGAGAGUUGUCAUUAAUUAUUAAUUAAUAAAAUUAGAGAUUUGCUAGAAUCUUAAUUAAUUUAAACAAAAGUGAUUCGAAAAAACAGUUUUUAUAAGAAUUUAUAACAUUCAAAAAUUGUUAUGUAACUUUUAAUAGUGCUGAAAAGAACUCCCGAAUAUUCAAAAAUUGGGUUCUAAAGAAAUCAAGGGUAGUGAAAACUGAAAAGCUACUAGCUCAGCUGUUGGAGGCCUUCCAACUGUGCAAAACCCAAAGGUUAAAACGACGUCGUUUUCUCAAACUGGGACGACGCCGUUUUGGGUUAGGACGCAGUGAAAUAAGAUUGAAUUCACAAUCGUUUCAUUAUUUGCCGCUUUUUCCAGUUGCCGGAAACGACAAAGCUUCACGGACUGAGUGGUAUAAGAAUUUCAAUUUACUUAAACAAAAGUGAUUUCAAAAAACAGUUUUUAAUACAAAAAUUAUGAAUUUCACUCUUCAAUAAAUAAAAGUGGAAGGAAUCUUGGUAUUGCGUUCAUAUGGUAGACUCAAACAGAUACUAUAUAUAUGUGAGUGCUUGGUCUCCUCGGAAUUCAUAAGAGAAAAACAGCAGUUGCAAAGCCUCUCUUCUAUUACUUGCAGACCAUGGCAGGACGGUCCUUUCAACACCUUCUUAGCUUUCUUGUGCUUUUGCUGCUAUGUGCCAAACCUGGCCUCGGGAAUGUUACUGGGUGCAUAGAGAGGGAGAGACAAGCUCUCCUUCACUUCAAACGUGGCCUUGUCGAUGACUAUGGCCUUCUUUCUUCUUGGGGAGAUGAACAUGACAACAGAAAUUGUUGCAACUGGAGAGGAGUCCAGUGUAGUAACCAGUCAGGUCACGUCAUCAUGCUUCAUCUUCAAGCCCCUCCUUCUGAAUAUGCUUAUGAGUACCAGUCUCUAAGAGGUGAGAUAAGUCCUUCGCUGCUUGAAUUGGAGCAUUUGACUCAUUUGGAUCUCAGCUGUAUUGAUUUUGAAUGGAGGCAUAUACCUCCAUUCCUUGGUUUCCUCAGCAGAAUGCAGUACCUCAAUCUCUCUCAUGCCAAUUUCAAUCACACUAUUCCCACUCAACUGGGAAAUCUUUCCAACUUGCUUUCCCUUGACCUCAGCCAUAAUUAUUAUGACUUGAAUUCUGGGAACCUGGAGUGCCUUUCUCGUCUUUCUUCUUUAAGACACCUUGACCUGAGUUCUGUCGACCUUAGUAAAGCCAUCCACUGGUCCCAAGCAAUUAAUAAACUCCCUUCUCUCAUUCACUUGGAUUUACAAAGUUGUGGCCUCCCUCUCAUCCCUCCACUCACCAUUCCGUCUCUUUCCCAUGCGAAUUCCUCUGUCCCUCUUGUUUUCCUUGAUCUCUCUGUGAAUUAUCUCACUUUUUCAAUAUACCCAUGGCUGCUCAACUUUAAUACCACCCUCCUUCAUCUUGAUCUCUCUUUCAAUGAUUUAAACGGUUCGAUUCCGGAAUAUGCUUUUGGAAACAUGAAUUCGCUUGAAUAUCUUGAUCUCUCUAGGAGUUAUCUCACUUCUUCAAUAUACCCAUGGCUGCUCAACUUUAAUACCACCCUCCUUCAUCUUGAUCUCUCUUUCAAUGAUUUAAACGGUUCGAUUCCGGAAUAUGCUUUUGGAAACAUGAAUUCGCUUGAAUAUCUUGAUCUCUCUGGGAGUCAACUUGAUGGUGAGAUUCUGAAUGCAAUUAGAGACAUGAGUUCACUUGCAUAUCUUGAUCUCUCUGAAAAUCAACUACGAGGCUCAAUUCCAGAUACAGUUGGGAAGAUGGUUUCACUUUCACAUCUUGAUCUCUCUGGCAAUCAACUGCAGGGCUCAAUUCCAGAUACAGUUGGGAAGAUGGUUUUACUUUCACAUCUUGAUCUCUCUGGCAAUCAACUACAGGGCUCAAUUCCAAAUACAGUUGGGAACAUGGUUUUACUGUCACAUUUUGGUCUCUCUUACAAUCAAUUGCGGGGCUCAAUUCCAGACACAGUUGGGAAGAUGGUUUUACUUUCACGUCUUGAUCUCUCUAACAAUCAACUGCAGGGCUCAGUUCCAGAUACGGUGGGGAAGAUGGUUUUACUUUCACAUCUUGAUCUCUCUGGCAAUCAACUGCAAGGCUCAGUUCCAGAUACAGUUGGAAAAAUGGUUUUACUUUCACAUCUUGAUCUCUCUCGCAAUCAACUACAGGGCUGCAUUCCAGAUAUAGUUGGGAACAUGGUUUCUCUUGAAAAACUCUAUCUCUCUCAGAAUCAUCUUCAAGGUGAGAUUCCAAAAUCCCCGAGUAAUUUAUGUAACUUACAAGAAUUAGAGUUGGAUAGAAACAAUCUCUCUGGACAGAUUGCACUAGACUUUGUGGCCUGUGCAAAUGACACAUUAGAGACUUUGUCUUUAUCGGAUAACCAGUUUAGUGGAUCAGUUCCUGCUCUCAUUGGAUUUUCAUCCUUGAGAAAGUUACAUCUUGAUUUUAAUCAACUAAAUGGAACUUUACCUGAAAGUGUUGGACAGCUGGCCAACCUUCAAUCCUUGGAUAUUGCCUCAAAUUCAUUGCAAGACACUAUCAAUGAAGCCCAUCUCUUUAAUCUAUCCCGGUUGUCCUAUUUAGACUUAUCUUCCAACUCUCUCACUUUCAACAUGAGCUUUGAGUGGGUUCCUCCAUUUCAACUGUAU